rnacentral:lncRNA from 1 species
AACGUCUUGCUAGGUCACAAAUGUGGCAACAGAGUAGUUGCCAUGUGAUGCAACAACAAUGUUGCCAACAGCUGCCGCAAAUCCCCGAACAAUCCCGCUCUGAGGCAAUCCGUGCCAUCGUCUACUCCAUCAUCCUGCAAGAACAACAACAGGGUUUUGUCCAACCUCAGCAGCAACAACCCCAACAGUCGGGCCAAGGUGUCUCCCAACACCAACAGCAGUCGCAGCAGCAGCAGCAACUCGGACAGUGUUCUUUCCAACAACCUCAACAACUACAACAAUUGGGUCAGCAGCCUCAACAACAACAGAUACCACAGGGUAUAUUCUUGCAGCCACACCAGAUAUCUCAACUUGAGGUGAUGACUUCCAUUGCACUCCGUACCUUGCCAACGAUGUGCGGUGUCAACGUGCCGUUGUACAGCUCGACCACUAUUAUGCCAUUCAGCAUUGGCACUGGAGUUGGUGGCUACUGAUAAGAAAAGAUUUCUAGUAAUAUAUAGUCGUUAGAUCACCGUUGUUUAGUCGAUGGAUAUGUCGAUGUAGCGGUGACAAAUAAAGUGUCACACAAACGUCAUGUGUGACCCGCAAACUAGUAGUUAAAUUCUGGAAUAAAAUACAAAUAAAGUUUUCUCUAGACAAUGUUCAUACCGGCGUUCUGUGGACGUCGAUGUGACUACCAUGCUUGCAAGUUCAUAAGUUCGUCUUGUCUGGUCACAAACCUGGUGCGUUAAUUUAUUAUUCAUGUAUAGAAAUAAUCAAAAUUUAAAUAUAAUAGUGUUAUUGUAAAAUUUUGGUUGAGUUGAAGCAAGGACUAACAUACAACUCUUUAAUGGUUGGAGAUUCAAGAUCUUAUUUUUAUUGGUUUGUAUCUGGUUCCAACUACCACCAUGGUCUACAGUGACAACCACAACUGGUUUGAUCGUUAACUCUCUUUGCUUGGUUUUUUUGCAAAUAUGUUCAUUGAUUCUUUGCACAAUUUUUUUGUCAAGAAAAAGGUCAGCUUUUGCUUGAACUUCACACACACACACCACUACAUAGUUAAUUCGAAAUAAGUUGCUGGUGAUGUCCUAGACCAGCUAGCACAGUCAGUGUGUGUGGGGAGGGGGAGUUGUUGCAUGCGUAUUCUUCGCGCAUUAUUUUAUUUUGUUCUUUUGAUGCUCUUACACCAUACCACAUUUUUACUUGAUGGAAAGCAAAAUAAACAACGCAGCUAGAAACCAUAGAACUUGAUACUGGGUGUGUGUCAACUUCACAUCCUCCUCCUUACGUCAUUUCAAUUGGAAAGCAAUAGCCCUCAUGAGAUCAGAUAUCCAUACAUAAUGCCAAAAUAAACAAGGUGAUGGCAUUAACGAUGCAAGUUUUAAAUUAGUCAAAUGGCUAAACUGAGGCACCGGCAGCCAUAUGAGACAUCCACGAGCAUGUAAUCCAUCUUAUUGCAAGUAGAGCACUGUAUUAUGUAUUUAUGUCAGAACAUCCAGUGCAGUUUUUCAAAAUGACGUUCCAUUGGCUGCAACUAGCAAAUGAUACGAAUUUUCUUUCCAAAUACUACAAAAAGUUGCAGGAUUGCAAAUUAAACAAUUACCUCGACUGACUAGACGUGAAACAACACACCUGCUGUGCAGCAACAACAGAUAAUUCAUCUCAAGCACCUACCCAGCAGGGAUUAGUUCUCGUGAAUUCAUGGAAUUUAGAAUGCAUCACAUGCUUACUGCUGAAGAGACAAGACCCAGAAGCAAGUGGUCACUUUCUUGUCCUCUUUAAAUGACACCUGUAAUUAAGAUUGAGUACAUCAUCGAACUCAGAAGUGACCAUAAUCUGCUGGUAGACCAUUAUUUCUUGUUCAUAUGAACAUACAUAAUACUUAAUAUACUGACAUGAUACAAGGCAACUUGACAAUCUCCUGUUAUUCGAAGAUGAAAGAUAUAUAUGAGUAUGCGAUUCAAUUUGGUGAGCUUAAUAUGUGCCGUUAUUGUGAAACAGUGAAAGACUGAAUAAAGGGACAUAUGGAAUUCUUUUUAUCAUAAUAACGAGUUUCUAAACACAGAACGAAAGCAACAAAAAAUAAAGACAGAGCGCUAAAAUUUCAGAGAAGUUUUUGAAGAUAUAAAAUGCAGUGCCCUUUUAUUGAUCACUGCCUAUAGCCAUAUAAAUAAGGUCUGGGACUCGGUUCGCUGCAACAAGCCUCUAGAAAGCACAUUUCCUCUGAUGCACAUAUGAAAUUUGAGAGUAAAACAUAAAAACGCCGAGAUAUACGGAUGAUUUAAUGAUGUAACUAACUUGGAUAUCCUUCUAGUGACCACGGAAUGGACAAAUUUUCUUCCGAGACGUCGAAAAGGGAUGGAACCUCCACACCCACUGCUUCUCCUUCACCUGCAUAGCGUGCGUAGGCGGAAAUUUGAUGAGUAUUUGAAGUGACAUCCACAUAGAGCAGGAGUUAUUCGGCUAGCAAAGUGCAAAUGUACAUCACUCUCAGGCUACAAGACUGAAUUCUGCUCGAUGAUCUUCCUGAUUCAUGCAGCGGAUAUGCAAAUGGGCGUGCCCCUUAAAUUCAUGUGAAUCAAAUUGCAGAAGAGACGGACAAACAGGGUUAAUAUAUACCUUAUUUCUUGUGUUGACGGGAUGGCUGGAGUGGCUGUCGUCGAUGUACGGCCCGCACUCGACGAAGAGCUUGAAGACCCUCUUGCGAAGACCAUCUGCGAGAGGAAGCAAGAGUUGAGGUCAGAAGAGGGUACAGUAGAGGUUGAGGGUGGGAAGGAAGGCAUCAACACUAGUAGAAAAAGGGCCUAAUGUGAAGCACAUUAGUCCCGGUUUGUAACAAAACCGGCACUAAUGUGUCCAUUAGUGCCGGUUCCAACGGCUAGGCGGGUGGAGCUAAAUUAGACUGAAUUGAACUUGUUCUUUAUAACUAGCUUGGGACAGAAAAAUUACUAUGAAAUGCACUUGAUUAUACUUGAUUUUAUGGGCUACAAAAAAUAUCAUCCAAAAAUGCUCUAAAAAACACGUUCUAAAGUAGGUUUGGCAGGAGAUGCGGCACAUUAUCAUUCAGAAAUUAGACCAAGAUAAAUGUGGAGUUGGCGGCUCAACACUCUAUAAGACUGUAACAGGUUGUCCCAGUGUCUCAGUCCUUUAGGACAUAGAUCCAGAAAAUGUAGAACUAACAUAUUAGCGGUUAGGAUCAUAUUUGCAAUGUGGGAACUUGGUGCGCUCGCUCCAACAUGCCUAGUGGAAGCAUGUGUCCUCUGAUGCACAUAUGAAAUAUGACUGGUACAAAACAUAAGAAACACUGAGAUUAUACGGAUGAUUGGAUGCUGUGGCUAACUUGUGCGUCGCUCCAGUCAACUGAGUGGACGAACUCGCUAAGAGCUUUCUUCUCGGAGAUCAAAGGGGACGGAACUUCCUAAGAGCUUUUGAUUCAACCUCCAUGCUAACUAACUACUUCUCCACCUGUUUAGUGGGCGUAGGAGAAAAUUUGAUGAGUAUUUGAAGUGACGUCCACAUAGAGCACAUAGCUAUAUUCAGUUAGAAAAGCCACAAAUGUACAUCACAUCCAGAUUAAUGGAGGUGGAAUGUGAAUGUGUGUGCCCUUAAAUUCAGGUGAAUCAAAUCGCAGAAGAGCCAGACGAAUAGGAUAGAUACCUUGAGUGGACGUGGAGGACGGAGUGUCUGCAGACAAUGUAUGGCCCACACCUGAAGGAGACCUUCUUGCCGAAAGCAUCUGCAAGAGGAAGUAAGAACAUGGUUGUUGACAUCAGAUUUUGGCAUGGUACAAAAAGCAAUUAAGAUUGCCCCAAAUGGAGAAGUGAUUUACAUGAAAAAGUUCCAUUUUGUCGACCUGAACAUCUUUGAAGUUUGUGCCAUCGCCAUCUAAUCUCAUCUCGAAGGCCAAAGUUAUGUUCGAAAUACUGAGAUUUUGUAUCCAGAGCACUGUUCGGCCGAUUAUGCCUCAAGGGAUGGUCACUUUCUACAUGAAUUGUCUUCGUCUCAUCAAAACGGUCGAUUUUGAUAAAAAUUCAUGUCAAUCCGAGGUUGUAUGUAAAAGUUAGAGCCACCCGAGUGCGGUCAUGAGCCAAAAGUGGCGAGUAAUAGUCUAUUUUGCACGAGCAAUUCGUCCCUGAAGUUGGCAUCUAUUCGAAACAUGUUUAACAUGAAUGUUGUUCGUCUCGGUGAAACGGUUAAAUUUGGUUCUUACACGAUUUUGAUCUGAGGUCAUUUACUACCCAAAAAAUGACCCGCAAGGUGAAGCCAAUUUUUAGAUCGAAUAGUUUUGGGAAGUUCGGAUCGAACAAUCCGAAUAGGAAUCAAAUUAGGGUUUUGGACAUGAAUUCUAACCUUUCCUUGCACGGGAAGUCCAUCCACCUCUUAUAUACAUGAGGGGUGACGGCCGAUUGAGAAACAACACACAAUCGCAAAACCCAUCUACAAACUUUCAUCUCCUAUCCUACUUUUCUGCUUCUCGUUCAUCAGUGUUCUUUGCUUCGGAGAGCUCUGAUCUAUGAAGUCCUAGGGGUGGGCGAACCAACCUAGGGCAGCCCAGCACUGUCGUGCGGCCAGACAGGGUCUCUUCCGACCGCGUGGGGUUUCGGGUCUUCAAAAGCGCUCGCCGGAUUGUAUUGCGUACCACUCUUCCGGUGAGCCUCCUUCGGCGAUGUGUCUUGCGUAUCGCGCUCGACGCCGAGGGUACACGGUGACGUGUUUGUGUGUGAACACACUUUUUGGCGACUCCGCUGGGGACCAAAGAGCAAUCAUCAUCAUCCAUCAUGGUCAAUCUUCCCAAGCCAUCUGAAGUGGAUGCCGAUAACAUCAACAAGCCCAAUUUUGAGGAAUUAUCGGCAGAACAUCGCCAAGCUUGUGAGUAGUACAAGAAGGCACGUGAAGGGAAGGAGAUGCAGGAGUUCCUUGCUAAGUUCAAAAAGGAUCGCCAAGGCAACAUCACUUCAAUUGAAGAAAUCAAGUUUCCUCCUCUUCACAAUGAGUAGGUAGAGUCGGCUGAAAUCACUACUCUUAUUGCUCAGAAUAAUGAUCGAAAAAAUACUCCUCAAUCAUCUAAUGGUAGAAAAUAAUACUGAUCGAAAAAAUACUCCUCAAUCAUCUAAUGGUAGUGGUAGUAUGUCUGCUGGUGUGGAAAACUUUAGUCCAAAUUUACCUAUUCCAGCGGUGCUGCCCAUGCCAUUGAAUUCUUAUCCCAGUCAGACAAACCAACUUGUUGCUCCACCAUUUAAUCCAGCCAGGAAUAUGCCAAGUUCAGUGAAUCCAACUGCAUUGCUAGGUUAUGGUUCGGCAAGUCCAAGUGGAUUGCUGCCGAACUAUGGUAUAACAUACACACCACCAUCUCUUCCGACUAGCACUAUACCAACUAGUAGAAAUCAUAUUCACCAUGCGCCACAACCACACGCAACGCCGCUCAAUACGAGUGAUAUUUUGGCUAAUGUCAGAGAGGAGAUGUCGAGGGUGUUCCGAGAGCAUUGCGGGAUUGAACUACCUCAACCACGAAUUUCUAGGAAACCAUAGCUAGAAAUUUUUGAUGUCGUGCCAUGUCCUCCCGGAUAUAAAGUUCCAGAUUUUGUUAAAUUUAGCGUAGAGGGAAGAAAGACUACAUGGGAGCAUGUUAGUCGGUACUUGGCACAAUUAGGUGAGGCAAGUUCACGAGACGAGUGGAAAGUACGUUAUUUUCCUUUAUCUUUAACCGGUACUGCUUUCCCGUGGUUUUCUGCAUUACCACCCGGUUCUAUUACUGCAUGGUUUCACUUGGAGCAAAAGUUUCAUGACCACUUCCAGAGUGGUGACAAUGAGCUUAAACUAUCCCAUCUUACAUCGGUUAAGCAAAAGCAUGAUGAAUCAGUCUUCGAUUAUGUCAAAAGAUUUAGAGAUACAAAAAACCGGUGCUAUAGUUUGGUGAUAACCGAGAGAGAUGUGGCUGAUCUCGUGCUUAGUAGUUUGAGAACUCACAUUAGAGAGAAGCUGGAAGGCUAUGAGUUUUCAAGUAUCAACCAUGUCUUAGAAAAGGGCUUUGGCUCAAGAAAGCCAAAGCAAAGAGUUUAAAGAGGUGCAUAGGUAUAACACUGAUCAUCCUAAGAUAAAUAUGAUUGAGUAUGAUGGUGAGCACUCGGAUGAUGAGGGUGAUAUUUAUGAUACUGAAUUUGUUUGGCCAUCUAAGGCCAAACCAUUUACUUGCAAUGAUAUAAAGCCAAUUUCAUAAGAAUCGUGAUGAAGAGAUGAAAAUUACUUUCAACAUUACUAAGUGUGAUAGAAUAUUUGAUGCUUUGUUGCAAGCGAACAUUAUUAGAAUAUCUCAUACUUUACCGCCGUUUCAAGAGCUGAAACGGCGUGCUUAUUGCAAGUAUCAUAAUUCUUUUUCUCAUGCCACUAACGAUUGUAAUGUUUUUCAACGACAAAUACAGCCGGCCAUUAAUAACGGACGAUUGAAAUUUUCUCAGAUUCCACUUGAUAAGCAGCCCUUUCCAAUGAACACCAUGGAUUUGGAGGGAAAAAGAUGUUAAUUCGGCCCGAUAUAGCCGAAUCAGCUAAUAAAAAUAAGAUUGUCAUUGGUGAGCCUCAGAAAAGCAAGGAAGACGACAAGGCCUUGGGGAGACAAGUUGUGCUUGACAAGCGACCCGGUGGCAAGGAGAUCAUUAAGAUCACCAUCAAGAANNNNNNNNNNNNNNNNNNNNNNNNNNNNNNNNNNNNNNNNNNNNNNNNNNNNNNNNNNNNNNNNNNNNNNNNNNNNNNNNNNNNNNNNNNNNNNNNNNNNNNNNNNNNNNNNNNNNNNNNNNNNNNNNNNNNNNNNNNNNNNNNNNNNNNNNNNNNNNNNNNNNNNNNNNNNNNNNNNNNNNNNNNNNNNNNNNNNNNNNNNNNNNNNNNNNNNNNNNNNNNNNNNNNNNNNNNNNNNNNNNNNNNNNNNNNNNNNNNNNNNNAAAUUUGUUAAACCAAAGAAUCCAGAGGUUGGCAAGUGGAAGACGAAUGAAGCUAAAGUACAACGCAAGAGAAUCAAGCCAACUUUUGUUAUGUUGCUAUGCAAAUGUGCCAAUCAAGCGGCCAAUUCUAGCUCUAACCGGUCAUCAAAUUUAAAGCUCUCCAGGUCACCUCCUCGACAAGAAUUUCAUCAUCAUGCAAGGCCAUAUGGGUCUUGGGCACCUUGACCAUCGAUGGCACCACCCCCCCUAUGUGUCAUACUACAUGGGAAACUUUAAUGGAGGAUGGGGGCAACCUCCAAUGACCCCUUAUGCUUUUCAUCCGGGUUGGGUAGAACCAAGGAGGCCCGUUUGUGAGAGGCUUUCUUACCCUAUACAUGGCCGUUUGAACAAUGGUGUCAAUCGGCCAAUGCAGGAUAAUCAAAAAAGGUUCAGCAAUCAAGUGUGGCGAGCUAAAUCACCAAGUGCUGAAAUUUCAGAGGCUAGCAACCAAAAGGAGAAGAGUACUAGUGCUGAAACUAUUAUUGUAGGCACUAAAGAAUUAACAAUCAAAUAGCCGAUUAUUGUUGAUAAUGCAGCUAUUUCUAACAAGGAUGUGGCUGCUGUCCAACAAGGUCCCGUGGCUAAUGAUCAUGAAGCUAGCACAAGCAAGGCCAAGCUGAGGGAUCCAAAAUAUACUUAGCCUAAGUGGUGUCCCUCCGGUCUGACCAAGGCACAAAAAAGUAGGUUGCAGCACAUGAGAAGCCACGAGAAGGAGGGAUAAGAAGCGGAGAGGCAAAGGGAUAAACUGUUCAAUGAAACCCGUCCCAUGAUGUCCGCAAAACAAGUGUGGAGGCCUAAGCAAAAGGAAAACAUAGUAGCUUCUGCAUUGGUAAUAACAGCACCUACACCACCAAUGGAGGACGAUGCGACUGCUAUUACAUCGUCCACUUCACCUAUUACUUCCUCUUCACUAGGAGAUAUUUCGGAGUCGAUGGACAUGCUUCAGGAUGGAGAUGGUAUUUUGGAUUAUGAGUCUACACCGGUUCAUGAAGGUAUUGAUAUUAAUAUGGUGCACUACUUACCCGCUGAAUUCCGUGCUAUAUAUGAAGAAGGGCAAGUACCUCAGUUGGAUUUUGGUCCUAAAAAUGCUAUAAUCGAGAAGCCAAAAGAAUGGGUGACGCACCUGAAGCCAUUGUUCCUUAAAGGUCAUAUUAAUGGAUCGCCGAUUGCUAGAAUGCUUGUUGAUGGUGGUCCUGUGGUGAAUCUUAUCCCAUAUUCAGUCUUAUAAAAAAUGAGGCUGCGUGAUGAAGAGUUGAUAAAGACCAACAUGGUGCUCAACGGAUUUGAAGGUAAAGAGAAAAUUGAAGCCAAAGGUGUGAUGUAUGUGGAGCUUACGGUGGGAAGCAAAACUUUGGCUACCGCAUUCUUUGUCGCCGAGGUGCAAGGUAACUCCAAUGUGAUAUUAAGCCAUGAUUGGGUUCAUGCAAACCAAUGUGUGCUAUCUACUAUGCACCAGUUUUUGAAUCAAUGAGUUGAUGAUGAAGUGGAAGUCAUUCAUGCGGAUAAUUCGAUCGGCUUGUGUUGCUUUGGCCGAUGAAUCGGUGGAUUGGCAACAUCCCAAUGCUACUUGCUUGACGGGGCGCGACUUAUCAGAAUUUGAUUUUCUUAGCGCUACAAAAUUGGUUUCGUGCCCCUUUCUAUAAAGCCGGUUGGCGAUAAUCGGCUCCAAGGUAUGAUGUAUUUAAAUGGAUCCUAUCUCAGAGUGGUUUCAAAAGCGUCUUGUAGAAUAUCGGUCCAAUGAGAAUGAUAUGUAUGAGUCCAUAGAAGAGUUAGAUGAUAUGGAUAAAUUAGGACAAGGUUUUACAUCGGCGAUCCAUUAGAAGAGAUAGAUAUAGCAGAUGGUUCAUUUCUUAGGCCGACAUUUGUAAAUAAAAAUUUAAGAGUCGAUCAUAAACUUAAGUUGAUCGAGCUGUUAAAAGAAUAUAUUUGUUGCUUGGCAUGGGAAUAUCAUGAGAUGCCCGGUUUAAGCCGAGAGCUAGUGGAGCAUCGAUUACCUAUAAAGGCUGGUUUUUGACCGUAUAAGCAAUCGACCAGAAAGUUUAAUCCAAAAACAUAUGACCGGAUCAAGGAAGAGAUCGGUCGUUUGCUGAAAGCUAAUUUUAUUAGACCUUGCAAGUAUGCCGAGUGGAUUUCUAACAUUGUACCAGUGAAGAAGAAAGGCUCGGGCAAGUUGAGGGUGUGUAUUGAUUUUAGAGAUUUGAAUAGAGCUACACCCAAAGAUGAGUAUCCCAUGCCCAUAGCCGAUAUGCUUAUUAAUGAUGCCUCUGGACAUAAGGUCAUUAGCUUUCUUGAUGGUAAUGUGGGGUAUAAUCAAAUUUUUAUGGCCGACGAUGAUAUGACCAAAUUAGCUUUUCGAUGUCCCAGUUUCCUUGGUUUAUUUGAGUGGACAGUGAUGACCUUUGGUUUAGAGAAUGCCGACACCACGUAUCAAAGGGCUAUGAAUUUAAGUUUUCAUGAUUUACUUGGUGUUAUACUUGAAGUCUAUAUUGAUGAUAUUGUUGUCAAAUCGGAUGCUUUUGAAUCUCAUCUAGCUGAUUUGUGCUUAGAUUUUGAGAGAAUGAAAAAAUAUUGACUAAAGAUGAAUCCUUUGAAAUGUGCUUUUGGUGUAUCGGCUGGUAAGUUUUUGGGUUUCAUUAUUCAUCAACAUGGCAUAGAAAUUGACCCAAAAAGAUAGAGGCUAUACAAAAGGUGUGGGCUCGAACAUGCAAGAGAGAUAUGCAAAAAUUCCUUGGCAAAGUCAAUUAUUUGAGGAGAUACAUAGCCAAAUUGUCAGGGAAGGUUGAUACAUAGCCAAUUAUUUGUGCACUUCUCUAGUGUUGAAAGCCCCCAAGCAUAGAGAGCCCUUUAGGCUUUAUAUUGCGGAGGAGAAAGCCCCCAGGCAUAGAAAGUCCCCUCAAGAGACCGAAGGAAAGGAGCAUGCUAUUCUUAUUUGAGUCGACGCUUAUUGGAUGUCGAGAUAAGGUAUACAUUGAGAAAUUAUGCUUAUGCUUAUAUUAUGCUUGCACAAAAUUGAGACAUUACCUAGUGCCUAGUACAUGCAUUAUAGCUUUUCAAACUGAUGUCAUCAAAUACAUGUUGCAUAGGCCAAUUCUUAGUGGUAGAAUUGGCAAGUGAGCUUAUGCUUUAAUUGAAUAUGAUUUGGUUUAUGAAUCUCUGAAAUUCAUGAAUGGGCAAAUCGUUGUUAAUUUUGUUGUUGAGCAUCGGAUUGAUGACAAGCAUGAUAUUGAUCUUAAACUUGUCUAUUAGUACCAUGGAGAUUAUAUUUUGAUGGUUCCGUUUGUAGCAAUGGACAAGGUGUUGGUAUUGUUUAUAUAUCUCCUCAUGGAGCUAUUUUUCAAGCCUCAUGCCGCUUAGAGUAUUUUUGUACAAAUAAUUAGGCCGAAUAUGAAGCAUUUUUACUCGGUUUAGAGAUGUUGCUUGCCAUAGGCGCUACACAUAUUGAGGCUUUUGGUGAUUCGUUAUUAGUAGUGCAACAAAUAUCCAGAGUAUUUCAAUGUUUUCAUGAAUCACUUAAUGUUUAUCUUGAUAAAUGUCUAGAUAUAAUUUCUACUUUGGAUUAUUUUAGCAUUCCUCAUAUAUCUAGACAUGACAAUUGGAGAGCAAAUCAGUUGGCACAACAAGCAUCUGGCUAUCAUGUUAAUCAUGACAUGUUUCAUAUUUACCAAAGGCCGAUGUCUAUUCUUGCCAACGUAGGGGAGGCUGAACCGGAGCCCACCGUUUCGGUCACAAAUGAAAAUUUUAAUGUAGAAAAUCUGGACUAGAGGAAAGCCAUUAUUGAUUAUUUGCGUGAUUCUAAUAAAAUUUUGGAUGAGGACCAAGCAAGAGUUGCUAUGAGAGAGGUUCAUGAAGGAAUUUGUGGGACUCAUCAGUCGGCUCCCACUAUGAAAUGGUUAUUGCGACAGGCUGGGUUUGAUUGACCAACGAUGAUUAAUGAUUGCUUCAGGUAUUAUAAAGGAUGUGCAGCUUGUAAAAUGUCUGGUGAUAUUCAGCUAGCUUCUGCUGCUAUGUUACAUCCUAUUAUUAAGCCGCGGCCUUUUAGAGGUUGGGGAUUAUACUUUAUUGGAGAGAUUCAUCCUUCUUCUUCAAAGGGGCAUCAGUUUGUGUUGGUGGCAACUGAUUAUUUCACUAAAUGGUCUGAAGCAAUACCGCUAACAAAUAUGACGCAUACGGAGGUAAUUCAAUUCAUAACUUAGCACAAUAUUCAUAGAUUUGACAUUCCUCAAAUGUUAACUACGGACCAAGGUUCAUCUUUUAUGUCAGAUCAAGUUAGAGAAUUUCCCGAAUCAUAUAAGAUAAAGUUGCUCAAUUCAUCUCCGUAUUAUGCCCAAGCCAAUGGACAAGCUGAGUCUAGCAAUAAAAUAUUAACCAACCUCAUCAAGAAGAAGAUUGAGGAUAAUUCAAGGAGAUGGCAUGAGCUAUUGUCCGAAGCUUUGUGGGCACACAUAAUCUCAAGGUAUGGUGCUACAAAGGUAACUCCAUAUGAGCUCAUAUAUGGUAAAGAGGCCGUUUUACCAGUGGAAGUGAAUUUGAAUGCUUUGAGAAUAGCAAAACAAAAUGAUUUAUCGGCGGUGGACUUUUAUAACUUGAUAAUGGAAAAUAUUGAUGAAGUCGCUGAUAAAUGUUUUGUUGCUUUGAAGGCCAUAGAGAGAGAUAAUUUGAGGGUGGCAAGAGCUUACAAUAAGAAGGUCAAGUUGAAGAAUUUUCAAGUUGGCGAUCUCGUGUGGAAGGUGAUUCUACCAAUUGGUUCGAAAGACAUAAAAUUCGGGAAGUGGUCUCCAAGUUGGGUAGGUCCUUUUAAGAUUACAAGGGUAGUUCCCAGAAACUUAUAUUUAGUGGAAUCCGUACAAAGGACAUUGUUACCUCGAGCUGUCAAUGGCAAAUAUUUGAAGAAGUACCACCCAAGUGUGUGGCAAGAAGCCUAGAUAAUCAAUGGCCGAUAUACGACUAUGGCCCUUAGCAUAAACAUGGCCGAUAUAUAAUUAUCGCACCGAGAAGUAUAAAUGACACAUGGAGUGUUGACAUCGUCCUUAGAAUAAACGCGAUGCAAAUUAUUUUCCGGCAUUCAAGCUCUGCCCAAAACAGAGGAUAAGGGUUGACACCAGAUUUUAGCAUGGUAGGAAAUGCAAUUAAGAUGGUCCCAAAUGGAGAAGUGGUUUACAUUAAAAAAAAGUUCCGUAUUGUCGACACAAACAUCUUCGAUGUUUGGGCCAUCGCCAUCCGAUCUCAUCUCGAAGGCCGAAGUUGUGUUCGAAAUACUGAGAUUUUGUAUCCCGAGCACUGUUCGGCCGAUUACGCCUCAAGGACGGCCUCAAAUGAGAAAACUUUCGACAUGAAUUGACUUCGCUUGGUCGAAACAGUCAAUUUUGAUAUAAAAAUCGUCUCAAUCCAAGGUCGUAUGUAAAAGUUAGUGUCUCCUGAGUCCGGCCCUGUCACGAGCCAAAAGCUACGCGAGUAAUAGUCUAUUUUGCGCGAGCGAUUUGGCACUGAAGAUUAUAUCGAAUCGAAAACUGUUCAACAUGAAAGUUGUUCGUCUCGUCGAAACAGUUAAAUUUGCUUCUUCCGCGAUUUUGAUCCGAGGUCGUUUACUACCCCAAAAAUGACCCGCAAGGUGCAGCCAAUUUUUAGACUGAACAGUUUUGGAAAGUUUGGAUCAUACGAUCCUAAUUGGACUCAAAUUAGGGUUUUGGACAUGAAUUCUAACUUUUCCUUGCACGGGAAGUCCAGCCCCCUCUUAUUUACAUGAGGGGUGAUGACUGCCCCUCCUAGAAAAAACCAGACUGGGAGGACAUUUUUUUCCUGUCCGAAAGCCGUUUCCGCCUCUUGGAAGAAGAAGAAGAAAAAAGAGAAAACACGUUUUUUUUCGUUUCCGAGAGCCUCUCGCGGAAACAAAACAAUGCCGCUCAUGGAAGAAAAACAAAAAAAUGCAUUUUUUCACGAAAGCAAAACCGUGCCUCUCGUGAAAGAAAGAAAAGAGAAAACACAUUUCUUGUCCUUUUCGUGAGGCACGGCAGUGCCUCUCGCGGAAGCAAGACCAUGCCUCUCGCGGAAGCAAAACCGUGCCUCCCGCGGAAGAAAAAUACAGGGAAAACACGAUUUUUUUUCGUUUAUGAGAGGCACGACUGUCUCGCGGAAGCAAAGCCAUGCCUCCCGCCGAAGGAAAACCGUGCCUCUGGUGAAAAGGGAAAAAAAGAAAACGUGUUUUGUCACAGGAAAAAAAUUAAAAAAAAUUGGUCCAAAACCUAGGGAAGACCGGUGAACAACCAAAAAGCCGGAAAAUUAAAAAAAAAAACAUCUAAAAUACCAGAUGGAGGUUGAGAGUGCACCAAGUGACGCGCUCUCGGCCCAUCCACAAAUGACCCUUGGGAAGGGUGGGAACGAGCGCUCUUUAGUAUUAUUUUUUGAGGCAAACCGUUCUUUAAUUAGUUGCUCCGGGGAAGGGGAAUGGAAGACGCAGAUCGGCAACGUGUGGGCUGGGCUUGUGACGUUGGGGUCUCAGAAAAUAUAGCCCAGUUCGAAUUUAGUGGUCUCAGCAAGUAAAACCAGCGCUUAUGUUGGGCCUAAUCACUCACUCCAGGCUGUGGGCCUCGCUAGCAGCCCCAUCUUACCAUUCCCCUCGUUCUCUCUCUCUCUCGCAAAAAAAAACCAUCAUUUCCGUCAAAAAGAAAAGACAUCUACCCGUCUCGCCGCCAAGAGAUCCAGGAACCCCGGGGUCGUUCCAUUGUUUUGCAUAGCGUGUAGAUUAGGUUUUCUCUGUUAGUUUUAUGUGUUCUUAGUGGCGAUGGCUUGACGGUGAAGGCGAGAGUGAUGAUGGUCUCUCGGCUCCAUUCCUGUUCUGAUUAUGCGUUCCCGGCUAAGAAGGCCAUCAAACAUAACAUAAAUGGGGUGCUUUCUUUUCUUCUUACCGAUCUCCUCCUAGUUUACCGGCUCAAGGUGUAUCGGCUCUACAAACAUCUUGUAUCCACCUCACGUCCUGGGAAAUUACUGUCGGUAACUUUCAUCGUAUUGCGAUAACAAUAUUUUCUUUCAAGAACCCGCCUUCCUUGAAUUUCGUACAAAGUUAAUUGUCAAUGUCAUAACUAAUUGCAAGACCAGGUACAGCUCUUCUCUACAGGAAGUUACAGUUUCUAAAUUGCAUGACCCUGUAUCACUUUAUGAAGCAAGCACAUCACCUUCAGCUCCUCAUUUGCAAACUUAGGACCCAUUUGGACCACAUAAAUUUUACAAUAUGUUUGCUGCAUUUCACAAGAAACCAUCGAUUUUGUGAAGAAAGAAUUACAUUGUUUCAUCGCCGUUACAACACAACAUUAAUCAGAUCACCUUAAUACCUCCCACUGCGUUUUUUUUUGGAAAAAUACACAACAUACUGAUUGACCUUAAAGAAUGAAGGAGGCCAUAAGGUCUUGUACAAUGCUAGGUGUUUAGAAAGAUAAACCGGAUUUUACUGAUACACCGGUGCCUAUUUCUACCGGAGAGACGUCUAAUUAAGCGUAUACCCUGUACAAAUAAGUAUCAGUGCUUAAGGAAAGCCUGGUUUAUUUCUCGAAGCACCUCUCCUAAGCACCUUGCAGUGUACAAGGCCGAGAAGAAAGCUCUGACUUCCUAUUGUUGCUGCAUCAGCAGGAAAAGUAGUCUUCAUUUCAAAAAGAAGCUGAAAGUGCUAGAGUGAAAAAUAUCAUAUGUACAGAAGCUGGAUAUAUAUUACCAGCAAGGUGGAGAAGUGGGGAAAAAAAUGCUCAAAUGUGGUUAUCAAUCUUUUGAAAUGCAAGCAAGUAAGCGGAUGGGUGUUUGAGCUAUCUUUGUGUGAUCAGAACAAAUCCAUGUCCAUUAAUUAGUCUUAAUAUCAUCUUCACAGUACCAGGGACUCCCGGAUACUAAGAGUGCUUAAUAAUCUUAUAAUUAGGUGGAGACAUUUUCAUUACCUGCAUACAAAUGCGUACGAAUGAUGAUAUUUUAUAUUUUUUUCUUUGCAACUUCGGAGUGCCCACAAAGUGAAAUAGAAGGUGUAAACAUAACUUCUUUCAACCUCCAGUAAAAGUAACAAUUCUCUCUCCAUGUACCACUCUAUACCAACUUCUUCAAUACCUGUUGACUCUCAUGUUUUUGUUUUCCUUCAAUAUUUCAGACGUUCUAAAGCUCGGUCGAAAUCACUCGAGCUGGUCAACCCUGCCCCCGUGUCGCCCGCAACAGACGAUACGGGGAAAACUUUCGUCGCCGCCGGUAGCCUUCCUCCGCCAGUGCCCCUCCCCCCCCCCCCACAUCGCUGCCGCAGGAGGGUCGGCCAGCGAAGUCGCGCCGCGCUCGGGGAUGGCGGCGGCGGGGCGGUUUCGUACCCUCCCCCCCGAUGCGCUGCCCCAACAACCCCUUCGCCGCCAUCACCUCCCCGCGCCGCUGCUGCCGCGUCGCGCCUGAGGGUGGGGGCGGCAGGGCAGCUUCAUUCCCUUCAUGCUGUAGCUCCUCGUCCCCAACCUCCUCGCCCCCCAGAUCCAAUCUGGUGCGCCGCGGGCUCCCCUACCCUCCAACUGCUACUGUGUUCGUCCUGCCUGUCCGACGAGGUGGCGCGGCCGUGCCCGUCGUGCACCUCCCCAGUCUACCUCUUUCACCUUGCUGGCGCAGCUUCCUUCUUGUUGUUGUUCGCUGGGGCAUGCGAGGACUCGUGUGGAGGUCACGGGCUGGCCAAGGCUCGGUCUUGCCCCGUGUUGCAGACCACCCUUCGUCUCUGAUGGCGUCUCCUUCUAGUUACGGCGGCGACCUCUGCCCGUGUGUGGUCAAGGUGUUGUUUUGGGCAGCGGGAUGAAGCUUCGCGGUGGGUCCUUGCCGACACUGCUCCGGUCCCAGCGGCCAUCGACCAGCGUUCUUCGGCCUCCCUACCGCCGUGAAUUCAGCCCCAACACUCCGGUCGCUGCGUCUCCUUCCGGCAUCUUCGGUUUGCCGGUGUUCUGGUGGUUCCACCUCCGGCAGCUCGGAGUUGUGCUCCCUUCCGCCUCCAGCUUGUCAGCGGCGCCGGUCACCAUCCCACCCUCCAUGCCGGCUUUCUACCAUGCUGCCUUCCCGACCCUGUCGACACCCGCAACAUGUCAUUUCCAAAGCUCGUGUUCUUUCGGCAGCAGGUGCAGCCCCACCACCUCCGUACCGGGAUGGUGGUUGACUAGCGGAUUGUCUUCCUCAUCUUCGGAUCCUGAUUUGGCAGCUAUGGCAUUGCUCAGACUAAGGCCAGGCGAAAUCCAUGCUCUGCUUGCCAAUGUUGGCAGAGGCGACACUCGUGAGUGCUUUGCCAUGGCCUUUAUCCGGGCCCCUCUUCGAGCGCUGGGGGAAACCCUAGGUCCGGUUCUUCGGAUCGGAUGGUGGCGGUGUCACGAUGUCGCACCCCUUCCUGAAGGCGCUAUCUUGUUCGCCCCCGGUGUCCCUGUUUGUUUGAUUUUGAGAUGUUCGACGUCGUGCUUGUUCGGCCUGCCUCUCUGUUUAGGAUUUGUGGGUGUAGUUGUGUCAUUUCCCCUGUUCGGGCUGAGCACCCCUUGUCUCUCUGCUCCGGGUUCCAUGAUCAUGCCUCUUUGGGUUCAUGCCAUGUGUUGUAUCCUCUGUUGUACGCAUUCUCUUUCUUCUAUCAAUAAAGGAUAUGCAAGCUUUGUGUAUUCACAAAAAAAAAGACGUUCUGAAGCUCUGAAGCUAAAGAUGUAAAUAAAUCUGAACUCUCGCACUCACUUUUAAAUCGUGGGGCAGUAUACUCUAAUCUAUCCAGCUCUUCCUGUAAAACAAAUAUACUGUCAGCAUGUGAUUUAUCAUUCAUGAAUCGUUUAUCAUGCCAUUUUUAGAAUGUGACUGGCAAAAUGGUGUGACUGUACAAUUCUACUUUUUUCGAAAAAGAGGAUUACCCCUAGUAUCUACAUAGAGCCAUGCACACAACCAUUUUAUUAUAUUAUUUAACGGAACCAAACGAAACAAAUAUAUGGAUCAAGCCAAAGCCACCUCCCUAGAAACUAUUGUCGUUACACGUACAAGCUUUAAUGGCGUGCCCUGACCACUUAUCAACACACAUCAUAUAUUCCGGUCGCCUCACCAAGAUGCCUGCCGGCAAUUUGAGAGCAUCUACCGGUCUAGCUAGACCCUCUGCACGCACAUCAUGCACACGCUUUAGAUUCAGCCACCGCCAUGUUCCGCGGUCCCACCUUCAAGAGCGAUCAACGUAUUCAUCUCGCUAGGCCAUCUCGACACCAGAUAGCUCCACUAUCCAGCGCGGGCGCCCGUCGCCGACACUCCGCCGUGCCACGCCACCGAGACCCUGUGUCGUCCUUUCGGUAGAUGUAACACCGCUCCUCCACUUGUCUCUUCCAGUCGGCUCCUACUCGAGACAAUGCCCCUAGGAGGGAGAACGGCGCUGAAGGCACCAUCAUCGUCCGAUCCGGGAUACCCAGAACUAGAGUUUCCCCCGGAACAACCCGAGCGUAGUGACACAACUUACAAAUGACGAUGCCUCGAAAAAGGAAACAACGUUAGAGACGCCACCAUCUGCCAUGACCGCAGUUAGCACAAUUUCACCGGAAGUCGCGUCGACAUGGAGACGUAAGCUGUCGCCGGAACGUCGGCAUAGGGCCUCCAGUCGCCCCUGACCUGUCCCUGCACGCAUCGCCUGCCGGCCAAGGCCACGCCAAGAUGGAUCUGGAUGGGACGCUAGUUCCGCGGCCACUGCCGCCACCCAUCACAUGGUCGGCCAGGUCAACGACUAAUCCCACAGCCAUGGACAAACCGGUCGCCGCCGCCAGCCCGGGUCACCACCCUGACCGCACCGGCUGAAGACACAGGUGUCGUCGCGAGAUUGAUACGGUGAACAAGGCCCGAAUCCCUCGUGCUCGACCUUGAUCAGCCACACACAAGCAUCUCUCCACGCUGACGAGGGGUCCACUAUGGGAUCCAUCGCGCCGACUUCCGCCACCGCGCCGCGGGAAUAGACUGCCCUGAUGCUGCCGCCCACUGAGGCGGGCUUCGCCUGUUCGGCCUCCUCCAACAGCGUCCGGCCGUGGGCUGCNNNNNNNNNNNNNNNNNNNNNNNNNNNNNNNNNNNNNNNNNNNNNNNNNNNNNNNNNNNNNNNNNNNNNNNNNNNNNNNNNNNNNNNNNNNNNNNNNNNNNNNNNNNNNNNNNNNNNNNNNNNNNNNNNNNNNNNNNNNNNNNNNNNNNNNNNNNNNNNNNNNNNNNNNNNNNNNNNNNNNNNNNNNNNNNNNNNNNNNNNNNNNNNNNNNNNNNNNNNNNNNNNNNNNNNNNNNNNNNNNNNNNNNNNNNNNNNNNNNNNNNNNNNNNNNNNNNNNNNNNNUUCAGCCUCUCCACUUGUGGGAACAAUAUCCUUGAAUGUUUAGUUUCUCAUAUCUUUACGAAAACGGAGUAAGGGAAAUAUCGUGUGUGGUUGCAGGGAACUCACAUCAAAUGAUUGGGAGAUGUUCAUAAAUCAGUGAUAAUAGCCUUUGCAAACAGGCUAAUCCCAAAUGAUUCAAUGAAACCAACCUUCAUGUACUCAAUGAACGUAUUAUGCAUGUUAUGCUAGUUCAAGUCAUACUAAAUAUCACUUGUCUGGCAAAUAACAACAGCGUUCUCUGAAACCAUUGCAUCAUGAGAGAAUUGUGUGAAAUGGAAAUUGACACGAUUUAAAUUUUCAGGUUCCUUUCCUGGUGAGCCUAUCAUAGUAAAGAAACCUGGAAGAAAACAUUGGAGAAAGGAAUUCACAAAAUGCGGAAUUAUUAAUACUAAAUGACUGUUGAUGUUCAAAUGCAUGUCAGUUCUAAAUAAAUAAAUGAUUUUCUUCUUCUUUCUGCUCUUCAAUGUUUUCUUCCCUUACAAGAUUCUAGCAGUCUUAACACCAUUAUGGCCACAGAAAAAAAAAACAUCUAUCCCAUUUGUUACACGAGCUAAAAAUAAAAAUAGCACAUGAGCAUGGGCUGCAGAAAUGCACAUUCUUACUUCUAAGAAUAAUGUCAUCAAGAGAAGCAAAAGGCUGGUUUUUUGUGACAAUAAUUUAUUCAAUGAAAAGAGUGAGCCCGGGUUGCACGAAAUAUGAGUUUAUCUAUUUUUCUUCCAACAAAAUAUCUGGUCUACCAUCACUGCACCUUCGAACAUCAGAGUGCACACAGAACAAGAAAUAAAGAAGCAAAAGGGCCCUUGCGUAACUCAUGUAUUUUCAAACAAUGCUACAGAAAAUAUCCCUUAUACUCCCUCCGUCUAGGUUUGUAAGUCAUCUUACGAAAACAAAAUAAUCCCAAAACACUUAGGCGCGGUGCGUUAACUUCUACCUCGUUUCUUGUUUCUUGACAUAUCAACCAAUAAGAGAUAUGGGUGUGCAUGCUUUUAAUGACUUGAGACUACCAAACACGACAUGCAGUGGUUAGUUCAUUGCAUGCAAUGCUAUUAAUUAGCAAAAAACAUUAAGUUCUCUCGUUUUCCCUCCUCCUUGGUCACGGUGCACAACAUAAGAUGACUUAUUCACUUAGACGGAGGGAGUAUCAUGGAUUUGCGCCUGCAUCAAUUGUUUCCGAGUGCUGUCAAAGAGAAAAAUUUACUAAGAUUUCCAUUGUCAAACUGUGAUGUCCGACUAGUGUUGGUGGAAGAAUCACAUAUUGGAGAGGAUAAUUUGGAGUAGGGGAUGAGAAGAAGUUGAAGAACAGAUGAAGAGGGUGAGAUGUAGAACAGAGUAGGUGAGAGUUCAAACAAUUCUCAUUUCAUCGAUAAGUUACGGCACAUGUCUGAUUCACUUGCCCCUUUUAAACACAUAGGCACUCUCUUACAAGUGGGCCCUCAAAUCCACACGCCCAGUGCACUAGAUGAUCUUCCUAUGGCUCACUCCUAAGUUGUCUCUCUCUAGUUGUUGGGCCCUUCGUCCUCCAUAUCCUAGUCCUCCUCAUUCCACUGGACUGGGAUCUUGAUUUCCGUCGAGGGUGUGGUAGAGAGCAGAUGCAUGACACAAUCUUUGUUCCAUUACGCUUCCUCAAAGUCGCCAUUUUAGACAUUGUCAUGUCUACAACACACAAUUAGACGCUUGGUGACCUGUUGCUUCAAAAAUAUAUUUUGAAAUCAUGUGCCUAGAGGUGUUUUGAAUGUAUGGCUACAAAUGUCACUGAGGUUCCUAGUUCCUGUUCCAUCAGCAUACCCUGCCGAAGUGGUAAUCUGACUUCAAGUGGAAUAAGCAAGACAGGAGAAAGAAUUAAGGUGGUAUUCAGCUCGUUUUCCCCUCACCUUUUUGACUCUCACAUUUUUGUUUUCCUCCCAUAUCUUAGAUGGGGUGAAGCUAUAUGCAUAAACAAAUAUGAAUUCAUAUCACACUCACCUCGACAUCUCAGUAGUACAACACAGGGCUUUCGUCACAGGGCAAUUUUCACAUUAGUCCCGGUUCAGUCACGAACCGGGACUAAUGUGAGCAUUGGUCCCGGUUCGUGCGGCUAAGGCAUUAGUCCCGGUUCACCUGGGCCCUUUAGUCCCGGUUGGUGCCACGAACCGGGACUAAAGGGUGCGAUGCCCAUUAGUACCGGUUGGUGGCACCAACCGGGACUAAAGGUCUAACCUUUAGUACCGGUUGGUGCCACCAACCGAUACUAAUGCGCUUUGAGGCAUUAGUACCGGUUCAUGGCACGAACCGGUACUAAAGGGCCCAUUUUCAAACUCUACCCCCCCUGGUGGACCGCCUUUUCAGUUUUAGGAAAAACAAAAGAAAAUGAUGGAAAUGUCAAAAAAAUAAAAUAAAAUAAGUUUCCCAUGUGAUAUGUGGUCUAGUUGUUGGGAAAAUUAACAAAUAUGAAUUUCGACUUUAUUUGCAAAAUCUCUCUGAAAUUUCUUAAAAUGGGCAUAACUUUUGCAUACGAACUCGGAUGAAAAAGUUUUUUAUAUGAAAAAUCAUCUACUCAAAAUCCUCAAAAACCUAACAGAAAAAAAGAUACGGGACUUUUAAGAUCUGGAGAGGCAAAAAAAUUCAAAAAAUUUCAAUUUGUGGUCAAACUGUGGUCAAACAAUAGUCAAACUAAUUAUUCUAGAAUAUUAGUGUUACUAAAUAAUUAUUUCAGUUUUUUUGAAUUUUGGUCAAAUCUGGUCAAACUGUGGUUAAACAGUGGUCAAACAAUGGUCAAACUAAUUAUUCCAGAAAUAUUAGUGUUACUAAAUAAUUAUUGUUUUUAAAAAUAAUAGUUUCAAACUCAAACAGUGAAAUAUGUCACUUCAUGCUCAAGCUAAAUUCCUGAGGGUUAAUAAAAUUGACAUCUUACUAUUGUCAGGAAAACAACAAGUGCAGACUUGGAAACGAGGGAGAAUAGAACCCAGAAGUUAAGCGUGCUCAGGCUGGAGUAGUGAGAGGAUGGGUGACCGUCCGGGAAGUUAGAUGAUUUGAAAUGAUGAGGGGUGAUUAGAGAUUAGAGGAUAAAUUGAGCAGUGAUGAGGGGUGGUGAUUAGAGAUUAGAGGUUAAAAUAAUUCAGAAAUUUGAAAAUCAAAAAAAAAGUUCGCAAAUUUUUUUUUCAAAAAAAAUAUAUCAUAAAAUUCUGCGUCCACGUGGACGGCCUUUAGUCCCGGUUCGUGUCUAAAGGCUUGGGUAUAUAUAGACCUUCUACACGUCUCCAAUCUCUAGUAGCUCUUCAUAUGAUAAAAAUAUAUUGUGAGUAUGGGAUAUGUGUUGAGAAGGCCAUUCAGGAAUCGUUUAUCAUGUGAGUAGACUGCAAAAUGACAUAACCAUUCCACGAGCAUGCUUAAGUUUGAAAACUCUUUCCCGGGAAGUAUCCUAUGUGAUUGAAUGUAACUCAUAAUUAUUAAAGAAUGUAUAGAAGUUUCUAAACGAGCGAGUGGUUGAAUGUCAAAUGCAUCUGAUACUCGGCGAAGACUUAUGUUUGCCAAAUUCGGUACUCGGCAAAGUUUCGCCGUGUUUAUUAUGGGCUCUGCCAAGUUUCUAAGAAGACAAUCCGGGUAGUGAUGGAUGCCUGAUCUUUAACAUGGAAUGUCUGUAUACAUAGUCCUCAAUGUGGGGCAUAAUGUAGUAGCCGGACAAGACGCUUGAUUAAUCUGGUUCUUCUCUACAAUAGAAACUCGCCUUGUACAUGAACAUAUUUUGUUUUGGGUAUAUAUAGACCUUCUACACGUCUCCAAUCUCUAGUAGCUCUUCAUAUGAUAAAAAUAUAUUGUGAGUAUGGGAUAUGUGUUGAGAAGGCCAUUCAGGAAUCGUUUAUCAUGUGAGUAGACUGCAAAAUGACAUAACCAUUCCACGAGCAUGCUUAAGUUUGAAAACUCUUUCCCGGGAAGUAUCCUAUGUGAUUGAAUGUAACUCAUAAUUAUUAAAGAAUGUAUAGAAGUUUCUAAACGAGCGAGUGGUUGAAUGUCAAAUGCAUCUGAUACUCGGCGAAGACUUAUGUUUGCCAAAUUCGGUACUCGGCAAAGUUUCGCCGUGUUUAUUAUGGGCUCUGCCAAGUUUCUAAGAAGACAAUCCGGGUAGUGAUGGAUGCCUGAUCUUUAACAUGGAAUGUCUGUAUACAUAGUCCUCAAUGUGGGGCAUAAUGUAGUAGCCGGACAAGACGCUUGAUUAAUCUGGUUCUUCUCUACAAUAGAAACUCGCCUUGUACAUGAACAUAUUUUGUUUUGUGGAACUUCCUCCGGAUUAAAAAUACUUGAAGAUAGCAACAUAAUUGAUGAACUAAAAAAUGGUACUCUGGUAGCAAUGGGAUAAAACAAUAUUAUGCCUUUCUUUCAUUAGUUAACUAAAAAUUUGUGCUGCAGUAGUAACGGGAUAAAACAAUAUAAGUAGAAACAAUUUUGAUAAGCAAUAACAUUUCCUUUUGCUAGGGCAACGCUAUAGGUAACUCCUACAAACUAUUUCUCCUAGGUGUUGAUUAAUAAAUUAGCCAUAUGCAAAAUUAAACUGCAGUGGAUUAGUAAUACACGGUUGAAGUCAACACUUCCGGUUAAUCUUAUAAAAUCUAGCCUCUUUAGUCUCCAAUCUCACAUUGAGACAUGGUUAAUAGUUGUUGGUAUAUCUAAAUCCUAUGGGAGGACAUCCUCUUAUUCUCAGACACAUGAGCCCAAGUAUCUCCACAAAAAGUUCACCAGACAUACAUAUCAUGUCCUUUCAUAGCCAUCCAAAAAAAGGAAGGUGCUAUGAUGUAGUGCAACAUUGAUGGAAUAAUACCAAAAAAUGUAAAAAGGGUGUUUCAUUCUCAAAAAUAACUUUGGAAGUAUAUCGGUGAACCAUCUAAACAGGAACAUACUAGUAAAUUUGUUGAGGAAAUUGUUAACUGGUAGCAGCUUGGUUGGCUAGGGAGUAGGGGAUUAAUAGGGUGAUCGGCAAGUUUAUUGGCCUAUUAAGCAAUUAAACGGAGGAUUUAUCAGUUUAUUGGCUACAUGGUGACCUUACAAGUAGGGAUUAAUUCCCAAGUUAACUGGUUAAUCAGACGAAUUCUUCAACAGGACCAGUAAUCAUGCUAAUAUGGUACAUGAUAAUCUCUUAUGGUUGAAUGAAUAUGAGUAAUGUCUGUAGCUAUCUUUAACAGUAUUUUAUUGAGUACCUAAAUAUGUAAAGUUCAGUAGUUUGUACUAUCAUGUUAUUGCACAAAAAAAAAGGAAAUCUCUCAUUCCAAUUUUUUUAGCUAAACUAAACAAAAGAUACUAGCAUGUUGCUCAGGAGAUAGGAAUGGUAGCAGGGGUAGAUAGCCAACAAAAACAUUAUGUUAUUACAGUGUGAAUAAUAAAUAAGAUUAUUUGGAUCAUAUGAAGGAUAAAGCCAUCAAUCUCGCCCAUGUGCAAUAAUUUUAAUUUGUCUUUGUGUAGUAUAUAUUGUUGAUUAAUCAUUCGUGAUGAGAUAUGCACCUUCAUAUGGUUUAACAAAUAGAAGAUGGGUGGCGCCAGAAUAAUUUUUCUGACCGUGCAAAGAUAGAGAUCUGCAUUGCUCUCAUCAAUGACCUGCAACGAUUCAUGCAUGCUUCUACUAUGAUCCUUGAGCCUAUCAAAAUUAAUUGCUAUAAUCUUGACUGACCGAGCUACUGAUAUGUGGGCGUCUUGAUGAGUAUGGCGAAUUCUCUUUUAUCUUGGUGGUUGUUCAUUUCAUAGACAUCUCAAUAUAUUGUUUAUUUGGAUGGUUUUGUCUCCUCCUUUAUUUUGGGGUUAUUUUUACAAAGAGAAGUCUAGUUUUCUCCCUAACAAUUUCACAUGGAGAAGUGUCACUCAUAUUUAUUUCAAUCACAUUUACCUCUUGACCUUAAUAUUCACUCACAUUUACCUCCUGACCUUUUGGUUUUGGUUUAAUUUUUCCAUUAAAAUUUCACAAAUGAUAGAAUCCUCCCUGGAAGUUUUAAGAAAAAAAAAAUCUAGUAAAGGCAUAUGUAAUUUUUUUGUAAAGGAGAAUGUAUUAAUAUCAAGCAGAUACCAAUUAUUCCCAGACUCUGCAACAACAAGAUGCCUAAAAACAUCCAGGAUGCACACAGCUAAAAAUUAAAAUAAAAAGGGAAGAAAAAAUGAGAAAAAAUAUCCCGCCACGGUGAUCAAUCACCCGAUGUAGCCGCACUCUAACCACCACCAAAGAUGUCACCCGGACUACAAAAUAGGUUCUCCAAAAGCAAUGCCUCUAGAAAGGAAACAAAACACAAGCAUUGUCGUUGCCCGAUCAAAGAUAUUACGUUUUCACCCUGGAGAAAGAUCAGGUUCCCAACAAUAAUGCCUUCAACAAGACUACCGCCAGGCACAACCAAUAAAGGCCAGACCUUGGGUUUUCACCUUGGAAAUCCUGAUUGGGUACUCAAAGGAGCACCGAAUAACAAAGAAGUCCUCCAAUGCCGCCACCCCCACUUGCGGAGGCUAAUACUGCAAGUCACGCACCAUUAGGCUCACAGGAAUUCACAUCCCGCCUGGACGGGAACAUAUCCUGUAAGCCAUGUCUAAACAACUGCCUAUGAAGCAAAGUCUUCAUCGCAUCCAAGACCUCGCAUUCGCCACUUGCAAGUCCUUCAAUCACGCCAUGGCAUUCUCCGUAUGUGUUGAUCCCAUGGAAAUCUUGGUGCAGACAUGUCCCAAGGUGCCAACAAAAACAGAGCUUCACGAUACCCCGGUAAACCUGGUUAUGCUGAUGUUGCGGGUGCGCACGACAGGCCCCUAUCUAGUCAAGGUGUCCAAAGAGCGCCAUAUGUGCCAGUCCUUUUUUUCCUUCAAAGGAGAAGUCCGGAAAUCGCAGAUGGCCAGAUUGAAGAUCUCAGGUUCUCAAUUGCAUGAGCUUGUGAGCAACGAGAAUGAGCAAGACCGAACAAGGGGAAACCAUCCAAGGACGGGAACACCGUGUGCACAAUAUAUAGGAUCCAAUUUGCACCAGCAAUGUUUAUACAGGAAUAACCAAAAUGUGAGUGUUGCCACGUACAUGUAUUUACUACUGCAGAUAGUUUUCUUUAUUGCACAGGUAUAAAACUUGUUCUUAAUUUUAAUCAAUUCUCUUGCACAAAUUUAUCCACAGAGAGCACAUAUAUGAUUUAUCUAACACUAUGUUUUCAAUAUCACAAGAUAAAAUCUUGUCUUUACAGAGCAAAAUUAUACACCGAUAAAAAUGUGUUGUCUGCCUGCAUGAAAUUACAUAUGCUAUGCAAAACUCUUUACUUCGUAUCGUCAUGAUCAUCCACAAUAUUAAAAUUGUAAAUAAACAAAAAAAGAGGUGCCGGCAAAUAGUUUUGGAUAGAGUAGUUUGGCACAAUAUAUAUGUUAUCCCUGAAAAUAUAACGUCUUCCUGGAUCACACUGUAGCUUCGUGAUAGUUUUGACGGCUAUGAUAACAAAAGCUGCCGACACAUGGCUCUGGAAAUAGUUAUGGCUGUAGGGGUAAAUAUAAUAGCUGACAGCUCUAAAAAAUAUUCCCGCAAAAGAAGGCAGCUCUAAAAAACAAGCCGACAAAAGAAUCAUGAAGCUACAGUGUGAAUUAUACUCUCUCCAUUCACAUUAUUAUGGGAAAACGAAUUGUGCGAGUACAGUCUGCCAAAAUGAGUGGUCGUCCAUGCACCUUGUUUAGGGGCAACUUUAUUUUAAUGUGUCUUUUUGUAGUAUAUAGUGUUGAUUAAUCGUCCGUGAUGAGAUCUGUGCCUUUGUGUGAUAUAACAAAUAGAAGAUAUAUGGCGCCAGACUAAUUUUUCCAUCCGUACGUGCAAAGAUGAGAUAUGAAUGCAUUGCUCUCAUGAAUGACCUGCAACGAUAGACAUAUGCAUUCAUACAUGCUUCUGCUGUGAUCCACGAGCCCGUCAAAAUUAAUUGCUAUGCAGUGGCUUAACUACUCAGAUGAACGUGGGCGUCUUAAUGAGUAUGGUGACUUCUCUCUUAUGUUGGUGGUUGUUCGUUUCAUAAACAUUUCGAUAUAUUGUUUAUUUGGAUGGUUCUGCUUCCUCCUUUAUUUUGGGGUUGUUUUUACAGUGAAAAUUCAAGUUUUUUCACUAACAUAUUCGCAUGGAGAAGUGUCACUCAUAUUUAUUUUCACUGACAUUUACCUCCUGACAUUUAUUUUCACUCACAUUUAACUCCCGGCCUUUUGGUUUUGGUUUAGUUUUCCCAUUCAAAUUUCAUAAAUCAUAGAAUUUUCUAUCGAAGUUUCAAGAUUUGUUUUUCUAAAAAAGGUACAUGUAUGCACUAUAUAUUAGAUCUAAUUUGUACCAGUAAUGUUACCAGCUACAUGAAUUUACUGCUGCAGAUAGUUUUUUUUUGUAUUGCAUAUGUAUAAAUCUUGUCCUUAAUUUUACUCAUUUCUCUUGCACAAAGUUAGCUUCAUAGUGCACAUGUAUGAUUUACCUAAUAUUAUUAUUUCAAUAUUCCAAAAUAUAAUUUUGUCUUAACAGAGUGAAAUAAUACACCAAUAAAAAAACAUUGUCUGUAUGCAUGAAAUUACAUAUGCUAUGCAAAACUCUUUAGUAUGUAUCGUCAUGAUCAUCCACAAUAUGAAAAAAUAGUAAAGAAACAAACAAGAGGAGCAGACACAUGGUUUUGGAUAGAGCAGUUUAGCACAAUAUAUUUUAUCCCUGUUUAUAUAACGUCUUCAUUGCUCACACUGUAGCUUCGUGAUAGUUUUAUUGGCUAUGAUAACAGAAGCUGCUGACACAUGGUUCUGGAAACAGAUAUAACAGCAGGUGUAAAUAUAAUAGCCGCAGCUCUAAAAAAUAAGCUGACAAAAGAAUCAUGAAGCUACAGUGAACUAUACUCCAUCCUCCCUUGUCUAGGGGCAACUUAAUUCGCUUUGCGAAGGAUAAUGCAUCCAUGGCAAACAGUUUCAGGGUUGUCAGAAUAAGAAAUCUUAUGCCUCCCGAUCAAGAUCUAGACAGAUUUUCAGGGCAUGGUGUGGCCGUCCAACUACCUGAUAAAAAAAAAGAUAAUGAAAAGGGCCCACAGCAUCAAACCAAUGACAGAUAUGUUCAGUUUCGAAUCUCUUAAUAUUUAGUUUGAAAGCUGCAGAUUUUCAGGUUGUGAGAGCCGAAACUCUUGGACCAAGCCAUAUGUUCAGUUUCGAAUCUGACCUAGUAGCGUCCUGGAACUAGUUAUCAUCGAUUGGCUGCCAAACUCCCCCAAGAAACUCCGCACACAUCUCUGCAAUCGAACCAGGGCAAAUUAAUUUAGCGAAGGGAACUCACAACGCAGUGUCUCUUGACACAUCAUCCUAUUUAGUGAAAACUAUUUAGAGACAAUGACCCCUAUUCAUUAUAUACUCAACACGUCUCUUAAUAUUUAAAGUAUCUUAUAAAUGUCGUAUCUAAAUGAUAUUCCAUUUAAUUAGUUUAUGGACCUUUUUUGCAUGUCAACAUUGUGGCCUACUCCAGUUGUGAAGACAAAAAUUGUGAGAUAAACCACAAAGGCUCAAAGCGUUAGUCACUAUACGCAGAAAAACAAGUUAAUUAAGAGCCAUAUCUACACUAAAUAGAACAUAGGGAAGCUCAUCGAUCCAUCACCGGCCACACUUCUUGAGUUAGGCGAAUGUUCUCUUUUGGAGACCAUUGAGGACAUGCGCAUUUCAUCGCUCCAUCUGCCUGUCACUACAAGGGAUAAGGCUACACUAGUAGAAAACAGGGUUUUGGUUCGGCCAGAAAAGAGCAUUAAUCCCGGUUGCAUUACGAACCGGGACUAAUGUGAGCAUUAGUCCAGGUUCGAGCGGCUAGGGCACCGUACAUGCAUUAGUCCCGGUUCAAAUGGGACCUUUAGUCCCGGUUGGUGCCACGAACCGGGACUAAAGGGUGCGAUGCCCAUUAGUACCGGUUCGUGGCAUCAACCAGUACUAAAGGUUAGAUCUUUAGUCCCGGUUCGAGCCACCAACCAGUACUAAUGGGGUUUGAGGCAUUAGUACCGGUUCAUGGCACGCCUUUUCAGUUUUGUAAAAAGCAAAAGAAAAUGAUAAAAACUUCAAAAAUUAAAAUCCUUCCAGAUGUAGUUAUGUUACUACAUGUCCUAGUUAGGAAAAUUUAAAAACUUCAAUUUGGACAUGUUUCGCAAAAAGUGUAGGGAAAAUGUAAAACGGCUAUAACUUUUGCAUACGAUGUCAGAAAAAACGUAUAAUAUAUCGAAAUGUUCAGCACGAAAAUCCGCAUCCGAUUUUGACAGCCUACGGCCUGUUUGUAAAUUUUUAGAAUCCUCAAAUUCUAAAAGGGAAAAAAGUUAUGCUAUUUCUGUUUUUUUAAUUUUUGUUAAAUCUGGUCAAACUAUGGUCAAACUACUUAUUCAAGAAGUAUUAGUGUUACUAAAUAAUUAUUCAAGAAUAUUAGUGUUACUAAAUAAUUAUUUCAGUUUUUUUGAAUUUUGGUCAAAUCUGGUCAAACUGUGGUCAAACAAUGGUCAAACUAAUUAUUCAAGAAAUAUUAGUGUUAGUAAAUAAUUAUUUCAGUUUUUUUGAAUUUUGGUCAAAUCUGGUCAAACUGUGGUCAAACUACUUAUUCAAGAAAUAUUAGUGUUACUAAAUAAUUAUUGUUUUUUAGAACAAUAGUUUCAAACUCAAACAGUGAAAUGUGUGACUUCAUGCUCAAGCUAAAUUCCUGAGGGUUAAUAGGAUUGACAUCUUACUAUUGUCAGGAAAACAACAAGUGCAGACUUGGAAACGAGGAAGAAUAUAACCCGGAAGUUAAGCGUGCUCAGGCUGGAGUAGUGAGAGGAUGGGUGACCGUUCGGGAAGUUAGAUGAUUUGGAAUGAUGAGGGGUGAUUAGAGAUUAGAGGUUAAAUUGAGCAGUGAUGAGGGGUGAUUAGAGAUUAGAGGUUAAAAUAAUUCAGAAAUUUGCAAAUCAAAAAAAAAAAUUUAAAAAAAAAAUCAUAAAAUUUCCUUCAGUACCGGUUGGUGUUACCAACCGGGACUAAAGGUGGACCUCACGUGGAGGGCCUUUAGUCCCGGUUCGUGUAAGAACCAGGACUAAAGGGGGAGGCUUUAGUAACGACCCUUUAGUCCCGGUUCCAGAACCGGGACUGAAGGCCCUUAUGAAGCGGGACUAAAAGCCCUUUUUCUACUAGUGCUAGUAGUGGCGCGGUUUAAAGGCAUAGGAGUAGCGCGGGUUGCCUCUCUACUUACAUUAGCAACUAUAUAAAAACUCAUCAUCAUCAUCAUCAUCAUCAUCAUCAUCAUCAUCAUGUAACAACUCAUCAGCGCGUAGCUAACUGGUUCCUAGUAAGACGGGCCAGGCUCGGCUCUAAUACUACUUACAUUAGUAGCAGCGCGGUGUUUGGCCCGUGCUACUAAUAACUAGCUAUAGCGCGAGGCCCCCCGCCACUACUAACUCUAUGUAUUUCCUUUCUACAUAUUAUACUAUAUUAUACAAUAAUUAUACAGAUUUUUAUACACUAGCAACUAUAUAACAACUCAUCAUCAUCAUCAUCAUCAUGUAACAAAUCAUCAUUAUCAAAAUGAUAUAACUCAUCAUCAUCGUAGUGAUAUAACAGCUCAUCAUGAUCAUAAUUAUAUAAAAAUGUCUCAUCAUCAUCGUCAUCAUCACCAUCAGCAUCAUCAUAAGUUAACCACUACUAGCUAAUUGUCAUCAUCCUAGGUAAGUAACUUUCAAGCACAUGACAAGUACUAUGACCUACUCUAGUGUCUUAGGUAAAAUAGAAUAAAACAGAAAAAAUAACUACAUCUCCAUGAUGGACCACAGAGAUCCCCGGUCUCCAAUUUGUUGCCCGCGCUCAUUGACUAUUUGCCUCCAUCAUUCAAUUUUGAGGCAUCCAUUUGAUUAACACUCAGUCAAGUAUGUAUAUUUGAAUCCGAUCUUCAAAGGGCAAAUAAUAGUCAUCUCACUUUUGACGUCCAUCAGCAGAGGCACAACAACAUUUGGGACCUUCCGCUGAAGUACAUAAUAGUAACAUAGUCGAAAUAUGCAGAUAUAGCAAGAAUGAUCCUAAUUUAUUUAGGCAUCACUACCAGUUUGCCCUCAAUGCCUCGAGCGCCAUCUGGCAGAUCAACCAAGUUCCAAACUUGAUUGUCAUCCAUGGACUUUAAUUCGGAUCUCAUGGUCUUAAGCCAUAACUCAGAAUCAGGGCUCUCCGUCGCUUCUGCAUACAUUGCCGACUCGUUGUUCUCCAAGAACAACACAUUGCAGUUAUGCAUAUUGCGCAACCUUUCCGACCUCUGUGGAAUCAGCGUCGACUCCACUAUGGGUUCCUUGACUAACUCCAUGUGGUUCUCGAAUUUCCUCUAGUCGGAUCAUCCUCCCACUAGCCUUCCGAUUGAGAAACUCUUUCUCAAGGAAAACUCCAUGUCGAGCGACAAACACUUUGCCCUCUUCACAGAUGUAGGAGUAAUAUCCCAAGGUUUCCCUUGGAUACCCCAUGAAUAUGCACUUGUCCGAUUUGGGUGUGCGCUUGUCUGACUGGAGUCGCUUGACGUAUGAUUCACAACCCCAAAUUUUUAGAGAAGACAAAGUUUGGCUCUUCGCAGUCCAUAUCUCAUAUGACGUCUUAUCUACAAACUUGGAUGGUACCCUAUUUAGUGUGAAAGCUGCAGUUUCUAGAGCGUAUCGCCAAAAUAACAAGGGUAAAUCCGACUGACUCGUCAUUGAUUGGGCCAUGUCUAACAGAGUCUGAUUCCUUCGUUCCAACACGCCAUUUCUCUGUGGCAUACCCCGAGGAGUCAGUUGUGGAACUAUCCUACGACUCUUCAGAUAAUCAUCAAACUCCUGGCUCAUAUACUCAUUCGCCACGAUCAGAUCGCAGAAGUUUGAUUCUCUUGUCGAGUUGAUUCUCCACUUCAUUCUGAAACUCCUUGAACUUUUCAAAAGUUUCUAACUUGUGCCUCAUCAAGUAGACAUAUCCAAAUCUACUCAAGUUAUCUGUAAACGUCAUGAAGUAUUGGAAACCACCUCUAGCUGGACUUGUUUUACCAUUGUUGAAAUGUCUUGUGCAUCGGGAUUCCGAGUCUGAUCGGAGGGUCUCGAGAUGGAGGAUUGUCUCUGCGGAUCGUGAGCUUGUCAUGGGCAAAGUUGGGACACCCCUGCAGGGUUUAAACUUUCGAGAGCCAUGCCCGCGGUUAUGUGGCAGAUGGGAAUUUGUUAAUAUCUGGUUGUAGAGGACUUGAACUAAACUCAAUUAAAAUACACCAACCGCGGGUGUAACCGUGACUGUCUCUUUCCAGGUGCGUUCGAGAAGAGAAUACGGUUGGGUUAUGUUUGAACGUAAGUGGUUUAGGAUCACUUCUUGAUCACUAUUAGUUUGCGACCGUUGUGUAGAUUCUCUUCUUACUUUUGUACUCGUAAGUUAGCCACCAUACAAAUGCUUAGUGCUUGCUGCAGCUUCACCACUAUCCAUUCCAUACCCAUUAAGCUUUGCUAGUCUUCAUACCCAUGGUAAUGGGAUUGCUGAGUCCUCGUGGCUCACAGAUGACUACAACAAUAGUUGUAGGUACAGGUAAUGCAAUGAUCUGACGUGAGAGCGAUGCUUGAUUGCUUUUGGAGUUCUUCUUCUUCUUCGAUCAAGGGAUUAGGUUCCGGGUCGGGGAGCCUGGGAUUAGUGGGGUGGAUAUUAUUCUUCUUUUUUGUUUGAUUUCAUCCGUAGUCGGAUCCUGCCCUUCUGUGUGCGCUCGAAAUGCGGUUGGAACAGACGAUCGCUAGACAGCGCGCCCGCAUUGCCACCCUCAAAGACGGUGAUGCCAGCUCUGCCUUCUUUCACCGGCAGUGCUCGUUUCAAUGACAGAAAAACCGCAUCUUCUGCCUCUCUGCGAACGGCACGCUACUCACAGACCAUGACGAGAUGGCCGAGGCUGCAUUCCGGCACUAUGACACACUGCUUGGCACGGCGGUCGAACACGACCACUCGAUGGACCUGUCGCAGCUCAUCGAGGGGAGCGAUCUCUCCGACCUUGACGCGACCUUUUGCCCGGAGGAGAGAUGGGAAGCUGUGAAACGCCUCCCCGCGCACAAGGCAGCUGAGCCUGAUGGCUUUAGCGCUGAAUUUCUCCGCGUGUGCCGGAGCAUCAUCAAGCAGGACUUCAUGGAUGUGUUCCAGUAGCUCUUCGAGCUGCGUGGCCGUGGCUUCUGCAAGGUCAACCAGGCCCUUCUCACGCUGCUGCCGAAGCCCAGGAGGUGCGCAACUACCGCCCGAUAUGCCUCAUUCAUAUCGUGGCCAAGGUACUCGCGAAGGCCCUCUCGCUCCGGCUAGCUCCAAAACUUGACCGCUUUGUCAGCCGCAAUCAAAACGCGUUCAUCCUCGGACGGAGCCUACACGACAACUUUAUGCUCGUCAGGCAAUCGGUCAAGCUGCUGAGCCAACUUGGGGGCCCCAGGGUGAUGCUCAAGCUCGACCUCACGCGCGCUUUUGACUCCAUCUCCUGGCCGUUCCUCUUUGAGGUUCUGCGCCAAUUUGGGUUCGGGAAUCGCUUCCUCGAAUGGAUCGCCAUCCUCCUGUCCUCGGCAAGCACUCGGGUGUAGUUGAUUGGUGUCCCAGGCCCACUGAUAUGGCAUAAGGGAGGGCUGCGGCAGGGGGGACUCCUUGUCCCCGCAGCUGUUCGUGCUCGCGGUCGACACUCUCGGCCGGCUGAUUCGGCGCGCCCAUGAUACGGGCAUCCUCCAGCCGCUGCAUCUGCGGAGGCCGAUACCGGCUAUAUCCCUAUACGCCGACGACGUCAUGCUCUUUUGCCAUGCCACGGAGAGUGACGUGACUGUCGUCAAGGAAAUCCUUGACCUGUUUGGUAGAGCGUCCAGCCUCAAGGUGAACUACACCAAGAGCUCGGCCACGGUCUUGCAUCGGGAAUAGGUUGCCUCCGAGAUGAUCACCAGCUUGGGGUGUUCGACUGCCGCGCUCCCGGUCACCUACCUCGGUAUACCUCUGACGAUGCGCCGCCCUUCCGCCGGGCAGUUGCAGCCCCUUGUCGACAAGGUCACCGGACGCUUGCCCACCUGGAAAGCAUGGCUCAUGAACAGAGCCGGCAGGCUCGCCCUCGUCAAGUUCUUCCUUUGCACUAUCCCGGUGCACCAGCGGGUUGCAUUUGCCCCCUCGAAGAAAAGACUGCAGCAACUCGAGAAAAUUCAACGAGGGUUCCUCUGGGCCGGGCGAGCCAUCACCAACGGCGGGCACUGCCAUGUGAACUGGCAUCAUGCUUCCCGCCCGCUCGCGCUUGGCAGCCUUGGGGUUCGUGAUGUCGAGCGCGUUGGACUCGCGCUCAGGCUGCGGUGGCUCUGGCUCUCGCGAACGGACGAAGGGCGCGCCUGGCAGGGGCUGGACCUCCAAUUUUCUAGCAACGAGCGUACACUGUUCUUUGCCUCCACCUACAUGACCAUUGGAAAUGGCAUGAACGCCCUGUUCUGGGAGGAUCGAUGGCUCAACGGGCACUCGGUUGGCGAGCUCAUGCCCCUGUUCUACAGCUGCAUCCCCAAACGCCGGCGCAAAGCUAGAACGGUGGCCGAAGGUCUCAACUGCAACGCAUUGGCCCAUGACAUCCAGGGCGUCCUCGUCAUCCACGAGAUAGGCCAGUAUCUACAGCUUUGGCAACUCACGGAACAGGCUAUGCUCAGCGAUGCUCCUGACCAGCUGAUCUGUAAGCAGACUGCGAGCGGCAUCUAUUCGGCGCAGUCUUGCUACGCGGCUACCUUCCAAGGAUCAGUGCACUCCUACUCUUGGAAGUUGAUCUGGAAGGCUUGGGCUCCCCCUCGACUCAAGUUUUUCCAUUGGCUUGCCAACCUGGAUCGCUGCUGGACUGCCGAUCGACUGGCCUGCCAAAGACUGCAGCAUCAUCUGUGCUGCCUUCUUUGCGAUCAGGCGCCGGAAAUGAUCCGGCACCUCAUGCUUGACUGCCCCUUCUCUAGGCAGGCAUGGCAUGAGACCCUGGCCUGGCUACGCAUACCGGCGUCGAUCCCCAACCAGGAGCCCACCCUCAUGGACUGGUGGCGGCACGCCGCAAGCACAACGCAAGGCCCUGCAAUCCGUAGUGCUACUCGUACCAUGGCUCGUCUGGAAGCAUAUGAACAGCCACGUCUUCGACAGCGCGACGCCCUCCCUAGGCACGCUAGUCGACCGGAUCAAGGAGGAAGCCGACUCCUGGGCUAAGGCCGGAGCAGUAGGCCUUAGAGUAGUCCUACCCCCUUUAUGGGACGUGCACUGAGCAUUGUAUCUGAUCCUUCAUUAUUCAUCCUAGGACGACUGUAACUGACUCCCUACCUUUUCAAUGAAAAGAAACGGAAAGGUCUUUUGCAUUUUCUCGAGAAAAAAAAGAAUGACCUUGAGGCAAGCUCAAUGAAAAUACGUUUUCCAAAGGUUUCAAGACUAUCUUCCUUGUGCUCUGGGAUAAAGCCAUUUGCAAUUCAUAGUCAGAUCAGCUUGUCCACAUCAAUCUUGUAAUCCUUUGGAAAUAUAGCACAAAAGGAAAAGCAUUGCUUCAUGUGUGAUGGCAAGUCAUUGUAGCUAAGCUUUAAUAUUGGCAGAAUCCAGUUUCCAAAGUGCAAAUGCUGCUACUAGAUGAUAUAGCCUUCCACUCUUCGACGCUAGUCUUGGUACGAAGUACAUAGCCCAAUGCAGUUGCAGCUAAAGGAGAGCCAGAACAUCAGCUUACAAUCUCAUCAACCAUCUUGCUUAGCUCGACAGGCUUUUCUUUCUCCGAACUGAAUGCUCUAGCCUCAGUAAUUUCCUUUACGAAGAAAUCCUCCACAAUAUUGAGAUUGUAGGCUCUACCUGCACCCAUAAUUUCAGUGACUUGUUUAUCACGAGUUCUUGUUAACAUUGCACUACCCAUGCCACCAUGUUGAGGACAGACCUUCAGCCUUCCCAACUUAUAGACCUCUCUGUUCCAGACAUCAUCCAAUACAUGGAGAUACCUGUGCCCGCUGUCCAGUUUUUGAAAUCUAUCCAAAGGUAUCAUAGACCUCUCUGGGGGAUGCCCGCUGUACCCAGAGCUGCAACUGAAAAUGAUUCUGAAUUUCAGGUUCAUUGUAUAUGAGUUACGCUAAUGUGGUCUUGCCAAGGCCCCCCAUUCCAACAAUGGGAACUACUGCGAGAUCAGUAUUGCUAGCUUGACCAAGUAGUAUGUCAACGAUAUUAUUCUUAUCUCCGUGUUUGGAUCUGUUGGCAAUUUCUUGUUGGUCGCUGAUGACAUAAUCUGUGUGCCUCCACUCCUUGGACACUCGUGUUUGCCUCAACUGAUUAGACACCAACAACGUCUGCCUCAACAUAAGCGCGACGCGUUGUUGGGCUAGGCCCAGAACGGUGCGCGGGCAGGUGGGGCGUAUUUUUACCGUAGUAACUGUUUCGUCCGCUGCGCUUCCCCACGACCUGCGUUGAACACGCACGUGGAGGGUCGUGCGUGACGUGGGGGUCAUGCGUGGGGCGGUCUCCACACGCAUGCGUCACAUCGCAUUUAAUGGGAAAAGAGGCGGCCCACGCCUUCCCCGUAAAAAGGAAUAACAGCGGGCGCGCUGUUCAUUUACCCCCUGCGUCUUCUUCAAUCUCGGAAUCGCCGUCCCCUUCUUCUUCCUUCUCAAACUCUCGCCUUUGCUCGUUGCCGCCGCAUCUUCGCUGUCCUCCGUCCUUUGCCUCUCGCAGCCGCCAUGGCCCCCAAAACAAGUAAAGGAAAGGGAGUGGCCAAGGAUGCCGGGGCGAAGGAGCCGCCGGAGAGCGAGUUGGUGGCGCGGCGGACGCAUCUCGCCUACUUCCCCUCGACGGUCGACGCGGUCGAACUCCGGGACUACUUCAGGNNNNNNNNNNNNNNNNNNNNNNNNNNNNNNNNNNNNNNNNNNNNNNNNNNNNNNNNNNNNNNNNNNNNNNNNNNNNNNNNNNNNNNNNNNNNNNNNNNNNNNNNNNNNNNNNNNNNNNNNNNNNNNNNNNNNNNNNNNNNNNNNNNNNNNNNNNNNNNNNNNNNNNNNNNNNNNNNNNNNNNNNNNNNNNNNNNNNNNNNNNNNNNNNNNNNNNNNNNNNNNNNNNNNNNNNNNNNNNNNNNNNNNNNNNNNNNNNNNNNNNNNNNNNNNNNNNNNNNNNNNNNNNNNNNNNNNGCGUGUCAUCCCCGCCAAUUGCGCCGAGGCCGCCCCGAAUCGGUAUCCGUUCUUCGUCGAUUACUUUUCUUGCGGUCUCUGCCCCCCUUUCUCCGAUUUCUUCAAUGAUGUCAUGCACACAUUUGGCUUCCACCUUCUGGAUUUCACUCCCAAUGCCGUGGCGUGCAUGGCUCUUUUCGCCCAUCUCUGUGAGGGCUUCGCCGGAGUUCUUCCCAACACAUUGCCCUUCCGCUAUUAGUUUUACCCUCGCAUCCAAAAGGGAGGCGCCAUCUCUGGUUGCGUCGCCUGGAUACCAAGGUCCAAAGGGACGUACCCGGAGGGCGCCCAGAAGGAGAGGUUGGAAGAGUGGCGGGGCCGGUGGUGCUGGAUUGGGGAGGACGACCCGCCGGAAUUUUUCCGGGUUCGUCAGGCGCCGCCGGUUCGCAGGAACGACUGGGGCGAUGUCAACGCCCUGGAUGACAAGCUCAAGGUCGCCACCACCAGGAUUCACCGCCUCACCGUUGCCGGGCUCACCCUGGAGAUGAUUGGGGCGGACUUGAUCCGCCGCCGAAUCGCUCCACUGCACAACAAGGGGAGACCGGCCUGGCUCUUCCAAAACGCGGCUGACAUCAUGAGGCUUCACUCUGGCCUCAACAACAACUUCACGGUGAUGGGGCACGCCCACUUCUGCUAGCGGAUCUUUCAGCUCGACGUGAACCGCGACGGCAGGGCCAAGAGGUCCGGCAAGGCUGCAAAGGCCGGCAAGGUCCUCAAGGGGCCCUUGUUUGGGUUGCCAGCGGGGGUGGUCCCGCUGAGCAACAACUCGCGCCAGACCGACAUCAUCGCCAUGAUGUCGGACUACAAUGCACACGGUCCCGUCCCAAAUUGGUUCGAGCCGCUAGCGGAUCAGGUGCAGGAGUUCUUUGAUACUUUGGCGGAGAAGUAUGUCUGCGACGAGCCGCUGCUCAUCUAGGACACCACCCAAGCAGAGCUGGACUACAUCGCCGCCAGGGCGGCGGAGGCGGAGCUCGCUAGGGAGGCCGGCAGCGCUGGCGGCAUGGAGGACGAGGUCGCAGCAGCCGCAGAGGAGAGGGAGCUCGCCCAGUGGGAGGAAUCCGAUGGGGAGGCCAGCAGCGCCAGCACCGGGGCCCCUCUUAUUGAAGAUGUGGUCGACGAUUCGGAGGAGGAGGAGGUCGAGGCUGUCGAUCCUCCGGUCAUGGGGAGAGGGCGAGUCCUGCGGCGGGCCAGCUCCGGCAAGCCGGUCCAGCCCGGCAGGGCUGUGCAACCGCAGCAGACCUAGGAGGGGUAUGUGCGCCAGACAAGGGCCGCGGUGGCGAGGAAGUUGGUGAAGGCCGUGGUGGCGAAGAAGAAAGCAACAACCUCUUCUUCGUUCAAGCGUGGCCAGACUCCACCUUCUUCCCCUCCUCGGGCAGACGUUGACACGGAGGUCGUCUUCGACUUUGGGUCCCUCAGCCCAAGGAGGAAGAGGAAGGCAUCAGAAGAGGAGGUGGAGGAUGAGUAAGUUUCUUGUUACUUUUUGUCAUCUCCGUCUCCUCAGACUGUGCUGCUUAUCUCGAUUUGUUUUCAUCUUUGCAGGGAUGCGGAGACGCUGGCCCAGAGGGUGAAGAGGGCCAGGUCCUCGGCUGGCGGCCGGCCUCCGGCGGGCACUUCGAGGAUGCCACUAGUGGUGGUGAGCAGCCCGGACAGCAGUCCCCGAAGCAGCCCCCGGCGUAAGUUCCCCACUCGUCCCUCGUCAACGUGUGUUGGGGGUACGAUCCCUUGGCGCUAACCUUGCCGUGAUUGCAGGAGGAGGACAACAGGAGGAGGAGCCACGGAGGGUUACCCCCAACACGCUGCCCCCAUCGACCACGCCGCCCCGAGGGGUGGUGUCUACUACGCAACCUUCUUCUUGUAGACGUUGUUGGGCCUCCAAGUGCAGAGGUUUGUAGGACAGUAGAAAAUUUCCCUCAAGUGGAUGACCUAAGGUUUAUCAAUCCGUGGGAGGCGUAGGAUGAAGAUGGUCUCUCUCAAGCAACCCUGCAACCAAAUAACAAAGAGUCUCUUGUGUCCCCAACACACCCAAUACAAUGGUAAAUUGUAUAGGUGCACUAGUUCGACGAAGAGAUGGUGAUACAAGUGUAAUAUGGAUGGUAGAUAUAGGUUUUUGUAAUAUGAAAAUAUAAAAACAGCAAGCUAACUAAUGAUAAAAGUGAGCACAAACGGUAUUGCAAUGCGUUGAAACAAGGCCUAGGGUUCAUACAUUCACUAGUGCAAGUUCUCUCAACAAUAAUAACAUAAUUGGAUCAUAUAACUAUCCCUCAACGUGCAACAAAGAGUCACUCCAAAGUCACUAAUAGAGGAGAACAAACGAAGAGAUUAUGGUAGGGUACGAAACCACCUCAAAGUUAUUCUUUCGGAUCGAUCUUAUUCAAGAGUUCGUACUAGAAUAACACCUUAAGACAAAAUCAACCAAAACCCUAAUGUCACCUAGAUACUCCAAUGUGACCUCAAGUAUCCGUGGGUAUGAUUAUACGAUAUGCAUCACACAAUCUCAGAUUAAUCUAUUCAAACCAACACAAAGUACUUCAAAGAGUGUCCCAAAGUUUCUACCAGAGAGUCAAGACGAAAACGUGUGCCAACCCCUAUGCAUAGGUUCAUGGGCGGAACCCGCAAGUUGAUCACCAAAACAUACAUCAAGUGGAUCACGUGAUAUCCCAUUGUCACCAGAGAUACGCACAUGCAAGACAUACGUCAAGUGUUCUCAAAUCCUCAAAGACUCAAUCCGAUAAGAUAACUUCAAAGGGAAAACUCAAUCCAUUACAAGAGUGUAGAGGGGGAGAAACACCAUAAGAUCCAACUAUAAUAGCAAAGCUCGCGAUACAUCAAGAUCGUACCACCUCAAGAACACAAGAGAGAGAGAGAGAGAGAGAUCAAACACAUAGCUACUGGUACAUACCCUCAGCCCCGAGGGUGAACUACUCCCUCCUCGUCAUGGAGAGCGCGGGGAUGAUGAAGAUGGCCACCGGUGAGGGUUUCCCCCUCCGGCAGGGUGCCGGAACAGGGUCCCGAUUGGUUUUUGGUGGCUACAGAGGCUUGCGGCGGCGGAACUCCCGAUCUAUUCUGUUCACCUAUGUUUUUAGGGUAUAUGGAUAUAUAUAGGCGAAAGAAGUCGGUAAGGGGAGCCACGAGGGGCCCACGAGGGUGGAGGGCACGCCCAGGGGGUGGGCGCGCCCCCUACCUCGUGCCUUCCUUGUUGCUUCCCUUACGUACACUCCAAGUCUUCUGGAUUGCUUCGGUUCCAAAAAUAACUCUCCCGAAGGUUUCAUUCCGUUUGGACUCCGUUUGAUAUUCCUUUUCUGCGAAACACUGAAACAAGGAGAAAAACUGAAACUAGCACUGGGCUCUGGGUUAAUAAGUUAGUCCCAAAAAUAAUAUAAAAGUGCAUAGUAAAUCCCAUUAAACAUCCAAGAUGGAUAAUAUAAUAGCAUGAAUACUUCAUAAAUUAUAGAUACGUUGGAGACGUAUCAGCAUCCCCAAGCUUAAUUCCUGCUCGUCCUCGAGUAGGUAAAUGAUAUAAGAAAUAAUUAUGAAGUGUGAAUGCUAGCAGGUGCACAAGUUUGAUCAAUGAUAAUUUCAAUCACCUUUUCAAGCAUCAUUAUAUGUCAUAACAGUAGCUCAACUCAUAAAACUUUUCAUGAUCAAGUAACAAGCUAUUCACAUAUUAAAGCAUAGACCAUAAACUUUCUUGAAAACUAACAAACUAUGUUCUCAGUCAUCAAACAAUUGCAAUUCAUCUUAUUUUCAGGAAGGGUCUAUGUAAGAGCUUUGAUUUAGCAAAUCCCACAUACUCAACUAUCAUAUAGUCUUCCAUGAUUGCUACCACUCAAAGCAUAUUUUCGGAACAAAUAGCAUCCAUCGAACACAGAGAAAGAUAGGGGCUUAAUGUUUCGCCUCCCAACUUAUUUAUCAUAUAGAUAAUUGUCAACAAUAAUAAUUCAUGAUCAAAUAUAUUUGAAUGGCCAUAUAUGCUUAGAUCUUUCCAUCACAUGAUGCUUGCCAACUAAAAAGUAGGUUGGAAUGAGAAGGAAUACUACUGACUCUUGCAUAAAAGUAAAAGAUAGGCCCUUCACAGAGGGAAGCAGGGAUUUGCAGAGGUGCCAGAGCUCGAAGCUAAAACAGAGAUGAAAAUAAUUUUGAGAGGUAUGCUUUCAUUGUCAACAUAACGACCAAGAGUUCCCAAUAUCUUCCAUACUACAUACAUUAUAGGCGGUUCCCACGCGGAAAGGUAAAGUUUUUACUCCCCCUCCACCAACAUUCACACUCCACGGCUUGUCCGAAACAAUGGGUGCCGUCCAACUAUCAACAUUCUUGGGGGAGUUUGUUGAAAUUAUUUGUGAAUUUGUUUUUGAUCUUUUGAUCAUAGGACUGGGCAUCCCAGUUACCAGCCAUUUUCUCGUGAAUGAUGAGCGGUGUCCACUCAUCGUGAGAAUAACCCACCCAGCAUGGAAGAUACUGACAGCCCCUAGUCGCUACAUGAGCGAUUCGGGCAUACAAAACAGAUUAUUAUUUGAAGGUUUAGAGUUUGGCACAUGCAAAUUUACUUGGAACGGCAGGUAAAUACCGCAUAUAGGUAGAUAUGGUGGACACUCAUGGAAGAAACUUGGUUCGAGGAAUUUGGAUGCACAAGCAGUAUUCCUGCUUAGUACAGACAUUUUGGCUAGCAAAUGAUUCUAAAUAGCAAGCACCACAAGUUAGAGGAUCCAUAACAAUAUAACUUCUAUACAAAUAUACCCAAGCAUAACUCAUUAUGUUGUCUUCCUUGUCCAACUUCAACUAAUUUGCUCAGGUUUGCUAAUAAUUAAUGGGGCUCACGAUCAUAGAAGAUGUCCAAGAUAGUAUUAUAUGUGAAAUCUCUCUUCCUUCAAUAUUCUUUCAUGAAUUGUUCAAGUGACAAAUACAAAGUUUGCUAACCUUCAAAAAAUUUACCACCUCUACUUCUUAUAUGUGAAGUCAUUACUCCCCAUGGGAUAAGUAUAUGAAACAUAUAUAAUUUCAGAUUUAUAAUAUUCAAAUCAUUCAACUAUUUACUCAUAGGAUAUAAGUGAAGCACACGAGUAAAUGACAAACUACUCCAAAAAGAUAUAAGUGAAGAUCAAUGAGUAGUUAAAUAAUUAUGUAGUUAUCUGAAGACUCUAUCUCAUUUAAGAAUUUCAGAUCUUGGUAUUUUAUUCAUACAGCAAGCAAAACAAAAGAAAAUAAAAUGACGCUCCAAGUAAAACACAUAUCAUGUGGUGAAUAAAAAUAUAGCUCCAAGUAAAGUUACCGAUGAACGAAGACGAAAGAGGGGAUGCCAUCCGGGGCAUCCCCAAGCUUAGGCUCUUGGUUGUCCUUGAAUAUUACCUUGGGGUGCCUUGGGCUUCCCCAAGCUUAGGCUCUUGCCACUCCUUAUUCCAUAGUCCAUCGAAUCUUUACCCAAAACUUGAAAACUUCACAACACAAAACUUAACAGAAGAUCUCGUGAGCUCCGUUAGCGAAAGAAAACAAAACACCACUUCAAGGUACUGUAAUGAACUCAUUAUUUAUUUGUAUUGGUGUUAAAUCUAAUGUAUUCCAACUUCUCUAUGGUUUACAAACUAUUUUACAAGCCAUAGAUUCAUCAAAAUAAGCAAACAACACACGAAAAACAGAAUCUGUCAAAAACAGAACAGUCUGUAGUAAUCUGUAACUAACGCAAACUUCUUGAACUCAACAAAUUCUACCAAAAUAGGACGACCUAGAUAAUUUUAUUAUUGAUCUGAUGCAAUUGGAAUCAGUAUUUUAUCACGUUCUGGUGAUUUUAAACAAUUGUUUUCGUGAACAGAAAGUUUCUGGAAUUUUCAGCAAGAUCAAAUAACUAUCAUCCAAGAAGAUCCUAUAGGUCUUACUUGGCGCAAACACUAAUUAAAACAUAAAACCACAUCUAAACAGAGGCUAGAUAGAUUAUUUAUUGCUAAACAGAACCAUAAAGAAAGAACAAAAAUAAAAAUCGGGUUGCCUCCCAACAAGCGCUAACGUUUAACGCCCCUAGCUAGGCAUGAUGAUUUCAAUGAUGCUCGCAUAAAAGAUAAGAAUUGAAAUAUAAAGAGAGCAUCAUGAAAAAUAUGACUAGCACAUUUAAGUCUAACCCACUUCCUAUGCAUAGGGAUUUUGUGAGAAAACAACUUAUGGGAACAAUAAUCAACUAGCAUAGGAAGGCAAAACAAGCAUAACUUCAAAACUUUAAGCACAUAGAGAGGAAACAUGAUAUUAUUGCAAUUCAUACAAGCAUACAUUCCUCCCUCAUAAUAAUUUUCAGUAGCAUCAUGAAUGAAUUCAACAAUAUAACCAGCACCUAAAGCAUUCUUUUCAUGAUCUACUUGCAUAGAAAUUUUCCUACUCUCCACGUAAGCAAAUUUAUUCUCAUCAAUAGUAGUGGGAGCAAACUCAACAAAAUAACUAUCAUGUGAUUGAAAAUUAAGAUCAAGAUGACAAGUUUCAUGGUUAUCAUUAUUCUUUAUAGCAUACGUGUCAUCACAAUAAUCAUCAUAGGUAGGAGGCAUGCUUUCAUCAUAAUAAAUUUGCUCAUCAAAACUUGGGGGACAAAAAAUAUCAUCUUCAUCAAACAUAGCUUCCCCAAGCUUGUAAUCAUGCUCAUCAUUCAAAUAUUUAGUGCCAAACAUUCUAAUGCAUUCUUCCUCUAGCAAUUGAGCGCAAUUAUCGGAAUCCUUAUUUUCACGGAAGACAUUAAAAAGAUGAAGCAUAUGAGGCACACUCAAUUCCAUUUUUUGUAGUUUUCUUUUAUAAAAUAAACUAGUGAUAAAACAAGAAACUAAAAGAUUCCAUUGCAAGAUCUAAAUAUAUACCUUCAAGCACUCACCUCCCCGACAACGGCGCUAGAAAAGAGCUUAGUUGACGGGGUGUGAGUGCCGCUUACCUAGCCUCCCCGGCAACGGCGCCAGAAAAGAGCUUGAUGUCUACUACGCAACCUUCUUCUUGUAGACGUUGUUGGGCCUCCAAGUGCAGAGGUUUGUAGGACAGUAGCAAAUUUCCCUCAAGUGAAUGACCUAAGGUUUAUCAAUCCGUGGGAGGCGUAGGAUGAAGAUGGUCUCUCUCAAGCAACCCUGCAACCAAAUAACAAAGAGUCUCUUGUGUCCCCAAAACACCCAAUACAAUGGUAAAUUGUAUAUGUGCACUAGUUCGGCGAAGAGAUGGUGAUACAAGUGUAAUAUGGAUGGUAGAUAUAGGUUUUUGUAAUCUGAAAAUAUAAAAACAGCAAGGUAACUAAUGAUAAAAGUGAGCACGAACGGUAUUGCAAUGCGUUGAAACAAGGCCUAGGGUUCAUACUUUCACUGGUGCAAGUUCUCUUAACAAUAAUAACAUAAUUGGAUCAUAUAACUAUCCCUCAACAUGCAACAAAGAGUCACUCCAAAGUCACUAAUAGAGGAGAACAAACGAAGAGAUUACGGUAGGGUACGAAACCACCUCAAAGUUAUUCUUUCGGAUGAUCUUAUUCAAGAGUUCGUACUAGAAUAACACCUUAAGACACAAAUCAACCAAAACCCUAAUGUCACCUAGAUACUCCAAUGUCACCUCAAGUAUCCGUGGGUAUGAUUAUACGAUAUGCAUCACACAAUCUCAGAUUGAUCUAUUCAAACCAACACAGAGUACUUCAAAGAGUGUCCCAAAGUUUCUACCGGAGAGUCAAGAUGAAAACGUGUGCCAACCCCUAUGCAUAGGUUCAUGGGCGGAACCCGCAAGUUGAUCACCAAAACAUACAUCAAGUGGAUCACGUGAUAUCCCAUUGUCACCACAGAUAUGCACAUGCAAGACAUACAUCAAGUGUUCUCAAAUCCUUAAAGACUCAAUCCGAUAAGAUAACUUCAAAGGGAAAACUCAAUCCAUUACAGGAGUGUAGAGGGGGAGAAACAUCAUAAGAUCCAACUAUAAUAGGAAAGCUCGCGAUACAUCAAGGUUGUACCACCUCAAGAACACGAGAGAGAGAUCAAACACAUAGCUACUGGUGCAUACCCUCAGCCCCGAGGGUGAACUACUCCCUCCUCGUCAUGGAGAGCGCGGGAAUGAUGAAGAUGGCCACCGGUGAGGGUUCCCCCCUCCUGCAGGGUGCAGGAACAGGUUCUCGAUUUGUUUUUGGUGGCUACAGAGGCUUGCGGCGGCGGAACUCCUGAUCUAUUCUGUUCCCCGAUGUUUUUAGGGUAUAUGGAUAUAUAUAGGCGAAAGAAGUCGGUAAGGGGAGCCACAAGGGGCCCACGAGGGUGGAGGGCGCGCCUAGGGGGGUGGGCGCGCCCCCUGUCUCGUGCCUUCCUCGUUGCUUCCCUUACGUACACUCCAAGCCUUCUGGAUUGCUUCCGUUCCAAAAAUAACUGUCCCGAAGGUUUCAUUCCCUUUGGACUCCGUUUGAUAUUCCUUUUCUGCGAAACACUGAAACAAGGAGAAAAAACUGAAACUAGCACUGGGCUCUGGGUUAAUAAGUUAGUCCCAAAAAUAAUAUAAAAGUGCGUAGUAAAGCCCAUUAAACAUCCAAGAUGGAUAAUAUAAUAGCAUGAAUACUUCAUAAAUUAUAGAUACGUUGGAGACGUAUCAAGGGGCGUCCCCGGCAAGGGCGCCAAGCACCGAGCCCAUGCACACAGAGGAGGAGGAGGCAGACUUGGGCGCUAGUGGCUCCGCCUCGGUGCCAGAUGUUGGCAGGGAAGGGGCUACUUCUUCCCAGCCCGGCACGGGUACGUCACUUGCCUCCUGUCCCUGCUUUUUCUUCUUCUUUUUGAAUCUUGGUCUUGGCUCCGCCUCAUCCCCUUCUCGAUAUCCAGACCCUCCCUCGGCGGACCGGGAGGACAUAGACACCGUCAUCGAGGAUGUCGCCAAGGACACCGCGGCGGAGGCCGAGAAGAUUGCCGCCGAGGAGGCCGCCAAGGGCGCUGCCGAGGACGCCGCAAAGCGAUCUGCCGGGGAGUCCGGCAUGUCUACUGCCAAAGUGGCCGGCAAGGGGCCUGCCGGGGAGGCCGGCAAGGCCGCUGCCGGGGAGGAGGUGGUUAACGACCAACCUUCCUCCUCUGCUGCCUCUGGUUCCGGCAGGUAUCUGAAGGUGAGCGACGACCUAUUCGUCAACCUCCUAGGGACGGCGAGCACUAGGGCGCCCACCGAGGGAGAGGUGUUCGACGAGGAGGUGCUUGCCGCCGCUGGGCUCGAGGUUGUUGACGAGUCGAGCGCCGGUGGCGACGGUUCCCAGGAAGAGCGGCUCCUUCAGGCCAUGGGCGCCAGCUUUCGGAAGCUCCAGGCGCUCCACCGCGCCCGCCUGGACAAGGCCAAGUCCAGGAUGGCAGCGGUGGAAAAGGCGGAGGCGGACCUCGAGGGUCGCAUCGUCGAGACGCAGGCUUGGUUCCGCCAGGGCUGCGAGGAGCUGAAGACCGCCCAGGACGAGCUGGCCAAGCGCAAGGUGGAGCUCGUCAUGAAGCAGGCCGACAUCGAGAGGGGCCAGGAGUUGGCGAAGAACCAGGCCGCCAAGGACGAGGUCGCUCGGUCCCAGCACCAGGCCGCGCUGAACUCCCAGGAAGAGGACCUUGCCGCUCGCGAGGAGAAGCUCGCCGUGACACUCCGCGGCAAGGACGAGGAGGUCAAGAAGCUUGUCCUGCAGCGGACCCAGGAGUUGGAGCAGAAGCACGAGGAGGCGCUCAAUGCCCAGGCUUAGGUCCACGCCGGCAAGGUGAAGGAGCUGGAGGUGGAGCGGGACGAGCUGAAGAAGCAGGCCCUGGAGUUGACGGCGGAGAGGGACGCUGCCAAAGGUGCCCUGGCCGACGCGCAGGCCGCAGUCCUCAGCAAGGCCGGGCUACUCUCCACGGCCAACGAGACCAUCAAGGACCUGAAGCUGAAGCUGGAGGGCCUUGAGGGGACGCUCUCGGAGGCCAAGGCCCGGGAGGAGACCCUGGCCAAAGAUUUGGAGGCCGAGAAGCAGCUGCGGAAGAACGAAACCGCCAACCACAAGGAUUUUGUGGAGGGCGAGAACCGCUGGAUCAGCCGCCUCAAAGGCGUCGCCGGCAGGAUCACCACGCAGCUGGCUACGAUGGGGAUGCCAAAUGUGAGGUACGCCCCGGAGCCCAAUGUGACUCCCAAUGCCAAGCUGACCCUAUUCUUCGAGGGUGUCCUUGGAGCCCUGGAGCAUCUUCGCUCCAGCAGGGCGGCCUCUUUGGCCGAUGAGGCCCGGAAGCUUUGCCGGGGUGCCAUGACCAAGGUCCUCACCAAGGUGGCGUACUGGAACCCCGACCUCGACUUCGACGCCGCACUAGAGAGCUUGCCGGAGGAUGCUGACCUCGCGGCGCUCAAGGAGCGUAUCAAGCCCAUCAUCAGUCGCGUCGACGGAAUCCAGAGGGUGGAGGGCCAGCGCUGGGAUUAGGCACCCCGUUUCUCAUUGCCGCUGCAGGUUCAUGACCAUGACAAUUUCUAUCUUUAGUUAGAACCGCGGCAACAACUGAUGUAAUAUAACUCUGCAGUACAUUCGUGAUGAUGUAUGUUAUCUUCCUGUUUGAUCUUCCUUUGUAUGUUCACCCUACGUUAAUCGGGUAGGCUUGCCGGCGCGUAAACCCAGGCCGCGGCGCCUUGAGGAUGGAUCCCCAAUGGCCUGCCGGGUAUGCUUGCUGCCAGGCGAACCACCUUACCGCAUUAGUAGAAAACAGGGCUUUGGUUCCGGCCUGGCCAGCCCAUUAGUCCCGGUUCUUCAUGAACCGGGACCCAUGGGGGGCAUUAGUCCCGGUUCAUGAGCCCAGGGGGCCGUCCGGGGCCUCGUGGGCAUUGGUCCAGGUUCCUCUGGAUCCAUUUGUACCGGUUCUAGAGGGCCGCGCUCCUUGCCCACAGCCAUUGGUACCGGUUCGUGCCUAUAACCGGGACAGAAGGGGGGGGGGCUUUAGUACCGGUUCGUGCCACAAACCGGGACAAAUAAGUUGCCUAUAUAUACUCGUCGCCGCAGCAGAGCACUCCACAGUGCUCUGUUUUUUCUGGCCGGCGAGGGGAGGGCAUUUGGGUGCUCUAGCUCACCUCCUAUGCACAUGAGGUGUUUGAUGAAAUGCCCGAGCGACACUAGUUAAGCUUUCUCCUCUUGAAGCUCGACCUCGGAGCUCCAUUUUUCCCAAGAUUUGUCUAGAUUUAGCGGUCCGUCACGCCCCGUCCCCGUUUUCACCGCCGUCAAUCGCCCGUGCCGAUCUCGUCGCCGGCACCAUCGUGGUGAGCCUCUUGUUCUUAUCUUCUUUCUGAUUUGCUUAAUUUAGAUAGAUACUUGUCUGAUUUUCUUACUUUUGACACACAUAAUUAUAUAUAAUGCACGCAGAUGAACCGGCAAUGGAUGUACGGUGACAGACACACCUCCGAGUACAUUAAGGGCGUGCAUGAAUUUCUCGAAGUGGCAGAGGCAAACAAGCAGAAUGGUUUUAUGUGUUGUCCAUGCCCUAAAUGUGGGAAUACGAAGUCUUACUCUGACCGGAAAAUCCUGCACACCCACCUGCUUUACAAGGGUUUCAUGCCACACUAUAAUGUUUGGACGAGGCACAGAGAAAUAGGGGUUAUGAUGGAAGACGACGAAGAAGAAGAGGACGAUGACAACUAUGUGCCCCCUGAAUACGGUGAUGCUGCAACGGGGGGAGCUGCCGAAGAUCAAGAGGAACCAGACGAUGUGCCCGAUGAUGCUGCAAUGGGGGAAGCUGCUGAAGAUCAAGAAGAACCAGACGAUGUGCCCGAUGAUAAUGAUCUCCGCCGGGUCAUUGUCGAUGCAAGGAUGCAAUGCGAAAGUCAAAAGGAGCAGCUGAAGUUCGAUCCCAUGUUAGAGGAUCACAAAAAAGGGUUGUACCCCAAUUGCGAAGAUGGCAACACAAAGCUCGGUACCGUACUGGAAUUGCUGCAGUGGAAGGCAGAGAAUGCUGUGCCUGAGAAAGGAUUUGAGAAGCUACUGAAAAUAUUGAAGAAGAAGUUUCCAAAGGACAAUGAAUUGCCUGACAGUACGUACGCAGCAAAGAAGGUCGUAUGCCCUCUAGGAUUGGAGGUGCAGAAGAUACAUGCAUGCCCUAAUGACUGCAUCCUCGACCAUGGUGCGUACAAGGAUUUGAACGCAUGCCCGGUAUGCGGUGCAUUGCGGUAUAAGAUCAGACGAGAUGACCCUGGUGAUGUUGACGGUGAGCCCCGCAGGAAGAGGGUCCCUGCGAAGGUGAUGUGGUAUGCGCCUAUAAUACCACCGUUGAAACGACUAUUCAGAAACAAAGAGCAUGCCAAGUUGAUGCGAUGGCACAGUGAGGACCGUAAGAAAGACGGGAAGUUGAGAGCACCCGCUGACGGGUCGCAGUGGCGAAAAAUUAAGAGAAAGUACUGGGAUGAGUUUGCAGGUGACCCAAGGAAUGUAUGGUUUGCUUUAAGAGCGGAUGGCAUUAAUCCUUUCGGGGAGCAGAGCAGCAAUCACAGCACCUGGCCCGUGACUCUAUGUAUGUAUAACCUUCCUCCUUGGAUGUGCAUGAAGCGGAAGUUCAUUAUGAUGCCAAUUCUCAUCCAAGGCCCUAAGCAACCCGUUAACGACAUUGAUGUGUACCUAAGGCCAUUAGUUGAAGAACUUUUAUAGCUGUGGAAUGGAAACAGUGUACGUGCGUGGGAUGAGCACAGACACGAGGAAUUUAACCUCCAUGCGUUGCUGUUUGUAACCAUCAACGAUUGGCCCGCUCUCAGUAACCUAUCAGGACAGACAAACAAGGGAUACCACGCAUGCACGCACUAUUUAGCUAACACCAAAAGUAUAUACCUGGACAAAUGCAGGAAGAAUGUGUACCUGUGCCAUCAUCGAUUUCUUCCGACCAACCAUCAAUGUCGAAAGAAAGGCAAGCAUUUCAAAGGCGAGGCAGAUCACCGGAAGAAGCCCGCCAUGCGUACCGGUGAUCACGUACUUGCUAUGGUCAAUGAUUUACACCUAAUGUUUGGAAAGGGUCCCGGCGGACUAGCUGUUCCGAAUGACGCUGGGGGACGCGCACCCAUGUGGAAGAAGAAAUCUAUAUUUUGGGACCUGCCCUACUAGAAAGACCUAGAGGUCCGCUCUUCGAUCGACGUGAUGCACGUGACGAAGAACCUUUGCGUGAACCUGCUAGGCUUCUUGGGCAUGUAUGGGAAGACAAAAGAUACAGCUGAGGCACGGGAGGACCUGCAACGUUUGCACGAAAAAGACGGCAUGCCUCCAAAGCAGUAUGAAGGUCCUGCCAGCUAUGCUCUUACCAAAGAAGAGAAGGAAAUCUUCUUUGAAUGUCUGCUUAGUAUGAAGGUCUCGACUGGCUUCUCGUCGAAUAUAAAGGGAAUAAUAAAUAUGCCAGAGAAAAAGUUCCAGAACCUAAAGUCUCAUGACUGCCACGUGAUUAUGACGCAACUGCUUCCGGUUGCAUUGAGGGGGCGUCUACCGAAAAACGUCCGAUUAGCCAUUGUGAAGCUAUGUGCAUUCCUCAAUGCAAUCUCUCAGAAGGUGAUCAAUCCAGAAAUCAUACCAAGGCUAAGGAGUGAUGUGGCGCAAUGUCUUGUCAGUUUCGAGCUGGUGUUCCCACCAUCCUUCUUCAAUAUCAUGACGCACGUCCUAGUUCAUCUAGUUGACGAGAUUGUCAUUCUGGGCCCCGUAUUUCUACAUAAUAUGUACCCCUUUGAGAGGUUCUUGGGAGUCCUAAAGAAAUAUGUCCGUAACCGCGCUAGGCCAGAAGGAAGCAUCUCCAUGGGCCAUCAAACAGAGGAUGUCAUUGGGUUUUGUGUUGACUUCAUUCCUGGCCUUAUGAAGAUAGGUCUCCCUAAAUCGCGGUAUGAGGGGAGACUGGCUGGAAAAGGCACGCUUGGAGGGGACUCAAUAAUAUGCAGGGACGGAUAUUCUUGGUCUCAAGCACACUACACAGUUCUACAGAACUCUACCUUGGUGACCCCUUAUGUCGAUGAACACAAGAACAGUCUGCGCUCCAAACACCCGGAGCAUUGCGACGACUGGAUUACAUGUGAACACAUCAGGACUUUCAGCAGUUGGUUGGAAACACGUCUCAGAGGUGACAACACUGUUUGUGAUGAGAUGUACUCGUUGUCCAGGGGACCAUUUUCGACUGUAUUGACUUACAAAGGAUACAAGAUAAAUGGGAAUACAUUUUACACGAUCGCCCAAGAUCAAAAGAGCACCAACCAAAACAGCUGUGUCCGCUUUGAUGCAGCAACCGAGAGGGGAAAGGACACAUAUUAUGGUUACAUAGUGGACAUAUGGGAACUUGACUACGGACAUGAUUUUAAGGUCCCUUUGUCUAAGUGCAAAUGGGUCAAUCUGUCAGGAGGCGGGGUACAGGUAGACCCACAGUACGGAAUGACAACAGUGGAUCUGAACAAUCUUCGGUACACUGACGAACCUUUCGUCCUAGCCAAUGAUGUGGCACAGUUUAUCUAUGUGAAGGACAUGUCUACCAAACCGAGAAAAAGAAAAGAUAAGGAAGCGAAUACAUCAUACGAUGAGCCAAAGCACCACAUAGUUCUUUUAGGAAAAAGGGACAUCGUGGGAGUGGAGCGCAAGACAGACAUGUCUAAAGAUUAUGAAAAGUUUCCUGAAAUUCCUCCCUUCAAAGUCAAGGCUAACCCAAGCAUCCUAAUAAACGAUGAAGAUUAUCCAUGGUUACGGCGCAAUAAGCAAACGACACAAGCGAAGAAAAAGUGAAGACUUUCUCUCUACAACUAUUAUGAUGAUGCCUUUGAUCUAGAAUAUCACUGCAAUUACAUGUGAAGAAAUGAAAUGCAUGUUGUAACAAACGAGUUUCCGUGUGAAAUGAUGAUACCAUGCCAAUUUGCAACCUUAUCGGAGUUCAUUUGAAAUGGUUUUCAAUUUCCGGGUCUUAUAGCUCAAAAAAGCAGUAAAUGCAUGAAAAAUAACAAAUGAAGUCAGAAAGGGUUGAAAAUUGAUGAUGUUGCUUUGAAUGGUGCAUUUUGAACACACAAGAAGUCUGGAGUUCAAAUAAGUUCGAAAAAAUGAAAUCCCUUUGUAACAGAUGAGCUUUCGUGCGAAACCCUGAUACUUCGAAAGAGAUUGUCCGUUUUGUACACAAAGUGCAUCUAGUUUUUGCCGUAACCCUCUCAACUUUCUUGCACAUGCUAUGUGGGUGAAAUGAUGAUAGCAUGCCAAUUUUCAACCUUUUCGGUGUUCAUUUGAAAUGCUUUUCAAUUUUCGGGUCUUAUAGCUCAAAAAAGCAGUAAAUGCAUGAAAAAUAAUAAAAUGCAUAAAACUAUAAUAUUUGUUAUGAUCACUAAAAAACUAAAAUCAAUUAAAAUAUUAAAUAGCAGGAAAAAGAAUCACUCAAAAAUCUAUUUUUAUAGUAAAUUUAUUCAUAAAACUAGUGAUUCACAUACAUUUAAAAAAAAUCAAAUUUUAAAACUAAUGGCACUAACAGAAAGUUUAUAAUUUUGUGACCCAAAAGCAAAAAGAAAUCACUAAAAAACUAUAAAAUUUAGUUUUAAGUAGAAAUAAAAAAAUAAAAAGAAAAAAAGGAAAAAAAAUGCCACCUACUGGACCUCCUCGGCCUAAAUACGACUAGAAACCCUACAAUGGGCCAGGAUUCAGGCCCGCAGAAGGCCCAAUAGGCCCAACAGGCAUGGCAAAGUAGAGAUUAGGCCCGUAAGCCUGCAAUAGAGAGGAGCUCGAGAGGGUGGCGGCAGCAAAGCUUAUAAACCACCCCGAGCCCCUCUCAACUAGCGAGGUGGGACUAAACAUCCCACCGCACCGUGCCAGCACAAGGCCUAUGGUCCCGGUUCAUGCCACCAACCGGUACCAUAGGCGGGCAUUCGUACCGGUUCGUGGCACCAACCAGUACCAAUGCCCACCUACGGUCCCGGUCCGUGCCACCAACCGGGACCAUGGGCCUCUGUUUCCCGCCCUUGGGGCUGCCGAAAAGAGACCUUUGGACCCUGUUGGUGGCACGAACCGGGACCAUAGGUAGGCAUUGGUACCGGUUGGUGCCAUGAACCGGUACCAUUGGUUUUGCUAUAUAAGGUAGCACUUGUGAAAAUUUCGCCAACUGCUCCCCCAUUCCCCCCGACGCCGCCAGGCCGUUCCUCGUCGUCGUCGCCGUCGCCGCCCCGAGCCCCUGCCCCGACGNNNNNNNNNNNNNNNNNNNNNNNNNNNNNNNNNNNNNNNNNNNNNNNNNNNNNNNNNNNNNNNNNNNNNNNNNNNNNNNNNNNNNNNNNNNNNNNNNNNNNNNNNNNNNNNNNNNNNNNNNNNNNNNNNNNNNNNNNNNNNNNNNNNNNNNNNNNNNNNNNNNNNNNNNNNNNNNNNNNNNNNNNNNNNNNNNNNNNNNNNNNNNNNNNNNNNNNNNNNNNNNNNNNNNNNNNNNNNNNNNNNNNNNNNNNNNNNNNNNNNNNCCCGACGACGUCGCCGCGCCCUUGACCCGCCGUUGACGUCGUCCUCACCGUCGCCGUCGUCGUCACCGCCCCCGAGCCGCUCCUCCCAGAGCCCUCGCUGUGCGCGUACCCCUCCCCCAAGAGCCCACCGUCCUCGUCGCCGUCAUCGUCACCGGCCUCGUCGUCGUCCUCGUCACCGGCCUCGUCGUUGUCCGGCCUUGAGCCCCCAGUGAGCCCCUUCCAAUCCCGAUCCGUGCACUGCCGCAGCUGCCGCCGCCCCCCCGCGCCGCGCCGCCGCCCCUGUUUUUUAUAUGUAUGUAUGUAUGUAUCUAUGUAUAUGGAUGUAUGUAUGUACGGAUGGAUGGAUAUGCAUGUAUAUGGAUGGAUGUAUGUGUAUGUGUUCAUAGUUUUUUUUUGUUCAUAGUUUUUUGUUGAUAGCAUUUUUAGGCUGUAUAGUUUUAUUUUUGUUCAAUUUUUAUGGUUAGAAGAGGAGAGGAAAAAAUUGUGUUGCUAAAGUUACAUUUAAGGUUAGUUGAUUUAGUUCAUUUUAGGUUAUUAGUUCUACUGUUAGUGCAUUUAAGGUUAGUUUAUUUUUAGUUGAACUAGUUGAUUUAAUAAAACUAAUUUAUUUUACUAUACAUAUAAGUAGUUUAUUUUUAGUAAGUACUACUUUAUUUUAUUUAUAGUAAGUGCUUAGUAGUUGAACUAGUUGAUUUAAUAAAACUACUUUAUUUUACUAUAGAAGUAGUUUAGUUUUAGCAAGAAAAUUAAUAGAAUUAGUUUAUUUUUUAGUUCAAGCAAUUAUUCCCGCAUCGACAUCGACGAUGCCUAUCCCGCAUCCUCGUCGUCGACUCGGCGGAGGAGGCCGACUUGAUCAGAGGGGCCAUGUCCGGGACUGGGCUCCGCCGGGCUGGUAUUGGGAGGUGCUACCUUCCGGGGGGCGUAGGUUGGUGAGGAGCCAGCCCGUCGUUGACCCGAUCCUUGUUUGGUGGCGGUCGCGUGGGCCAGUGACUGUAUCGAGGCUUCCGGACACCGCGGAGGUGGUACGUCACCAUGUCAGCGAGGAGGACGAGCACGCCCGUCGCUACAUGGUUGCGUUGGAGGGCAGGUUCGACAAUACCUGGCAGCUUCUUCAGGGAUCUCAUUGGAGCUAUGAUCAUGUGAUGGUUCCUUCUCUUUGGGCAUCCACCGCCCGCGCCGAUACCCGUCGGGCGCUACGGUUCUAGCUGUACUAGCGAUGCUAUAUGUAUGAUAGUAUUCGAGGUGUAUUAGUGAUAAUAUUCGACGAUGUACGGACGCAAGAGAUGAUGUAGUUUUGCUUAUAAUUGAAUGCAUCCUAAUUUGAAUACUACUUUAUUUUGCGAUCUGAUUUUGCUUAUUGAAUGCUCAAAUUGGAAAACUACUCCUACUUUGAAUGCUAAAAUUAGAGAGCACUAUGCAAGGCGUAUGCAUAUGAUUAGUUGAUAGCUUAUAGUGUUUUUGUUUUCGCAAAAAUAUAGGAGCCCCCAACCAUCAUCCCCGCCGUCGUCCCCGUCACUGACCCCCUCCGACGUCGAGGUGAGACCAGCCAAAUCUCCAUGUCAAUAUGAGUCCUAUAAUAUGAGUCCUCGGGUCGACUUUAAGUCUGUCGAGUCUCCACCAUAUAUGAAAGGACGAAGAAUCAUGACUGUUGUCGUGGGGGUAGCUUCUCCUUCGUUCCCGUGAUGAAUAAUAAUGAUCUAACUUAGGUUUUUAGUACAUAUAUUUAAUUGUAGAUGUUUAAUAUUUGAAUUAUGAACAUAGGAAAUGUCGUACUCAGACUACGAAAGUCUCCCGGGGGAGUGCGACUGGUGCCACGACGACCGAGGUUAGUGCGACCGGCCUCACCUGGACGAAGAUCAGCGCUUCAGCAUUAAGCUGGAGGAGACCUUCGAUGUUGAAACGGUACGCAACGACGACAAGUGUUAUUUUUUCGUAAUUAAGCACGACUUCAAGUAUUUCAACGUGUACUUCUUAUCUUUUACAAUUCGACUAGCUUAUCCCAUGCCAUGCAAGACGCUAUGUCUUGGAGAGGAUGGGUUUUGAAGACCAGGAAAGUUUCGAAACAAAGAAAAUUCAUCUAAGGACCCAUCAUGGUGUGGAUUUUGAAGUAAAGCGGUACAAUUCUGAGAGCGUAACCCAUUUUGGUUGCAAAAAAUGAGAAGCACUUUGCAAGAUGUAUGGUUUUGAUGAGGGUAUGCUUGUCACCAUUGAUCUUGGUGACCCUGAAAUCGAGCAAGACAAUAUGGACAUUUGGGUCCUUGUUGAUACGCCUCCAAUUCUACCGCUAUGUGAGUUUCUCAAACAUAGUUAUUAGCUAAUUUAUAUUGUUUAUUUCAAAAUAGUUGACAACUUAUUUCCAUUGACAGCUUAUUUUGAUUGUUCAAACAAUGUGCGGAACAUGGUAGACAAAACCCACUACACCGAUGGCUCCGAAUUAACUUAUCAGGAGAAAAAUCAUCUGGUCUGAUUUUGUACUGAUAUUGAGAAUUACAAUAUCUAGAAUCAAACUCCUCAACAUUAUUGUCAAUACGUGCCACUAGUGCACGUGUUGAACUACAGUAACUACCAUGGAGAUACCCUGGUAAGAUUUUUUACUAUUACGACAUCCGUGCAUCUUUUGCAUACUUCUAAAACUAGUACAUCAUUGCUAACUAUGAAGUUAUUACUAUGUUUUUCAACAGAGAAUCCCAGAGGAUUGUGUGCCUCAUUUGAUGUAGCAGAAUGGCAGCCUUCGUGUUUUGAACAUAUAUCCAAGUCAUCCAACGAAUCUCAACUGUCCAUACCGGAUUUAUCAAUGAAGUGGAGACAUGCUAAUCAAAAAAUGGAAAAAAUGUAUGGACAGUCGUAAGGAGGUUCUUGGAAGCAAAAGGAAGCGAAGCGUAAGAAUUGGAGACAGGAUGAUCUCCAUUCUCCAUAAUGGAGAGUCAGGGUCUAUAUUGUUUUAUGCUAUUUUACCUUAAAGAGGGUAUUUAGGUCCUACCUAAUACUGAUGAUCAUGUGCUAAGAACAAUUAAGUAGGGCUGGUUCGAUGACUAUGAGGAUGAUGAUCGUAUGACUUGUUAUUAAUAACGAGUAGAAGUUGUAUGAUGAUGAUUAGUAGGACUUGUUAUUAUAUAAGAUGAUGCAUGAUGCGAGCAUGAAGAGUUAUUAUAUAUCAGCGGGUGAAAUGAACAUGGAUUGGAUUGAAGUGAAGGCAACAUGCAUGUGGUGCAUGUCGAAAGUACUACAAUCCAAACUUGAUCAAAGUUAGGAUUAGUAUUACUUUCGACAUGCACCACAUGUUGCCUUCACUUCAAUCUAAGCCAUGUUUAGGCAUAGCAGUAGCGUUGGUAAACCAAGCACGGAGAUAUAAGAGAGGACACUUCUCUCUAUUAUAUUAGCUAGCUAAUAACAACCUAAAUUAACCCCCAAAACCCCUAAAUCAGCCCCUUUAAAAAAACAAAAAGCUCAACUCCAGCCAGCUGCUGACGCGUGGAUGCCUUUUGGUCCCGGUUGGUGUCACCAACCGGGACCAAAGGCCCCCCUGCCUGGGCUGGCCGUAGUGGCCACGUGGAGGCCCAUCUGUCUCGGUUCGUGUAAGAGCCGAGACUAAAGGCCAAGGGCAUUAGUAACGACCUUUUAGUCCCGGUUCCUAAACCGGGACAGAAGGCUCUUACGAACCGGGACAAAUGGCCCUUUUUCUACUAGUGCCGCUCUAAACGCGGCCGCUCGAACUGUUGAGCUUGACUCGAGUCAGAAUCGAGAGCGUUGCCGAUUGCGGAAGGCUAUGUUGCCGUUCUCGACGCGGCCGCUUGAGCUAUUGAGCGGACUCGAAACAGAGUAAGGGCGUUGCCAAUAGCGGAAGGGCCCCUUUGCGUGCAUGUUUUCCAUACAUAGGGCAGGACCUUCGAGUACAAUAACCUUCUAUAUAAAAAGAUAUUGCUUAAAGUUUCACACGACUUAGCUUUUCUGUCAUUGCACGGGCGUCCACCGCAUCUGCAGAUGGUGCCGUCAAGCUUGGUCGUCUUCUAUCUUGGAACGACGGCCACGAUGAAGCCGCUGCUCCGAUCAGACCAAAUUUCCACAACUGCGCCCCCUACCUAGCGCGCCAAAGAUGUCGGGGGAAAUCGACACCUAUGGAAUCACAGGGAUCCCUUCUACGGUUGGCGGGCGCGGGGUUGUGCAAAGAGCAGGUCUGACAGGAAGCACGCAGAUCGUUUACCCAGGUUCGGGCCGCGGAGAUGCGUAAUACCCUAGUCCUGCUAUGGUGGAUGUAUUCGAGUGUUCUUGUGUUCUUGAACUAGCUACGGGGUGUAACUUGCCCAGAAGAUCCGAAUCCCUGUCCUGGAUGCCUCGGGCCUCCUUUUAUAGACAAAAGGGGUUGCCACACUGGCACACAGGAGGUGGAAAGGUGUACAGUGGAUGAGUCUAUCCUCUGGCACCGUUGGACGAACACAUUUAAUGCGCUGCCAACGUGACCCUCUCGCUUUAUCGGGGACGGUCAAGGAAGCUCGUCCCAGCUGUCGCCGCCUCGCCUGGCUUCGACACGCGUCCGAGCUGACGAGGCGUCGUGGCGCCACAUUGGCUGGCUGCUGGGCUGGCGCGGUGGUGGAGCCUUCACGAAGGUCUGCAUGCCACCACGCAGGUGCUUGCUGUGUCGGUGUAGAGGCCGCUCGUCGCCACGCAGGUGCCUGCCCAGCUGGUUGGGCUAGCAGCUGCACGGGGACGGCGGUGGAGUCUUGGCAGGCGCGGGCCUGGCUGUGGCCCCGCUGAUGCCCUUGGCAAGGGUCUUGCCGGGGGCCCGGCAAGGGUCUUGCCGUGGUGCCGCGGUCGUCCCCGGCAAGGCGCUUGCCGGGGGUCUCGUGGAUUUCCUCGGCAAGGACCUCGCCGAGGAUCAUCGUCUUCUGGUCCUCAUCUGAUCUUGUGUAUUUAUGAUCUUCACAAAGAUCAGCAUGCCACCACGGAGGUGCCUCCCGAGCCUUGGUCCCAAUGUGGUUGAUGGCGUUGGAACCCUUGGGCUCAAUGGAGGCGCGCUUCGUUGGCGUCAGGCAAGUUGCCCCGGCAAGGCUCUCGCCGGGGCUGAGGAGGCCGUCCCGGCAAGGGUCUUGCCGGGGGAGUCCACCUCGCCCUCUUGCCCUUUGUGUCUCUGGUCUUGGCAUUGCCAUGGCUGUCUUGUGCUCCGGCUUCCCUCCUCUGCCCUGCUAAGUGUGGCCGUGGGCGCGGCUCUGACUACCAGUGCACAAGUAAAGGGGUCAAAAGGAGAGCCCCUAGUUUUAUACACCGACAUGUAUCCUCCCAGAAUCUCGUAGAAGUACCGUUACUGAUCACAAGCUUUGUCUGAUUGAAAAAAAUGGAUUUAACUCUCAUCAGUCCUUUCCAAAAGGGCUAGUCCAUUGGCCUCACUGUGACCUGGGAUAAAGUUCUGGAAUGAAGGUACUUAUUACGCAGUAUUUGUGCCCAUGUAGCCCCCGUCUCGCUAGAUAGCUUAUACAGCCAUUUGCUGAGAAGACAUAUGUUCUUCACCUUAAGAUUUUUGAUACCUAGACCCCCUUGGUCUUUGGGUCGACAAAUAAUAUCCCAUUUAGCGAGUAUACUUUCUCUUCAGAUCAUCACUUUGCCAGAAGAAACGGGAUCGAUAGAAAUCUAGUCUUUUCCGAACUCCAACUGGUACCUCGAAAAAAGACAAGAGAAACAUGGGCAUGCUCGUGAGAACCGAAUUAAUAAGAAUUAAACGGCCUCCAUAUGACAUGAGUUUGCCAUUCCAGCAACUGAGUUUCUUCUCAAAUCGAUCCUCAGUGCACUUCCAUUCUCUCUUUGUUAGCUUACGAUGGUGAAUUGGUAUGCCCAAUUAAGUGAAAGGCAAAGCCCCCAAUUCGCAUCCGAACAAUUGCUUAUAUGCCUCUUGUUCCUCAUUGGCUCUUCCAAAAUUGUAUAAUUCGCUCUUGUGGAAAUUAAUUUUUAGUCCGGUCAAUUGUUCGAAUAAGCAUAACACCAGCUUCAUAUUUCUCGUUUUUGCCAAGUCAUGGUCCAUGAAGAUGAUAGUAUCAUCGGCGUACUGUAGGACAGACACACCUCCAUCCACUAGAUGAGGUACCACAGGAGAGCACCUGCGAUAAUUAUAUCAUGCCACACGAGUACAAAGGAUGAAGCAUCUUAGACGUUUGGAAUAGAUUUGGGCAUCACAUACGAUUUAUUUUUCCAAAAAGGUAUGCAUGAUUGGGCUCUAUCUGUAGGAGAUAUGCCCUAGAGGCAGUAAUAACAGUUAUUUUGUAUCUCCAAGUUUGUAAUGAAUGUUUAUGAUCCAUGCUAUAACUGCAAUGAUUCUCGAGUCUACAAUAUCCACGAGGCUCGGAGGGAACUCAUAUGCACGUGUGGUAUUAUAAACGGUAAAAUAUAUUCCUAGUCUUGCCUCUAAGACUAGCUCAAGUAUUGCAUGAUGAUCCUGUUUCCUGAUCAUGGGCAUGACUAUGCCGGCAAUUUUGAGGGCACAAGUUUGGUAGAACGCUUGUGUUGAAUCAACCCGGAUUGAUGUUGUGCUAUGAGAUGCCUUCGUCACAAGUUUAUGGUUAAUAUCAUUGAGAUAGUUAAUGUUUGCAUAAUUCCUUAGACCAUGAGAGUAUCAAGUUCCUUCGUGCUUGCUUCGUGAACUUUGGGGUUUGUUAAACGUCAUCCGUAACUUGGUGGCUAUUAUGGCAGCUUUCGGGUUCACGGAAAAGUAUAGGAAGUAACAAGAUAGCUCAAGAUUGGGAUUUGCUCCUCCGACGAUGGAGAGAUAUACUCGGGCCCUCUCAGUGUAACGGUAUCCAUCAUCGUCUGGCCAGACACAUUGUGAUUUGAUCACUGGGAUGCCGGAACACGGAAACGAGAAAAGAGAACAAAACCGGUAACGAGGUAACUUGCAUGGUGGACAAAUUGUUCGUCCAUGGGCAUGCAAUAAAUCUCACCUCGGGUGUUUGUGACAUAUCGCGAAGCAACAGGAAUAGCUCACUACAACUAGAGGUUCACUCGAAUAUUCAUUCGUGUGGGUAUAGGGGUCAAUAUGGGUGUCCACGGCUCCGAUGUUGAUCAUUGAUCGGAAGGGGUUCCAGGUCAUGUCUAUACUUCACCGAACCUAUAGGGUCACACGCUUAGGGGUCAUCUAUCUGUUGAAUACUAGACAGGGAGUCUGAGAGAAAAUCACCGAAAAAGUUUCGGACACCGAAAAGUUUCGGACAGCGGAAUCGUACCGCAGAGAGAGGUCAUCGGAUAAGUUUCGAUGAUACCGAAAAGUUGUUUCGGGAUACACCAUUAAGUCAAAUUGGUUUCGGCACAUGCCUGAUAAUUCUUGGAGGAUGCCAGAAUCAUUCUGGAAGCUUUUUGGAAUUUUCUGACAUAAAAACCGGAAAUGUUCCGGAGCUGCCGGAGCCACUUCAGAUGCGUUUCGCAGAUGAAAAUCACUAAAACCGGAAUUGUUUCGGAACGCGUUGAAAAACAUUUUAGUGGGUACUGGAAAUGUUCUUAGCCCACAUAAAUAUUUUCAGUUCGAUCAGACGCUGAAAAAUGUCGUCGUGAAUAGUGAAAAUCAGCUUUAUGGUUACUUUAUGGAAAGCCACCUUUUGGGGCUUUGCUCCAAAAGAUCUUGGGGAUGACAUGGAUGGAUAGGACCCAUUUUUUGGGCCCCUCAUGGGGGUGUGGCCGGCCACAUGGGGUAUCCCCCCUUGGGGACCCUUUUGUUCAUUGGUUUCACUUCUAGGUCCUUGUGGAAGGACUUCAUUCAUGUGCAUUUUGGGUUUUUGUGUGAAACUACCCUACCCCUUGGGAUUUCCUAUAAAUAGAGGUGGAGGGGCAGCCCUCCACACUCAUCCCUUGCUCUCAUACACAUGCCAUGCAUUAUCUGGCUUCUUCUCUCCCUCCCACGAAAAGAGUUUCGUAGAGCCGUAAGGCUGUCUGGGUUCCGGCAGGAACUAGUUCUGGACGGCGAAGCCCUGCCGGAUAGCUGACACCGUAUGUGUGCAACCCCGUAGAGAGAUUGUAGUUUCGAUCUUUUGCCCGAGGGGCUGUUCGAGUGUCCUCCCGAAGGGCUGUCCGAGUCUCCGUCCGAGUUUCGAGGGUCCUCCCGAAGGGCUGUCCGCGACAUUGUCCGGGGGACUGUCCGACCGCCUCCCGAAGGGCUGUCCGGAGAGGGAGUACAUCCUCGCGGUUGGGAGGUUGUAAAUCCUAGCUGCGGGGAUCUGCACCGACGAUCUACACCGACUCUUCUUCCGCUGCGCUUCGAGUCGGUACGGAUCAGAUCAAACCUUGUAUGCAGUCUCCAUAGUGGUCCUGGGCGUGCUCGCUAUACCGAAAAUUUUCGUUUUCUGUCGCGUUCCCCUACAGUGGCAUCAAGAGCCGUGCUAUGCGUAGAUGCAGGUUACGAUCUAGAAUACAUGGAGAUGUAUGGGUAUUGCAUAAUAUAAUUUUGGAGUAGAUGAGAUGUAUUGCUGAAAAUUAUUUAUGCGGGUGACAGAUGAAAUCUGUUACCCGACGUUCUUGUUGCUUCCCUAGAAUUUGCGUUUGCUCAAUCUCGAGACAGGAUGGUGGAAUUUGACAAAGUUCUGGCAAUCCGUGAUCCUGAUUGAUCAUGGAAGUGCUAUCAGUUCUUUGGGUUCUGCCAUAGUCAAAAGAAAGAUGAAAUUCGCAGAUGAAAGGGCAUUGCAGAUAUGAUCUGCACGGGGGUCAUGCGUAUGACGAAGUUUAGUAUGGGGCUCGAGAUUUAAUUAUCUCGUGUUUCAUACACCCCGAGAUGUUAAUCUAGCAACUUGAAUAAUCAUACUUGAUGAUAAAACGUUGGUAGCUGCGGUUUAAGUCAAAACCUUAGAAGCCACGUAAAAUAAAAUUUUGCAUAAACCGAUUAGAGGCGUCUAACUUGGUUUUGCAGGAUGUGCAUGUGAUGUGGUAUAGCAAUGCUCAUAUUCAAUUUGAUUAUGUAUGAGAUGACUAUAUGAUGUAACUAACAUGACCUGCGUGUCAUGAUUCUGCAUGAUGGCUGGAGCCAUAUGAUUGCACUUUAAUGACCUGCGUGUCAACCUUAAGUAAUGCACUUAUUUUAUUAGCUAUAGAGAUAGCAAUAUUAUCUGGUGCAUCGACAAGGUGGUGGCAAUCUUCGCGAAGGUGAACACCGACGCAAAUGCCGAAGACGAAGAAUUGAAAGACUUCUCCGUCAGAAAGGGCUAUACCAUAUCAUGCUAAUUAUGAAUUGCCUGAGAUGUUUAUCCCCUAUGAUGCACCCUUCUUGAUUGCGCGGUAGUCGCUUUUAUUAGGGUGAUCUCUCACUUAAAAAUAUCAAGUAGAUAGUGUUCUCCCAAGUGUAGCACCGUCACGGCACCUAUCGUUUCGGGGUGCGCCGUGUCACACGGGUACGAACGAUUAGAGAAGUGUGAGGCGGGUGAGUUGAGACCUCGCAGCGAGAUCACUUGGUUGUCUUGACGUUCAGGCAUGACCGUCAUGAGCUCGGAACACACGCAUCGAAAGAUGAACAAGAGUCACAUAGUGAUGUGAUUGGCAAGUUGGCCUACCGGUUAAGAUUUUCGUCAUCAGUGGUGUUACACCAAUGGCGAACAAUCAAGACACGGAUCUUGAAUCACUCAUAAUCAAUUUUGAGAGAUAUUGAUUUGAGUGGGAGUGCAUUUUAGAAUAAAAUGUUUAUUCACUAGUGCAAAUUUCAUUAUAAACAAAGUCUAAGUGAAACUUGUGUCUUCGUUGUAGAUCAAAUGGCUCGCAACACCGCGUUCAACUUAGGCCCGAUGUUAGAGAAAGAGAAGUUAGCUACGACUGGAAACAACUAUGCGGACUGGGCCCGUAACCUGAGGAUUGUCCUCAGGAGCGCUAAGAAAUUGUACGUGCUUGAAACUGCUCUUCCAGCUAAACCGGCGGCAGAUGCACCGGUAGAUGAACAAAAUGUCUGGGCCACUAAGGAUGAUGAUCACAACUUAGUGCAGUGCCUCAUGCUAGCUUGCAUGAGUCCAGGGCUUCAAAAACGUUUUGAAUUCCAUAAAGCCCGUGAUAUGAUCCGGGAAUUGGAUGCUCUGUACAAGGAAACCGCAAAGUCUGAACGAUAUGAUAUCAUGAAGGCUUGGAUGGAUUGCAAGAUGGCUGAGGGUAGUUCAGUUGGCGAACACGUGGUCAAAAUGAUUGGCUAUUCUGAAAGGCUUAAAGCCCUAGAAUUUCCACUUCCACCUGGCCAUAUGAUGGACAUGUUGCUUUCUUCACUCCCCCCGUCUUACGACGGUUUUGUCAUGAACUACAACAUGACAGGGAUGGAGAAGACGCCGAAAGAAGUGCUCGCCAUGCUGAAAACUACAGAAGGAGGACUGCGGAAAAAUCGCAAGUAAGUGUUGCUUGUGAAUAAAACCGCCUGUUUCAAAAAGAAGAAAGGCAAGCCAAAGAAGGGCAAGGGCACCGGUAAGACCGGCUCCCAAAGCAACUCUAAGGGCGGAGCCAAGAAUGAAACUGAGUGCUUCUACUGCAAGGGCACAGGACACUGGAAGAGAAACUGCAAGAAGUAUCUGGAAGAUAAGAAGACCGGGAAAACCGGAAAAGGUAUAAUUGUUAUACAAGUUAAUGUCAUUGACGUUUUGCUUGCUAGCGAAAACUCUAAGUCUUGGGUAUUUGAUACCGGAUCGGUUGCUCACAUUUGCAACUCGAUACAGGGACUUCAGAAGGUGCGCAAGCUAGCAAAGAAUGAAGUCGUGAUGCGCGUCGGGAACGGCGCUGGGAUCGCCGCUCAAGCCGUCGGCAUUAUGCCUCUACGUCUCCCUUCAGGAUUUAUCUUAGAACUAAGUAACUGUUAUUUUGUUCCACUGUUGUGUAGAAACAUUAUCUCCGGAUCAUGUUUGGUACACGAUGGGUAUUCGUACAAGUCUGAGAACAAUGGUUGUUCACUUUAUUGUAAGGAUAUGUUUUAUGGAUUUGCACCCAUUGUUGGGGGCCUUUUCAUACUAAAUCUUGAAUGUGGAAGUGAUGUCUUUAACAUGAAUGCUAAACGCCUUAAGAAGGCUGAUACCACCACCACUUUCAUGUGGCACUGUCGCCUUGGCCACAUCGGUAAGAAACGCAUGCAAAGACUCCAUAAAGAUGGAGUUUUACCGUCCCUUGAUUUUGAAUCAUUUGACACAUGUGAAGCUUGCCUGAUGGGGAAAAUGACCAAGACGCCGUUCACGGGUCAUCCUGAACGGGCGGGUGAAUUAUUGGAAAUAAUACAUAGUGAUGUAUGUGGUCCAAUGAACACAGGCGCACGGGGUGGAUAUUUUUACUUCGUGACUUUUACUGAUGAUUUGAGUAGGUAUGGCUAUAUCUACUUAAUGAAGCAUAAAUCGGAAACCUUUGAAAAGUUCAAAGAAUUUCAGAAUGAGGUAGAAAAUCAUCGUAACAAAAAGAUUAAGUUUCUGCGGUCUGAUCGCGGAGGCGAAUAUCUUAGUCAUGAGUUUGGCCAACAUCUGAGUGAUCGUGGAAUCGUUUCACAGCUUACGCCUCCCGGAACUCCACAGAGAAAUGGAGUAUCGGAACGACGUAACCGAACCUUGUUGGACAUGGUAAGGUCAAUGAUGUCUCUUACAAAUCUUCCAAUAUCUUUUUGGGGUCACGCACUACUUACUGCUGCUCACACACUAAACAAAGCACCGUCUAAAUCUGUUGAGACGACGCCACAUGAGAUGUGGCACGGGAAGAAACCCGACCUGUCGUUUUUCAAAAUUUGGGGUUGUGAAGCUUAUGUAAAACGUUUACAGCCAAGCAAGCUUGAUCCCAGAUCAGACAAAUGUUACUUUGUAGGUUAUCCCAAGGAGACAGUUGGGUAUUCUUUCUACCACGCCUCCGAGAAUAAAGUGUUUGUUGCAAAACAUGGAGUCUUUCUUGAGAAAGAGUUUCUCACUAAAGAAGUGAGUGGGAGGACAAUACAACUCAAUGAGAUUAGUGAAUCUUCGGGAACCGUUGAUAUGGCUAAGGAACCGGAAGAAAUUCCGCUAAUUAUCCCUACAACCGAGCCGGAAGUUGUCGCAUGUGAUGCGGAGACUUCAGACAAUGUUGUAACUGAACCGCGCAGAUCAGGUAGGGCUAUCCAGCCACCUGAGUGGUUUCAUAACGAAAUCUUCAUUCUUGAAGACGAUGAACCUGCGCACUACAAGGAAGCGAUGGCGGGGCCCAGCUCAAAAGAAUGGCACAAAGCCAUGAGAUCCGAAAUGGAAUCCAUGUACGAAAACCAAGUUUGGAACUUGGAAGAACUUCCAGAAGGCAUAAAGCCCAUUGGUUGUAAAAUGGAUUUUCAAAAGAAAGACGGACGCGGAUGGUAACAUUACUAUCCACAAAGCUAGACUUGUCGCGAAAGGGUUCACACAAGUUCCAGGAGUGGACUACGACGAGACUUUCUCGCCAGUAGCUAUGCUUAGGUCUGUUCGGAUAUUGCUAGCAAUUGCUGCUUAUUUCGACUAUGAAAUAUGGCAGAUGGAUGUCAAAACGGCUUUCCUAAAUGGAAACCUCAAAGAGGAUGUAUACAUGAUACAGCCAGAAGGUUUUGUCAUUCAUGAGGAUGCUGGAAAGGUAUGCAAACUUCAGAAAGCCAUUUAUGGUCUGAAGCAAGCAUCAAGGAGCUGGAACAUUCGUUUUGAUGAAGUGGUCAAAGAGUUUGGCUUCAUCAUGAAUGAUGAAGAAUCUUGUGUUUACAAGAAGUUUAGUGGGAGCGCAAAAGCAUUUCUAAUCUUGUAUGUGGAUGACAUAUUGUUGAUUGGAAAUGACGUGAAUUUUCUUAGCGAAAUAAAAGACUCAUUGAAGAAAAGUUUUUCAAUGAAAGACUUAGGCGAAGCGGCAUAUGUAUUAGGCAUCAGGAUCUAUAGAGAUAGAUCAAAACGCCUGAUAGCGCUUAGCCAAAGCACGUACAUUGACAAGGUGUUGAAAAGGUUCAACAUGGAGAACUCCAAGAAAGGCCUACUCCCCAUGUCACCUGGCACAGUGCUUUGCAAGAAUCAGAGUCCUCGGACUCUGGAUGAGCGAGUACAAAUGAAUGAUGUUCCAUAUGCCUCGGCAGUUGGUUCUAUUAUGUAUGCCAUGCUAUGUACAAGACCAGAUGUUUCCUAUGCGCUAAGUGUUAGCAGCCGGUACCAAAGUGAUCCAGGGUUGGAACACUGGGCCGCAGUCAAGGGUAUUCUUAAGUACCUCAGAAGGACCAAGGAUUUACUCCUUGUGUACGGAGGUGAUGAAGAGCUCAUUGUAAGUGGUUACAAUGAUGCAGGCUUCAUGACUGACCCAGAUGACUUCAAAUCUCAAUCAGGCUACGUUUUCAUAUUGAACGGCGGCGCAGUUGAUUGGAAAAGUUCCAAACAAAAGACUGUGGCGGAUUCUACGACGGAGGCGGAAUAUGUUGCUGCUUCAGAAGCCUCCAAGGAGGCGGUAUGGAUCAAACAAUUUCUUGAAGACCUUGGUGUGGUUCGUAGUGCCCAGGACCCGGUGGAGAUCUAUUGUGAUAAUAGUGGCGCCGUGGCUCAGGCAAGGGAGCCAAGUUCGAACCAUAAGACAAGACAUAUUCAACGCAAAUAUAAACUCAUUCGACAUCAUGUCGAAGAGGGUUUAGUGAAAGUACGCAAAGUUCACACGGAUCUGAACGUGUCAGACCCGAUGACAAAGCCUCUACCACGAGCAAAACAUGAGCAACACCGGAUAGCCAUUGGUGUUAGGGAAGCCAUGUAACUGGAUUAUGACUCUAGUGCAAGUGGGAGUCUGUAGGAGAUAUGCCCUAGAGGCAGUAAUAACAGUUAUUUUGUAUCUCCAAGUUUGUAAUGAACGUUUAUGAUCCAUGCUAUAACUGCAAUGAUUCUCGAGUCUACAAUAUCCACGAGGCUCGGAGGGAACUCAUAUGCACGUGUGGUAUUAUAAACGGUAAAAUAUAUUCCUAGUCUUGCCUCUAAGACUAGCUCAAGUAUUGCAUGAUGAUCCUGUUUCCUGAUUAUGGGCAUGACUAUGCCGGCAAUUUUGAGGGCACAAGUUUGGUAGAACGCUUGUGUUGAAUCAACCCGGAUUGAUGUUGUGCUAUGAGAUACCUUCGUCACAAGUUUAUGGUUAAUAUCAUUGAGAUAGUUAAUGUUUGCAUAAUUCCUUAGACCAUGAGAGUAUCAAGUUCCUUCGUGCUUGCUUCGUGAACUUUGGGGUUUGUUAAACGUCAUCCGUAACUGGGUGGCUAUUACGGCAGCUUUCGGGUUCACGGAAAAGUAUAGGAAGUAACAAGAUAGCUCAAGAUUGGGAUUUGCUCCUCCGACGAUGGAGAGAUAUACUCGGGCCCUCUCGGUGUAACGGUAUCCAUCAUCGUCUGGCCAGACACAUUGUGAUUUGAUCACUAGGAUGCCGGAACACGGAAACGAGAAAAGAGAACAAAACCGGUAACGAGGUAACUUGCAUGGUGGACAAAUUGUUCGUCCAUGGGCAUGCAAUAAAUCUCACCUCGGGUGUUUGUGACAUAUCGCGAAGCAACAGGAAUAGCUCACUGCAACUGGAGGUUCACUCGAAUAUUCAUUCGUGUGGGUAUAGGGGUCAAUAUGGGUGUCCACGGCUCCGAUGUUGAUAAUUGAUCGGAAGGGGUUCCAGGUCAUGUCUAUACUUCACCGAACCUAUAGGGUCACACGCUUAGGGGUCAUCUAUCUGUUGAAUACUAGACAGGGAGUCUGAGAGAAAAUCACCGAAAAAGUUUCGGACACCGAAAAGUUUCGGACAGCGGAAUCGUACCGCAGAGAGAGGUCAUCGGAUAAGUUUCGAUGAUACCGAAAAGUUGUUUCGGGAUACACCAUUAAGUCAAAUUGGUUUCGGCACAUGCCUGAUAAUUCUUGGAGGAUGCCAGAAUCAUUCUGGAAGCUUUUUGGAAUUUUCUGACAUAAAAACCGGAAAUGUUCCGGAGCUGCCGGAGCCACUUCAGAUGCGUUUCGCAGAUGAAAAUCACUAAAACCGGAAUUGUUUCGGAACGCGUUGAAAAACAUUUUAGUGGGUACUGGAAAUGUUCUUAGCCCACAUAAAUAUUUUCAGUUCGAUCAGACGCUGAAAAAUGUCGUCGUGAAUAGUGAAAAUCAGCUUUAUGGUUACUUUAUGGAAAGCCACCUUUUGGGGCUUUGCUCCAAAAGAUCUUGGGGAUGACAUGGAUGGAUAGGACCCAUUUUUUGGGCCCCUCAUGGGGGUGUGGCCGGCCACAUGGGGUAUCCCCCCUUGGGGACCCUUUUGUUCAUUGGUUUCACUUCUAGGUCCUUGUGGAAGGACUUCAUUCAUGUGCAUUUUGGGUUUUUGUGUGAAACUACCCUACCCCUUGGGAUUUCCUAUAAAUAGAGGUGGAGGGGCAGCCCUCCACACUCAUCCCUUGCUCUCAUACACAUGCCAUGCAUUAUCUGGCUUCUUCUCUCCCUCCCACGAAAAGAGUUUUGUAGAGCCGUAAGGCUGUCUGGGUUCCGGCAGGAACUAGUUCUGGACGGCGAAGCCCUGCCGGAUAGCUGAAACCGUAUGUGUGCAACCCCGUAGAGAGAUUGUAGUUUCGACCUUUUGCCCGAGGGGCUGUUCGAGUGUCCUCCCGAAGGGCUGUCCGAGUCUCCGUCCGAGUUUCGAGGGUCCUCCCGAAGGGCUGUCCGCGACAUUGUCCGGGGGACUGUCCGACCGCCUCCCGAAGGGCUGUCCGGAGAGGGAGUACAUCCUCGCGGUUGGGAGGUUGUAAAUCCUAGCUGCGGGGAUCUGCACCGACGAUCUACACCGAUUCUUCUUCCGCUGCGCUUCGAGUCGGUACGGAUCAGAUCAAACCUUGUAUGCAGUCUCCAUAGUGGUCCUGGGCGUGCUCGCUAUACCGAAAAUUUUCGUUUUCUGUCGCGUUCCCCUACACUAUCGCAGCCGGUUAACUUGCGUUGUGUGUGAUGGACACCCUUUUCGCACACCUUCACACAGCGAUGCAUCAAAGGUACGUGAGCAAAAGGGGUUUUUAACCGUUUGUGUUGGACUUGCGUGCACUAGUGUGACAUGCGUUACUUAACCUAGCUUUUGUUUAGUUUAGUUAAAUUUCAAGUAGUUUUUUAUGUAACUUGUUAAAUUUUAUCAUAUAUGCAUAUAUGUAAUAUAUCGUACUAGGUUUAUUUUCAUUCGUAAUUCAUUUGAAAUGUGUUCCGAACCGGGGGGUGGUAGUUAAAUGCAGAAAAAACACCACAAUAGCCAUCUCAUUAGCAAAAACAACCACUUUACAAUUUGUGGCAAAAAGGACGACACGCAACAACGGACAGUGGCAAAAGAGCCGGUCGGGACCGGCUCUUUCAAAAUGUGGGGUCCCACUCACCCACUCACUCUCUCACUCACCAGCUCUCGCUCACACUCGACGCCGGUGCCGCUCCUGCUUGACGCUGCCACACAAUGCAUUCAUGGAAUGACGAAGAGGAGAGCAGCAAGGAUGCCCUCAAGUACAGCAGCAUGGAUAUGGAUUUGUGGGUAAGUUUCAGCGCUCAAUAACUAGACGUUUGGAUUAGGGUUAGUGUUUGGAUUUGGGGAUUUAGGGUUUGUGCUCGUUUCCAGCCUUAUUGAAAGGAUUUGUUAGUUAAUUUAGAUAUUGUCAAUGCAGGAGAACCCUGAGACCAUUGUGAAUUCAUUUUACUAUGGGACAGUGGCAUUUUCGGCCAUCAAAUCCAAGCUUUACCAGGCAAGAGCCAAAAAAUCUGUUGGUUUUGGUGACAGACACUAGGAGGAAACUUUAUGGCUGCACUGCACAAGUACUCCCUCCGUCCUAUAUUAAUUGAGCUAAAAUGGAUGUAUCUAGUACAUAUGGAUACUUUCAUUUCAACAACAAUUAAUAUGGGACGGGGCAGUAAUUUUAACUUGCCUUGCUGUUUCACCACUUUGCUCUGUAGCUGUUUGAUUUCGCUGUGUAGUUAUCUAUGUAGUGACGAGUCAUCUGAACUUAGUUGUAUCUUGUUCAUUUUGACUGGAUUAAACUUAGUCUUGCUGCUAUUAAAGGUUAGUCUGUAAUUUAGUAAAUCGAAAUUUAACUGAAUUUUGUUGUUCAAGUUCAGUAUGUAGUUUAGUGAAUCAGAAUUUAACGGAAUAUUGUUUUUCAAGUCCAGUCUGUAGCUUGCUGAAUAUGUAUUGUACUGAUUGUUGUUACUCAAGUUCAGUAUGUAGUUAAGUCAAUCUAAAUUGUAGUGUCAUCAUGUAGUAAAAUAGGUAGUAUAUGUGAAAGAAAUAGGCUUGAUUUAUUGUUGUGUAGUUUUGGAAACAAUAAAUUUUGAGAUACUUUUGUCUGUCUGAACAAUAUGUCACUAGUAGAAAACAGGGCUUUGGUUCGGCUAGAAAAGAGCAUUAAUCCCGGUUGCAUUACGAACCGGGACUAAUGUGAGCAUUAGUCCCGGUUCGAGUGGCUAGGGCACCGUACAAGCAUUAGUCCCGGUUCAAAUGGGACCUUUAGUCCCGGUUGGUGCCACGAACCGGGACUAAAGGGUGCGAUGCCCAUUAGUACCGGUUCGUGGCACCAACCGGUACUAAAGGUUAGACCUUUAGUCCCGGUUCGAGCCACCAACCGGUACUAAUGGGGUUUGAGGCAUUAGUACCUGUUCAUGGCACGAACCGGUACUAAAGGUCCCAUUGUCAAACUCUACCCCCACCCUGGAUCGCCUUUUCAGUUUUGUAAAAAGCAAAGAAAAUGAUAAAAACUUCAAAAAUUAAAAUCCUUCCAGAUGUAUAGUUAUGUUACUACAUGUACUAGUUAGGAAAAUUUAAAAACUUAAAUUUGGACAUGUUUUGCAAAAAGUGUAGGAAAAAUGUAAAACGGCUAUAACUUUUGCAUACGAUGUUAGAAAAAAAGUAUAAUAUAUCAAAAUGUUCAGCACGAAAAUCCGAAUCCGAUUUUGACCGCAUAUGACCCGUUUGCAAAUGUUUAGAAUCCUCAAAUUCUAAAAGGAAAAAAAGUUAUGCUCAAAUUUCUGUUUUUUUUAAUUUUUGUUAAAUCUGGUCAAACUACUUAUUCAAGAAGUAUUAAUGUUACUAAAUAAAUAUUCAAGAAUAUUAGUGUUACUAAAUAAUUAUUUCAGUUUUUUUGAAUUUUCGUCAAAUCUGGUCAAACUAUGGUCAAACUAAUUAUUCAAGAAAUAUUAGUGUUACUAAAUAAUUAUUUCGGUUGUUUUGAAUUUUGGUCAAAUCUGGUCAAACUGUGGUCAAACUGUGGUCGAACUAUGGUCAAACUACUUAUUCAAGAAAUAUUAGUGUUACUAAAUAAUUAUUGUUUUUUAGAACAAUAGUUUCAAACUCAAACAGUGAAAUGUGUGACUUCAUGCUCAAGCUAAGUUCCUGGGGGUUAAUAGGAUUGACAUCUUACUAUUGUCAGGAAAACAACAAGUGCAGACUUGGAAACGAGGGAGAAUAGAACCCGGAAGUUAAGCGUGCUCAGGCUGGAGUAGUGAGAGGAUGGGUGACCGUCCGGGAAGUUAGAUGAUUUGGAAUGAUGAGGGGUGAUUAGGGGUGACAAGUUUUUGAUUACUUGUCCGGUAAGUAUACGAAUUAGAAACCGAGUCGGUUUGGGAUUGUGGUCGCGACACAAUACCGCCUCUGGUCCUAAUAUAUAUACAGCUACCGGCUGCGGCCAGAGACACACCGAAAAACACCUAGGGUUUUGCCUCAUCUCACAACCUGCGCCGCCAUUGUAGUCUACUCCAUCCCAAACGCCGGCGUGCAUCGACGCGUGGGAGAGCAGGUCUCCGGAACCGUUCGUCUUUGCGAUCCUGCACCGGGAGAGGACGAAUUAGGUUUAUGGGAAGCGUUGUGCGCGACUGCUCAAAUUCGUCAUCACGGGUCGUCUUCCGUCCAAGUCGGGCGGUGCUACUCAUCGUCGUAUUCAUCGCCGUCAGCAGCAGAUCGUCACCAACAUCGUCAUCAACACUGUCACACCCUUAAUAGCUAACGAUCAGUACGUCCGACAUCCUCUGUUCAUGUCUGCUUCUACAGCUAUUGUUACGUGUUUGCUGCUGUUAUGCAUGUCUUGCUGUUCUUCUAGUUUGCUAGAUUAUUGCAUGCUAGUAUCUCUUCUAGUCAUGAAUUAUUUACUGGAAUCAAUCAUGAACUUGCCUAAUAUUCCAACAAUCCAAAAACCUAAUUAUAGGCAAUUUCCUGAGUUAACUAUGGCUGGAUUCGCUGAUGCACUGAGGCCGGAUAAGUUUACCGGUGUGCACUUUAAGAGGUGGCAGUUGAAGACCACGCUCUGGCUUACUGGUCUGAAAGUUUUCCACGCUAGUGUUGGUGCUCCAGAGGGAAUGACCGACGAAGAUCGGAGAAAAUUCCAGGAAGCCAAUACUAUGUUUGUGGGAUGCAUUCUGAGUGUUCUUGCUGACUGUCUGUGUGAUGUGUACAUGCACAUAAAUGACGGAAAGAUUCUGUGGGAUGCACUGAAUGCAAAAUUCGGUGCAACAGAUGCAGGCAGUGAACUGUACAUCAUGGAGAGUUUUCAUGACUACAAGAUGGUGAAUAACCGUUCUGUGGUUGAACAAGCUCAUGAGAUACAGUGCAUUGUGAAGGAACUUGAACUCCUUAAAUGUGUUCUACCUGACAAAUUCGUGGCUGGGCGCAUGAUUGCAAAGUUGCCUCCUUCAUGGAGGAAUUUCGCCACAACUCUGAAGCAUAAGAGACAGGAGAUAUCAGUUGAAAAUCUGAUUGCAUCUCUUGAUGUUGAAGAAAAAGCUCGGGCUAAAGAUACUACUGAAAAAGGAGGUGAGGUUCAGCCUACUGCUAACAUGGUGCAGAGGUACCCACAGAACAAGAACAAAGGGAAGAACAAACCUGUUUUCAACAAGCCUACCAAGACUACUACCUUCAAGAAGAAGAAGUUCAACAAGGCUGAGCUAGAGUGCUACGCCUGUGGGAAGCCUGGACACUUUUCCAAGGAAUGCCCUGAACAUGCAGACCGCAGAGGGAAAAUAAGCUCCAAGACUGUCAACAUGGUGACCGCUAGCAAUACUGAUGGGUAUGGUAAUUUACCUAUUGUGCUUUCAGUAUUUCAAUCAUCUUCGUGGUGGAUUGAUUCGGGUGCUAACGUUCAUGUGUGUGCUGACAUCUCCCUAUUUACUUCUUAUCAGGUCGCAAGGGAUUCUUCCGUCCUAAUGGGGAAUGGGUCACAUGCUUCGGGAAAGAUCGUGCAACUAAGGAACGUGCAGCAUGUCCCUACUAUGAACAAGAAUCUAGUUAGCGUCUCCCUUCUAUGUCGAGAUGGAUUUAAGGUAGUUUUAGAGUCCAAUAAAGUAAUCGUGUCAAGAUUUGGACAAUUUAUAGGAAAAGGCUACGAGUGUGGAGGCUUGUUCCGCUUUUCUCUUUCAGAUUUUUGCAAUAAGUCAAUAAACCAAAUUUGUGCUAGUGAUAAUGAUGAUGCAAGUAUUUGGCACUCUCGUUUAUGUCAUAUUAAUUUUGGUUUAAUGUCUCGGCUAUCCAGCAUGAGUUUAAUUCCGAACUUCAGAGUUGCCAAAGGUUCUAAGUGCCAUAGUUGUGUGCAAUCUAUGCAACCUCGAAAGCCUCAUAAGGCCGCCGAGGAGAGAAACUUGGCACCUCAAGAACUCAUACAUUCUGAUCUUUGUGAGAUGAAUGGUGUGUUGACAAAAGGUGGAAAGAGAUAUUUCAUGACUUUGAUUGAUGAUGCGACUAGAUUUUGCUAUGUUUAUUUGUUGCAAACUAAAGAUGAAGCAUUAGACUACUUUAAAAUCUAUAAAGCUGAAGUUGAAAAUCAACUAGAGAGAAAGAUCAAGCGUCUUAGGUCCGAUCAUGGUGGAGAGUAUUUUCCAAAAGUUUUUGAUGAAUUUUGUGAGGAACAUGGUAUUAUUCAUGAGAGGACGCCUCCCUAUUCACCUCAAUCAAAUGGAGUGGCCGAGAGGAAAAACCGCACAUUGACUAACUUGGUGAAUGCCAUGUUAGACACUGCUGGUUUAUCUAAGGCAUGGUGGGGGGAGGCUCUAUUGACUUCAUGUCAUGUCCUGAAUAGAGUUCCCAACAAUAAUAAGGAGAAAACCCCUUAUGAGGAGUGGGUUGGGAGAAAACCAUCACUUUCUUAUUUGCGCACUUGGGGAUGUUUGGCAAAGGUCAAUAUUCCUAUUCCUAAGAAACGCAAACUUGGACCAAAGACAGUGGAUUGUGUCUUUCUAGGGUAUGCUCAACGGAGCAUUGCUUAUAGGGUUUUAGUGGUAAAAUCUGAAGUUCCUGAUAUGCAUGUUGAUACUAUAAUGGAAUCUCGUGAUGCAACAUUUUUUGAGAACAUAUUUCCUAUGAAAGAUAUGCAUAGCAUUGCUAGAUUUUCUUCUGAGAUAAUUCCUGUAUCUAGUACAACUGAUGAAUAUUUCGAACAAUCACAUGAGGAAGUCCUUGAGAAGGAUAACAAUGAAGUUCCUAGAAGGAACAAGAGACAAAGGAUUGCAAAAUCCUUUGGUGAUGAUUUCAUUGUAUACCUUGUGGACGACACACCCAAGACGAUUGCAGAAGCAUAUGCAUCUCCGGAUGUAGAUGAUUGGAAAGAAGCUGUUCAUAAUGAGAUGGACUCAAUUAUUUCUAAUGGAACUUGGGAACUAACUGAUAGACCAUAUGGUUGUAAACCUGUGGGCUGUAAGUGGGUGUUCAAAAAGAAGCUCAAGCCUGAUGGUACUAUUGAUAAGUACAAGGCGCGGCUAGUGGCCAAGGGCUACACUCAGAAAGAAGGCGAAGAUUACUUUGACACCUAUUCACCCGUUGCUAGAAUGACCACCAUUCGAGUGUUACUUUCCUUGGCUGCCUCUUAUGGUCUUAUCAUUCAUCAAAUGGAUGUAAAGACAGCUUUUCUCAAUGGAGAGUUGGAAGAGGAGAUCUAUAUGGAUCAGCCUGACGGGUUUGUGGUUAAGGGUGAAGAGAGAAAGGUGUGCAAGUUGUUAAAAUCUUUGUAUGGUCUGAAACAGGCACCUAAGCAAUGGCAUGAGAAGUUUGAAAGAACUCUGACUUCUGCAGGAUUUGUCAUUAACGAGGCUGAUAGGUGUGUUUACUAUCGCCAUGGUGGGGGCAAUAGUGUCAUAUUAUGUUUGUAUGUGGACGACAUACUGAUCUUUGGUACAAACAUUAAUGCAAUUAAUGAGGUCAAGUCUUUUCUAUCAAAAAGUUUUGACAUGAAAGAUCUGGGAGAAGCCGAUGUAAUUCUAAACAUCAAACUUAUUAAGGAUGAGAGUGGGAUUACAUUAACGCAAUCUCACUAUGUUGAGAAGGUCUUGAACCGAUUCGGUUUUAUGGAUAGCAAGCCUUCUCCAACACCUUAUGAUCCCAGCGUGACACUCAGAAAGAACAAGAAAGAAACGAGAGAUCAAUUAAGAUACUCUCAAAUUGUCGGUUCACUCAUGUACUUAGCUAGCGCUACAAGACCAGAUAUCUCUUUUGCUGUGAGCAAACUGAGUAGGUUCAUGUCCAACCCGGGUGAUGAUCAUUGGCAUGCACUAGAAAGGGUCUUACGCUAUCUGAGAGGUACUAUGAGUUACGGAAUUACUUAUUCAGGGCAUCCUGCUGUGCUAGAAGGAUAUAGUGAUUCAAAUUGGAUCUCCGAUGUUGAUGUACUUUACGCAACAAGUGGGUAUGUAUUUACUCAUGGUGGUGGCGCAGUGUCAUGGAGGUCUUGCAAGCAAACCAUAUUGACGAGGUCAACUAUGGAAGCAGAAUUAACUGCUUUGGACACAGCUACUGUUGAGGCAGAAUGGCUGCGUGAGCUCUUGAUGGACUUGCCGAUUGUUGAAAAACCUGUACCGGCUAUUCUUAUGAAUUGUGAUAACCAAACGGUUAUCGCUAAAGUGAACAAUUCUAAAGAUAAUGCAAAGUCAUCAAGACACGUGAAAAGACGUUUGAAGUCUGUCAGGAAGUUGAGAAACUCCGGAGUAAUAACUGUUACAUAUAUACAAACAGACAAAAACCUGGCAGAUCCCUUUACAAAGGGACUAUCACGAAAUGUGAUAGAUAUUGCAUCGAGGGAGAUGGGUAUGAGACCCAUAGAUGUUACACCAUAGUACUAACCCAACCUUUGUGAUCGGAGAUCCCGUGAAUUAGGAUCUGGGAAGAACAAGCUAUUGGUUAACUGAGGAGAGUAAUAACUUAUGAUCGUCUCCAAGUGAAGAUGCAAAACUCUCAGAGCUGUAAAGCUCAGAUCUGUAAGGCAGGUUGGCAACAUGCCUUAAUGUGGUUCUAUUGGCUAUAAUUAGCAAAGAUGCUGUCCUACAGAGCAGUCUUGAAAGAACACACCUAUAUGAGUUCUGACUGUAAACGUCGCAGUCUAUGAGAUUUGGGUGAUCUCUAGUAAGCUCACGAAGAGACAAGGGAGUAUGACGUAUAAGCUCCAAACCGCGGGGUAGCCUACUGACGUAUAAGCUUCCUUUUGCCGUUUUAUUUUUAUGUCUUGGCAUACAAGUUUUUUAUUACUUGUCCGGUAAGUAUACGAAUUAGAAACCGAGUCGGUUUGGGAUUGUGGUCGCGACACAAUACCGCCUCUGGUCCUAAUAUAUAUACAGCUACCGGCUGCGGCCAGAGACACACCGAAAAACACCUAGGGUUUUGCCUCAUCUCACAACUUGCGCCGCCAUCGUAGUCUACUCCAUCCCAACGCCGGCGUGCAUCGGCGCGUGGGAGAGCAGGUCUCCGGAACCGUUCGUCUUUGCGAUCCUGCACCGGGAGAGGACGAAUUAGGUUUUUGGGAAGCGCUGUGCGCGACUGCUCAAAUUCGUCAUCACGGGUCGUCUUCCGUCCAAGUCGGGCGGUGCUACUCAUCGUCGUAUUCAUCGCCGUCAGCAGCAGAUCAUCGCCAAUAUCGUCAUCAACACUGUCGCACCCAUAUAGCUAACGAUCAUUACGUCCGACAUCCUCUGUUCAUGUCUGCUUCUACAGCUAUUGUUACGUGUUUGUUGUUGUUAUGCAUGUCUUGCUGUUCUUCUAGUUUGCUAGAUUAUUGCAUGCUAGUAUCUCUUCUAGUCAUGAAUUAUUUACUGGAAUUAAUCAUGAACUUGCCUAAUAUUCCCACAGACGCAAUAAUUGUUUUCGGGAUUUUGAAUAAAUCAGAAAAUGAUUUGUUUAAUUCCGAAAAUACUCCAAAAUUUGGAAAAUCAUGGAAAAUAAUCUGUAACUCAGAUGGAGAUAAUUUAUAUAUGAAAAAUUAUCAGGAAAAUAUGAAGAAUCUAUUUAUAGCAUUUUCAUGUAUGUUUGAACAAGUUAAGUUUUCUGUAUAAGACAAUUUGAAUAAAUGUCAUUUUAAAUUCUUAUGUGGAGUUUGAAUUUGAACCUUUGGUUCAAACCAACUUUAUUUAAAUUGUUGCUAGUUGCAUUAGUCCAAACACCAGCAUGCCAUGUCAUGAUCAUGCAUCAUACUGCUGCAUUGCAUUGAUUGUGUUCCCUCUCUGUUGCCGGUGUUUGUUCCUUCUCGAUAGAAGACGAUUCGGACGUUGUGAUCAUUGACACCGAUGAAGAGCUACUAUCUUCAAAGUGUCAGGCAAGCAAAUCCCCUUUGAGCAUUCUGAUACAAUCCCACUCUCUAACUCUUGCUCUCUUUUACUGCAUUAGGACAACAAUGAUUCAACUGUUACAUGUUGUGGUAGUUGAACCCAUUCCUCUGCAUGAUCUGUCUUUGCCACAGUAAAUAGUAAAACCCACUAGCAUGAGUAGGAGUAUUUUGAGCCAUGAUGUGCCUACUCAUUCAUGCUUGCUUGUUAUACCUGCUAUGCUUAGAGUUGUGUCAGGUUUGAUUCAUCUGGGUUGGCUUGGAAUGGUGAUGAACAUGUCCUACUGCUGAGCUCUAAGUGUGUGAACACGAUUUGGUAAAGGUAGCGAUGAGAGGCAAUGUAGGAGUACAUGGUGGGUUGUCUCGUUGAAAUCGUCCUUAGGAACUGAGUUCCGUGUUUGUGAUCCAAGACAGUUACUACCACACAUCGGGUUUCGAUAACUUGACCCCUCUCGACUUACUAAUCGCCUUGAUCUCUAUCUAGGAGUUGUAACUAGUUUCUGGUGUUUGUAGGAUGUGCUGGGGGCUGUACCUAGCGCUGACCGGAGGGGUAGGCUUUGUUACGGUAGGCACCAUGGCACGGUGUAUCAAGCGCAGUACUAUUGGUCGAGGUGGACAUGGGAAUCCUGCACACAUCGUUUGACGCCGUGAUGGAAACUUCGGCCGAACAUCCGUUACGGGUCAGUUCUCAGAUAGGCGAUAAACCUAGACUAGAGUCUUGCGUGGUUAGUCAGGUUGUGGCUGACACCCUCGCUAGGCUUCCGCUUGAAGGUUUCCGAGAUACAUGACGUGUAUAUGGUGUUAAGUGGUGAGAGCGUGUGUGAAGAAAUACACCCCUGCAGGGUAAUAUAAUCUAUUCGGAUAGCCGCGUCCUCGGAUAUGGACUACUUGGAAAGCUUGUAUGGUCCAUAGAUAACCUGAAGUGGAUACUCUAAAUGCGCAAAAUAAGUGUGAGUGCUAUGGAUGGCCUUCUCAUGGGGAGACGGGAGCGGAUCCAUAGUGGUGUAUUGAUAUGGUGAAUAUGUGGACUCACGUGCGCUUUCUCACCUCAAAGAAGUUAUUGGUAGUCAUAGUACAUGAAAGCCACUGAGUCAAAGCUGGCUUGCUGUAGUUAAACUCCACAACCCCAUUGUUGAUACUGAUGCAUAAGUAGAUAGUUCUGAUGUAAGUCUUGCUGAGUACAUUUGUACUCACGUUUGCUUAAUUGAUGUUUUUGCAGAGGAGAUUUCAAUCUCGCUAGUAGUUUCACAUGGGCUUUGACGGUUAGCUUGGGAAUCCCAGACAGAGGUAUGGCUCCUAUGGAGGGUAUUGUAGACAGACAUGCUUCCUAGCCUUCUUUCUUUUCAGCUGUCUAUAUUCAGACAGGUUUAUGCUUCCGCUUGUUGCUUGUAUGACUUUGUAUGUUGGGUCAUGAGACCAAUGUUCGUAAUAUCAUGUUAUGUGUGGCUCUUCAGAGCCUCUUAAAUAAAUACUUGAGUCGUAGAGUUAUAUUGUGACGACAUGUUGUAUCCACACAUAUUUGCAUGUUCUACAUACAUAUGAUGUGUGUUGCAAUGUGUUGGGUCACGAUAAAUCUUCUAUUGGAUUGCUUGAAUCUUUUGAUCUUUUGGUCCAACAAAAUUAUACUGUAAUAAUUAGGUCCAACAGAACAAAUCAGAAAACUUUGCUUGUACCAGACAUGGUUAGGUCCAAUAGAACAAAUGAAUCAUCUCUUCUUGGAGGAUUGUUUAAUUUAUCUUAGAUGUACCAAAAAUGAUCAUUGUGUUGGUCACCAGGAAGCAUCACAAGAUAAUUUAACAUCCAACAUGAAAGAACAUAGAUCUCAAUUCAAACAUCAUGCAAUAACUAACAGACUUCUCAAGUGUAAAUGGAAUCAUCACCACUAUAGCAGCUAUAUUUUGAACACCACGGAAACUCCAAUUUGAAACUGCAUCCUCAUUAAUAGAAACUGGAAAUUAGCUUGUCUAGUUCCAGUUUGAUUUGUUCAUCAACUAAAGAGUUAUAGUUUAAAUGACAAAUUUCACAUCCAAACUACAUAUCACAUCACAAAUUUAGGGUAAUUCAUACAUAGUAUAAAUAUAGGUAGCAUAGUACAGAAGAUCAGUUCCCAUCAAUCAAAUAUAGCAAUAGUCUUUGCAACAAAAUAUAUAAUAUAGACUUUCUUCUUGAGCUCAGCCACUUAGAUCAAUGACAUCAUCCUCUUCAAAAUUCCCUUUGAUAUUUUUCGGCUUGCCCUUGUGAAUUUCCCCAAUUUUAAGAAGCUCAGCUAUGACAUACUCUACCUUCUUAAUAUCUUUCCGGAUAACAUCCAUGUCCUUCAUCAUAGUCUCGAGCUCAUAUAUGUCCUUCUUCAGAACAUCCCUCUUCUUCAUCACAUCAUCCGAAGGGAAAGCUAGCUCCUUCCUAUCCUUUUUUAGGUCAAGGGUCUCCCUCAUGAUCAGAACCAUCUCCUUCUUGAGCCCAUCUUUGUCCACUUUCAGCUUAUCAUUAUCCUUCCUAGUGUUCUUGGUCACUUCUCGCUGAACAACAUGAAUGGCCUUGAGAUCACUGAUUACAUACUGCUUGUUCUCUAGCUGCUUCUGCAGGUCUAUAGAGUCCUCUGACAUCAUUUUUGGUAAUUCUCUUGCCACACCUUUUGGCAUUGCCUGACCCAGUGCUUGUUCCCAUCACUAGCAAACUCAGUGAAUUGGAAGUCCAACUACUUAAUCUUAUCUUUGAGAUUGAGCACUUCCUCUGCAGGAUCAAGCCCUUCCUGGGUUCUAGCAACCAUACACUUUUCAUAUUUUUUCCAGAGCAUGUGAAGUGCCUUUUUCAGGGCUUCGGGCCAGUCCUUCACUACUAGGGAAAACCUUAUACACAGAGGUAUAGCAGUAGCGCUGGUCAAAACAUGGCGCUAUUGCUACUUAUUAGUUGCGCUUGUUACAAAAGCACGCUACAACCAUUGUUGUAGCAGUAGCGCGUCUGCCCGGAAAAGCGCUACUACUAUAAUUCCCUCGUUGGUGCCGGUAGGCUAGGAAUAGUAGUGGCGGUUCUUCCAGAAGCACGCUACUGCUAAAAACUUUGUAGCAGCGCAUUUAUGCUGUAGAGCGCUACUGCUAUGAAAAGGAAAAUAAAUAGAAAAAUAAGUAGAAAAGUAAAUGAAAAUGAAAGAAAUAGAAAAAGGAGAAAUGAAAAAAAGAAAAUGUAAAGAAAACAAAAGAAAAAGAAAAAGAAAACAGAAAGGAAUAGCUGUAGCGCGUUUCGCUGGAAAACGCUAUAGCUAACUUAGCUAUAGCGUGUUUCGGUAAAACGCACUACUGCUAGUUUGACUUAACCCCCAGCCGCGCGGGCUCAAAAUUUUGCUAAGUCCUUCCCCCUCCACUCCCCCCUCUCCCCCAACUGCUCCAUCGCCGUUGUCGCCCUGCCGCCUUCAACCACACCGCCGCCACCCAAGGCCGUCUUCGACCACACCGCCGCCGCCCGAGGCCGCCCUCGACUUCACCGCCGCCGCCCGAGCCAGAGCCUGCCCUCGCCGUCGACCGUAAAGCUCUGCCUCUCCUUUCCCCUACCCUCCUAUCUCUCUUUGCUAGGGUAAUUCAUAUAUAUGUUGACGUUGUGUUGAUGUUCAUAUGAACCCUAGGUGUUCAUAUGAACCCUAGAUUUGUUGAGGGCAGUAGGCAUUUUUUGGCAUUUAGGAAAAAUGAUUGGCAAUUUUUUUAGGAAAUUAGCUAGGGAAAUUUUUUAUGAAAAUGCCUAAACAGUAAUUCCAUUUAGCUUUCAAUUAAUAGAGGGUAUGUAAAUAAUAGUAGCAUUUUGAUUAGAUUAAUAGACGCUAUAAACAAAAAACACUUAGAUAUAAAAAUUUAUUUGGACUAUGGACUUGAAUCUGUUCCAAAUUUCAUUCAAAUGAAAUUUGAAUUAUUUGGACUAUGGACCUGAAUCUGUUCCAAAUUUCAUUCAAAUGAAAUUUGAAUUAUUUGGACUAUGGACCUGAAUAUUUCUGAAGAAAUUGGGUGUAGGUACUAAGCUCUUGCUGCGGAAUUUUUGGUGAGGUCAGAAGGGUUAGAGAAAAUGGAGUUCCUAGACUUUUAGCUUUAGACAAAAAACAAAAGUAUUUAGCUAUAAAUAAAAAACAGUAGCUAUGGCAUUUAGCUAUAAACAAAAAACAGAAUUGUUUUUCUUUUCAAAAACUUGGUUAAACUAAUCGUUGCUAUGUAAACAAAAAACAAGAUUUUUGUUAUAUCAUAUAUGUCAUUGAUGUUCAUUUGCACAUUCCAUUAUUGUUGAUUAUAUCUUUUCAUUGAAGUGGCUAUGUUAUAUGCAAAUUCCUCAAUAGUGUUUGCUCAUGUUAUAUCUUUUCAUUGAAGUGGUUCGAUUGUGCCCAAAGUGGCUUCGUUGUUUCCAGGGAAUGAAGCCGAGUGGCCUAUGUUUUUCCGGAAUGUUGAUUCGUUUCCGUUCCGGCAAAUUUCAGGCUCUCGAUUUGUCCACUUUUUAGCAAAAGUCAUGCCGAAAUUUUCCGUGAAUUUCGGCAUGACUUGUGCUACAAACUAGGACAUAUCGAGUGCCCGGGAUUUGCCGCACAGGGAAGGAGUCAACGUUCCUGCAGAGCAUAGACCUUUUUUUAUGUCAUUAUUCAUUUUAUUAGGUCUAGAAUUAAUUGACUAAAUUUAAUCGUAGGAAACAUGGCUAGCAACGAUGAAGGACAGGGUUCUGGUGACUGCGACAACGUCUACCUGGCAGCAGAAGAAUUUUUUAUGGAAGAUGACGAUCAAGAGUUGAUGUUGCUGGGUCCACCUGUCACAUCAGAGAUUGAGACCGACAUCGAGACCGGCGCUGAGAUAGAGACUGGCACUGAGAGUGAGACCGGCAUCGAGACCGGCACUGAGACUGAGACCGGCGCCGAGACCGGCGCCGAGACUAGCGGAGCCGGUAUAGACCCGAAAGCAAAGAGGCAACUGCUUCCUAACAAGCUCAGGUCUAAUAGACUGGUGGUCACGGAGGUGGACGACGGCAAUUUUGAACCAAACGCGCCCUAGGAAGCGCGCGCGUGCUACGACAAUCAAAUAGGAUGCAUCAUACGGACAACCGCCACCAUCAAAGAUGAGAAACUAAAGAAGAUAGAUAAUAUGAGGCCCUCCCUCCUAAAGAAGUUGCACCUGAUAUUCUUGUUCCCGGGCCGGAAUGAAAAGGAUUAUAAAGAUCCAGAUAAGGACCUGGCAAUGAAGAAGAAAAACAAACACGUCAUGACCAAGUUUAGCGACGCGUUGGCCGCCUGGAAAUCAAGGGUGAAAUAUCGGAUCGUUGACAAAAAGGAACCCUACUCCGAGAUUGUAAAGGAUAAUCCGACAACCAUGGUAGAGCACUUUCAAAUAUUCAAGGCAGCUUGCGAGGCCGAAGCUGCCAAAAAAUAGUCGAAGUACAUGAAGGGGCUUCAAUAGAGGAACAUUGGGUGCCCCCACCUCGGAAGUCGUGGUUACGGCAGGAAGAGGUCCAUAUGGGCCAUGGAGGACGCGGAAGCCGCGAGUCCGGGCAUCCCAGACCCCUUGGCGGAGUUCACCGUCCCGCAGGAGCGUGACAUCCUCAGGGCCCGGCACCGUUGGGAUCCAAUGAAGAAGGUUUUCGAGACGAACGCGGUCACGGCGGAGUUCAUGUGACUGCUGGCAAUUUUAGUUUCUGAUCAAUUCGACUGCACGUUAGUCAUAUUUAUAAACGAUCCUUGUGCCAUUUGCAGAGAGAGCAGCGCAGGAUUGCGGCCGAAAGCGACUCGCCGUCUGAGGCGUUGGCGAGGCCCAAGUGGGACACUCCAUUCAACCGGGCGUUGAACAUAUUGAAAGGACUCCCGGUGGAGACUCGACUGUCGUAUGGACGCGUGCACGGUGUCGGAGAUGGCGCCACGUGGAAGAAGUACUACCGUGAGACCACGGAGGAGAGAAAGGAAAGACGGAGGUUAACUGAAGAAAACAUUGACAAGAAGGUUGAGAUUGCGGUUGAGAAGAAAUCAUCUAAGACAGUCGCAAUAGCGGUAGCUGCCGCAAAACAGGUGCUUGUACAUAUGUCUACUACCUUGGUUCCGGCCGUUUUCAAUUGGAGCAGGCAAAAUCUAGAAAAAAAUGCAGCGGAGUUUCCCCUUGCUGACUUCUUUGGGAGCAGCUCGACUAGCGUUGCACCAGCACCUGCAGCUGCACAUGCUCCCGCACCGGCUCCCGCACCGGCUCGUGCACCUGCUCCCGCACCGGCUCCCGAACCUGCUCCAGCACCGGCUCCGGCACCGGACGUGCUCGGCGGUGCUUCGUCUUUGGCUGAGCUCGACGCCCUCACGGUGUCUGUCACACCGGCCCCCAUCAAUAAAUGUAUUAUCUCCCGUUUUCGUUGCCUUUCGGAUGUCUCACGUCACAGACUUUUCUUUGCAGGCCGACGAAACCCCGUGCACCAUAUUGUACACCAUCGGCGACAAGAAGGUGGACGUGGGGAAGGCGACGAUAAUGGAGCCGAAGGAACCAUUGUUCCACAGCGGCUGAUCCCCCAGGACGUCUUCAAGGUUUCCGUGGCCAGUGUCAAACCGGGCCACGAGAAUUUGACUCCUCUGGUACUAGUGGGGGAUGACAACGAGACCCCACGGCGGCUUGGUAAUUGUUGCAAUGGGUGGGUCCUGUUGUGGCCAAAGAGUCUGCUUCGUCUGGAGGUGGCCGGGAGCACACCCACGAGCACACAGUUAGGUAUGAACAUCAACACCUCACCUACCCAAUUAGCGUCGGCUGUCGUGCUAGGUGAUAGCGGAGGGGGUGAGGAAGAGGCUCCAUUAGUCACUGGUGAUGUCGCCAUAGAUGAGGAUGAGGAUGACGAUGACACUCAACAGUAUGUCAAUACUGGUGCCUACUUAGGGUUUGAGCGUCAUGAGUCGGUGCCUGAAUUGCCGCCUCCGAAGUCUGAACGUAUUAUGGACAACCUUCCGGUAGUAAAGAAGUCUAGGAAGAGACCGAGGAAAGGCAAAAAAGCUGCUUCUAUGAUCCAGCCGCCUCAGCAGCCUCGGGUUCAAGACUGUAUAGAUAUCCCCGGUGCGGCAAAAUGGCAUAUCCAUGGUCAACCAAUCCUACCUAAAGCAGCGCUAGGGGCUAGAUUCGGCGAUUUAAGGAGACUUCAUGACGAUGUGCUGCGGAUAGAGAAAUGGCUCAUCGCCUCAAAAAAUCCAGGAUACCCACUCUACAUGGUUAACGUGCCGCGGCAAUUCUCGUACGUCGACACAUUCCCCGCGGAGAAGUUCUUCCUUCGAUUCGAUUACAUCUUCGACAUGUUUCACUUAAAGAAACUGGAUUUUACGUUUGUCCGCCUUUAUGUCUUGCACAUGAACUACCUCAUCAGGGUUGAGCAGAUACCUCAUAUCUGUGUCGCUAGCCCGUACUUCAUGCAUGAGGGCUUCUUGGGAGUCUGCGCAGAGCACCGUGAAUAAGCAAGGGAAUACAUCGCCAAUUUCAUGCUCACCAUAAGGACAAGGAGGCGAUUCUCGUGCCUUAUCAUCCCCUGUAAGUCAUCUGCGCGGAUAUCCUUCCUUUGAUUUCAAUCAUUCAUUUGCACAGUGGAGGCUAAUUAAUUUGAGGUGUACUUAUUUUUCGCAGCGGCGGGCGCGCCGUCCUCAUCAUCCUCUACCCCCGAUACUCCCACGCUCUUUACUUGGACUCGUCGAAGAACAUUAACAAAAAGGAUUACACCCACAUGAAGUCUGUUCUCGACAGUGCUAUGUUUUACUACGGCGCACGGGGUGGAGAGGUCAAGGACAAGAAGAAAAGGGACGGCAGGCCCGCCUUUGGCCAUAAGACCGACUUCUGCUGCAUCCACCAACCGAGUUAUUCUCUUAAUGAUGGAUUCUAUGUCCUACACCACAUGCUGGAGUACAGACGGGAUCACCAGAACCUUCGCAUGUCACCUAGAUCCGGCGAUGCCCAUAUUCUGCAAUGGGCAAAGAACUUAGGAGAUAUCGAGGAUCAUCGACUUCGAGCUGAGUUCUAUCACAUCCAGCGCAAACUUGCCCAAAUCAUCAUGAAGGAGGUCGUCGAAAAAACAGGGAUUUUCUAUGAAGAAGGACAAAUGUCGCGGGAAGACGUCCGAACACGCGUAGCGGCUCAGCUUCUCGACCUGAAGCCUUUCACUAAGCUUGGGGACUAUCUCCCUGACUUGGAUGCAUGGCACGACAUGUUGGAGUGAUUGUCGAUAUAUGACAAUGUGUCUGUUUAGUCCAUACUAUCUGUAUCACGAAACUCUGAGUUAUGCAUGACGAAACUUUAUUUGUUAUGUAAUUAAACCGUCCUCCUCGACUAGUGAAGAUCACUCUAGUUAGGGCUUUUUGGGUACGAUGAAUUUUGUUAUAUAUGCUUAUGGUAUGUUGCUUCUAUUUUUGCCAAGUCUGUCUCUUUCUGUUGCUCAACUAUAUAUGUUGCAUAUCAUCGACUCAUGUGACGAUGCAGGUGUAUAGAUCAUCGAUGGCGAAGAAGUGCUACGCCAGGAGUAUACGACGAGUGGCCGGAAUGUCAGGCCCAGGUGUACCGGUUUCCGGUUUCCGAGCGACAGCCAGUAGUUAGUUUAGGUUCACGCUAAUGCGAGAGAGGGAUACGAACUCAUGUACUGCAUAGUUCCGCUCUCACUCAAAGUGAUAGCUCUUCUCGCGUAUAUCAUUGUUUAGAUGGAUGACGACGUAGUUGCAAGUAAUCGAGACUUGUAUCGCUAUUUUUGAGAUGAUGACGAGAGACCACUUGUUGUUGGAUGAUGAUUAUGAUGAUGGCAUGAUUUGAUGAGACUAUUUGUAUGUAUAUGCUAUGAUUACAUUUGUAUGUGUAUGAUAUGCUAAAGAUUAUUGUAUAAAGCCUAUUCAAAUACAAAACAAAUAUGCAUAAAAAAAUAAAAACUAAUAAAACUAGCAGUAGCGAGGGGAACAAAGUUAGCAGUAGCGCUCCCUUACCAGUAGCGCUUCGUGCUAAAAAGCGCUGCAGAUAUUAGCAGCAGCGCUCUGCACUAAAGCGCGCUACUGCUAGCCAUGUAUAGCAGUAGCAUGGGAUGACAGGUGCUACUGCUACACGUUAGCUGUAGCGCCUUAUCAGUAGCACGUCGUCCCGAGCUACUGAUAGGCAAAAUACCCGCGCUACUGCUAGGGUUUUCCGUAGUAGUGCUUGUCAACCCAAUGAAUAAAUCUACCGUUUCCUAGUUGCAAUAAGAAACAAUUAGCAUUUAAUUAAUGGACACACAUUAGUCAAUAUAUUUUGAAAUGAGCAAAGUAUAGCAUAACUAGAUGAAAACCAAAUAUAGCAUAAGUGAGCUAGAAUGUUCCACAAACACGACAUGUCACAACUAAGUUACAAUGUUCUACCAACACAGCUUAGCAGCCAAACAAAACAUAGCUAUAAGACAUCCAAAUAUAGCACAAUAUAGUUGAAUUGUUCCACAAAAGUUGUGCAUGGGAUAACUGAAAUAUACAAUGGGUAUUGUCACAGAACACUAACUCUAGUUUAUACCAUUUACAUAUACUUUUUCCAGACAACCAUCACUUACUGAACAAGCAUCCCAUCAUUAGAGUCUGAGAAGAAAUGCAGCCUUCUCAGGGCGUCGAGAUCUGGGCCGUUGGAUUAAGCUUUCAAAAGAAUUGCGACCAUCAGAUCUUCAGAUGGAUCGAUCCGGGCCGUCGGAUCAUAGCAAACACUGCUACAGUGAAUAGUGUUGUUUCUUUUUUAUUUUGGUCUAUUAUUACUAUCUCGCUGACUGAUGGGCCACGCGGUAAGUGGUCCAUUGCUGUUAGUGAGAGCAGAGCACUAAGCGGUCGGUGCUGGUUCGUACAGGCUCAGGGGUCAGGCCAACGCCUGUGAAAUUGGGUAGCCGCUGAGGGCAAAUUCAACAUUUCACGUCAUCGCCCCUGCGUGACGCUCCGUGGAUGGCUAGUCAGCAAGUAAUGGCGAGGGAGCGACCCAUUGGCUAGAAACCUAGCCGCCUCUUCCCCGUCGUGUUCCUAUCUGUGUCGUUUGAGCUGCGGUCGCCAUCGAGGACGUGUCACUCGCACCGCCACUUCCCUGUCGAGCUCAUGCGUCCACUAGCCACACCGUCUCUUUUCCAUGCCUGCUCAUCCUCCGUUCCUCUUCGAUCACCGAGCUCGCCGUCGCUAUCGUCGGGAGGAAGCGAUUGGUGGACCUAGCCCACCGCCAUCAACGGGUGGAGCGCAGGAACCCGCGAUGCCCCUCCAGCGACCAGCACUUAUCCCUCGCCCAGCGACGAGGCCCCAUCGAACUCGCGUGUGGUCGCAGCUGGGAAUCCUCCUGUCCGCUCCUUGCUCCCCGCCGAGAGCCUUGAUUGGAUCUGGAUCCUGAGCUCUCCGUGCCCGCAUCGCCCCACCAUUCAUGGUGCACCACCAGCACGAGCUGCACAUCAUCAUGUCGUCAGAGGGAGAGCGGGAGGAAGUUGGCGCUGUUUAUCCCCACGAGGUGUGCCGUCGACGGUAGGAAGCCAGGCAGGGCGACGGGGAAAUACCGACGUAGUUCAAGCCGCAUCAAAAGGAAUUUCUGGCGCAGUUGCCAGGGAGACAUCAUCAACAUCUAUGAGGUUCCUAAUCACAAAUCCCAUCUCCUUGCAAUUUACAUUAUUUGCCAUUUGCCUCUCGUUUUCAUCUCCCCCACUUCACAAAAAAUUGCCGUUUUAUUCGCCCUCUUUUUCGUUUGCCUUUUUCUGGUUCGAUCUUAUGUUUGUUUGUGUCUCCAUGUGCCUUCUAUUUUGCUUGCAUCUUUUCUUGCUAAAACCUAUUGUUAUGGAUCCACUCAAAGUUUUGUACCUGGAUCUUGUUCGACCCAUAUGUGCUCGUGCUGAAACCCCAACUAGUUUAGUUGAGGGAAAAUCAUUAGAUGAGCAUGCUCUUUUUGCCCGUCAUCGUUUGUCUGAAAAAGGGAAGCUCUUAUGGAAUCAAAUAAAUUGUUUGCUAUGAUAUGCUUGGAAUCAUUAUGAAAUUUGUGAUUUUACUUGUUGCUCUAAGAACCCCAAAAAACACUUCCCCUAUCUAUGUGAGUUUAAUGACAAUGAAGUCUUAUGUUCUUAUGCCAAGGAGGUUUAUAGUUACUAUGAUAUCGAACAAAUUGAACAAUUUGUUGCUUUUAAGGGUGCUUAGAAGUUGCUUAUUUGAUUGAAAAGUAUGAUAUUACUCUCUACAAAUCUGAAAAUUUUGACAUACUUAAAUAUUGCUAUGAAAACUAUGCUCAUAAUGCCUAUGUUAAAGAAUUUAUUGAGAGAAUGUCCUAUGCUUUGAAAGAAAAUAGUGAUAUGCAUGAAGCUAUGGAUAACCAUGAUUCCGUUGAUUUGAUUGAAUUAUCCCCUCUUGAUGAACACGUUGCUAGCUAUUCUUGUGGCCAUGAUGCCAAUAUUAAUGAUGCUUAUGAAGAUGAACUUGCUAUAGUUCUUUAUGUUAAACAUGAAAUUAUUGCUAUUGCACGCACGCUGGAUAGCUCCUUUAAUGAAAAGCAUGAUUGCAAUGAUAUUAUUAUAGAUUCUAUUAAUCUCAAGUUUGUUAGUGAUAUGCAAAACCCCAAGCUUGGGGAUGCUUGUUUUGUUAUGUCCGCUACUUAUUGCAAUGAUCAUGAUUGGGGUGAUGAUGACUUUUAUGAUCUUGAUAGUCUAUUUAAGCCUCAUGAUGAAUAUGUUUGCAAUAAUAUUAAAAGUGGGUUUGGAAGAGUGUCAAAUAUUGAUAAAAAUAAUCCCACAAAUUUGGAGAGUGUUCAAUCUUAUGAUUUUUUUAUAAAAGUGGGCUUGGAAAGGUCAUGACUUUAUUUUAUGGUAAUCCCACUAUUUUGGAAGAGUGUCAACUUUGCAUGCAUGUGGAUCAUGUAGAGAAUAUGUUAUGUGAUAUCUAUAUUAUUGAAUUUGAACAUGAUUCCACAUGUAAUUGUUAUGAGAGAGGGAAAUAUGGUUGUAGAAAUUUCUUGCUACUAAGUCACCUCUCGUUAUGUUGAAUUGUCAAAGUUUUAUUUGUUUCCUAUGUAUAUGCUAGAUAUUUCUUGUUUUGAUAAUUUGUUUGCCUGUAAAAUUCCUAUACAUAGGAAAUAUGUUAGACUUAAAUGUGUUUAUCACAUGUUUUAUGAUCCUCUCUUUGUGUUUCAAUUAUUAUCUUUCAUGUGAGCAUCAUUGAAAUCGCAAAGCCUAUCUUAAUGGCUAUAAAGAAAGAGCUUGUUGGGAGGCAACCCAACGAAUAAAUUUUAUGUUUGCCUUUUUGUUUCUGUACAAUUAUGCCUCUGUUAUGAUUAUGUUUUUUAUGUUUUAAUUAGUGUUUGUGCGAAGCAAAGCCUUUUAGGAUCAUGUUGGGUGAUAGUUGAUUUGAUCUUGCUGAAAAACAGAAAAUUAUGAGUCCAGUAACACAAUUAUUAAAAUUCACAGAAGCGUGAUAAAAUUCUGAUUUUUUUACAGAAGAUUAAUACAAAUAGCGUAUGUUGUCCUAAUUUUUCAGAAUUUUUGCAGUUACAUAAGUAUACGAAGUUUUCAGAUUGCUACAGACUAUUCUGUUUUUGACAGAUUAUAUUUUCUUUUUGUUGUGUGCUUAUUUUGAUGAAUAUAUGGACUUUAUUGGAGGGUAUAAGCUAUAGUAAAGUUCGAAUACAGUACAUAUAAUGCAAAAAUAAAAUAUGAAUGGGUUUGCAACAGUACUUAGACUAGUGAUUUGCUUUGUUAUACUAACGGAUCUCACGAUGGUUUUGUUGAGUUUUGUGUGAUUGAAGUUUUUCAAGUUUUGGGUGAGAUCACGAUGGAUGAAGGAAUAAGGAGUAUGAAGAGACUAAUCUCGGGGAGGCCCAUGGCACCCCAAGUUAUUAUCCAAAGAGGAACAAGCAAUUAAGAUUGGGGAUGCCCCCGAGUGGCAUCCCCUCUUUCUUCUAAUGACCAUCGGUAUUUUACUUGGAGCUAUAUUUUUAUUCGUCACAUAUCAUGAGUUUUGCUUGGAGCAUCUUGUAUUAUAUGAGUCUUUGCUUAUUUUGCUUUUUUAUUUUGUGUCAUCUAUCCUUGCUGGACACACCUAUUUGAGAGGGCCCAAAUUAUGCUAUGGAAUCUUUUUGCUUCACUUAAAUCUUUUUGAGCUAUGGAAUUGAUCUUUGUGCUUCACUUAAAUCUUUUUGAGCUAUGAAAUUGCUCUAGUGCUUCACUUAUAUCUUUUUGAGAACGGUGUGCUUUGGUAUUUUUGAAGAAAUGCUCUCAUACUUCACGUAGAUUUAUUUGAGAGUUAGUAAAUUUUUUAAGAAAUCCUCUCAUGCUUCACAUAAAUUAAUUUGAGAGAAGAAAUUUUUUAUGCUCGUGUUCUUCACUUAGAUUUGUUUGAGCUAUCAAAAGCAACAUAUGAAAUUAGUCCCAAAGUGAUAGAUAUUCAAGAGGGAUAUAAUAAAAACUUUCAUGAAGAUCGUUAGACAAAAUAAACUUGAUUCUUUGUAAUAGUUUUGCGGUAUGACGAUAUAAUAUGUGAGUCAUGUUGAUGAGUUAUUACGCUUUAGUGAGAAUAUUGAUGUUAAGGUUUGUGAUUCUCUAUGUAAGCACGAAAGUCAAUAGUUAUGCAAUGAAAUUACAUCCUACUUGUCGUGCAUUAUUCGGUGUUAGUUCUGCUUAAUUCUUGCUUAUGAGAUUUUUUGUUUCUUGGUUGGAUGCUUCUCAAUAUUUUGCUAGCCUUCAAUUGUACUAAGUGGGAUUACUACUUGUGCAUCCAAAAUCCUUGAACCCAGUUUUUGCCAUAUGAGUCCACUAUACCUACCUAUAUGCGGUAUUCAUUUGCCGUUCUAAGAAAAUUUGUAUGUGCCAUCUCUAAUCUUCAAAAUAACUUCCUUUUUGUGUGCUCGUACCGCUCAUGAAACGGUAGGGGGUGGCUGAUAUUUUUCCAUGCUAGAUGUGUUAUUCUCAAGAUGAGUGUUUAUUCACUUGUCACUGCACGAGAGUAUGGCAAAGUUAUUAGGGAUGCCCAGUCCUGAAAUGAAAAAUGAAUUUACUUUAUGUUGUCAAAUAAUAAACUCCUUGGAAAGUGUUGGUAUGGACGGUACCCGUGGAUUCGGUUCGCCGUGGAAUGUGAAAGUAUGGUGGAAAAAGGAAUAAACUUUAUUUUCUGUUUGGGAACCACCUAUGAUAUAUCUAGCAUGGAAAGUAUUGGGAACUACUCGAUCGUUUUCAUUGACAGGAAAGGCAUGCCACCCAAAAUGUCUUAUCUCUAUCUUUUUCCGCUUUUAGCUCUGGCACCUCUACAAAUCCCUACUUCCCUCUGCGAAGGGCCUGUCUAUUUACUUUAUGAAAUUUUUAUUUUUAUUUCAAGUCUCCAUCUUCUCUUACAAAGCACCAACUAAGGGGCACUACGAUCGUACCAUAGCAUUGGGUGUAGCUAAUAUGCGAGUGUGUUUCAUGAAUGGAUCAAUGAUUGAGCAUAAUGGGCUAGGGAUAAAUUGCUUUAGUGUUGAUAUUUUGAAAGACAUGGUUGCUUGUUGAUAUGCUUGAGUAUUGAAAUCUUCAUAUCAACACUAGACUAUUCCUUUGAAUCAUAUAAAAGUCCAAAUGUCCAUGCUACAAAAGAAAAAGAAUAUGUGAUGAACAUGAUAGGCAACAUUCCACAUCAAAAAUUCUAUUUUUAUCAUUUACCUACUCGAGGAGGAGCAGGAAUUAAGCUUGGGGAUGCUGAUACGUCUCCAACGCAUCUAUAAUUUUUCAUUGUCCCAUGUUGUUAUAUUAUCAUUUUUGGAUGUUUUACAAUCAUUUUAUAACAACUUUAUAUCUUUUUUGGGACUAGCCUAUUGACAUAGUGCCUAGUGCCAGUUGCUGUUUUUUGCUUGUUUUUACACUGCAGAAAAUCAAUACCAAAUGGAGUCCAAAUGCAGCGAAACAUUUUGCAGAAUUUAUUUGGACCAGAAGACACACGAUGGGCCAAUAGAGUACUAGAGGGGGGCUCCGAGGGAAGCACAACCCACCUGGGCGCGCCCUGGUGGGUUGUGCACACAUCGGCUCGCUAUCGUGCCGCCUCUUUGCUCCAUAAAUACCCCGAAAAUCCAAAAACCCUAGGAGUCGACGAACACAAUUCCAGCUGCCGCAAGUUCCACAAAGCACAGAUCCAAUCUAAACACUGAUACGUCUCCAAUGUAUCUAUAAGUUUUUAUUAUUCCACGCUAUUAUAUUAUCUGUUUUGGAUGUUUUAUAUGCAUUAAUAUGCUAUUUUAUAUUAUUUUUGGGACUAACCUAUUAACCUAGAACCCAGUGCUAGUUCCUGUUUUUUCUUGUUUUAGAGUUUCGCAGAAAAGGAAUAUCAAACAGAGUCCAAACGGAAUGAAACUUUGGCGAUGAUUUAUCUUUGACCAGACGAUAACCAGAGGACUUGGAGUACACGUCAAGGAAGCCACAAGGAAUCCCAAGGGGGUAGGGCGGGCCCCCCACCCUUGCGGACCCCUAGUGACACCACCGACCAAUUUCUUCCGCCUAUAUAUUCUCAAAUACCCCAAAACCUUCUAGGAGAGCCACGAAACCACUUUUCCACCGCUGCAACCUUCUGUACCCGUGAGAUCCCAUCUAGGGGCCUUUUCCGGCAUCCUGCCAGACGGGGACUCGAUCACGGAGCGCUCCUACAUCAACAUUGCCUCUCCGAUUAAGCGUGCGUAUUUUACCACAAACCUACGGGUCCAUAGCUAGUAGCUAGAUGGCUUCUUCUCUCUCUUUGAUUCUCAAUACCAUGUUCUCCUCGACGUUCUUGGAGAUCUAUUCGAUGUAAUACUUUUUUGCGGUGGGUUUGCCGAGAUCCGAUGAAUUGUGUAUUUAUGAUCAGCUUAUCUAUGAAUAUUAUUUGAAUCUCCUCUGAAUUCUUAUAUGCAUGAUUUGAUAUGUUUGCAAGUCUCUUCGAACUAUCGAUUUGGUUUUGCCACCUAGAUUUGUUUUUCUUGCAAUGGGAGAAGUGCUUAGCUUUGGGUCAAUAUUGCGGUGCUCGAUCCUAGUGAUAGAAGGGGAACCGACACGUAUUGUAUUGUUGCCAAUGAGGAUAACAAGAUGGGGUUUUCAUCAUAUUGCUUGAGUUUAUCCCGCUACAUCAUGUCAUCUUACUUAAUGUGUUACUCUUUUAUUCAUGAGCUUAAUACUCUAGAUGUAGGCAGGAGUCGGUCGAUGUGUGGAGUAAUAGUAGUAGAUGCAGGCAAGAGUCGCUCUACUUGAUACAGAUGUGGUGCCUAUAUUCAUGAUCAUUGCCUUAGAUAUCGUCAUAACUUUGCGCUUUUCUAUCAAUUGCUCGGCACUAAUUUUUUCACCCAACGUAAUAUUUUCUAUCUUAAGAGAAGCCUCUAGUGAAACCUAUGUUCCCGAGUCUAUUUUCCAUCAUAUAAUCUUCUAUUUUCCAUCAUAUAAGUUUCCGAUCUACAAUUUUAGUUUCCUAUUUACUUUCUUUGCAAUAUUUUGCAUUCCGAUCUAUAAACCAAAAAUACCAAAAAUAUUACUUUACCGUUUAUCCAUCUAUAUCAGAUCUCACUUUGCAAAUAAUUGUGAAGGGAUUGACAACCCGUUUAUCGCGUUGGGUGCAAGUUGGUGUUUGUUUGUGCAGGUAUUCGGUGGCUUGUGCAUUGUCUCCUACCGGAUCGAUACCUUGGUUCUCAAAACUGAGGGAAAUACUUACUCUACUUUGCUGCAUCACCCUUUCCUCUUCAAGGGAAAAACCAACGCAAGCUCAAGAAGUACUGGGAAGAAUUUUUGGCGCCAUUGCCGGGGAGAUCUACGCCAAGCCGAGACAUACCAAGUACCCAUCAUAAACUCUCAUCCCUCGCAUUACAUUAUUUGCCAUUCGCUUCUCGUUUUCCUCUCCCGCACCUCUCACUACUAGGAAAAGGGCUAUAGACAAUAUGCACACUAAUGGCGCACCAGACAUGCGGUGCGCCACUACUAUAUAGCGGUGGCGCACCGUGUGCUGGUGCGCCAUUAGUGUGAUAGACACUAAUGGCGCACCACAACCAUGGUGCGCCACUACUAACAAAUUUUCUUUUUCUUUUUAAAAAAAUACUAAUGGCGCACCGCAACCAUGGUGCGCCACUACUAAUUUUUUUCCUUUUUUCCAAAAAUACUAAUGGCGCUACUUGGCACAGUGCGCCAUUACUAGUUUUAACUAGUAAUGGCGCACCAGUCACCCCGUGCGCCACUACUAUCAUUUUUUUGCAAAACUACUAAUGGCGCACCGCCAGCUGGUGCGCCAUUAGUAACCAGGGUUACUAAUGGCGCAUUUGUUGGUGGUGCGCCAUUAGUAACCUGGGACCAGCUAGAUAUUUUGGACAGCCACCUACACACUCACUUUCCCCACUUCAUUCUCUCCACCUCCUCCUCCAAGCUUGUCUCGGCUGCCUCCUCCUCCUCACCUCAUUUGCACCAUAGAUUCAUCCAAAUUAAGUGGUUAAAUUACCUUUUUUGAUAGGUAAGUAAGGGGAAAGCUUUCUUUAUGUUGUAGAUCUACUUUUUUCUCCCUCCAACAACGUGCACAUGCACUUUUUAUGGCCUAGCUAGAUCUAUGUAUGUUUGUGGUGUUGCAUAUGUUUGUGGUGUUGCAUAUAUGUUUGUGUUUGCACGUACCGGUAUUUGAAAUGCGAUAGUUGCCAAUAUUUUGCCAGAAUGUUGAUUCAUUUCCGUUUCGUCAAGAAUUUUGGCACUAUGCAUUCUUUUUUGUCCUAUUUUUAGGCAAAGUCAUGCCAAAUUUUUUCUUGGUUCUAAAAUAUCGUUUUGCUCUACCCUGCAGGCGACCAUGGUCUGCACGAUGACCGAAGGCAUCGUGAAUAGGUUUUUGAGCUCCGCGAAGGCCGAGAUGCUUCAAAAGAAUGAGACGGAGAUAAGAUGUCCGUGUCGAAGAUGCAAGCUGAGGAGCCUUAUGGACCCGGAUUCCGUACAGGUGCGGGACCACCUGCUCUUGCGUGGUUUCAUGGAUGGCUAUCGGUGGCAAGGUGAUGAAGAUGAUUAUGAAGUCGUCCAUGGGGGCCGGCCGGUAAGAAAUGAGGAAGGGCAGCAAGACAACCGCGGCGAGGGCGGGCGAGAAGACGAAGAAUCUCCAGGACAUGAUCACGAAGUAGAUGCAGUACGCAGUCAUCAUGUAGAAGAUGCCGGACAUAAAGAUGAGGAAGAUGCCGGAGCAGACGAAGGGCAUGAUCAUGAAGAUGAAGAUGCCGGAGCGGACGACGAUGGACCAUCGAUGGGCUGGGUGCAGGACCCUCAUAUUCAAGAGCUGCUUCUCAAGCAGACGGAUAACGCAAGAGCUGCCGCCCGAGAGAAAGCCAAGCUGGAUCAACUGGAGAUAGACGCGGUUACUCCAUUGUAUGAAGGAUGCAGGCCCGAGGAUACCCGCCUGAAAGUAACGCUCAUGGCUCUGGAGAUGAAGGUAAAACACAAAAUGACCGACGCAUGCUUCGACGAGAACAUGUCAUUCUGGCACGAACGUCUUCCCAAGGGGAACAAGUGCCCGACCAGUUUUGAGGAGGCGAAGAAAAUCGUGUGUCCUCUGGAUUUACCGCACGUGAAAUACCAUGUGUGCAUGAACAAUUGCAUCAUUUAUCGGGACGAGCACGCGGAGUCUACCAUAUGUCCGGUGUGCGGCGUCACUCGAUACAAGAAGAGGAAGAAAGCUCCUCGAAAAGCGGUGUGGUACUUUCCGAUCGCUCCUCGUGUGCAGCGGUAUUUCGCGGACCCUAAGGUAGCAAAGCUCUUGCGUUGGCACGCGGAUAGGGAGGAGAAGAAGCGAGAAGAUGACGCAAAUGAUCCGGAGAUAAAUAAAAAAGACAAGAUGCUGAGUCACCCUAAGGAUGGGAGCCAGUGGCAAGCGUUGAACUUCGAACACCCAGAAUUUGGGAACGAUCCAAGGAACAUCGUGCUGGGCGCGAGCACCGAUGGAGUCAAUCCGUUUGGCAGCCAGAGAAGCACACAUAGCACCUGGCCUGUGUUUGUGGAUGUACAACCUUCCCCGCUGGUUGUGCAUGAAGAGGAAGUACAUUCACAUGAGUAUGCUAAUUGAAGGGCCGAAACAACCAGGGAACGACAUCAAUCUGUAUCUGGGGCUGCUGAAAGAGGAGCUAGACACGCUGUGGAAAACGCCAGCCAAUACGUGGGACACCGCAGAGAAAGAAUAUUUCCCUAUGAGAGCCGCUCUGCUCACGACGGUGCACGACUAUCUCGAUUACGGAUAUGUCGCGGGGCAGGUGGUCCACGGAUUUUCUGGAUGCGUCAGGUGCAUGGAUGACACAACAUAUCGCCAGCUAGAUAGAGAUCUCAGGUCUUCGAAAACCGUGUUCAUGGGACAUCGAAGGUGGCUUCGCGACGAUGACUCAUGGAGGAAACGCAAGGAUCUGUUCGAUGGUGAAACCGAAACCCGAAGACGCCCGCGUACGAGGAGCGACAAGGAAAUAGACGAGUUGUUGAAAAAUUGGAAAGAUUGCCCACUGCCGGGAAAGAAGCAAAAGGCACCAGAGCCGGAAAAGAAGCGAAAGGCGCAAGAGCCGCUGCUGAAGGUAUGGAAAAUGAGGUCUGUUUUCUGGGACUUGCUGUACUGGAAGAUCCACCGUGUGCCUCACAGCCUUGAUGUCAUGCAUAUCACGAAGAACGUGUGCGAGAGUCUGCUUGGUACCCUGCUCAACAUGCCGGAGAGGACCAAAGAUGGGCCGAAAGCAAGGGCAGACUUGAAAUCAAUGGGCAUCAGGGAGGAGCUUCACGCUAAUGAUGAUGAUGAUGAGGCGAAGCAGGACACGGAAAGUCGUCGCAAAGGCAAAAAGGCCAAGAAGACCGAAAAUGACUUCCCUCCCGCGUGCUUCACUCUAAGUCAGGAGGAGAUCGAUCAGUUUUUCACCUGCCUCGUAGGAGUAAAACUUCCUUACGGUUACGCGGGGAAGAUAAGCAGAUACCUAGACUCAGCGAAGCAGAAGUUCAGCGGGAUGAAGUCUCAUGACUGUCACGUGCUGAUGACGCAGAUACUUCCAGUUGCAAUCCGUGGGAUCAUGGACGCGCACGUCCGUGAAACGCUAUUUGGCCUAUGCAACUUUUUCGACGUCAUCUCUCGGAAGUCGGUUGGUGUGAGGCAACUCAGAAGGCUACAUGAAGAGAUCGUAGUGAUACUAUGCGAGCUUGAGAUGUACUUCCCGCCCGCAUUCUUCGACGUUAUGGUGCAUCUGCUGGUCCAUAUCGUGGAGGAUAUCAUCCAACUCGGGCCGACGUUCCUGCACAGCAUGAUGCCGUUCGAAAGGAUGAAUGGUGUCAUCAAAGGAUACGUUCGCAACAUGUCACGUCCAGUGGGAAGCAUAGCCAGGGGCUUUCUGACCGAAGAGUGCAUCUCCUACUGCACGAAUUAUCUAGGCAUCGAGAACCCCGUUGGUCUGCCCGCCAACAGGCACCUCGGCAGGCUCGCUGGAUGGGGUCAUCGUGAGGGUUGCCGCGAAAUGCAUGUCGAUUUCGAGGGUCGACUCGCCGACUUUGAAAGAGCAAACCUAGUCGCGCUACAACACAUAGACGUGGUCGAUCCUUGGGUGGUAGAGCACAAAACCUUUAUUGAGAAGACGUACAAUGACCGAGACCAACAGAGGACGGACGGAGAUAUAAUCAAAGAGCACAACUCAUAUUUCACGCGUUGGUUCAAGCAGCAUGAGGAUUCUUCCGCGGAAGAACAACUCAAAUUCGCCUUGUCACAGGGCGCCGAGCACAACCUGAUGACGUAUGAGGCGUACAAUAUCAACGGCUACACAUUCUACACCGAGGGAAAGGACAUGAAGAGCGAUGGUUAUCAGAACUCUGGGGUAACGAUGGAAUCCUACACCGGUAACGAUAAGGACAGAUACUACGGAAGGAUCGAGGAGAUCUGGGAGCUGAGCUAUGCUGGAGAGAAGGUCCCGAUGUUCCGUGUCAGAUGGGCCAAGAGCGUCCUAAAAGAAGACCGGUAUUUCACCACCAUGGUUAUACCCGAAGCCAAAUCCAAGACCGCGGGCGCAAACGACACCGUGAAAAAUGAGCCAUGGGUACUGGCUUCCCAAGUGGACCAAUGCUUCUUCAUUACCGACCCGUCAAAGCCCAGUCGUGUUGUCGUGAGGAGAGGCAAAAGGAAGAUCAUCGAAAUGGAUGGAGUCGCCAAUGAGCAAGACUUCGACAAGUACGGCGACCCGAAGAUGGAACAUGACGACGAUGAUGAAGUACCAGCAUACACCACAAGAAGAAGCAGGACCACCCUACCUAAAGGACGUCCGUUCAAGAGAAGAACUCCAUUUACGAAAAAUAAGGGCAAGAAGAUUGUGAACAGAUAGCUAGCUAAGAUCGAUUGUAUUUAAAUUGUAGCCUUCAUUUCUCGAUUGUAUUUCAUGGGCACUUUUUGAACUCAUGAAUAUUUUUAAAUUUCAUGGGCACUUUUUGAAUUCAUGAAUAUUUUUUCAAAUUUCACCGCCGCCGCCGCCGACCCCCCGCACCCUCCCCCGCUCCACCGCCACCGACGACCCACCGCACCCUCCCCCGCUCCACCGCCNNNNNNNNNNNNNNNNNNNNNNNNNNNNNNNNNNNNNNNNNNNNNNNNNNNNNNNNNNNNNNNNNNNNNNNNNNNNNNNNNNNNNNNNNNNNNNNNNNNNNNNNNNNNNNNNNNNNNNNNNNNNNNNNNNNNNNNNNNNNNNNNNNNNNNNNNNNNNNNNNNNNNNNNNNNNNNNNNNNNNNNNNNNNNNNNNNNNNNNNNNNNNNNNNNNNNNNNNNNNNNNNNNNNNNNNNNNNNNNNNNNNNNNNNNNNNNNNNNNNNNNNNNNNNNNNNNNNNNNNNNNNNNNNNNNNNNNNNNNNNNNNNNNNNNNNNNNNNNNNNNNNNNNNNNNNNNNNNNNNNNNNNNNNNNNNNNNNNNNNNNNNNNNNNNNNNNNNNNNNNNNNNNNNNNUCCACCGCCACCGACGACCCCCCGCACCCUCCCCUCUGCCCUCUAUCACAGCGGGGACAACAGGAAGCCGCCGUCGCGCCCCUCUGCACCGGCUGCCCACGGCGCCUCCGUCCCGAAGCCGCAGCCCAAGUGCCCACCACUCUCUGUCCACGGUGAGCCAUCCUCUCUGUCCCAACUCUCUGUUCUUCUUUUUUAGCUAUCCUUUGUUGAAACAGUAGUUGCUGUGUAGCAAAUCUUUGGGAUUAGUGUUCAGUACUUUGUUGGGUGAGCGGCCAUCUGAGACAUCCUGCUUACAUAGUCUCCUUUUUAAAACUCGUCAAAUUGGUUUUAGAUAGAAAUGAUCAACACUCAAUUGGCCAACUGCAUGUGGAAUGAUUUCGAAGGGCGCCAUAACUUAUUGUAGAUGCUGACUACAAUAACAAUACUAAACUCAGUGUAGUCUGUUGUAAAGACACUUGUGCUUCUUUCAUCUGGAAAGGGGUCGUCUGGCCUCCAAAACUGUCAGAUUAGGUUGUGCUGUAACUCCUCACAUGGCCAUGUUUUUGGAAGAUUGGUCGUUUGUCACCGGCCCUUUGGUCACCCAGCAAUGGGACUUGUAUCAUAUUGCCAAUGAGGUUAAUAAAACAGUAGUGCAUCAGUACUUUGUUGGAACAGAAAGUCAGAAAAUCAGAAAAUCCACGGUACUUUGUUUAGAUCUUCACUGUUGACAAACGCAGUCAACUAAAAAUCCAGUUCAGUGCAUAAUUAGUGUUGACAAAUACACUGAUCUUUAUCUGCAGUAAUUCAGUUUAAACUGAAAAUUCAGUGUUGUAGUACAGAAAAUUUAAACUGAAAAUUCAUAGUCUCCUGGUGCAUAUUGAUCUCAGUGUAUGAAUUCAUAGUGUUUCAAAUUACUGAUGCUAUGGUCCAGGAGUAGAAAAAUUUGUACUCCAAGAUCAAUAUGGUUCAAUUUCUACUGUACUGUAAUCAAAGUGGAUAUAAAUUGCAGAGUGUUUAUGUUGGCAUUCGACAACAUCUAAAUUUACCAAAUGAUUGUGAACUCAGUUUAUGUUUGCAACCAAAUGCUUAGUUCAUUGUUUACUCCAAAUGAUUGUGAACUUAUUCAAAGUUUCCAAUAUUGUUCAGACACUACUUGUACUGGAACUGGAACUACUACUACUGAUGCAGCACCCCAUGUAGUUUAAGUUUUCUUUAUCUUAAACUCAGACAGCUCUCUAAUUAUUGGAGUUUAUAUCAUAUAUAUUGCUGGCAUGUAUUUCAUAUGUUCUGUAGCAUUAAGGCUACAUAGCAUUGCUUUUGUCUCUGACCAUCGUGUCGUGAUGAUAUUGUGGGGUGUUGUGGGGUUGCAGAGGCCCUUGAGUUUCAUCGCGAUGAUGCUAAUCGUGAUGACCGCAGCUCUCUUCUAUGUGAUGGUAGUUUAGAUGAUCGAUAUCGACUUGUAAUGUGAAGACAAACUCGCUACUCGCGGUUUCGAGACUUGUAGUGUUCUAACUUUGUUUGGUCUUUUGAAUUCGGAGACUAAUAUGAUGAAUUGUAUUCGGAGACUAAUCUUCUAUUGUAUUCGAUAACUCUGCUGUUUAUAUGUUGUGUGUCUAUAUUCUGUGCAGUAAUAUGUUUUGUAACCUGUGCAAAUAUCAGAAAAGAAAAAAAUCCCUAAUAUUCAUACUAGUGGCGCACCACCCAGAACUUUAGUGGCGCACUGCAAAAUGCAUACUAGUGGUGCAUCAGCAAGCAGUGCGCCAUUAGUAAGCCAGAGACAUGGUUAAAUAUGGCCCCCUGGGAGGCAUUCUAAUGGCGCAUCAUAGGGUGUACUAAUAGCGCACUACAUGGUGCGCCAUUAGUAUCUGAUAUACUAAUGGCACACUUGUGGUGCGCCAUUAGUAAUAAAAUCUAAUGGCAUGGUACUAGUGGCGCACCUGUAGUGCGCCAUUAGUAGGCAAAACAGGUGCGCCACUAGCAGCCCUUUUCCUAGUAGUGUCUAAAACGAUUUUCGAAAAAUUUGUCUUUUCUUCGCCCCUCUUUCGUGCGUCUUCUUCUUUUGCUCUUUGUUCGCUUGUCCGUUUGAUCUUUUAUCUUGCUGUCAUGGCUAGUUUUCCAUCCUUGUUAGCACUCCCAAUAAUAAGGUCCUCAACUUCAAACAAAGGGAAGGAGAAAAUUUAAAAGAUGCUUGGUAUAGAAUUUAUAAUGCUCAAAUUUGAUGAUUACUGCUGGAGAUGACUAACAUCCUAGAUGUUACUCACUAUGUCUAGAUACAUUCGUUUGAGUGUCAACUAAUUCUGAACAUCUUAGGUGUUACUCCCAAGUCUAGAUACAUUUUUUUGAGUGGCAACUAAUUCUGAAUGGAGGAAGUACACAAAGCUAAGCCACAGCCAUGAAAUAUAUAUAGGGCGGGGGGCGCUCGUUCCACAAGGAGCGGCGGGUAGCUUAGCUAUAGCUCGAUCGAUGAAUAUGGCUGUAGAUGGGUUUGGUGAGCUGGGCAUUCGUGUGGUGAGUCGCCGGCUGGUGCUCUGCCUGCCAGCUACUGCUCUGCCUGCCGCUCCACCUCCUUGUCGAUCGCGCCCACCCAAACGGACGUCCAUGACACAUACACCGACAAUGUGCUCCUCCACGGCCACGACUACCCAAGUAGUGGCCACGGCACCUCCUCCACAGGCUCGGGCGUGGGCGGUGCUGGUGGUGGUGGGGGCACGUUGGCCUCCACUCCGGCCGCCAAUUGGGCCAGCGCCUGCGCAAGGCCAGGCCACCUGGCCUUGCUCCUCGCGCUCGGCCUCCACGAUGGCCCUCCAUGUGGCCUCCUCGAGGGACACAACACAGGCCUCCUCGGCAUCCUAAUCCUCCUCCUUCACCACUCCCGGAAGUGGUGGUGGAGUGGCAAGAACGCGUGGUGCACCGGGCGCACACUUGACGCACUACCGGCAAUGUUGGUCGUGCUCGGUGGCAAACCACGCGUCCUAGUUACCGCAUACGUUGGGUCACGGCGGAGGUUGGCUAGGAGUAGAGCAUGGGAUCUCCGUCAGCUGUGCGCGGCCUGAGGCCGGCACCGGAACCCUAGCAAGGUUGAGGUCCCACCCGUGCGGUAGGUUCACACUGGGCUAUGGCGCAGGCACGCCAUACUCCCAAAAGUACUGGUAGCGGUGCAUCGGCAUGUAGUGCCGAAACCAUGGCUGCCGACUCAAGGUCGAUUUAUCUGUUCUUAUAAACUAGCGAAUUAGCAACUAUAUUACCCAAGAGUAACAACCAAGUCAUAUAUACAAUGUACGCUUGCAACCAUUGAAUAAAUUGUACAGAAUACCAAACAAAGAAGAUUGAACGAGGUCGUGGAACAACUCACAUGCACCAUCCACAGGUCAAGUGGAUGAUCCCAAUGAUGAGCGAAUGAUCCUAAUGACGAGCAGUUGGCGAGAUUAUGUUGCUCUUGUGAUGGUUAGUGAUGUCUGCGCUAGAGCUUGCUUACAACCUUGCGAGGUAAGGAGCUACGGCUACAUGCGUAUUAGGUUUUAUAAGCCGUGAAACCUCGAUAAAAGUUGCCGCUAUAAGUUUUUUCUUCAUGUCACUAUAAACCUUAUNNNNNNNNNNNNNNNNNNNNNNNNNNNNNNNNNNNNNNNNNNNNNNNNNNNNNNNNNNNNNNNNNNNNNNNNNNNNNNNNNNNNNNNNNNNNNNNNNNNNNNNNNNNNNNNNNNNNNNNNNNNNNNNNNNNNNNNNNNNNNNNNNNNNNNNNNNNNNNNNNNNNNNNNNNNNNNNNNNNNNNNNNNNNNNNNNNNNNNNNNNNNNNNNNNNNNNNNNNNNNNNNNNNNNNNNNNNNNNNNNNNNNNNNNNNNNNNNNNNNNNNNNNNNNNNNNNNNNNNNNNNNNNNNNNNNNNNNNNNNNNNNNNNNNNNNNNNNNNNNNNNNNNNNNNNNNNNNNNNNNNNNNNNNNNNNNNNNNNNNNNNNNNNNNNNNNNNNNNNNNNNNNNNNNNNNNNNNNNNNNNNNNNNNNNNNNNNNNNNNNNNNNNNNNNNNNNNNNNNNNNNNNNNNNNNNNNNNNNNNNNNNNNNNNNNNNNNNNNNNNNNNNNNNNNNNNNNNNNNNNNNNNNNNNNNNNNNNNNNNNNNNNNNNNNNNNNNNNNNNNNNNNNNNNNNNNNNNNNNNNNNNNNNNNNNNNNUAUAUAUGUAUAUAUAUAUGGGGCAUGAAACUGCAAACUACCACUAUUGUUGCCGGUGGACCUCCCGGCUCCGGUGCACAUCCCAACGUCGCCCUCGUGAAGCAAGCGAAUGGCCCCGCGAGCAUGUGGACGUUGUCCAUGUGGCAUUGGGUUCCCGCUUCUUGAGUGAACCGGAAAAAAAACCCAAAGCUGGUCAAUCUUCGGCUCGAAAGGAAGCCUGGCUUAUGGUUUUGUGUUUUCGCGCCGGCGUAGCCGCUCUCCGUCUGGGUGAGCGAGCGGUGGAGGACUGCCGCAAUGGAGGAGAUGGUGGUCCUUGGGCCCCGAUGCCUUUCGUGGCAUGAGGGCCGUGUCUUGUAUUCGAUGGCCGGGGACGCCAUCCGGAGCAGCUUGAGAAGGCACCGUCGGGGCUUUGCGCUUGCACCCCUAUGCAGCCAUGCCCGGCGCAGCGGGCUGUCCGCUGUGUGUCUUGCGGAGUCUGAGUGCAUCCAUCGGCUGAUUUUUAUUUUAUUCUUUCGAUGAGGAUUAGUAGUCGGAGAGUAGAUAGGUUCUUCCUCGAUCCCAUGAUAUAAAAGCUUGGGUGUUCGUUGACGCUAGCAAUGUCAAAAACGCUCUUAUAAAAUGGGAGGGAGUCCCUCGCAAAGAAAAAAAGAGAGUAGAUAGCUACUUUAUCUUUUAUUUUGAAGGUGGGAGUAGAUUGAUAACUACUUAGUGCACGUACGAAAAGAAAGACACGAUCGCCUAAAAAAAAGAAAUACUAUAUUGAGAUAUAUAUAGGGCGUGCGGGCGCUAGCAGUUCCACAACGAGCGGCGGGUAGCUAGGUUCAACAUCCAUAUAGGUUGAAUAUGGCUGUAGAUGGGUUUGGCGAGGUGGGCAUUCGUGUGGUGAGUCGCCGGCUGGUGAAGGCAUCCGACCCCUCCAUCCAACCGCAGGUGGUGCCCCUCUCCAACCUCGACCUGUACGUCGGCAACGUACAAGUCGCCAUACUAUGCCUCUAUCCCAAGCCUCCGGCGGGCAGGGAUUUCGCCGGCGUGGUGGCCACCUUCGAGUCCUUGCUGCCGGCUUUACUCAACGAGUUCUACCCUUUCGCCGGCCGCAUCGGCACCAACCCAAGCUCAGGCCUCCCCGAGCUGCUCUGCCAGAACCAGGGCGCAGAGCUGGUCGUGGGAGAGGUCCGCGUCGCUCUGGGGAGCCUGGACUACGGCCUGGCGGACAAGUCCCUGAAGAAGCUGAUGCUCCCGUACGCGGAGGACGUCACCUUCUCGGUGCAGCUGCUAUCCUUCGCCUGCGGCAGCUUCUCCGUGCUGUGGGCAACCAACCACCUCGUCGGCGACGGCCAUGACAACAUCAGGUUCCUGCGGAUGUGGUCUGAGCUCGCACGAACGGGCAAAAUCGUCGCCGACGGCGGGGACGGAAAGCUAAGCCACGACCGCUCGGUGUUCCGCCCUCGCAACCCGCCGUCAUACAGAGCCUCGCUCGCCACCGACCUAACGACGUUCGACCCGCGCCGGCUGGUAAACGUCCUGACGGCCCACGACAGCUUCGUCGACCGCCUCUACUACAUCGACGCGGCCGACAUCGCCAGGCUGCGCGAGAUGGCGAGCACCAAGCUGCAGCGCUCGUCACGCGUCCAGGCCGUGUCCGCGUACCUGUGGAAGGUCCUCGCCGGCGUGGUUGCCGCUUCCCGCGUGCCCGAGGAGCGCUGCCGCAUGGGGUGGUGGGUGAGCGCGCGCCGUCGUCUCACGUCGCCUGACCUCGCCUCUGCGAUGCGCAACUACUUCGGCAACGUCACGACCUAUGCCUACGGGGACGCGACGCUGGAGGAGAUCCAGCGCAAGUCGCUCGCGGAGGUGGCGGCCAUGGCGCGGGAGCCGGUCGCCUCCGUCAACUACGACGAGUACAUCCAGGAUCUGGUGGACUUCGUGGAGGUGCACAAGGGACAAGGGCUGAUGGAGACGGCCGUCGUCGGGCUGGGCAGCCCGACCCUAAGCCAGUCCGUGUUCGACUCAUUCCCACUCGACACCGACUUCGGCUUCGGCCAAGCUGCUCUCGCCAUGCCCAUCUCCGACUUCGCCAACCUCUGCUCAGCCUACCUGUCCAUCAGCGCGCGGCCGGCAGGCGACGGCUCCUGGCUCGUCAGUGCCUACAUAUGGCCGCGUCUCGCCGCCGCCCUCGAGGCCGAUGAGCAGCACAUCUUCAAGCCUCUCACGGCGGACUACCUUGGCCUCACAGCCUGCUAGACAACACCCACGCUAUUCUGUGUGUUCUUUUAGCCAACAAUAAAAUUCCUUGGUGUUUUGCUCUUCUUCCAACAAUAAAAUCCUUGUGUUGUGUUGUGUGGUGCUAUGUACUUUGGUUUUUUUCUUCAUCCAACAAUAAAGUUAGGAAGCGUUACUUUUUGAAAAAUAGCACACCUUAUAUAUACAUUUACUUUGAAAGUUAGAGAGGAUUUACUUUGAAAGUCACAGGUUUGCCAAGCACCUGAGGAAAAACACUCGGCAAAGCCAGCCCUUGGUUUCCGUCAGCCAAUAAAAGAUAGAUCACACGCGUGGCCGCCUGCUUAGCUAUAACCAAGGGCUCGCCGCCGCCAUACCCCCUUCACCUCCCCGCUGCCCCCAUCGGCCUCCUAAUUCCGACCACAGCCGCCUCUAUCCCCCACUAGCCGUCCAACUUUCUCCUCUUCAUAGAUCUAAAACUAGGAAUGGGUUGGAGGGCUCAAUGAACUAGAUCUACUAUAUAGUCAUCUUUGAGCUCAGCUAUUGGGCAUCAUUGCUAGUUGCAAGCUCCCAAUUGGUCACAUCACUGCUAUUCAUAUACCAGCGGGAUCAAAUUGGCCUCUACACGAGUAAGUUGGUCCCUACGGUGAAGUACAGCAGUGGGCCCAUAUUGGCACCCACCACUGAUAGGUGGCAAAGUAAAAUUGGCAUGUGAAAAGAAUUGCCAUGUACUGAUAAGAAUUUACCAGUGCGGUCCCACUUUGCACACACCACUGGGAAAAAAAUGAGACCAACCCAAGGGAUAACCCUCGUUGGCAUUUUCUUUAUAGGAGAAACUUCGCGAGCACCACACGUCCAAGCCGAAGCUCGAACUCGCGUGGGCUGGCAGCUACCCCAGCUACCGAGCCGACGGGUCGACGCCCCGUCCUCGCACACACCUAUGUGAUUUGGCUAUAUUAUGAGUUGGUGGGCCAUUAGUGUUUUAUGCAUAUUCCAAAAAAUCACAUUGUUUUACCAAUAUUCUGCGGCAGAAGCUUAUCCUCAAAGUGCACAUAUCCCAUAUUUACGAAAAAUACUCGUUUAUUCGUUUUUCUGCAGACCGCUCGGCGUUAAGGUUGGUUUACAGCCGAGCAAGCCGACUGCUCGGCGGGAUGAAGAUGAAAAGGCAGUGGGCUAAGCCGCGUGUGUUUUAUCAACUACAUGGGCUACAUUUAGGUAUUUCAAAACCAAAGGGCAAUAUAUAAGCCGAGUAAGGCGUUAGAGGACACUCGGCCAAUACCAAGACGUCGUCAUGGAGCCGUCAAGCACGUGGCAAUAGAAACACUGCAGUUGCUUGCGUGAGCCACACGUGUAUGCCGUGGUUUUUCUACAUAAUAUAUCGUGUUCUUUCUGUAGGCCAUGCGUCUUUUUACGUUGUAUUCGGUUUACAUGGAGCUAAGUUGAGGGACCUGCAAAUGCCGUGUGUUUUCAAGAUGGUACUCGGCUUAGGGUCUCUUUGAUUCAAAGGAUUUUGAUAGGAUCUUUGAAGGAUUAAAAUCCUGAGGAAGUUUUCCUAUGUUGGUCGUUUGAUUUGUAGGAUUGAAUCAUGUAGGAUUUUUUUCUAAAGAUGUAUUUGUACUACAUUUUACAGGAAUUCUAACAUCCACUCCAACCUUUUGGAAGAAAUCCUUUGUUUUCUCCAUGACACAAUCAAACAAACUCAAAUCCUAUAGGAAUCCAAUGGACAUGUCAUUCCAAUCCUACGUUUUUCCUAUGGAAAACUAUUAAAAUCAUCCGACUUAUUUUUCACGAACGUAAACCGUCUUUGACGGACGCCACGUGUCCCUGCUGGUCGCUCACUCCUUAUCCUUAUCUUUUCUCCAGAAGAAGCGUGAGCCACUCAUUCCUUUUCCUCCUUUUUCUUCUUCCUUCGAGCAAACAUGCUUUCCCAGGGACGGCUCUCUCCAGCAAUCCCAGUCGCCGCUCACUUCGUGUUGAUGUAGGGCUAGGCUGAGAGGAUGCUCCUUCCAUGGCCGGCGGCGGAGCUGCGUUUGGUGAUGCGCGACGAUGUUGCGGCCACGUUGACGGCAAAGCUGCGUUGGAGCAGAAGGUGCUACGAGCUGCUGCCAUGACCGGCGGCGCUACUGCACAGCAACGGCGAAGCUGCGUUUCAGCAGCAAACAGCUAUGAGCUGCUGCCAUGGCGGGCAGCAGAGCUACAUGGCAGCAUGCAGCAGGCGAUGCGUCAAUGAAACUUGGCCGGAGCUCCAUUGAAGCUUCGCCGGUGCGUCAAUGAAACUUCGCCGGAGCUCCAUUGAAGCUUCGCCGGUGCGUCAAUGAAGCUUGGCCGUAGCUCCAUUGGAGCUUCGCCGGGGCGUCAAUGAAACUUCGCCGGAGCUCCAUUGAAGCUUCGCCAGUGCGUCAAUGAAGCUUCGACGGGGUGGCUCGGUGUUGCUAUGGAGCAGCACCCGGUGGCUCUCGGUGUUGUGAUGCAGCGGUCGCCGGUGGCUCCGGGGACGCGAGGUCGCCGAGGCAGGGUGACAGGGGAGGGUCUGCGUUGCUCUGCAUCAGGAGGAGUUGUUGUGCGCUGCUCUGUAUCAGAUGGCUGGGGAUUAGUGGAGAAAGGCCCAGGUUGUGUCGCGGCGAUCGAACGACCAUCUGUGCGGACCGAACGGCUGGCUGGGCGGAUGAUAUCUCUAGGAAAUCAUCCGCCUGAUUUGUAGCAGCCGCCUCCUAUUCCUGUGUUUUUGCAAUUCUAUGAAUCUGUCUAAGACGAGUAUCCGAGAAAAUACACCCGGCUUACCAAAAAGCACUAAGCAACAUGUCUUUUUCUCGUAGUGGCCUUUUAAGGUUUUUAUUUUACUUCAUAUAGGGCUCAAAGAGCCAACCUCGCCACCAACAUCGCCUACCAAACUUUGCCCAAGACGUCAUGUCCAUGAUCACAGACCAGUCAGGUUUAAACAUGUUUUCAUCUCUAUGAAAUUCACACAAAAAUUCCAAAUUGACUAGGUGUUUAAACUUAUGUUUCGACAAAGACUCAGACACCUGGACAUUUGAAAAUAGGACAAACGUCGACGCUCACAUGGACGCACCUAGACUCACAUCUAUGAACUUAUACACUAUCUCACUAAAUAGCAUAAAACUACUACAAUUCGGACUAGAGUUUCAAAAAACUACUAAAUAUAUUUUUCCGCUCAUAACUACUAAAUCAGGGGUCGGCUGUUUCAAAAAACCCAAAUCAUCGAGUCUUUAGUAAUUGAUCACGAUUAUGACAGUUGGGGCCAAGCGUAAGAUAACCGUUUGUUUGACCGUUUAGUUUGAAUGUUAACUUACAUGUGGGUCCCACAUGUUAGUUUUUUUAAAAGCAAUCAGGUCCCUGUAAGUUUUCUAAAAUAGCAACCGGGUACAUGUGAGUUUUCUAUAAGGUCCCUAAAAGUUUUUGCAAAAAGCAAUAUAAUCAGGUCUCCAGAGGAGCCGCGCCCGCGGCAGCCUGCUCGAUCCCGAGCGCUCUGCCCGAACCACGACGCUGCCUCCAUCGGCCGGCCAGCCGCGCCCGCAACGGCCGAAUCCACGCCGUGCCUCGCCUGCCACCAUGGCGUGACUCGCAUGCCGCCAUGUCAUGCCUCGCUGGCGGCCGCUGCCACGCCGUGCCUCACCUGUGGCUGCCGCCAUCCCCUGCCGCGAGCUCCUCAAGCUAGACGUGGACGGCCUGCGCCGCUGCUGGAGUGCGCACCUCCCAUUGCCGCGGACGAGGUCGCUGUCUGCUAUGCCUCCUCGAAGCCACCGUCACCACCAGGAGCUACGGUGAGCACCUACCACGACCAUGGGGAGGGUGGGAAGGAGAGGGAGGGUCGCCGCCAGCCAGGCCCGGCCCGGAUGGAGGGGUAGGGGGCGGCCGCCCCAGGCCCCCGAAAUUGAGGGGACCCCACGUUCGUGUGCUCUCUGUAUCCAGCCCAUGUGCUCUCUGUAUCCAGCUGAUGAGAAAAAAUGAUUCUGGGCUACUUUUGAUGAAACAGACCUGUACAUGUAGUGGAACUUGUGUUUCCCUCGCGUAGGUCCGCGGAUGACGACAUGAGCGAUCAACCUAGCGAUAUAUCCUACAAGCCCGAGGGAAACCCCGCCGCCGACACAGCCUCCUCCCGUGGAGGCCUCCCCCGAUGAUUUCUCGUCCAAUGGCGGAUCGAGUAAUUUCAUGUUCAUCGCCCUGGACAGGAGUAACAACACCACCGGCCCUGGCAGGCAGUUUUAAACUACAGAGGUCAGGUUAGCAUCUUCCUGAUGCAUCAUCCAACGGAGCUAGCUAGAUUGAUAUGUGACUAGUUGGUGGCAGAAUUAUUAGAUCUAGUGUAUUAGCGGAGAGGAGUAGGACGUAGUUGUCCUUCUGACUAAUUUUUUUAAUGCAAUCCUUCCGAUUAAUUAAUCUGGUCGUGUUGGAGAUCGAUGAAAGAUGAGGGGAGAGGAUGUCUAGAAUCCAUGGGAUAAUGAUAAUUGGCAAGCUGAAAUUAAUUGGAGGAUUCAUGGUCGAUUCAAUAUGAUUAGGUGGCAAAAUUAAUUUUUAGUAGCUAAAAAAAUUAACUUUUAGUGUUGCAAACUAUGAAGCUAUUCUACCUGCAUGCCACCAAGAGCAGUUCAAAUUACUUUUUGUUUGCCAAACUAUGAAAUAUACAAUGCAUGAAACUUCCCUAUCAAAAUCUUAGCAAAAGUGAGAAAUAAUAAUUAUAAUAAUGUAUAAUUAGAACCCGGAACUAGGUCGACCAGCUGGUUUUGCACGCCAUGAUAAAAAAAUUAACAACAAUUCAUGUUUAAAAUUUAUCUAGACAUGCACAUAAUGAUUAUAAUUUUGGAUAUAUAAAGGGCCUCCGAUUGUAUUUUUGCCCCGGGCCCCUGAAAUCUCAGGACCGGCCGUGCCGCUAGCUUGGGAUGGGAGGGGACGGUCGUCGGCUUGGGAGCGGAGGGGAGGGUCGCCGGCUUGGGAGGGGAGAUGGCCUGCUCGGGAGACACCAGAAGAGAGACGAGAAGAGACAAAGAGGAAGAAGAAAGAGAAUAGCAAGAGGAAACUUACAUGUAGGCCCCACAUGUAAGUUAACGGCCAAACUAAGGUCAAACUGACAGUUUGUUUAGGUGCGGGCCCAACCUGUCGUGACCGUGAUCAACCGAUAAGGACUCGGGGAUUUGGGUUUUUUGAAACAGCCGACCCCCCGGCUUGGUAGUUAUCAGCAAAAAGAAUUUGGUAGUGUUUUGUAACCCUAACGUGAAUUGUAGUAGUUUUAUGCUAUUUACUCAAACGAUCUCUAUGAGCAUUUUCAAGAUACUGAACCGGCACAUCAUUUUGAGAUUGGUGAACACCACAGACGUCUUCAUAGUUGACAGAAACGUCUCCUCCCAAUGAACGAACAUCGCAAAAGCCUGAAAUAAAUCCCAAAAACUGUCAGCACCAUUACCAAGUUUAAAACUUGAACCCUGAUAGGGUUGGUUCCACCACAAGAAAUCUAACUAUUUGAGCCAUGCACAUCUCAUAGUUUUCCCUGUGGCCAUGGAGGGUGCCACAUAUGUAACCCAUUAAUAUGGGAACCCAUACCUGUAAGCUUGUCAGCAUUUAUAGGCUAUAUAUGCUAAUCAAUUAUAAAAAAAACUGGGAUAACAAGUUUGAACUACACCCAUUAUUCCUCCGCCUAUAUAUUGUCGUGCAUGCAUGCCAGUGCCAUAUACGGAAACAAACCGACCGAGAAGGCCCUUAAUUAACAGCUAGCUAGCUCUCUUGGUCGAAUAUGGUAACUGCUAAUGCUAUUGGCUCCGGCGACCUGAGCAUCCGUGUCCUGAGUCGCCGCCUUGUCAAGGCCUCCGACCCAUCUACCAAGCCGCACGUAGCCGCCUUCUCGAACCUCGACCUCUACCCUGGCAACGAGCAGGCCUCGAUAGUAUGCCUCUACCCCAAGCUCCCAAACGCCGGUGACUUCCCGGCGGUUGUAGCCACCUUCGACUCCAUCCUCCCGUCGUUGCUCAACGACUUCUACCAUUUCGCCGGGCGCAUCCGCACCAACCCAAGCUCCGGCCUCCCCGAGCUGCUCUGCGACAACCAAGGCGCAGAGCUGGUGGUCGGCGAGGCCGGUGUCGCCAUGGCCAGCCUGGACUACGGCCUGGCGGAGCAGUCGUUGAAGAAGAUAAUGCUUCCGUACGCCGAGGACGUCACGCUCUCGGUUCAGCUGCUCUCCUUCGCCUGUGGCGGCUUCUCCGUCGUGUGGGCGACCAACAACCUUGUGUGUGACGGCCAAGCCUUCACCAUGUUCGUCAGGAGGUGGUCCGAGCUCGCCCGAACUGGGCGCAUCGUCGACGGACCGCCCAACCAUGACCGCUCGGUGUUCAGCCCUCGCAGGCCGCCGUCGUACGGAGCCUCGAUCAGGGACAUGUUCGCGACGUACGACCAUGACCGGCUGGUGAACGUGCUGACGGCGCACGACAGCUUCGUCGAGCGCCUCUACUACAUCGAGGCGAGCGACAUCGCUGCCCUGCGGGAGGCGGCAAGCAGCAAGCUCCAGCGCCCGUCGCGCGUCCAGGCGGUGUCCGCGUACCUGUGGAAGGCCCUCGCCCGCGUGGUGGCCGCGUCCCGCGUGCCGGAGGAGCGCUGCUGCAUGGGGUGGAUGGUGGACGCGCGGCGGCGGGUGAAGGCGCCGGAGCUCGUCCGGGCGAUGGGCAACUACUUCGGCAACGUUACGGCCUACGCUCUCGGGGAGGCAGCCGUUGAGGAGAUACAGGAGAAGGAGCUGUCGGAGGUGGCGGCCAUGGUGCGGGAGACCAUCACGUCUAUCGACUACGAUGAGUACACCCAGGAGCUGGUGGACUGGGUGGAGGAGCACAAGACAGAGAGGCUGAUGGAGAAGGGCGUCAUCGGGCUCGGUACGCCCACCUUGAACCAGACGGUGUUCGCGUCGUUCCCGCUCGACACCGACUUCGGCUUCGGCCAUGCCGUGCUGGCAAUGCCCAUGUGCGACUACGGGAGGCUCAGCUCGGGGUACCUGUCGAUCGGAGCUCGGCCGGGAGGCGACGGCUCCUGGCUGGUCAACGCCUACAUAUGGCCUCGCCUCGCGGCGGCGCUUGAGUCGGACCAGCAGCGCAUCUUCAAGCCUCUCACGGCGGAGUAUCUAGGGCUCGUCUAGGCGUACCACUCUGCUGUCUGCCCGGUUUCUUCUUCAAUAAGUCUUUGCUUCGUCUUUUGAGGCAUGAAAGCAGCUCGUGCUUGUUUUACUUCCACCUAUUUUGCAAUACCCCAAAUAAAGCCCUUCUGUGUGGAGGGUAGUUUGUUUGAUCAAUAAAUGUUUGAGUCGUUCAUAAGGUUUCCUUGAUUAGUAUACAAAUCAGUUGAUGACUACGUUUCACAACUCAUGUGCAUGGAGAUGCUAAACCGAUAGUAUGGACUCGGGGAUGGAGACCACGCAGUCGGACAUACCAACUCUGAGACGCAGCGAGAUGUUGUCAUAUGUUAGUGUCAAGCACAAUGUUUAUGCCAUGUCCUAGACCUAAGGUCCUCGCAUGUUCUCGGGAUGAGUAUCGACUCACUUAAGGUCUAUCAAACGCUACUCCAUAACUGGCUAGAUAUAAAUGUAGCUUUUGGGUGGGUGGUGAGAUAUGCCGCGAGACAUGGCCGACCAAGAUGGGAUUUACCCCUCCUAUUUGAAGAGAUAUUUUCUGGACCCUCUCGAGGGAUCGGAUUCGGAAAGCAUGACCAUGCGACUUGGUUAAGUGUUAACCCAGUGCGGGAAUCUAUAUCACGGUGUCAAGAAGAGAGGUCGAGCUACCACAAGGGUGACAAGUACUCACCUUGAGCUUGACAACAUAUAUCGUGAGGCAAAAGGAAUGUUGCAGAUGAUACAUUGUCGAGGUUCUUCGAACGACUUUACACGCACAUGAGAGUUGGCACGUUCAGCGAGGAGCUGCUACCAACUAUCGACUCUGGUCGUGUCCAUGUGUACGUAAACCUAUAGGGUCGCACACUUAAGGGGCUGCAGGCCAUUCGGAUUGGAUUCGAGUGGAAAUGGUUUUACUCCUAGUGGGCCUCAAGUAUUGAGCCUAUCUCGGAGGUCUAUAUAUAGGGGAGUGGCCGCACAACUGAGGUUGAUCUUUUUCCACCAUGGACAGCCUCCAUCGCAACUCCCCACGCCCAUCCCGCGCGACCUAACCUAGAUGCCUACCGCCCGACGCUGCUCCCCGUACGUGUGGAUACCUUGCAGGCAUCGCAUCCGUGGUGCUUGGAUGAACUGUUCGAGGGAACCGCGAGGUGCCGUUCGCGGGAGAUCAACGUUCACAGGUCUUUGUUGUUCGCGGGAGAUCGACGACGCGAGGAGGAGACGCCUCGGGAGAUCGUCUACAUGCAUCUCCAACUCUAUUUUCUGCUGCGGUUACUGCGCGUCUAGUGGUAAACUCGAUCUCAUGAUCUAUUUCCAGCAACUUGAUCUUGGGUGCGUGGUAGAAUUUUUUUUAUUUGGCUCUAGCUUAGCAUACCGCGUGUUUCUACAGUCGUAUCAGAGCCUAUGCUACGUGGUAUUAGAUUCAAGGUAGAAUUUUCAAAUGAUGAUAUGUAGAUUGCUUUAUGUACUGGCCGAUGAGAUCGGUUGUCAAUAUGAUUGACUAUACAUGGUGUCAGGCAUUCGAAAUUGUGAUCUAAUUUUCCGUGAUGAUGUUGUGGAGGUCGUGGCACAAAUUACCUAUACCGGUCGGUUUCGGCCAUCGGGUAAGACAGUGGAACGUAAAGUCGGUCACAACACGCGAAGACCAAUGAGAUUGGUUGAAUCAGAUAGAUGGUCAAAAUAGGAUAAAUAUGAUUUGCCGGUGAAAAUUCCCAUGCAAAAAUGCAUAGAUAUUGCAAGGGCGCUGCCAGUUGACCCCACAGGGGGCAAAGCCCCAUCGACCCCCAUCCUGUUAAUCUCUUAGGGCGGUGGAUAACUUGUUUUUGCAGGUAAUGCUUGUGAUUUGGUACAACCCGGGUAUGUUGCAUGUACGUAAUUAUAUCAUGACCUGCGUGUCGAGAGUACAAUAACUGGUUGGAGCCAUAUGGUUGUCCCAUUAUUGUAUUAAUGACCUUCAUGUCAACAUGAGAAGCAUUGUAUUGUUAUUUACUUUCAAUAGCUAUUAGUUUGUAAUAGCGUAGUAUCUUAUGUAACACUUGGCGGUUGACACCAUGGCGUGGAGAUGAAGAUCUCCACGAGGACAACCAUGCAUGGAGAUGGAGAUCACCAUGGGCAGGCCGUGCAGGUGGAGACGAAGAUCACCAUGCGAUAUCAAAAGGGGCUAAACCAUAUCACACAUAUAAACUGCCUGUGAAAGUUUAUCUCUGUUAUGCACCCUUCUUUUGCAUGGUAGACGUUUCAAGUAGGGUGAUCCCUCAAAGAAUGUCAAGUAAAAAUGCCUCUCCAAAUGUUGCACCAUCACACAUCAAGUAUACUUAGUGGUGGGAUUAUAAAAUUAAGGUGCCAUUUGGUGUCCUUGAAGUGAUGGGUUCGGUUCGGACACUUACAUGCAUAGCAUUGGUUAUCUUGUCGUGGCUAUCAAAACAGUUUUGGGCCUCGAGGCGUAGGAGUUGGUGCGACAUGAGAUGUCCCCAACAACAAGAGUCGUAUGGAGACACGAUUAGCAAGAAAUACUUAUGGAGUGAUCUCGUCUUCUAGCAGUGAUGCAAAUGCUCACUAGUUAACAUGUUGAUCUUGGAUCUUGAAUCACUAAGUAUCAUCUGAGGGAUGUUGAUUUUAUUUGGAGUGAUGAUCUUAUUAAAAUGUUUAAUAUGAAUUACUCUUCAUGAAUACAUGUCUUAGUGUUUUGCAUCUUUCUGUUGGAGAUCAGAGGCACCACCUGCUCAAGUUACUCCUUUUGCGCUGAAAACAAUCCUAGAAAAAGAUAAAUGGAAUGGGACAAACUUUACGACCUGGUAUAGAAAUCUGGGAAUUGUUCUUAGGCAUGAGAAAAAGGACCAAGUUCUAGAAAAUCCGCUUCCAGAUGUACCUGCCAAGAAUGCUAAUGCCACAACCAGGAGUGCCUACCAGAAACCCAUUGAUGAAUAAAAUGAGAUCAUCUAUCUCAUGCCGGCUUCAAUGGAGCCCGAUCUACAGCAGCAGUUCGAAAACAUUAAGGCUUUCGAUAUGAUCGAGAACCUCAAAAGCAUGUUUCUGAUGUAGGCUAGGACCGAAAGGUUCAACGUCUGGCUAUCCUUGAUGGAUUGUAAGUUGAAUGAAAGUGAUCAAGAUGACUAGGUACAUGCAAGCUUUGGAUUGGUUGGGCUUCCCACUUGGGAACGUUCAACUCGAACUACCAUAUGCAUGGGAUGGAAAAGAAGCUCACUGAAUUGCAUGGGAUGCUCAAGGUGGCAGAGCAGGAUAUAAAGAAAGUUACGCAUCGUCAAGUGUUGAUGGUGCAGAACUGGGCUAAGUUCAAGAAGAGAUGUUCCAAGAAAAAGCAUAAGGCAAACGGCCAGGAGGAGAAGGCAACUCCAACUUCUGCCGUUGCGCCUAAGUCAGGGCCAGCCGGGGACCGUUUUCUUUCACUGUAAGGAACACGGCCACUAGAAAAUGAACUGCAACAAGUGGCUUGUCGAGAAGGGCAAGAAGACUGGAAGUGUCACUUCUUCAAGUACACUUAUUGUAUAUGUUAUAGACAUUUAUCUUGCUGAUGUUUCUAGUAGCUCUUAGGUAUAUGUUACCGGAUCGGAUGUUCACAUAUGCAUCUCGAUGCAGAGUCUAAGAAGAACUAGGAAUGUUGGAAGAGAAGUUGACAUACACAUCGUGAAUAAAGCAAGAGUUGAUGCAUUGGCCGUCAGCACUAUGCAACUUAAUUUACCUUCAGGAUUUGGAAUGGAACUUGAUAAUUGUAAUUAUGUUCCUGCUUUGAGUCAAAACAUUAUUUCUGCCUCAUGUUUGAUGAUACAAGUUUAUGAAAUAAGUAUUAAGGACAAUGGUUGUUCUAUGUACUUGAAUAAAAUGUUUCAUGGCUUUCCACCUAUUGUGAACGGGUUAUUAAUCCUAGAUCUUGAAGGUGAGCCAGUCUAUAACAUAAAUGUCAAGAGGCAUAAGCCUAACGAAAUAAACCCGACUUACAUCUGGCAUUGUCGACUAGUACACAUUAGUAAAAGUGCAUGAGGAAGCUCAAUGAUGAUGGAAUUCUAACUUCAUUUGAUUUUGAAUCAUUCGAGACAUGUGAGUGUUGCCUUCUUGGCAAGAUGACUCAGACUCCUUUUGCAAGGAGUUGCGAAAGGACGUCCGAGUUAUCGAAACUCAUCAUAGUGAUGUAUGUGGACCAAUGAGCACGACAGCAGGUGGUUUCCAAUAUUUCGUGACGUUUACAGAAAACUUGAGUAGAUUUGGAUAUGUCUACUUGAUGAGGCACAAGUUAGAAACUUUUGGAAAGUUCAAGGAGUUUGAGAGCGAAGUGGAGAAUCAACUCGGCAAGAGAAUCAAACUUCUACGAUCUGAUCGUGGCGGUGAGUAUAUGAGCCAGGAGUUUGAUGAUUAUCUAAAGAGUCGUGGAAUAGUUCCACAACUGUAUCCUCGGGGUAUGCCACAGAGAAAUGGCGUGUUGGAACGAAGGAAUCGGACUCUGUUAGACAUGGUCCAAUCAAUGACGAGUCGGUCGGAUUUACCUUUGUUAUUUUGGCGAUACGCUCUAGAAACUGCGUAUUUCACACUAAAUAGGGUACCAUCCAAGUUUGUAGAUAAGACGGCAUAUGAGAUAUGGACUGCGAAGAGUCACAGUUUGUCUUCUCUAAAAAUUUGGGGUUGUGAAGCAUACGUCAAGCGACUCCAGUCAGACAAGCGCACACCCAAGUCGGACAAGUGCAUAUUCGUGGGGUAUCCAAGGGAAACCUUGGGAUCUUACUCCUACAUCCGUGAAGACUGCAAAGCGUUUGUCGCUCGACAUGGAGUUUUCCUUGAGAAAGAGUUUCUCAAUCAGAAGGCUAGUGGGAGGAUGAUACGACUCGAGGAAAUUCGAGAACCACAUGGAGUUAGUCAGGGAACCCAUGGUGGAGUCGACGCCAAUUCCACGGAGGUCAGAAAGGUUGCGCAAUAUGCAUGACUGCAAUGUGUUGUUCUUGGAGAACAACGAGCCGGCAACGUAUGCGGAAGCCAUAGAGAGCCCUGAUUCCGAGUUAUUGCUUGAGGCCAUGAGAUCCGGAUUAAAGUCCAUGGAUGGCAAUCAAGCUUGGAACUUGGUUGAUCUGCCAGAUGGCGCUCGAGGCAUUGAGUGCAAACUGGUAGUGAUGCCUAAAUAAAUUAGGACCAUUCUUGCUAUAUCUGCAUAUUUCGACUAUGUUACUAUUAUGUUCUUCAACAGAAGGUCCCAAAUGUUGUUGUGCCUCUGCUGAUGGACGCCGAAAGUGAGAUGACAAUUGUUUGCCCUUUGAAGAUCAGAUUCAAAUAUACAUACUCGACCGAGCGUUAAUCAAAUGGAUGCCUCAAAAUUGAGUGAUGGAGGCAAAUAGUCAAUGAGCUCGGGCCACAAAUUGGAGACCGGGGAUCUCUGUGGUCCAUCAUGGAGAUGUAGUUUUUUUUCUCUGUUUUAUUCUAUUUUACCUAAGACACUGGAGUAGGUCAUAGUACUUGUCAUGUGCUUGAAAGUUACUUACCUAGGAUGAUGACAAUUAGUUAGUAGUGGUUAACUUAUGAUGAUGAUGAUGGUGAUGAUGGUGAUGAUGAUGAUGAUGAGACAUUUUUAUAUAAUUAUGAUCAUGAUGAGCUGUUAUAUCACUACGAUGAUGAUGAGUUAUAUCAUUUUGAUAAUGAUGAGUUGUUACAUGAUGAUGAUGAUGAUGAUGAUGAUGAUGAUGAUGAUGAUGAUGAUGAGUUGUUAUAUAGUUGCUUGUGUAUAAAAAUCUGUAUAAUUAUUGUAUAAAUAUAGUAUAAUAUGUAGAAAGGAAAUACAUAGAGUUAGUAGUGGCGGGGGGCCUCGCGCUAUAGCUAGUUAUUAGUAGCACGGGCCAAACACCGCGCUGCUCCUAAUGUAAGUAGUAUUAGAGCCGAGCCUGGCCCGUCUUACUAGGAACCAGUUAGCUACACGCUGAUGAGUUGUUAUAUGAUGAUGAUGAUGAUGAUGAGUUUUUAUAUAGUUGCUAAUGUAAGUAGCGAGGCAACCCGCACUACUCCUAUGCCUUUAAACCGCGCCACUACUAGCCUUAUCCCUUGUAGUGACGGGCAGAUGGAGCGAUGAAAUGCGCAUGUCCUCAAUGGGCUCCAAACGAGAACAUUCGCCUAACUCAAGAAGUGUGGCCGGUGAUGGAUCGAUGAGCUUCCCUAUGUUCUAUUUAGUGUAGAUAUCACUCUUAAUUAACUUGUUUUUCUGCGGAUAGUAACUAACGCUUUGAGCCUUUGUGGUUUAUCUCACAAUUUUUGUCUUCACAACUGGAGUAGGCCACAAUGUUGAGAUGCAAAAAAAGGUCCAUAAACUAAUUAAAUGGAAUAUCAUUUAGAUACGACACUUAUAAGAUACACUAAAUAUUAAGAGACGUGUUGAGUAUAUAAUGAAUAGGGGUCAUUGUCUCUAAAUAGUUUUCACUAAAUAGGAUGAUGUGUUAAGAGACACUGCGUUGUGAGUUCCCUUUCGCUAAAUUAAUUUGCCCUGGUUCGAUUGCAGAGAUGUGUGCGGAGUUUCUUGGGGGAGUUUGGCAGCCAAUCGAUGAUAACUAGUUCUAGGACGCUACUAGGUCAGAUUCAAAACUGAACAUAUGGCUUGGUCCAAGAGUUUCGGCUCUCACAACCUGAAAAUCUGCAGCUUUCACACUAAAUAUUAAGAGAUUCGAAACUGAACAUAUCUGUCAUUGGUUUGAUGCUGUGGGUCCGUUUCAUUAUCUUUUUUUUUAUCAGGUAGUUGGACGGCCACACCAUGCCCUGAAAAUCUGUCUAGAUCUUGAUCGGGAGGCAUAAGAUUUCUUAUUCUGACAACCCUGAAACUGUUUGCCAUGCAUGCAUUAUCCUUCGCAAAGCGAAUUAAGUUGCCCCUAGACAAGGGCGGAUGGAGUAUAGUUCACUGUAGCUUCAUGAUUCUUUUGUCAGCUUAUUUUUUAGAGCUGCGGCUAUCAUAUUUACACCUGCUGUUAUAUCUGUUUCCAGAACCAUGUGUCAGCAGCUUCUGUUAUCAUAGCCAAUAAAACUAUCACGAAGCUACAGUGUGAGCAAUGAAGACGUUAUAUAAACAGGGAUAAAAUAUAUUGUGCUAAACUGCUCUAUCCAAAACCAUGUGUCUGCUCCUCUUGUUUGUUUCUUUACUAUUUUUCAUAUUGUGGAUGAUCAUGACGAUACAUACUAAAGAGUUUUGCAUAGCAUAUGUAAUUUCAUGCAUACAGACAAUGUUUUUUUAUUGGUGUAUUAUUUCACUCUGUUAAGACAAAAUUAUAUUUUGGAAUAUUGAAAUAAUAAUAUUAGGUAAAUCAUACAUGUGCACUAUGAAGCUAACUUUGUGCAAGAGAAAUGAGUAAAAUUAAGGACAAGAUUUAUACCUAUGCAAUACAAAAAAAAACUAUCUGCAGCAGUAAAUUCAUGUAGCUGGCAACAUUACUGGUACAAAUUAGAUCUAAUUAUAGUGCAUACAUGUACCUUUUUUAGAAAACAAAUCUUGAAACUUCGAUAGAAAAUUUUACGAUUUAUGAAAUUUGAAUGGGAAAACUAAACCAAAACCAAAAGGCCGGGAGUUAAAUGUGAGUGAAAAUAAAUGUCAGGAGGUAUUUGUCAGUGAAAAUAAAUAUGAGUGACACUUCUCCAUGCAAAAAUGUUAGUGAAAAAACUUGAAUUUUCACUGUAAAAACAACCCCAAAAUAAAGGAGGAAGCAGAACCAUCGAAAUGUUUAUGAAACGAACAACCACCAACAUAAGAGAGAAGUCACCAUACUCAUUAAGACGCCCAUGUUCAUCUGAGUAGUUAAGCCACUGCAUAGCAAUUAAUAGAAAGAAAACUGCAUAGAAAUUAAUUUUGAUGGGCUCGUGGAUCACGGCAGAAGCAUGCAUGAAUGCAUAUGUCUAUCGUUGCAGGUCAUUCAUGAGAGCAAUGCAUUCAUAUCUAUCUUUGCACGGAUGGAAAAAUUAGUCUGGCGCCAUAUAUCUUCUAUUUGUUAUACUACAGAAAGACAUAUUAAAAUAAAGUUGCCCCUAAACAAGGUGGAUGGACGACCACUCAUUUUGGCAGACUGUACUCGCACAAUUCGUUUUCCCAAUAAUAAUGUGAAUGGAGAGAGUAUAAUUCACACUGUCGCUUCAUGAUUCUUUUGUCAGCUUAUUUUUUAGAGCUGCCUUUUUUUUUGCGGGAAUAUUUUUUAGAGCUGUCAGCUAUUAUAUUUACCCCUACUGCCAUAACUAUUUCCAGAGCCAUGUGUCGGCAGCUUUUGUUAUCAUAGCCGACAAAACUAUAACGAAGCUACAGUGUGAGCCAGGAAGACGUUAUAUUUUCAGGGAUAACAUAUAUAUUGUGCCAAACUCCUCUAUCCAAAACUAUUUGCCGGCACCUCUUGUUUUGUUUAUUUACAAUUUUAAUAUUGUGGAUGAUCAUGACGAUACGAAGUAAAGAGUUUUGCAUAGCAUAUGUAAUUUCAUGCAGGCAGACAACACUUUUUUAUCAGUGUAUAAUUUUGCUCUGUAAAGACAAGAUUUUAUCUUGUGAUAUUGAAAACAUAGUGUUAGAUAAAUCAUAGAUGUGAUCUUUGUGGAUAAAUUUGUGCAAGAGAAUUGAAUAAAAUUAAGAACAAGUUGUAUACCUGUGCAAUAAAGAAAACUAUCUGCAGUAGUAAAUACAUGUAGGUGGCAACACUCACAUUUUGGUUAUUCCUGUAUAAACAUUGCUAGUGCAAAUUGGAUCCUAUAUAUUGUGCACACGGUGUUCCCGUCCUCGGAUGGUUUCCCCUUGUUCGGUCUUGCUCAUUCUCGUUGCUCACAAGCUCAUGCAAUUGAGAACCUGAGAUCUUCAAUCUGGCCAUCUGGGAUUUCCGGACUUCUCCUUCGAAGGAAAACAAGGACUGGCACAUAUGGCGCUCUUUGGACACCUUGACUAGAUAGGGGCCUGUCGUGUGCACCCGCAACAUCAGCAUAACCAGCUUUACCGGGGUAUCGUGCAGCUCUGUUUUUGUUGGCACCUUGGGACAUGUCUGCACCAAGAUUCCCAUGGGAUCAACACAUGUGGAGAAUGUCAUGGCGUGAUUGAAGGACUUGCAAGUGGCAAAGGCGGGGUCUUGGAUGCGAUGAAGACUUUGCUUCAUAGGCAGUUGUUUAGACAUGGCUUACGGGAUAUGUUCCCAUCCAGACGGGACGUGAAUUCCUGUGAGCCUAAUGGUGCGUGACUUGCAGUAGUAGCCUCCGCAAGUGGGGGUGGCGGCAUUGGAGGACUUCUUUGUUAUUCGGUGCUCCUCUGAGUACCCAAUCAGGAUUUCCAAGGUGAAAACCCAAGGUCUGGCCUUUAUUGGUUGUGCCUGGCAGUAGUCUUGUUGAAGGCAUUAUUGUUGGGAACCUCAUCUUUCUCCAGGGUGAAAACGUAAUAUCUUUGAUCAGGCAACGACAACGCUUGUGCUUUGUUUCCUUCCUGGAGGCAUUGCUUUUGGAGAACCUAUUUUGUAGUCCGGGUGCCAUCUUUGGUGGUGGUUAGAGUGCGGCUACUUCGGGUAUUGAUCACCGUGGUGGGAUAUUUUUUCUUCUCUUUUUAUUUUGAUUUUUAGUUGUGUGCAUCCUGGAUGUUUUUAGGCAUCUUGUUGUUGCAGAGUCUGGGAGUAAUUGGUAUCUGCUUGAUAUUAAUACAUUCUCCUUUACAAAAAAAAAUUACAUAUGCCUUUUCUAGAAUUUUUUUCCUAAAACUUCCAGGGAUGAUUCUAUCAUUUGUUUAAUUUUAAUGGAAAAAUUAAACCAAAACCAAAACGUCAGGAGGUAAAUGUGAGUGAAUAUUAAGGUCAAGAGGUAAAUGUGUUUGAAAUAAAUAUGAGUGACACUUCUCCAUGUGAAAUUGUUAGGGAGAAAACUAGACUUCUCUCUGUAAAAAUAACCCCAAAAUUAUGGAGGAAACAAAACCAUCCAAAUAAACAAUAUAUUGAGAAGUCUAUGAAACGAACAACCACCAAGAUAAAAGAGAAUUCGCCAUACUCAUCAAGACGCCCACAUGUCAAUAGCUCAGUCAGUCAACAUUAUAGCAAUUAAUUUUGAUAGGCUCAAGGAUCAUAGUAGAAGCAUGCAUGAAUCGUUGCAGGUCAUUGAUGAGAGCAAUGCAGAUCACUAUCUUUGCAUGGUCAGAAAAAUUAUUCUGGCGCCACCUAUCUUCUAUUUGUUAAACCAUAUGAAGGCGCAUAUCUCAUCACGAACGAUUAAUCAACAAUAUAUACUACACAAUGACACAUUAAAAUUAUUGCACAUGGGCGAGAUUGAUGGCUUUAUCCUUCAUAUGAUCCAAAUAAUCGUAUUUAUUGUUCACACUGUAACAACAUAAUGGUUUUGUUGGCUAUCUACCCCUGCUACCAUUCCUAUCUCUUGAGCAACAUGCUAGUAUCUUUUGUUUAGUUUAGCUAAAAAGAUUGGAAUGAGAGAUUUCCUUUUUUUGUGCAAUAACAUGAUAGUACAAACUACUGAACUUUACAUAUUUAGGUACUCAAUAAAAUACUGUUAAAGAUAGCUAUAGACAUUAGUCAUAUUAAUUCAACCAUAAGAGAUUAUCAUGUACCAUAUUAGCAUGAUUACUGGUCCUGUUCAAGAAUUCGUCCGAUUAACCAGUUAACUUGGAAAUUAAUCCCUACUUGUAAGGUCAUCGUGUAGCCAAUAAACUGAUAAAUCCUCCGUUUAAUUUCUUAACAGGACAAUUAACUUGCCGAUUACCCUAUUAAUCCCCUACUCCCUAGCCAACCAAGCAGCUACCAGUUAACAAUUUCCUCAACAAAUUUACUGGUAUGUUCCUGUUUAGAUGGUUCACCAAUACACUUCCAAAGUUAUUUUUGAGAAUGAUGCACCCUUUUUACAUUUUUUUGGUAUUAUUCCAUCAAUGCUGCACUACAUCAUAGCAUCUUCUUCUUUUUGGAAUGGCUAUGAAAGGACACGAUAGGUAUGUCUGGUGAACUUUUUGUGGAGAUACUUGGGCUCAUGUGUCUGAGAAUAAGAGGAUGUCCUCCCAUAGGAUUUACAUAUACCAACAACUAUUAACCAUGUCUCAAUGUGAGAUUGGAGACUAAAGAGUCUAGAUUUUAUAAGAUUAACCGGAAGUGUUGACUUCAACCGUGUAUUACUAAUCCACUGCAGUUGAAUUUUUGCAGUUGAAUUUUGCAUAUGGCUAAUUUAUUAAUCAACACCUAGGAGGAAUAGUUUGUAGGAGUUACCUAUAGCGUUGCCCUGGCAAAAGGAAAUGUGAUUGUUUAUCAAAAUUGUUUCUACUUAUAUUGUUUUAUCCCGUUACUACUGCAGCACUAAUUUUUAGUUAACUAAUGAAAGAAAGGCAUCAUAUUGUUUUAUCCCAUUGAUACCAGAGCACCAAUUUUUAGUUCAUUAAUUAUGUUGCUAUCUUCAAGUAUUUUUAAUCUGGAGGAAGUUCCACAAAACAAAAAUGUGAGAGUCAAAAAGGUGAGGGGAAAACGAGCUGAAUACCACCUUCUUUGUCCUGUCUUGCUUAAUCCACUUGAAGCCAGAUUACCACUUCGGCAGGGUAUGCUGAUGGAACUCGAACUAGGAACCUCAGUGACAUUUGUAGCCAUACAUUCAAAACACCUCCAGGCACAUGAUUUCAAAAGAUAUUUUUGAAGCAACAGGUCACCAAGCGUCUAAUUGAGUGUUGUAGACAUGACAAUGUCUAAAAUGGCGACUUUGAGGAAGCGUAAUGGAACAAACAUUGUGUCAUGCAUGUGCUCUCUACCACACCCUCGACAAAAAUCAAGAUCCCAGUCCAGUGGAAUGAGGAGGACUAGGAUAUGGACGACGAAGGGCCCAGCAACUAGAUAGAGACAACUUAGGAGUGAGCCAUAGGAAGAUCAUCUAGUGCACUGGGUGUGUGGAUUUGAGGGCCCACUUGUAAGAGAGUGCGUAUGCGUUUAAAAGGGGCAAGUGAAUCAGACAUGUGCCGUAACUUAUCGAUGAAAUAAUAAUUGUUUGAACUCUCACCUACUCUGUUCUGCAUCUCACCCUCUUCAUCUGUUCUUCAACUUCUUCUCAUCCCCUACUCCAUAUUAUCCUCUCCAAUAUGUGAUUCUUCCACCAACACUAGUUGGACAUCACAGUUUGACAAUGGAAAUCUUGGUAAAUUUUUCUCUUUGACAGCACUCGGAAACAAUUGAUGCAGGCGCAAAUCCAUGAUAUAAGGGAUAUUUUCUGUAGCAUUGUUUGAAAAUACAUCAGUUACGCAAGGGCCCUUUUGCUUCUUUACUUCUUGUUCUGUGUGCACUCUGAUGUUCGAAGGUGCAGUGAUGGUAGACAGAUAUUUAGUUGGAAGAAAAAUAGAUAAACUCAGAUUUCGUGUAACCCGGGCUCACUCUUUUCAGUGAAUAAAUUAUUGUCACAAAAAACCAGCCUUUUGCUUCUCUUGAUGACAUUAUUCUUAGAAGUAAGAAUGUGCAUUUCUGCAGCCCAUGCUCAUGUGCUAUUUUUUCUUUUUAACUAGUGUAACAAAUGGGGUAGAUGUUUUUUUUUCUGUGCCAAUAAUGGUGUUAAGACUGCUAAAAUCUUGUAAGGGAAGAAAACAUUGAAGAGCAGAAAGAAGAAGAAAAUCAUUUAUUUAUAUAGAACUGACAUGCAUUUGAACAUCAACAGUCAUUUAUUAUUAAUAAUUCCGCAUUUUGUGAAUUCCUUUCUCCAAUGUUUUCUUCCAGGUUUAUUUACUAUGAUAGGCUCACCAGGAAAGGAACCUGAAAAUUUAAAUCGUGUCAAUUUCCUUUUCACACAAUUCUCUCAUGAUGCAAUGGUUUCAGAGAACGCUGUUGUUAUUUGCCAGACAUGUGAUGUUUAGUAUGACUUGAACUAACAUAACAUGCAUAAUACGUUUAUUGAGUACAUGAAGGUUGGUUUCUUUGAAUCAUUUUGGAUUAGCCUGUUUGCAAAGGCUAUUAUCAUUCCACCACUCAGUGAUUUAUGAAUAUCUCCCAUUCAUUUGAUGUGAGUUCCCUGCAACCACACACGAUAUUUCCCUUACUCCGUUUUCGGUAAGAUAUGGGAAACUAAACAUUCAAGGAUAUUGUUCCCACAAGUGGAGAGACUGAAAAAGUCGCGCGCGUUGCUCUCCNNNNNNNNNNNNNNNNNNNNNNNNNNNNNNNNNNNNNNNNNNNNNNNNNNNNNNNNNNNNNNNNNNNNNNNNNNNNNNNNNNNNNNNNNNNNNNNNNNNNNNNNNNNNNNNNNNNNNNNNNNNNNNNNNNNNNNNNNNNNNNNNNNNNNNNNNNNNNNNNNNNNNNNNNNNNNNNNNNNNNNNNNNNNNNNNNNNNNNNNNNNNNNNNNNNNNNNNNNNNNNNNNNNNNNNNNNNNNNNNNNNNNNNNNNNNNNNNNNNNNNGAGGCCGAACAGGUGAAGCCCGCCUCGGUGGGCGGCGGCAUCAGGGCAGUCUAUUCCCGCGGCAACUCAUCGCCCUGGACGGCGGAGCCCGCUCGCGGCACGGUGGCGAAAGUCGGCGCGUUGGAUCCCACGGUGGACCCCUCGUCAGCGUGGAGAGAUGCUUGUGUGUGGCUGACCGGGGUCGAGCACGAGGGAUUCGGGCCUUGUUCGCCGUAUCAAUCUCGCGACGACACCUAUGUCUUCAGCUGGUGCGGUCAGGGUGGUGACCCGGGCUGGCGGCGGCGACCGGUUCCUCCAUGGCUGGUGGGUUAAGUCCUUGACCUGGACGACCAUGUGACGAUGGGUGGUGGCAGAGGCCGCAGAACUAGCGUGCCAUCCAGAUCCAUCUCGGCGUGGCCUUGGCCGGCAGGCGAUGCGUGCAGGGACCGAUCUGGGGCGGCUGGAGGCCCUAUGCCGACGUUCCAGCGAUAGCUUACGUCUCCAUGGCGACGCAACUUCUAGUGAAAAUGUGCUGACUGCGGUCAUGGAAGAUGGUGGCAUCUCUAAUGUCGUUUCCUUCUUCGAGGCAUCGUCGUUUGUAAGCUGUGUCACUACGCUCGGGAUGUUCCGGGGGGAACUCUAUUUCUGGGUAUCCCGGAUCAGACGAUGACGGUGCCUUCAGCGCCAUUCUCCCUCCUAGGGGCAUUGUUCUGGAGCAGGUGCCGACUGGAAGAGACAAGUGGAGGAGCGGUGUUACAUCUACCGCAAGGAUGACGCAGGGUCUCGGUGGCGUGGCAAGGCAGAGUGUCGGCGACGAGCGCCCACGCUAGAUGGUUGAGCUAUCUGGUGUCGAGAUGGCCUGGCGAGAUGAAUACGUUGAUCGCUCCUGAAGGUGGGACAGCAGAACAUGGCGGUGGCUUAAUCUAAAGUGUGUGCAUGCUGUGCGCGCAAAGGGUCUAGCUAGACCAGUUGGUGCUCUCGAAUUGCCGGCAGACAUCUUGGUGAGGUGACCGGAAUAUAUGAUGUGUGUUGAUAAGUGGUCAGGGCACGGCAUUAAAGCUUGUAGGUGUAACGACAAUAGUUUCUAGGGAGGUGGCUUUGCCUUGAUCCAUAUAUUUGUUUUGUUUGGUUCCGUUGAAUAAUAUAAUAAAAUGGUUGUGUGCAUGGCCCGAUGCAUAGACUAGGGGUAAUCGUCUUUUUCGAAAAAAAGUAGAAUGGUACAGUCACACCAUUUUGCCAGUGACAUGCUAAAAAUGGCAUGAUAAACAAUUCCUGAAUGAUAAAUCACAUGGUGACAGUAUAUCUAUUUUAUAGGAAGAGCUGGAUAGAUUAGAGUAUACUGCCCCAGGAUUUUAAAGUGAGUGCGAGAGUUCAGAUUUAUUUACAUGUUUAGCUUCAGAGCUUCAGAACGUCUUUUUUUCACGAAUACACAAAGCUUGAAUAUCUUUUAUUGAUAGAAGAAAGAGAAUGAGUACAACAGAGGAUACAACACAUGGCAUGAACCCAAAGAGGCAUGAUCAUGGAACCCGGAGUAGAGAGACAAGGGGUGCUCAGCCCGAAUAGGGAAAUGACACAACUACACCCACAAAUCCUAAACAGAGAGGCAGGCCGAACAAGCACGGCGUCGAACAUCUCAAAAUCCAACACCAGGGACACCACGAGCGAACAAGAUAGCGCCUUCAGGAAGGGGUGCGACGUCGUGACACCGCCGCCAUCCGAUCCGAGGAACCGGAUCUAGGGUUUCCCCCAGCGCUCAAAGAGGGGCACGGAUAAAAGCCAUGGCAAAUAACUCACGAGUGUCGCCUCUGCCAACAUCGGCAAGAAGAGCAUGGAUUUCGCCUGGCCCAAGUCCGAGCAAUCCCAUAGCUGCCAAAUCAGGAUCCGAAGAUGAGGAAGACAAUCCGCUAGUCAACCACCGUCCCAGUACGGAGGUGGUGGGGCUGCACCUGCUGCCAAAAGAACACGAGCUUUGGAAAUGACAUGCCGUGGGUGUCGACGGGGUCGGGGAGGCAGCGUGGUAGACAGCUUGCAUGGAGGGUGGGAUGGUGACCGGCGCCGCUGACGAGAUGGAGCCGGAAGGGAGCACAAGUCCGAGCUGCCGGAGGUGAAGCCGCCAGAACACCGGCAAACCGAAGAUGCCGGAAGGGGACGCAGCGACCGGGGUGUUGGGGCUGAAAUUGAAGGAAAUAUGCCCUAGAGGCAAUAAUAAAGUUAUUAUUUAUUUCCUUAUAUCAUGAUAAAUGUUUAUUAUUCAUGCUAGAAUUGUAUUAGCCGGAAACAUAAUACAUGUGUGAAUACAUAGACAAACAGAGUGUCACUAGUAUGCCUCUACUUGACUAGCUCGUUAAUUAAAGAUGGUUAUGUUUCCUAACCAUAGACAUGAGUUGUCAUUUGAUUAACGGGAUCACAUCAUUAGGAGAAUGAUGUGAUUGACUUGACCCAUUCCGUUAGCUUAGCGCACGAUUGUUUAGUAUUCUGCUAUUGCUUUCUUCAUGACUUAUACAUGUUCCUAUGACUAUGAGAUUAUGCAACUCCCGUUUACCGGAGGAACACUUUGUGUGCUAUCAAACGUCACAACGUAACUGGGUGAUUAUAAAGGUGCUCUACAGGUGUCUCCACAGGUACUUGUUGGGUUGGCGUAUUUCGAGAUUAGGAUUUGUCACUCCGAUUGUCGGAUAGGUAUCUCUGGGCCCACUCGGUAAUGCACAUCACUUAAGCCUUGCAAGCAUUGCAACUAAUGAGUUAGUUGCGAGAUGAUGUAUUACGGAACGAGUAAAGAGACUUGCCGGUAACGAGAUUGAACUAGGUAUUGAGACACCGACGAUCGAUUCUCGGGCAAGUAACAUACCGAUGACAAAGGGAACAACGUAUGUUGUUAUGCGGUUUGACCGAUAAAGAUCUUCAUAGAAUAUGUGGGAGCCAAUAUGAGCAUCCAGGUUCCGCUAUUGGUUAUUGACCGAAGACGUGUCUCGGUCAUGUCUACAUAGUUCUCGAACCCGUAGGGUCCGCACGCUUAAAGUUUCGAUGACAGUUAUAUUUUGAGUUUAUAUGUUUUGAUGUACCGAAGGUAGUUCGGAGUCCCAGAUGAGAUCACGGACAUCACGAGGAGUCCCGAAAUGGUCGAGACAUGAAGAUUGAUAUAUUGGACGACUAUAUUCGGACACCGGAAUGGUUCCGGUGGUUAUCGGAUAUAUACCGGAGUACCGGGAGGUUACCGGAACCCCCUGGGGGUUUAAUGGGCCUACAUGGGCCUUAGUGGAGAAGAGGAGAGGCGGCUAGGGCAGGCCGCGCGCCCCCUCCCCCUCUAGUCCGAAUUGGACAAGGAGGGGGGCGGCGCCCCCCCUUUCCUUCCUCUCUCUCUCCUCUUUCCCCCUUCUCCUAAUCCAACAAGGAAGGGAAGGGAGUCCUACUCCCGGUGGGAGUAGGACUCCUCCUGGCGCGCCCCUCUCCUGGCCGGCCGCCUCUCCCCCUUGCUCCUUUAUAUAAGGGGGCAGGGGGGCACCCCAAAGACACAACAAUUGAUCAUUGAUCUUUUAGCCGUGUGCGGUGCCCCCCUCCACCAUAGUCCACCUCGAUAAUAUCGUAGCGGUGCUUAGGCGAAUCCCUGCGUCGGUAGAACAUCAUCAUCGUCACGACGCCGUCGUGCUGACAAAACUCUCCCUCAACACUCGGCUGGAUCGGAGUUCGAGGGACGUCAUCGGGUUGAACGUGUGCUGAACUCGGAGGUGCCGUGCGUUCGGUACUUGAUCGGUCGGAUCGUGAAGAAGUACGACUACGUCAACCGCGUUGUGCUAACGCUUCCGCGUUCGGUCUACGAGGGUACGUGGACACACUCUCCCCUCUCGUUGCUAUGCAUCACCAUGAUCUUGCGUGUGCGUAGGAAUUUUUUUGAAAUUACUACGUUCCCCAACAGUGGCAUCCGAGCCAGGUUUUAUGCCUAGAUGUUAUAUGCAUGAGUAGAACACAAGUGAGUUGUGGGCGAUACAAGUCAUACUGCUUACCAGCAUGUCAUUCUUUGGUUCGGCGGUAUUGUUGGAUGAAGCGGCCCGGACCGACAUUACGCGUACGCUUACGCGAGACUGGUUCUACCGACGUGCUUUGCACACAGGUGGUUGGCAGGUGUCAGUUUCUCCAACUUUAGUUGAACCGAGUGUGGCUACGCGCGGUCCUUGAGAAGGUUAAAACAGCACUAACUUGACGACUAUCGUUCUGGUUUUGAUGCGUAGGUAAGAAUGGUUCUUGCUCAGCCCGUAGCAGCCAUGUAAAACUUGCGACAACAAAGUAGAGGACGUCUAACUUGUUUUUGCAGGGCAUGUUGUGAUGUGAUAUGGUCAAGACAUGAUGCUAUAUUUUAUUGUAUGAGAUGAUCAUGUUUUGUAACAGAGUUAUCAACAACUGGCAGGAGCCAUAUGGUUGUCGCUUUAUUGUAUGCAAUGCAAUCGCCCUGUAAUGCUUUACUUUAUCACUAAGCGGUAGCGAUAGUCGUAGAAGCAUAAGUUGGCGAGACGACAACGAUGCUAUGAUGGAGAUCAAGGUGUCGCGCCGGUGACGAUGGUGAUCAUGACGGUGCUUCGGAAAUGGAGACCACAAGCACAAGAUGAUGAUGGCCAUAUCAUAUCACUUAUAUUGAUUGCAUGUGAUGUUUAUCUUUUAUGCAUCUUAUCUUGCUUUGAUUGACAGUAGUAUUAUAGGAUGAUCUCUCACUAAAUUAUCAAGGUAUAAGUGUUCUCCCUGAGUAUGCACCGUUGCGAAAGUUCUUCGUGCUGAGACACCACGUGAUGAUCGGGUGUGAUAGGCUCUACGUUCAAACACAACGGGUGCAAAACAGUUGCACACGCGAAAUACUCAGGUUAAACUUGACGAGCCUAGCAUAUAACAGAUAUGGCCUCGGAACACUGAGACCGAAAGGUCGAGCGUGAAUCAUAUAGUAGAUAUGAUCAACAUAAAUGAUGUUCACCAUUGAAACUACUCCAUCUCACGUGAUGAUCGGACAUGGUUUAGUUGAUAUGGAUCACGUGCUCACUUAGAGGAUUAGAGGGAUGUCUAUCUAAGUGGGAGUUCUUAAGUAAUAUGAUUAAUUGAACUUUAAUUUAUCAUGAACUUAGUCCUGGUAGUAUUAGCAUAUCUAUGUUGUAGAUCAAUAGCUCGCGAUAUUGCUCCCCGUUUAAUUUUUAUAUGUUCCUAGAGAAAACUAAGUUGAAAGAUGUUAGUAGCAAUGAUGUGGAUUGGAUCCGUGAUCUGAGGUUUAUCCUCAUUGCUGCACAGAACAAUUAUGUCCUUGAUGCAGCGCUAGGUGACAGACGUAUUGCAGGAGGACAUGCAGACGUUAUGAACGUUUGGCUAGCUCAAUAUGAUGACUACUUGAUAGUUUAGUGCACCAUGCUUAACGGCUUAGAAUCAGGACUUCAAAGAUGUUUUGAACAUCAUGGACCAUAUGAGAUGUUCCAGGAGUUGAAGUUAAUAUUUCAAGCAAAUACCCUAGUUGAGAGAUAUGAAGUCUCCAACAAGUUCUAUAGCUAAAAGAUGGAGGAGAAUAGCUCAAGAAGUGAGCAUGUGCUCAGAUUGUCUGGGUACUACAAUCACUUGAAUCAAGUGGGAGUUAAUCUUCCAGAUAAAGAUAGUGAUUGACAGAAUUCUCUAGUCACCAUCACAAAGUUAGUAUAACUUCGUGAUGAACUAUAGUAUGCAAGGGAUAACGUAAACGAUUCCCGAGCUUUUCAUGCUGGUGAAAUCAGAAAUCAAGAAAGAGCAUCAAGUGUUGAUGAUUAACAAGACCACUAGUUUCAAGAAAAUGGCAAAGGGAAAGAAAGGGAACUUCAUGUAGAACGGCAAGCAAGUUGCUGCUCAAGUGAAGAAGCCCAAGUUUGGACCUAAGCCUGAGACUGAGUGCUUCUACUGCAAAAGGACUGGUCACUGGAAGCAGAACUACCCGAAAUAAUUGGCGUAUAAGAAGGAUGGCAAAGUGAACAAAAGUAUAUUUGAUAUACAUGUUAUUGAUGUGUACUUUACUAGUGUUUAUAGCAACCCCUCAGUAUUUUAUACUGGUUGGCAACCUCUGCUUGCCUCUGCGAAGGGCCUAUCUUUUACUUUUAUGCAAGAGUCAUGGUGAUCUUCACCUUUCCUUUUUUUCAUUUUAUCCUUUGGCAAGUACCUCGUGUUGGAAAGAUUCUGAUAUAUCCAAUUGGAUGUAAGGCAUCAUGAACUAUUAUUGUUAACAUUACCCUUGAGGUAAAAGGUUGGGAGGCGAAUCUAUAAGCCCCUAUCUUUCUCUGUGUCUGAUUAAAACUUUGAACCCAUAAAUAUCGCGUGAGUGUUAGCAAUUGUGAAAGACUAAAUGAUAGUUGAGUAUGUGGAGUUUGCUAAAUCAAAGCUCUGACAUAGACUCUUCCUGAAAAUAAGAUGAAUUGUAAUUGUUUGAUGACUAAUAACACGGCUUGUUAGUUUUCAAGAAAGUUUAUGAUCUAUACUUUAACAUGUGAAUAGCUUGUUACUUGAUCAUGAAAAGUUCUAUGAGUUGAGCUACUGUUAUGACAUAUGAUGAUGCUAGAAAAAGUGAUUGAAAUUAUCAUUGAUCAAACUUGUGCACCUGCUAGCAUUCACACUUCAUAAAUUCUUUCUUUUAUCAUUUACCUACUCGAGGAUGAGCAGGAAUUAAGCUUGGGGAUGCUGAUACGUCUCCAACGUAUCUAUAAUUUAUGAAGUAUUCAUGCUAUUAUAUUAUCUGUUUUGGAUGUUUAUGGGCUUUAUUGAACACUUUUAUAUUAUUUUUGGGACUAACCUAUUAACCUAGAGCCCAUUGCCAGUUUCUGUUUUUUGCUUGUUUUUGAGUUCUACAGAAAAGGAAUACCAAACGGAGUCCAAUGGACGUCCCAAUUUUUGACGAUUUUUUAUGGACCAAAAGGAGACCCCGGAGCAAAAGGGUUGGGACAGGAGAGUCCCGGGCUGCCCACGAGGGUGGGGGGCGUGCCCUCCCCCCCUGGGCGUGGGCCCCUGCCUCGUGGACAACCCGGAGACCCCCCUGACAUGAGACCUACGCCAAAAAAUCCUAUAAAUACUGAAACCUCCAGAAAGCAGAAUAGAUCGGGAGUUCCGCCGCCGCAAGCCUCUGUAGCCACCAAAAACCAACCGGGACCCUGUUCCGGCACCCUGCCCGAGGGGGUAUGUCGGUGUCAAAACCGGCGGAUCUCGGGUAGGGGGUCCCGAACUGUGCGUCUAAGGCGGAUGGUAACAGGAGGCGGGGGACACGAUGUUUACCCAGGUUCGGGCCCUCUCGAUGGAGGUAAUACCCUACUUCCUGCUUGAUUGAUCUUGAUGAUAUGAGUAUUACAAGAGUUGAUCUACCACGAGAUCGUAGAGGCUAAACCCUAGAAGCUAGCCUAUGGUAUGAUUGUUUUUGUCCUACGGACUAAACCCUCCGGUUUAUAUAGACACCGGAGGGGGCUAGGGUUACACAGAGUCGGUUACAAGGGAGGAGAUCUGCAUAUCCGUAUUGCCAAGCUUGCCUUCCAUGCCAAGGAGAGUCCCAUCCGGACACGGGACGAAGUCUUCAAUCUUUUGUCUUCAUAGUCCAACAGUUCGGCUAAAGUAUAUAGUCCGGCUGUCCGAGGACCCCCUAAUCCAGGACUCCCUCAGUAGCCCCUGAACGAGGCUUCAACGACGAUGGGUCCGACGCGCAGAUUGUCUUCGGCAUUGCAAGGCGGGUUCCUCCUCCGAAUAUUCCAUAGAAGAUUUUGAACACAAGGAUAGUGUCCGGCUCUGCAAAACAAAUUCCACAUACCACCAUAGAGAGAAUAAUAUUUCCACAAAUCUAAUCUACUGACACAUUCUGCAGCAUGACAUCACACCAUGGCCCGGUCAUUAUUCGGACCGUUUUUCUUAACCAGCCACUGCACAUAUCGCGAGGCGGUUUUCUUGGCACGUCUUGUCGAAGCAGAGAUCGUGUCCCCCUAUCACGGGAUUGUCAUCAAUACGGGUGUGGGUAACCUAACCGCGCCAUCAAUUACAGCUCUUGGGGAAUAAGCGAGUUUACCAGGCAGGUGGGGAGGCGCAUAGUUCCUUCCGCCCUUAUAAAGAGACAAGGAUUCAUCUUUUUCACCCACGCCCUCUUCCUCCUUGCUCAUCCGUUCUUGCGCACUUGAGCUCCAACACCCAAGUUCGCAUUCUCUCCUCAAACCACUCCAAGCAUGUCCGGAGCAGGAGGCAAGUGGAUGGUCUCCUCCGUUACGAAGGAGGACAUCACAAGGCUAUGGGGAGCCGGAUACCUGGCCGCGGAUAUCGCGCACCGGCUACAAGAUGCGGGGCAGAUCGUCCCUACUCCAGAACCCCAUGAGAGGGUGAUAUUUCUUACCCACUUUGUCCGCGGACUGGGAUUUCCCCUCCACCUGUUUGUCCGCGGGCUCAUGUUCUACUACGGGCUGGACUAUCACGAUCUGGCCCCCAAUUUCAUCCUCAACAUCUCGGCGUUUAUCGUCGUGUGCGAGGCCUUCCUCCGCAUCAAGCCCCACUUCGGCCUGUGGCUGAAGACCUUCAACGUUAAACCGAAGGUGGUGGCCGGCCAGCAAGCGGAGUGCGGAGGCGCCAUGGUGGGCAAAAUGCCCAACGUCACCUGGCUAGAAGGCUCCAAUGUGGAGACCGUAAAGGGGUGGCAAUCGGGGUGGUUCUACAUCACCGAGCCGCGCGACACCAACUGGGUAGCGGCCCCCGAAUUUUUAUCCGGAAUCCCCAUGCGGCUCACCUCCUAGAAAGAGAAGGGCCUAUCCUGGGGUUCCUCGGUAGAGCUGACCGGACCCCAGACCUGCGUCAAAAACAUGAUGAGCAAGAAAAUCAAGCUUGUCAACAUGGUCCAAGUCAUGCUCUUCCGCCCGAUCCUCCCGUGUCAAAGACGGGCAUUCAAUUUGUGGGAGUUCGACCCGGCCGAGCACCAGACGCUGCGAGAGCUCUUCGACACGGCGCACAAGGACGUCUGGAAGGUGAUGUUCAAGGGCGCUGAGGUACCUCCUCCCCUUACCAAGGACCGCGGACUCAGCGCAAAGCGCCCUGCCAAUCCGGUAUGUCUUUUAUAUUUCAUAAGAUGUUCUUUUCCCCAGUAUAACCACACGCGGGAUCUAAGCCCCCACGCCAUUUAACAGGACUGGGUAGCGACAGCGGAGCAGAUCGAUUGUCCAGCCCCCCUGCCUGAAGAUCCAGCGGAUGCUCUCCUAACGGAGAUCCUGGUUUCGGCGCCUUAUGAGGUGCCGGAGAAGAAGGCCACGGGGACCAGGAAGGGUCUCCGGCGCAAGGUUAUAUCGGACUCAUCGUCCGAAAACACCGAGGCGCACUCCUCCCACGAAAACGGGGAGGAAGAGGAAAGUUCUCCCCCCCAGCCAGGGGGGACAGGACAAGGAAGGCUGCCCCAUCAGGGGAGGCCGAAGGGUCCAAGAAGGGAAGGACCCUCCUCCCGGACUGCUCCACAAAGGCCGCUUUUAGCGACGAGGAGUGGUUACCCAGGGACAAGCCCCUGGCAAAGUCGUGAGUAUCCGGAUACCAUAAUAAUUCUUGGUACGUCUUAUUGUACUGUUUCUUAUCACGCCGCGCAUGAUUAUGCAGUCCGUCCCGAGCCCAUAUCGACGUAUCUUCGUCGGAUGAUUCUUUGGGCCCGUCAGAUAUGAAUAGCGAUUCACUCCCGACUGCCUCCUCCCCCCGCCCUACGGACGACGCCGAGGUGUUGUCUCAAAGGGAACUAAACCAAGGGGAGACAGUUCCGGAGGCGCCCCAAGGCGACAUUCCAGGCGCUAGGUGCACGAGGGGCAAGACUCCCCUAGGCCCUAACACCGGGGGCAGUAAGUCUAGCCCCAAGCCGAAUACGGCGCCGGAACCUCCAGUGGUUCCGGAUUCUGUCAGGCAACCCCUCGCUAAGGGGGGUAAGCCGUCUGUGCCGAUGGCCUCUGUCCAUCCAGAGGCAUCGGACAACUUGCUAGAAGUGCUUCGCGGCGCUUCCAUUGACGAAGAGCACCGCACUAUUAUGAGUGCGGUAGUUAAGAAGGUUCAGUCCGCUAAGAGCGGACUGACUGAAGCCUGUGCCAACCUCCUAACCGGCUUUGAGGUAAGUAAUCAAAUUGUAAGAAAAUGUUACAGCAUAGACAGUAGCCCCUGAUGCUCUGUUUGGCGUUCGCGGAGAAAGGCCGAAUAGAGGAUCAAAUAAUAAUCGCAGGAGUCUAAUCAGAAUGUGUCUAUGUGAAUAAGCGGGCUUCACUGCUGGCCGCCGCCGCUCGUACUGCGGAGGUCACCGCACUGAAGCGGGACCUUGAGCGGUCCAAGGAAGAGCUCGGCCUUACCAAGAGGCAGCUCGAAGAGAACAAAGGUAAGUGACACCCCGUCUGAAUAUUGGUAAAGAAAAAUUUGGUUUUGGAAUAAUAGGAUCCUCAUGAAUUUUGCUAGGGGCCACGACCGAAGUGGCGGCCCUGCAGAAGGCGCUAUCUGAGGCCGAAGACAAAGCGGCCAAGGAGCACAUCGAGCGAGAGAAGCAAGAGGCCCGAGUAGGCGAGGUGCGGCAAGAGCUCCAGGCUCUCGUCAAGAAACACGAGUCCUUGGAGCUUGACUCUAUGACGCAAGGGUCCGAGCUUGCGAAGGCCCUCGAAAGCGCACAACAUGCCAAGGCCAAAGCCCAAAAGGCCCUCCAGGAAAUUUAGGCGGUUAAGAAGAUAGCGGCGGGUAAGGCAUUCAUUAUGCAAAGCAAGCAUGUGAAGGAAACUUUCUUUUUACUUACCCGAGUUCGGAGUUCUCCAGAAGCGUUCGCAGAUCUACCCCGCAGUGUGUCGGAUGCCACGGAGUUCUACCGGGCCGAGGAGGGGAGCUCGGCGGAGAAGUUGUUCUGGUCUCAGUAUACUGGGACCGAACAUCCAAUGCCCUUGAGCGACCAGUUGAAGCAACUGGUCGAGCUUCACAAGGCGGCCGAACAGGCCAUGAAGGGUCUUAUGGUCUGGAUGUGGCAUGGCGACCCCUGCCUGGUAGCUACUUCGGUCUGGUGAGGCGGCUUGUGAAUGCCUGCACACGGUUUGAAGUCAUAAAGCGGUCCGUCUGCAUUGAGGGUGCGCGCAGGACUUUUGCCCGGGCGAAGGUGCACAGGGCGAAGCUGGACGCCGAAAAGCUGGUGAAGGAGGGGCCGCCGGAGGGCAAGGAGCAUCGCCACCCCGAAAAGUAUUAUGAUAGUGUCCUGAAGGGUGCUCGCCUUGUGGCGGAGGAAUGUGCUAAGGAUGUAAUAUUUGAAUGAAUGUACUCAUGUGAUCCUGUAAUAUGAAACGAGUUCAUUUGCGUACGCAAUGCUUGUUAAUUUAAAAUAUUACCUUCUAUGCGGCCGUUUAUAAAAUCUGAGAGUUGGCCAGUCGUCGGCUUCUGCCCCCAUGUAACUAGUACUAAGGUGUUCGGGGUAAACCUGAGCACUCUUUAUCCCAAUUUUGGGUCCUUCGAAGGAGGUGUUUAGCACAAUGAACCAGGCAAUCGGACUAUAAAGCUUUAUCACUCUCACUUAGCCAUAGAAGUCUACAAUUUUAAAUUUUGGCGAAGCCCCUAGUAUUUCGAAGGCCGAAUUUGGGGCACUAUAUACGCCUAAGUCGGGCAAGACGACUCCUUGCCCGAAGCGGAAAGAGACUUUAAGGACUUGAGACCUCUCGAACAGCGACCAGCUCUCGCCUCAUUAUGACAGUCAGUUUUCGGCUUUCUCUACUGAGGUGCUCGUCCGGAAGAACCGGGACACAAUCGCAGUAGUUCUCCCAAGGCUACCUUAGCCGAUAUUGCGGAACGUAAGGUACCAAAACAUGGGAGCCGGGCAAACCCAACUAUUGACCCAAGACAUGAUUCGGAGCUGGUGCAUAUAAUUCUAUAAGUUCGGGGUGCCGCACUGUCGAAAGUGUUCGGACUUCUCACACUGUAUUAUGGGGUAUACUAAAGCCCCUGGCGCACUGGUCAUACCAGGAUGUACGGGUGCAAUUUGUCGUAAAUAAGCAGACAAGGAAAAAAAAGAAAGGGGAAUGCAAUAAUAGACUAACGAUAUGCAUUGUUAUUAAAUAAUACGUCAAAGCGACGGAUACAAGUAGUGCAAUAAGCAAAAAAUAAGACUAUUUGACAUGUCCUAUCCAAGGGCAAGCUGCGUAUGGGUAUGUAAAACAGGUAUUUCGAUCGUUAUCAGAGACCACCUAGGGAUUCCCUUGUACGUCAGAGCGUCUUGCUUCCUUGGUAUUUCCUUACCGCGAUGGGUCCAACAAUUAGAUUGCCGAAAAGGGCUUCCAGAGAGUAAGGUCCUGAAAGAGAGAAAAUGAUAAAGGUAUAUGGCCCCUGGGGCGGUUGAGCCACCUUGUGGGACGUGCCGUAGCUGUGCCUCCGCCUAUGCCCAUGGUAUCUUGAGUGCGUAGUUAUGUACGCGCGGCGCAAAUUUCGCCACUUGACUGGGACUAGGACGGAGGCCGAAUUGCUAGGCGAGCUCAAAACGUGCAUGGCGAUCCUCCUGCGGGGUACCCCGGACUCGCUUGAAGGUGUCCGGGGUCUUUUUCGCCGAAUUGGCGGUUUGCCUAUUAAGGCUGCUUUGCGCUUCUGCUGCGAGGGCUGCAGUGUGCUCCUCCGUGCGGAGCGAGCGCUCUGUGUUUCCAUUAACUGUUAUAACCCCGCGUGGUCCUGGCAUUUUGAGUUUGAGGUAUGCAUAAUGCGGUACCGCAUUGAAUCUGGGAAAUGCGGUUCGUCCGAGCAGUGCGUGAUAGCCGCUGCGAAAGGGGACGAUGCCGAAGAUUAACUCCUCGCGUCGAAAAUUGUCCGGAGAUCCGAAGACCACUUCCAGUGUGAUUGAGUCCGUGCAACAGGCCUCUACACCUGGGAUUACACCUUCAAAGGAGGUUUUGGUGGGUUUGAUCCUCGAGGGGUCUAUGCCCAUUUUGCACACUGUAUCCUGAUAGAGCAGGUUCAGGCUGCUGCCACCGUCCAUAAGGACGCGAGUGAGGUGAAAUCCGUCAAUGAUGGGGUCAAGGACCAAUGCGGCAGAUCCGCCAUGACGGAUACUAGUGGGGUGGUCCCUGCGAUCGAAGGUGAUCGGACAAGAGGACCAUGGGUUCAACUUUGGGGCGACUGGCUCCAUAGCAUAGACGUCCCUUAGUGCACGCUUCCGUUCCCUCUUGGGAAUAUGGGUUGCGUAUAUCAUGUUCACCGUUUUCACUUGUGGAGGGAACCUCUUCUGUCCUCCAAUGUUCGGCGGCCGAGGCUCCUCCUCGUCGUCGCUAUGGAGCCCCUUGUCCUUGUUUUUGGCAUUUAACUUGUCGGCCUGCUUGAAUACCCAGCAUUCUCUGUUGGUGUGAUUGGCUGGCUUAUCGGGGGUGCCAUGAAUUUUAACGAGCAAUCGAGUAUACGGUCCAAACUGGACGGGCCCGGAUUGCUUGUUUUGAACGGCUUCUUCCGCUGACCGGAUUUAGAGCCACUGAAUCCGGCAUUGACUGUCGUGUCUUCGGCGUUGUCGCCGUUGUUGUGGCGCUUGUGUCUGUUGCGACGUGGUCUGCCAAUAGUAUCUUUGGCGUCUGAAUUGCCGGGAUUUCUUGAUGUGCUGUUGCUGCGAGCUAGCCAGCUGUCCUCGCCCGCGCAAAAGCGGGUCAUGAGUGUCGUGAGGGCUGCCAUGGACUUCAGCUUCUCUUGGCCGCGGUGUCAGGCGAGCCACUCGUCCCGGAUGUUAUGUUUAAAUGCCGCUAAGGCCUCGGCAUCCGGACAGUCGACAAUUUGGUUCUUUUUAGUUAGGAACCGAGUACAGAAUUUCCUGGCCGAUUCCCCUGGCUGUUGGGUUAUGUGGCUCAAGUCAUCAGCAUCUGGUGGUCGCACAUAAGUGCCCUAGAAGUUGUCAAGGAAUGCGUCUUCCAAAUUCUCCCAACUGCCAAUGGAGUUUGCUGGCAGGCUAUUCAGCCAAUGUCGAGCUGGUCCUUUGAGUUUUAGUGGGAGGUACUUGAUGGCAUGUAGAUCGUCAUCGCGGGCCAUGUGGAUGUGGACGAGGAAAUCCUCGAUCCAUACCGCGGGGUCUGUUGUACCAUCAUAUGACUCAAUGUUCACGGGUUUGAAUCCUUCUAGGAAUUCAUGAUCCAUUACUUCAUCGGUGAAGCAUAGUGGGUGUGCAGCGCCUCUGUGCCGGGCUAUGUCACGACGCAGUUCAUACGAGUCUUGUCUGCUGUAUUCGGCCCCGCCGGAUUUGCUUUUAGUGUAUCCGGCAUGACGAUCAUCAUCACACAUUGGGGCGCGACCCCGUGAUCCGUAGAUCGAUCUUGUUUGUCCUGCUCUGUUUUCCUAUACGUCUCGCAGGUCCCGCGUGUUGCCCCAGGCCUUGGUAUUUAUGUUUGAAUGGCGGCGGGGUGCGGGCUGGACUUCGGGCUGAUAUGCCCCUCUGUCUCGGCCACGAGGUGGCCGAUCAGCCGCAUCAUACGCUGGUGAUGUAGGUUUUAAUGCUUCCUCCUCGAUUUGGGGUAGCAACCUGCGCUUUGGGUAACUCUUGGUUGGGCGCUCGAGUUCGUAUUCCUCUACCUCCAGGACUUCAGUCCAUCUAUCCGCUAGCAGAUAUUGAUCAGCUCGAAGCUGUUGUUGCUUUUUCUUCAGGCUGUUUGUUGUAGCUAUAAGCCGACGCUUGAAGCGCUCCUGCUUGACGGGAUCCUCAGGCACGAUAAAUUCUUCGUCGCCGAGGCUCACCUCGUCUUCGGAGAGAGGCAUGUAAUUGUCAUCCUCUGAUUCUCCGUCUGCUGCCUAUUCCGGAGGGCUAGCUUGUUCAUCCUCUCGCUCGAGGUCUGGCUGGAGGGGAUUGUCGUCGUCUUUGGCACUAUCCGGAGCGUUAUUGUCUCUUGUGCCGGUAUCGCUGCUUUUGCUAUGGCGGGACUUAGAGCGGCGCCGCUGACGUCGGUGCUUGGGUUGCUUCUUGGAGGGAUUAUCCUCGGUUGUCUUAUCGCCGUCGCCUUCUUUGGGGGUGUCCACCAUGUAUAUAUCAUAUGAUGAGGUGGCAGUCCAGCGCCCUGUGGGCGGUGGUUCCUGUUCGUCUCCUGUAUCGUCGUCCAUACCGUCGAUGUUUUCGGAGCCGAAAUCGAGCAUGUCGGUUAAAUCGUCGACAGUGGCUACUAAGUGGCUGGUGGGUGGGGAGCGAAUUUCUUCGUCGUCCGCAUCCCAUUCUAGCCAGACAUAGUUCGGCCAAGGGUCUCCUGACAAGGAGAGAGACCUCAAUGAGUUCAGCACGUCGCCCAGUGGUGAGUGCUGAAAGAUAUCCGCGGAGGAAAACUCCAUAAUCGGUGCCCAAUCAGAUUCGAUAGGCACAUACGCAGGCGGCUCAGAGCCCGUGGCCGGGGAUGAAUCCAGGUGUCCGGCGACACAGGUCUCAUAGGAGGUGAAGUCAGUAUUCGGCUCUAUCGCCACUCAGUGUGUGGCCUCCGAGGCGGGGUCCAUCCACCCGUCCUCGGACGGCGCAAUCGACUCCGGAUCUAGGGCCGGAGUAGCCAUGGGUGUGAUCUCCCGAACACCGUCCGGCGGCAGAGCUAAGUCGUGCUCGUCGUGACUGUGCGGCGCACCUGACAUGGGCUCGAAUCCGUCAAAGAUAAAGUCUCCGCGGAUGUUGGCACUGUAGUUUAAAUUUCCAAACCUGACCUGACAGCCAGGGGCGUAGCUCUCGAUCUGCUCCAGAUGGCCAAGCGAGUUGGCCCACAGUACGAAGCCGCCGAAUACAAAGAUCUGUCCGGGGAGGAAAACCUCACCCUGGAUCGCAUCGUUGGCGAUGAUUGAAGGAGCCAUCAAGCCUUUAUCGCGACGGCAGAGUGGAACUCUCAAUGAAAGCACCAAUGUCGGUGUCAAAACCGGCGGAUCUCGGGUAGGGGGUCCUGAACUGUGCGUCUAAGGCGGCUGGUAACAGGAGGCGGGGGACAUGAUGUUUACCCAGGUUCGGGCCCUCUCGAUGGAGGUAAUACCCUACUUCCUGCUUGAUUGAUCUUGAUGAUAUGAGUAUUACAAGAGUUGAUCUACCACGAGAUCGUAGAGGGUAAACCUUAGAAGCUAGCCUAUGGUAUGAUUGUUGUUGUCCUAGGGACUAAACCCUCCGGUUUAUAUAGACACAGGAGGGGGCUAGGGUUACACAGAGUCGGUUACAAGGGAGGAGAUCUACAUAUCCGUAUUGCCAAGCUUGCCUUCCACGCCAAGGAGAGUCCCAUCCGGACACGGGACGGAGUCUUCAAUCUUGUGUCUUCAUAGUCUAACAGUCCGCCUAAAGUAUAUAGUCUGGCUGUCCGAGGACCCCCUAAUCCAGGACUCCCUCAGGGUAUCCCUCACCGGUGGCCAUCUUCAUCAUCCCGGCGCUCUCCAUGACGAAGAGGGAGUAGUUCACCCUCGGGGCUGAGGGUAUGUACCAGUAGCUAUGUGUUUGAUCUCUCUCUCUCUCUCGUGUUCUUGAUUCAGCACGAUCUUGAUGUAUCAUGAGAUUUGCUAUUAUAGUUGGAUCUUAUGAUGCUUCUCCCCCUCUACUCUCUUGUAAUGGAUUGAGUUCUCCCUUUGAAGUUAUCUUAUCGGAUUGAGUCUUUAAGGAUUUGAGAACACUUGAUGUAUGUCUUGUCGUGCUUAUCUAUGGUGACAAUGGGAUAUCACGUGAUCCACUUGAUGUAUGUUUUGGUGAUCAACUUGCGGGUUCCGCCCAUGAACCUAUGCAUAGGGGUUGGCACACGUUUUCGUCUUGACUCUCUGGUAGAAACUUUGGGGCACUCUUUGAAAUACUUUGUGUUGGUUGAAUAGAUGAAUCUGAGAUUGUGUGAUGCAUAUCGUAUAAUCAUGCCCACGGAUACUUGAGGUGACAAUGGAGUAUCUAGGUGACAUUAGGGUUUUGGUUGAUUUGUGUCUUAAGGUGUUAUUCUAGUACGAACUCUAUGAUAGAUUGAACGGAAAGAAUAGCUUCAUGUUAUUUUACUACGGACUCUUGAAUAGAUCGAUCAGAAAGGAUAACUUUGAGGUGGUCUCGUACCCUACCAUAAUCUCUUCGUUUGUUCUCCGCUAUUAGUUACUUUGGAGUGACUCUUUGUUGCAUGUCGAGGGAUAGUUAUAUGAUCCAAUUAUGUUAUUAUUGUUGAGAGAACUUGCACUAGUGAAAGUAUGAACUCUAGGCCCUGUUUCCUAGCAUUGCAAUACCAUUUACGCUCACUUUUAUUAUUAGUUACCUUGCUGUUUUUAUAUUUUCAGAUUACAAAAACCUAUAUAUACCAUCCAUAUUGCACUUGUAUCACCAUCUCUUCGCCGAAUUAGUGCACCUAUACAAUUUACCAUUGUAUUGGGUGUGUUGGGGACACAAGAGACUCUUUGUUAUUUGGUUGCAGGGUUGUUUGAGAGAGACUAUCUUCAUCCUACGCCUCCCACGGAUUGAUAAACCUUAGGUCAUCCACUUGAAAGAAAUUUGCUACUGUCCUACAAAGCUCUGCACUUGGAGGCCCAACAACGUCUACAAGAAGAAGGUUUUGUAGUAGAUAUCAGGGGGAGGGGGGUGAAACCGCCCCGCCGCCGCCGUCCCCGAGCGCGGCGCGGCUUCGCUGGCCGGCCCUCCGGCGGCAGCGAUGCGGGGGGAGGGGGGCACUGGCGGAGGAAGGCUACCGGUGGCGAUGAAGGUUUCCCCCGUAUCGCCUGUUGCGGGCGACGCGGGGGCAGGGUUGACCAGCUCGAGGAUUUCGGCUGAGCUGUAGAACGUAUGAAAUAUUGAAGGAAAACAAAAACAUGAGAAUCAACAGAUAUUGGAGAAGUUGGUACAGAGUGGUACAUGGAAAGGAAAUUUUACUUUUACUGGAGGUUGAAUGAAGUUAUGUUUACACCUUCCAUUUCACUUUGUGGGCACUCCGAAGUUGCAAAGAAAAAAUAUAUAAAAUAUCAUCAUUCGUACGCAUUUAUAUGCAGGUAAUGAAAAUGGCUCCACCUAAUUAUAAGAUUAUUAAGCACUUUUAGUACCCGGGAGUCCCUGGUACUGUGAAGAUGAUAUUAAGACUAAUUAAUGGACAUGGAUUUGUUCUGAUCACACAAAGAUAGCUCAAACACCCAUCCGCUUACUUGCUUGCAUUUCAAAAGAUUGAUAACCACAUUUCAUCAUUUUUCCCCACUUCUCCACCUUGCUGGUGAUAUAUAUCCAGCUUCCGCAUAUAUGAUAUUUUUCACUCUAGCACUUUCAGCUUCUUUUUGAAAUGAAGAGUACUUUUCUUGCUGAUGCAGCAACAAUAGUAAGUCAGAGCUUUCUUAGGCCUUGUACAAUGCAAGGUGCUUUGAGAAAUAAACUAGGCUUUCCUUAAGCACCGAUACUUAUUUGUACAGGAUACUUUAUUAAUUUUUCUCACAAGAUCUUACAAAGUCAUACAACAGUAAGACUAAAGCCGCCGUCUAAGCAACAAACUGUCGCUACACCUAUCCAGUUGAUGAAGGGACGCAGAUAGCCUGGGCCUAAUACCAAACAGACAUCGCAUCCAAGCCUAACAUCUAAGACCUGAGACCCCAACCUAGCCACUUGCCGGGUCUGGGGCACACACUGGUCCGGCGUGCUCUCAGAGGCCGCCGCCGCCAACUGCCACCGCUCCAUCUUCAGAAUUGUACUGAUGCAUCAACCUUACUCGGUCUAGCUAUCGUCGACGCCACCACUGCGCCCAGCGGCACCUCCUCCCUGCCCGCAAACAACUGAGCACAUCGCGGUCGCCACUGAUACACCUCAGCACCAUGCUGCCAAGUACCACCAGCUGACACAGCUUGAAGUCCUUGGAAGAUCUUUCAUGCGUAGCACCUGCCGACCAAGUAUGACAAAGUGUAGCACCUGUCGGUCAGGCAUGACUUGACAUCUCCACCGAAGCUCCGUGCAAGACGAAGCCGCUCCACCUCCUGCCUCUGACUUCCAGCGCUGCUCCACAAACGAUGCUCCCAAGAGAGAAACGAGACAGCGGUGCCACAAUCGUCCGAUCUGGAACACCAGAUCCUAGAGUUUCCCGUGGAGCAGCACGAGUGGGUCGACAGUAGUUACACGAUGAUGCCUCCAUCAAGGUAACGACGAGAACGCCGCCAUCGCCUACCGUCGGCUCGAUUUUCACCGGCAACCAUGUCUCCCCUACUCGCAGUCGGGACUAGAUGAUGGAUCUCGAGAUCCGAUCACCAAGCCUCUGGCCGGCCAUCUCUGGAAGAAGAUGACCACCACGUCCACCAGCGUCACCACACCGGGCACGCGUUGCCGCCGGCACCCCCAUGGUGCCUAGAGGCCGACAAGCCCCGACGAACACCACGCCUCGCCAGCCGCCAUAGCCCAGGCCCAAGCACCACCAGAUCCAGAUCAGAUCGGGGUCAAGGGCCCCAAGCCGCAGCCGUCGCGGAGGCAGCACCACUAGACGGUGCCCUGCCCUCCACCCCGCUGUAGGAUCGAGUCAUCGCCGGAGCUCCGCCACGCCACGCCGCCAAGACGCCGCCGGAAGAACUCGCGCCGCCGCUAGGGGAGAGAGAGACGCGCUAGGGAGAGGCCCCGCCGCUGGCACUGCCUUGGCUUUGCCCGGCUGUGUCCCUCGGCGGCGGCGAGGGGGGAGGGAGGGUGGAGGAGGGCCGGCGGCGGAGGGGGCUAGGGUUCCCCCGAGUCGCCUCAGAGAGGGACGCAGGCGACGGGGUGAGAAAACUGAGAGAGUGGAUAUGGCCUUUACUCGAGCUCAUGGGGUGGCCCGACUGCUGGUGAGUGUUCUCGAUAUUGAGUUCGUGCCUGAUGUGGUUAAGUGGACAUAUAGGGGACAGAUUUUCAACCUCGAGAUUGAGUUUGAGGAUGCCGCUCUCUUCGCUGAGGCUAUCAAUGGGACUGAUGUAGAUAUGCACGAGGGUGAUGACAGCUCGGGUGCUAAGGAGGCACCGGUUGAUGAUGUUGGACGAGAGUUGUCCAACUAAUCGGGGCCCGUUCCUCAGACGCCCAGGGACGGGACGGCACCAUCCUCUUCGGUGCCUAUGAGUUCUCUGAGAUUUGGGUCGUUUGAGCCAGCUUCUGCUCCUCCCAGACUCUGGAGUGACCGGGUGGAGUCCGAUGACGUGUUUGAGCGCACGCUACCUACCCUGGAUUUUGUUGCUGCUGAUAGUCCCGUGCUUGGAGGUUUGGAGGGGAUUAUCUCUGUGCAGACCUCGGUAAGGGGAGGGGAGGCGGAGCUUGGGCAGGUGGCCCCUCUUUCCCCCGCUCUCCCUGCGGUGUCACCUCGGGAGACGGAGUCGACUAUGGAGGCUGUCCCUAGGGAGGGAGUCCAUGGCAGGUGGCCUCGGCUCCUUCUUCUCUUCUCGCGGUGCCGGAGCUGCAGAUGGCGGUUGUGCUUAGGGGAGGCGGUCCAGGGCAGGUGGCCUCGGCCCCCUCUUCACCUCUGGCGGCUAGGGAGGCCACACCCCCUAUGGCGCCGGAGACCUCUUCUAGCCAGAGGGCUGGGGCGGGAGGAGCGUACGGGCAGGCGGCCCACGCGCUUCCCUCUCCCGGCGCGCCAACGUCCCAGGGCCUCGGUUCGAGGUGGACGUCAGUGGGGCCGGGGAGGUCCCCGCCGCUGCCCCCGGCAGCUCCCGCCGACUCUUCGACGUGUGCAGCUUCGCGGUGUGCUGGGGGUGAGGCCGGUGGCUUUACUCCGAGCGGGGUCACUCGGGAGGAGGUCAUCGCCUUUGGAGGGAUUCUAGAUCCUGUCUCUGCGGGGCGACGGAUGAGCUGUCGUCUCUAGGAUCAUCCGGAGGUUGAUGACAUGCAGCAGCGGUGCGCCAUGAGGGCGGCCAAGCUUCGUGACAUUGAGGUCACUACUGGUAUGUCGGUCAACACUUCUAAUUCCAUUCUGCAUUUUUCUAAUAAUGAGAUUAUUAAUAAUUCAAAUCAAUUGGGAGUUUCACUAGGUAGUAAUGAUAGUGAAAUUUCUAACUUUGUAAAUGAUAUCCUGGAUUUGGAAGCGGAACGCGCUUUAGAAAUGAUUCAAAACUUAGCAGCGGUUAAACCCAUGAAUGAUGCAGAUAUCGAUGCGUUGGGGGUCAGGGUGCUCGAUAAUUUUUGUGCAGAUCUUGCACCAUCCAUUCCUGAGUCAGAGGAAGAGGAUAACACUUUUGAGGCUGCCGUAGAUCGAUCCAUGGAGCCCGGUUGUGAGGACUGGGUGGAGGAUCAAAACAAACCUAAACGCAAGUGGAAGCGGAAGAUCUACCCUGCUUCGGCGGUGCGUAGGAGUGCUAGGAUCCGUACUAUUAAAACAUUUCAUGAUGAAAUAUGAAAGGAAUCUUUUGGAAUAGCAGAGGUCUGAAAGACUUGGCUAAAAGAAGGUUUCUUGCAGAUGCGUCUAUCGAGCAUAGGUUGGAUUUUAUCACUCUCUCGGAAACUGGUAGAGAUAAUUUUUCGCCCCAGUUUCUCAGUACUUUAUCGGGAGGUGUUGAUUUCAAUUGGCACUGCCUGCCUCCGAGAGGAAGAUCGGGUGGGAUCUUACUUGGAGUGAGAUGCGAUUCGCUAGAAGUCUGAAGUGUAGUGAUGGGAGAUUUCACAAUUAAGUUCCGGGUUAGGUCGAAAGCCAACGGGUUUAAUUGGGCUCUGAUGGCGGUUAUGCUCCCGCGCAGCCCGAUCUCAAACCAGAGUUCUUGGCGGAUCUUGUUCAAAUUUGCGGCUCUGAGCAGCUCCCAAUCCUGGAUGGGGGUGAUUUCAACAUCAUUAGGAGGAGAGAGGAAAAGAAUAAUGAUAAUUUCGACGGCAGGUGGUCGUUUAUGUUUAAUACCAUUAUUGAAAGCUUGGAUCCUAGAGAGAUAGAGCUUUCGGGUAGAAAAUUCACCUGGGCUAAUACUUUGCCAAAUCCGACGUUUGAGAAGCUGGAUCGAGUCCUAGUGAGCGUCGAAUGGGAACAGAUAUUUCCUUUGGUAACGGUCCAGGCUCUUUCGCGUGGUAUUUCUGACCACACGCCUUUAUUUGUGGACUCUGGUGAGCCAACCCACAUGGGGAACAAAAACUCCUUUUCUUUCGAGCUGGCAUGGUUUGAACGAGAAGGCUUCUUGGAUAUGAUAGCCAGGGAAUGGGCUAAGGAUGCAGGAGGUAGGACUUCGAUUGAGCGCUGACAGAAUAAGAUAAGGCACUUGAGAAGUUUCUUGCGUGCGUGGGCUAAGCAUCUUAGUGGGGUUUAUAAGGUCGAAAAGGAAAGGCUCCUUACACUUAUUCAGUCUCUAGAUUUAAAAGCCGAGUCCACAAUUUUGCAAGCCACAGAGCUUCAUGAUAAACUGGAGGCGGAGAUGAGAUUGAAAGAGCUUCUCCGUGAAGAGGAAUUAAAGUGGGCGCUGCGGGCUAAGGUUCGCAAAGUUGUCCAGGGGGACGCGAAUACUCAAUUCUUUCACAUGAUCGCUAAUGGCAAGCACAGAAAGAAUAGAAUCUUUCAGCUUGAACCAAGAUGAAGGAACGAUUUUAGGACAGGAAAACCUAAAAUUAUACAUAACCGAAUACUACAAGCAGUUGUUUGGGCCUCUGGAGGAUAAUUGUGUAUCCCUGGAUGAGUCUAGGAUUGAGGAUGUGCCUCAACUUACUGCUGAUGAGAAUGAUAUUUUGAUUGCCCCUUUUUCGGGGAAAGAGGUGUUUGAAGCCAUUACACAGAUGAAAAACAAUAAGGCUCCAGGGCCGGAUGGAUUUCCGGCGGAAUUCUAUAAAAAGUGUUGGCAUAUUAUUAAGGGGGAUUUGCAACCAAUGUUCCAUGAUUUAUUCUCUGGACAGCUUCAGUUAUUUCACUUGAACUUUGGAAUGAUAACAUUGCUUCCUAAGAAAACAAAGGCUGUGAGAAUUGAGCAGUUCAGGCCGAUCUGUCUUCUCAAGGUUAGUUUCAAAAAUUUCACAAAGGUUGGGACUAAUAGGCUCACGCAGACUGCGCAUUCUGUGGUGCAGCAUUCCCAAACUGCUUUCAUGCCGGACAGAAACAUCCUAGAAGGGGUUGUGGUCCUUCAUGAAACGCUCCACGAAAUUCACACGAAAAAACUAGAUGGAGUUGUUUUCAAGGUGGAUUUCGAGAAAGCGUACGAUAAAGUCAAAUGGCCUUUCCUUCAACAGGCCUUACAUAUGAAAGGUUUUGAUGAAGCCUGGCGACGCCAGGUAGAAUCUUUCACGCAAAAAGGGAGUGUUGGAAUUAAAGUGAAUGACGACAUAGGUCAUUAUUUCCACACACAUAAGGGCCUGAGACAAGGGGUUCCGAUGUCUCCUAUUUUGUUCAACAUUGUAGUUGAUAUGUUGGCAAUUCUAAUAGGAAGGGCUAAGGAGGUUGGUCAGGUGGGUGGCUUGGUGUCUCAUCUAGUUGAUGGAGGUGUGUCUAUCCUACAGUACAGCGAGAAAUAUGAAGCUGGUGUUAUGCUUAUUUGAACAAUUGACCGGGUUAAAGAUUAACUUUCACAAAAGCAAAUUGUUCUGCUUUGGAAGAGCCAAUGAGGAACAAGAGGCUUAUAGGCAAUUGUUUGGGUGCGAAUUGGGGACCUUACCAUUUACGUAUUUAGGUAUACCAAUUCACCAUCGUAAGCUGACAAACACAGAAUGGAAGUGUAUCGAGGAUCUCUUUGAGAAGAAACUGAGUUGCUGGAAGGGCAAGCUCAUGUCAUACGGAGGCCGAUUAAUUCUGAUUAAUUUGGUUCUCACGAGUAUGCCUAUGUUUCUCUUGUCUUUGUUCGAAGUCCCAGUUGGAGUUAGGAAAAGGCUGGACUUCUAUCGAUCCCGAUUCUUCUGGCAGAGCGAUGAACUAAAAAGAAAAUACAGACUCACCAAAGGGAUAUUAUCUGUCGACCGAAAGACCAAGGGGGUCUUGGCAUUGAAAAUCUUGAGGUCAAGAACAGAUGUCUUCGCAGCAUGUGGCUGUCUAAGUUAUCUGUAGAGAUCGAUGCCACAUGGGCGCAGAUUCUUAGUAGUAAGUAUCUUCAUUCCAAAACUUUGUCCCAGGUGACAGCGAGGCCGACAGACUCACCUUUUUGGAAAGGGCUUAUGAUAGUCAAAUUAGCCUUUUUUAAUAGGACAAAGUUUAUUAUCGUCAAUGGCGCUAGCACGCGAUUCUGGGAGGAUACUUGGCUCGGAGAGACCCCCUUGCACUUCAAUACCCGUCUCUGUAUCGUAUUGUUCAACGACGUGAUGCUUUCGUUGCAACGAUACUUCAAUCCAUCCCCCUUAAUAUUUAGGUCAGGAGGACGCUAGCCGGUAAUCGUUGGGAAGAGUGGCUCCAUCUAGUGAGUAGACUGAUGGAGGUUCAGCUGUCUCAACAGCCCGAUCAAUUACGCUGGAAACUUACUAGGUCUGGAGAGUGUACAGUUAAAUCAAUGUAUCUCGAUGUGAUCAAUUCUAGCUCUAUUCCUAGUUCCAAAUAUGUUUCGACAGUCAAAGUUCCAUUGAAAAUUAAAGUGUUUACGUGGUUUGUACAUAAACAAGUCAUCUUAACCAAGGACAAUUUGGCAAAGCGUAACUGGACAGGACCUACUAAGUGUAGUUUUUGUGAUCGGGAUGAAACUAUCAAACACCUUUUUCUUGAUUGCUCGAUGGCCAAAGUUCUAUGUCGGACAGUCCACAUAGCCUUUGACAUUUCCGAGUUCUGUUAGCACGUUAUUUGGAACGUGGCUUAAUGGGAUAGAGUCCGAAACAGCGAGACACAUUCGCGUAGGAGUAUGUGCUUUAUUGUGGGCAGUCUGGAACUGCAGAAAUGAUUUGGUUUUUAACAGAACAACAAAUAUUCAUUUUUUGCAGGUUAUCUUCCAAGCCACUGCGUUGAUCCGUACGUGGUCACUACUCACUCCGACGGAGGCCAGGGAGCGUUUGGUUACUGGAUCUAUCCGGUGGGAGAUGGUAGCACGGGAUAUCUUCAACCGGUUUGAAUGGCGGUCAUGUAAUAGGAUAGGCAAUUAGUUUACCUAUCUUUCUUAUGCCGGCCGAUUGUGGCUUUUUGGCUAGUUUGUUAUUGGCCCUUUGGCUCUUUAUGAGCUUUCCUUUACUUUCGUUUGAGACUUUAAGACCUUGUUAAACCUAUUUGCUUUUUUAUAAAGUUGGCCGUAUGCAUCGUUCUGAUGCAGAGGCCGGGGAGCCCCCACUUUUCGAAAAAAAACCUCUUGUUAUCUUGUAUUCUUGUGUGACAAUGCUCGAAGAAUAUAAAAGGGCUAGGUGGAAAGACCCCCAUAUCGAAAACUUGCCUACCUACGAGUUUUAUAGACACAGAGCCUCAUUGGAUUGUACUAGAUGGAGCCUCCAGUGAGAGCUGAAGACGAGGCGAUGAGCACGGAGGAGCUGCUCCAAGCCCAGACGGAUCUCUACCACCACUCCCUAGCCUACAUCAAAUCUAUGGCGCUCGGUGCCGCCACAGAACUCAGCGUCGCCGACGCCAUCCACGGCCGUGGCGGUGCCAUCACCUUGUCUGACCUUGCGGCCGCGACCGGCGUCCACCCGACGAAAGUCCAACACUUCGGGCGGCUGAUGCGCGCGCUUACCGUCACUGGUGUCUUCACCUCGGAAGAAAAAGAAGGCGGUGGUGGUGCCCUGUACAAGCUCACUCGGAUUUCACGCCUCCUUCUCGGAGUCGGCAAGCGUCGGCUCUCCCCGAUGGUGCGUAUGCUUGUCAGCGAGGUCAGUUUCACUACUCCCAUGAGCAUCUGCGAGUGGAUCACCACUGAGACGCCGGCCAGGGCCAUGUUCGAGGCCCAUUUUGGCUCUACGCAAAAUGGGUUGUGGGAGAAGGACGACGCGUAUGGUGCCCCCUUCUACUCAGCAAUGGCUGCGGACAGCCGUCUCGUCAUGGAGGUUCUGCUGAGAGAGUGCAGCAGCGUCUUUGAGGCCGUUGCCGGCUCACUUGUCGAUGUCGGCGGCGGCAGCGGAGGAGUCGUGGCUGCCGCCAUUGCCACAGCGUUCCCUCACAUCAAGUGCUCCGUGCUGGACCUCCCCAACGUGGUAGCCGCGGCUGACGACACCACCAACGUGCAGUUUGUCUCCGGCGAUAUGUUUGACUACAUUCCACCAGCGGAUGCCGUUCUACUCAAGGUACGUACUUACAUAGUACUCCCUCCGUAAGGAUAUAUAAGAGCAUUUAGAUCAUUAUUAUUUUAGUGAUUGAUCCAAACGCACUUAUAUUUCUUUACAGAGGGAGUAGCACAUACAAAUGCAGCAAGCUAUCCAUUUCUUAUAUAUAUAAUGAACCAAAUUAAUCAACCAAUCCUUCCUAUAAAUUUUGUAGUGGAUUUUGCAUGACUGGGAAGACCAAGACUGCGUCAAGAUACUGCGCAAGUGCAGAGAGGCCAUCCGCACAAGAGGUGCUGGGGGGAAGGUGAUUAUAAUCGAUUUCGUCGUCGGUGCUGGUUCUUGCAAGGAGACGGAGACACAGGUUCUGUUUGAUCUUUACAUGAUGAUGGAGAAUGGGGCUGAGCGGGACGAGCAAGAGUGGAGCAAGAUUUUCUUUGAAGCUGGAUUUAGUGACUACAAGAUCAUGCCAGUCUUAGGCGCUCGUUCACUCAUUCAAGUAUUCCCAUGAAUUCUGGCGGUUUGAUGUCCAAAUGUACUUCCUGUUUCCAAAUGUUUGUUUGCUUUCACAUCAGAAUAAUGCCUAGGACUAUACUAUAUAGUCUCGACUUUGAAUCUGAAUAAUGAAACUGUUUGUUAUCCUACGUGUUGUUUUCGUUCAUAAUUCAUAUGCUCACAAUGAAAUACAGUCUGCUAUUUUUGUUUACAUUAAAUUAUACUUUACCUAGCAAUAUGGUAAACAGGCUCACUUAGCAGAGGCUGGCUUGUUCGCUUAUUCGCCGCCCUAGGAAUGCGAGCUCCUUGCCGAAAUGAAAUUCUAGUAGCACUGGUUACUAUCGGGUCCUGCAUGUUCGUCAUUUGUGCAAGUAAACACAAUGCAUACGAGUACUCUACUGAAUUGAACUUUUUUGUAUUGUUUUCAUUGGACCAUCCACUGUAUAGUAACAGAGUAUUUAUUGCACACAGACUAUUUUAUUCUUUCAACCCAUAGUUCAUCCACCCACACUUUUAGUCUGAUUCUAAAAUUUGUAACACUUUUAAAUUUUGAACUUGUUCUGAACAAGUAAAAUUCCAAAUUUGACACCAUAAUGAAACUUAUGUCAAAUGUGAGAUCAUAUGAAAUGAAACUGAAGUGAACCAAUAAUAAAAAAUGCAAAAAUAAUUUAAUAAACCAUAAUAAAACUUAUAUCAAAUUUGAGAUGAAACAUAGACGAAUUGUGGAUUGAAACAAUAACGAAAACAAGCUAAGGGGAAUCUAUGAAUAAAUAAUGAGAACAUGUAAAAUUACGAUGACACGGAAAUGAUAUCGUAUGGAAAAUAUGCUAAGAGAACACUUUCAUUGGCCAGCCCAACCAUGAAAGGUAAUUUAACAAAAUGAUAUGAAACUUAUUUGAAAGCUCGAAAAAUAGAAAUAAAACCAGAAUGAAAAUAAUAAUGAAACAUGUAAAAAUACGAUGAAACACAUAUGUAAAAAUAAGGCCGCGAGAUCGUCGUCCUCUGAGUUGGAAGUUUAUGGUGAAGGUGACGUGGGAUCCAUUGCAGGCGCGCCCGGGGUCUGGUGUGGUUGUGGAACACAUAUGUGGAGAUCAUAGUAGCGGUGAAUGACGAACGUGAGCGCUCCGAAGAAUAUGGUGCAGGAAGGAGAAGUCGGUCUGUUAGUGUAGAACCGGCCUUCUGCGAUGAAGGUGAGGAAGCCGAUGGUUAAGCCGUGAGAUUGCCAGCCGUUAUUGAGGAUCUGAUCUAGAGUCGGUCCCCAGCUGACAUAGCCCCUUCCUGUGCUAACUGAUGGUAUGGGAAUUUGCGAGUAUCCUUUGUAGGGUGGCGAACAUGUCCGGAAGUACAAGAAGGGAGUUCGCCAAGGGGGUUUUCCAGAUUUGCGCCCUCAUGGCGAGGAAAUACCUUACGUCCUGCUAUUUGUUUUCUAUUGAUGAUGGAGAACGUUGAGCGAGGGGUUACAAGGGACAUAAAUAUGGCCAUAGGAGUAUAGUCUACGGGAGUAGAUUGGAAUCGCUACCCCUAUCCUCACCUUAUAUAGGUGACGGGGCUAGGUUUUACAUGGCGCCUACAUGAUCUCACACUGCCAUCAUCUUGGCUUCCACCCAAGAUGGUCUUCUGGCUUCCAGGACCCCCGGGCUGUCUCUUGAUGCCAGACCUCCUUCAAGACUUUUGGGCCCGAAGGCCGGCCCACUAUUGGGUUCAUAUCUAGUGUGCCAUCCACGUUGUAAUGCACCAUCACCAACCCCGAUUUCUGGGGCCUUAAGAGUGAAGCGAUUCCUAAUUCUUCUUGGUAACAUGCCAAAGUGUUGUGUCCCAAAGGCUCGACUGGGUAUUUUCGUCAUUGCGGUUGAUAUGGAGAAGGGGUGGGUCGCAUGGAGGCAGAAAUGGGUAAAUGAAGACAGAAACGAGGGGCUGGCCUGACAGUGGUUCAUGUAGACGACGAGCAAGAGCAUGUGGCCAAUUUUUCCGCAAGCGUUAGAAGCAUAGCCAUAAUUCCAGAAAUUUUAGUGGCGGCAACUGAAUUUGCCCUAUUAUAAGAAGGUAUUGCCCCACAACGGUGCGCACACGGGUGACCUUCCUCUUGGUCCAAUGACAGGUGGGCCAUGGACUCGCCGGGGGCCAUAUUAAUGGGACAUUGUCUAUCGUGCUCUUGUGAUUUCUCUCUCGGGUGAUGGGCGGGCUAGACCCACCUGUCGGUUUUUUCGGACACCGUUGGGCUGGCUCAGGUGUGCCAGGGGGCCAGGUCAGACUGUGGUGGGCCUAGACCCCGGCGGGUGUGCGUCGUUCAGGAUGGCCGGCCACGCGGGUGUGCCAUGCUGUUUGAUCGCGAGAGCUGGCAAAGCACGGGCACCAGGUUGUUCGGCUUGUGUGAGCGAAACAGGCGACGGUGAGUCUAUCGUCCAAGAGACGGGCCGAAUAUACCGACAGGCGGAUCAGGCUUCCUGCUCUUGUGCAAUACGAUGAGAAAGGGUUCUCGCGGGAGCACCGAGGCCGCUCCAUGAGAGUGGCCCUGCACGCACCCGCGGUCCACCCGUCAUGGACCCCCGAGUGCACGUCCACUAGUUGAAAACGGAGUUUUAUCACCGGUUCGUAAGGGCCUUUAGUGCCGGUUCUGCAACCGGCACUAAAGAGUGGGGACUAAAGGUCCCCCUUUAGUACCGGUUUGGCACGAACCGGCGUAAACGUGCCACCACGUGGCACGAGCCAGGCCUGGGUGCGUGUAGGACAUUAGUACCGGUUGGUAACACAACCGGUACUAAAUGUUUGGGUGUGUUUUGGUUUUAAUUUUUAUUUUUCCUUUAGUUUUGUGUUUUCAAUUUAAUUUAGUGAUUGUUUUACAUUAUAAUGAGUUGUUAAAUCAUUAGGUGAAAGUACCGCAGAUUAGUUUCGACUGGAUGCAUGUGGAUCCUAGCUAAGUGAUAAAGUAUAUGCCAUAUCCAUAUUACUUAGAUCUAAGUAAUAUGGAUAUGGCAUAUAGUUGAUCACUUAGCUAGGAUCCAUCCAGUUGAAACUAAUAUGCGGUUUCUUUCAUAAAUGAUAUAAUAACUCAUCAUCAUCAUCAUCAUAUUAAUAUAAAAACUCUUGCAUCAUAUCAUCACCAACAACAGUAUAUACUAGCUAGCAAAGAUAUCAUCGAGUUCAACAUGGUCAUGAUAUUAUAAGCAUUCAUAACACCACAAAAGCAAAUCACUCUUUGAGAUUAAGUUCAUGACGAAGAACACGGACACGCAUGAGAGGACAAGAAGUACUAAGAGCAUGAUAACUAGCUAAAUCACUCCUGCUGCUCUCUCUCAGGUAAAAUAGCAUAGAACAUGUAUAGCUCUCCUGAUUCAUCAUAUUGGAUCAUGCAGAUGAACCUGUCUCCUAAUCGUGGGCUGCGCUUCUGAUUGCUGCCCCCUAGUACUUCUUUGCGAUCGUUAACAAUUUUGCUCCAAUCUUUCACUAUUAAGCAUUCAUCGCUUUCAGAAAUUCUGAAUGCACUCAUGUGCACUGUAGGAUAUCUUGGCCGUAAGCUAACAAUUGACAUGCGACCUUUAGUCUUGAUCCACUGAGGCACAACUAUUAAGCAUUCAUCGCUUUCAGAAAUUCUGAAUGCACUCAUGUGCACUGUAGGAUAUCUUGGCCGUAAGCUAACAAUUGACAUGCGACCUUUAGUCUUGAUCCACUGAGGCACAACUGUCAUCGGGAGUCCCUGUUGAAGAACAUCGUAUAGUAAUUAAUAUACUUAGCAAUGAAAGUUUAGCUUGAAAAAUAAUGUAUGCAAAAGAUGCACUGAGGACUAAUAGUAAAAAUCUUACCAUCUUUCCUAAAUACAUGUGACCGUAGUUCAAUACGAUCACUAUUGGUCGCACGUUUUGAGUACUAAGAUUUUCAAAUUCAGGAAAAUGAUUUCUCUUAACAGCAUCAAGAUCCUCAAGCCAUGAAACAUAAUGACUUAUCUCCUCGCAGUUUAGUUCAGCCCCGGGACAGUGGAUGGUCCUGUCUACCAAGCGCCGAACAUGUUUGCUUGAAUCAAAAUAAGCUGUCAAUAGAAAUUACUUGUCAACUAUUUUUGAAUAAACAAUAUCGAAGACAUAAAUAUGGUUGAGAAACUCACAUAAUGGUAGAACUGGAGGCAUCUGCACAUCGACCCAGAUAUCUCUAUUACCUUCAAUAUCAUCUUCCGGACGAAUAUCAAAGGUGAUAACCAUAUCAGGCUCAAAUGCAUAAGUCUUGCAUAGUGCUUGCCAAGUUUUGCAUUCAAAAUAGGUGUAUGUGUCUGCAUUGUAUAAUUUGACGUUGAAAGUAUAACCAUGCUCGGUCUUCAGGUAAACUCUCUUUGCCUCCAUAGUUUCCAUAGCACUGAAACCUAUCUUAUCCAAGACAAAAAUUCUUGCAUGGCAGGGGAUGCGCUACUACAAUAGUGAAAAUUAAAAAUUAUAAGUUGAAGCAAAUGAAGCAUAAGUCAUGCUUAAUUAUGAAAAAAGACUUGUCGUUGUGACUUACUGUAUCCACUUCGAAGGUCUCAUCCAGCUUGAUGCUGAAGCGCCUAUCAUCAACAAGGAAAUUUCUGUCGCACAGGCCGCGCUGGUCUUCACAGUAUUCGCACUUAAUGAAAUCUUUUUCGUCGUCAGACGACAUUUCCUAUGUUCAUAUAGGUGAAACAUUAAACACUUACUAGUUCUAUUAAUUCAACUAGUUCAACUACUUCUAUUAAUUCAACUAGUUCUAUCAAUUCAACUAGUUCUAUUAAUUCAACUAAUUCAACUAAGCAUUUACUAAAAAUAAACUAGUUCUAUAUAUAUAUAUAUAUUAAUAUUUUAAUUAGAUCAUCAAAUCUCAAAUACCUAAAUUUUCUUACUAAAAAUAAACCAGUUCUAUUAAUUCAACAAAUUCAACUAAGAAUUUACUAAAAAUGAACUAGUUAUAUUAAUUUUCUUACUAAAAUAUAUAAAGUAGCUAUGUAUAGUAAUAUUUUAAUUAGAUCAUCAAAUCUCUUAUACCUAAAUUUUCUUACUAAAAAUAAACNNNNNNNNNNNNNNNNNNNNNNNNNNNNNNNNNNNNNNNNNNNNNNNNNNNNNNNNNNNNNNNNNNNNNNNNNNNNNNNNNNNNNNNNNNNNNNNNNNNNNNNNNNNNNNNNNNNNNNNNNNNNNNNNNNNNNNNNNNNNNNNNNNNNNNNNNNNNNNNNNNNNNNNNNNNNNNNNNNNNNNNNNNNNNNNNNNNNNNNNNNNNNNNNNNNNNNNNNNNNNNNNNNNNNNNNNNNNNNNNNNNNNNNNNNNNNNNNNNNNNNNNNNNNNNNNNNNNNNNNNNNNNNNNNNNNNNNNNNNNNNNNNNNNNNNNNNNNNNNNNNNNNNNNNNNNNNNNNNNNNNNNNNNNNNNNNNNNNNNNNNNNNNNNNNNNNNNNNNNNNNNNNNNNNNNNNNNNNNNNNNNNNNNNNNNNNNNNNNNNNNNNNNNNNNNNNNNNNNNNNNNNNNNNNNNNNNNNNNNNNNNNNNNNNNNNNNNNNNNNNNNNNNNNNNNNNNNNNNNNNNNNNNNNNNNNNCUGGGGCGGCGAUGGGGGCGGCGACGACGGCGGCGACGACGACGGCGACAGGAUGGGCUGGGGCGCGAUAGGGGCGGCGACGGGGGCGAAGAACAAACUGAAACGAACUGAAAAUAUUCGUAAGUGGUGCUUAUAUAGCGGUGGCCAUUAGUACCGGUUUGAUACUAAAGGCCUAUUUUGGCCAGGCCAAGAGGCGGGAAGAGCAGGCCUUUAGUACCGGUUGGUGGCUCCAACCGGUACUAAAGACCCACCUUUAGUACCGGGUUGGGCUACCAACCGGUACUAAAGGGGGUGCGCUGCCACCCGCGGUGUAGAAAGUUUAGUCCCACCUCGCCGGGCGAAGGGCAGCCGCACUGGUUUAUAAACCCAGCCGCGGCUGCUACUUUGAACUCCCUUGUAAAGCAGGCUUCUGGGCCUAACUAUGGCACGCUGCCCUGUGAGCCUGCUGGCCCUUGUGGGCCUGAAUUUCCACGCCCGUGGUCUUGUAGGCCCAUUGGGAAGCGCCCCAAUAAUUUUUUAUAUAGUUUGUUUCUUUUCUUCUUUAUUUAUUUUCUUCUAUUUAUUUCUGAGUAGUUUUUUAUAUAGUUUUUUCUUUUCUGCUUUUUUUUAUUUUCUUCUAUUUAUUUCGGAUUAGUUUUUUAUAUAUUUUUUUCUUUUCCCCAAAUCGGUAAAUGACUGAAAAAUAGCAAAUGUUGUCAGAAAGUGUUGAAAAUUGAUGACGUCGCUUUGAAUGGUGUGUAUGGAACGCAAAAAAGUCUGGAGUUGUAAUAAGUUUAAAAAAAUGAAGUGCCCAUGUAACAGAUGAGUUCUCGUCAGAAACCCUGAUACUACAAAAAAGAUAGUCCAGUUUGUACACGAAGUGCGUCCAGUUUUUGCCAUAACCCUCUCUACUCUUUUGCACAUGCUAUGUGGGUGAAAUGAUGAUACCAUGCCAAGUUUUGACAUUUUCAGAGUUUAUUUUGUAGUGAUUUUCAAUUUCACGGUCAUUUAACUCUCUAAACAAAUCGGUAAAUGACUGAAAAAUAGCAAAUGAUGUCAGAAAGUGUUGAAAAUUGAUGACGUCGCUUUGAAUGGUGCGUACGGAACGCAAAAAAGUCUGGAGUUGUAAUAAGUUUAAAAAAAUGAAGUGCCAGUGUAACAGAUGAGUUCUCGUCCGAAACCCUGAUACUCCGAAAGAGAUUGUCCAGUUUGUACACGAAGUGCGUCCAGUUUUUGCCGUAAUCCUCUCUACUCUUUUGCACAUGCUGUGUGGGUGAAAUGAUGAUACCAUGCCAAGUUUCGACAUUUUCAGAGUUCAUUUUGUAGUGAUUUUCAAUUUCACGGUCAUUUAGCUCUCUAAACAAAUCGGUAAAUGACUACAAAAGUGCAAAUAAUGUCAGAAAGUUUUGAAAAAUGAUGACGUCGCUUUGAAUGGUGUGUACGGAACGCAAAAAAGUCUGGAGUUGUAAUAAGUCUGAAAAAUCGAAGUGCCAAUGUAACAGAUGAGUUCUCGUCAGAAACCCUUAUACUUCGAAAGAGAUUGUCCAGUUUGUACACGAAGUGCGUCCAGUUUUUGCCGUAACCCUCUCUACUCUUUUGCACAAGCUAUGUGGGUGAAAUAAUGAUACCACACCAAGUUUCGACAUUUUCAGAGUUGAUUUUGUAGUGAUUUUCAAUUUCACGGUCAUUUAGCUCUCUAAACAAAUCGAUAAAUGACUGAAAAAUAGUAAAUGAUGUUAGAAAGUGUUGAAAAUUGAUGACGUCGCUUUGAAUGGUGCGUACGGAACGCAAAAAAAGUCUGUUGUUGUAAUAAGUUUAAAAAAAUGAAGUGCCAGUGUAACAGAUGAGUUCUCGUUCGAAACCCUGAUACUCCGAAAGAGAUUGUCCAGUUUGUACACGAAGUGCGUCCAGUUUUUGCCGUAACCCUCUCUAAUCUUUUGCACAUGCUAUGUGGGUGAAAUGAUGAUACUAUGCCAAGUUUCGACAUUUUCAGAGUUCAUUUUGUAGUGAUUUUCAAUUUCACGGUCAUUUAGCUCUCUAAACAAAUCGGUAGAUGACUAAAAAAUAGCAAAUGAUGUCAGAAAGUUUUGAAAAUUGAUGACGUCGCUUUGUAUGGCGUGUACGGAACGCAAAAAAUUCUGGAGUUGUAAUAAGUUUAAAAAAAUGAAGUACCCAUGUAACAGAUGAGUUCUCGUCAGAAACCCUGAUACUCCAAAAGAGAUUGUCCAGUUUGUACACGAAGUGCGUCCAGUUUUUGCCGUAACCCUCUCUACUCUUUUGCACAUGCUGUGUGGGUGAAAUGAUGAUACCAUGCCAAGUUUCGACAUUUUCAGAGUUCAUUUUGUAGUGAUUUUCAAUUUCACGGUCAUUUAGCUCUCUAAACAAAUCGGUAAAUGACUAAAAAAUAGCAAAUGAUGUCAGAAAGUGUUGAAAAUUGAUGACGUCGCUUUGAAUGGUGCGUACGGAACGCAAAAAAAGUCUNNNNNNNNNNNNNNNNNNNNNNNNNNNNNNNNNNNNNNNNNNNNNNNNNNNNNNNNNNNNNNNNNNNNNNNNNNNNNNNNNNNNNNNNNNNNNNNNNNNNNNNNNNNNNNNNNNNNNNNNNNNNNNNNNNNNNNNNNNNNNNNNNNNNNNNNNNNNNNNNNNNNNNNNNNNNNNNNNNNNNNNNNNNNNNNNNNNNNNNNNNNNNNNNNNNNNNNNNNNNNNNNNNNNNNNNNNNNNNNNNNNNNNNNNNNNNNNNNNNNNNNNNNNNNNNNNNNNNNNNNNNNNNNNNNNNNNNNNNNNNNNNNNNNNNNNNNNNGACUAAAAAUAGCAAAUGAUGUCAGGAAGUGUUGAAAAUUGAUGACGUCACUUUGAAUGGUGCGUACGGAACGCAAAAAAAGUCUGGAGUUGUAAUAAGUUUAGAAAAAUGAAGUGCCAAUGUAACAGAUGAGUUCUCGUCAGAAACGGUGAUACUCCGAAAGAGAUUGUCCAGUUUGUACACGAAGUGCGUCCAGUUUUUGCCGUAAUCAUCUCUAUUCUUGUGCACAUGCUGUGUGGGUGAAAUGAUGAUACCAUGCCAAGUUUUGACAUUUUCAGAGUUCAUUUUGUAGUGAUUUUCAAUUUCACGGUCAUUUAGCUCUCUAAACAAAUCGGUAAAUGACUACAAAAGUGCAAAUAAUGUCAGAAAGUUUUGAAAAAUGAUGACGUCGCUUUGAAUGGUGUGUACGGAACGCAAAAAAGUCUGGAGUUGUAAUAAGUCUGAAAAAAUGAAGUGCCAAUGUAACAGAUGAGUUCUCGUCAGAAACCCUUAUACUUCGAAAGAGAUUGUCCAGUUUGUACACGAAGUGCGUCCAGUUUUUGCCGUAACCCUCUCUACUCUUUUGCACAUGCUAUGUGGGUGAAAUGAUGAUAUCACGCCAAGUUUCGACAUUUUCAAAGUUGAUUUUGUAGUGAUUUUCAAUUUCACGGUCAUUUAGCUCUCUAAACAAAUCGAUAAAUGACUGAAAAAUAGUAAAUGAUGUCAGAAAGUGUUGAAAAUUGAUGACGUCGCUUUGAAUGGUGCGUACGGAACGCAAAAAAAGUCUGUUGUUGUAAUAAGUUUAAAAAAAUGAGUUGCCAGUGUGACAGAUGAGUUCUCGUUCGAAACCCUGAUACUCCGAAAGAGAUUGUCCAGUUUGUACACGAAGUGCGUUCAGUUUUUGCCGUUACUCUCUCUACUCUUUUGCACAUGCUAUGUGGGUGAAAUGAUGAUACUAUGCCAAGUUUCGACAUUUUCAGAGUUCAUUUUGUUGUGAUUUUCAAUUGCACGGUCAUUUAGCUCUCUAAACAAAUCGGUAGAUGACUAAAAAAUAGCAAAUGAUGUCAAAAAGUUUUCAAAAUUGAUGACGUCGCUUUGUAUGGUGUGUACGGAACUCAAAAAAUCUGGAGUUGUAAUAAGUUUAAAAAAAUGAAGUGCCCAUGUAACAGAUGAGUUCUUGUCAGAAACCCUGAUACUUCGAAAGAGAUUGUCCAGUUUGUACACGAAGUGCGUCCAGUUUUUGCCGUAACCCUCUCUACUCUUUUGCACAUGCUGUGUGGGUGAAAUGAUGAUACUAUGCCAAGUUUCGACAUUUUCAGAGUUCAGUUUGUAGUGAUUUUCAAUUUCACGGUCAUUUAGCUCUCUAAACAAAUCGGUAAAUGACUGAAAGAUAGCAAAUGAUGUCAGAAAGUGUUGAAAAUUGAUGGCGUCGAUUUGAAGGGUGCGUACGGAACGCAAAAAAAGUCUGGAGUUGUAAUAAGUUUAAAAAAAUGAAAUGCCAGUGUAACAGAUGAGUUCUCGUCCGAAACCCUGAUACUCCGAAAGAGAUUGUCCAGUUUGUACACGAAGUGCGUCCAGUUUUUGCCGUAACCCUCUCUACUCUUUUGCACAUGCUAUGUGGGUGAAAUGAGGAUACCAUGCCAAGUUUCGACAUUUUUAGAGUUCAUUUUGUAGUGAUUUUCAAUUUCACGGUCAUUUAGCUCUCUAAACAAAUCGGUAAAUGACUAAAAAAUAGCAAAUGAUGUCAGAAAGUUUUGAAAAUUGAUGACGUCGCUUUGAAUGGUGUGUACGGAACUCAAAAAAGUCUGGAGUUAUAAUAAGUUUUAAAAAAUAAAGUGCCCAUGUAACAGAUGAGUUCUCGUCAGAAACCCUGAUACUUCGAAAGAGAUUGUCCAGUUUGUACAGGAAGUGAGUCCAGUUUUUGCCGUAACACAAGAAGUCCGGAGUUGUUAUAAGUUAUUAAAGAUAAAAAAGAGGCACAAUGCUCGUUAAUUAGCUUCAAGCCUUUCGGAAUAGUGCAAACUGCACUGCACAUAGCUCCGUGCAGUCUACACUAUUCCUCAAGGCUUAAAGCUAAGCAACGUGUAGAUGAGCAUUUCACGGUCAUUUAGCUCUCUAAGCUAAUCUAGUAGCCAUGUUAAGUCGAUAAUGACGUGGAAUUGUUAUAUGACAUGCAAAUACCUUCUGAGUUAAUGGCACUAGUCAUCAACCCGUGCAACUGCAUGGGCUAGUUUUUUAAACGGUUCAUAGUUACAAUACUUUUCAUGACCACUUGUUUCUUUGCAUCCAGCAAGAAUAUAAAUUUGUUGUGUGUGAACCAUUAAAUGAACAAUUAAUAUGAAAAUAGAAAACUUAUAUCCUGAAAGUUUACAAUCUUCAUAAAAUAUUUAUAUUUUAUUUUAAGACAAACGGGAAAUUAAAAAUCCUACUUAUAGAGAUCCUGAAACAUAAUUCAAAUGUCGCAUAAAUUACGUAAUUUUGAAUGAUAAGUACUAAAAAUGUAAUAAUUUGUUUAGUUAAUAUUAAUCCUUUUUUUAUUUGGGAGUCUACUUAAUCAUGGGGUAUUUUGCAUAAUGCUUAGGCUUGUCAAAUGAAAUAAGCAUUUCAUAACAACAGUGUACCUCCCUACAGUUUAAUAACAAACUUACUCUACAAACACCGAAAACCGAACCAAAGACUGAAGAAGCAAUCAUAAGUGUCAUACUUCUUAAAUUCUCCUUUUUUUUCCCGGCACCACCCAUGGAGUAGUCUUUCCACCGUGUUUGACUCUCGUUGUGGUAGCAAAUGAUGGGUCCAAGUUUUCGCAUAGUAUUGUCCGUUUGUUUUAUCAUGAUAGAGUACUCCAUUAGUUGGCACCGCUCUUAUAUUUGUGUGUGAUCUUUUAGCAGUUCAACAUUAUAGUUCUUCCACCCAUAUGUUCGCAAUGUUAAAUCUAUGGAGAAAAAGAUUCAAAUCUUCACUAUUGUACCACAAAAGCAAGUCACAUGAAUAGCUCGCAAUUAUUUAACUACUGGUGGUUGGUGCCAGGUAUAUUAGCGUUAGGAAAGUAAAUGUACAUACUGAACAUUUGACUGUGGAAGAAAAUGAAUUUUCUUAUUUACUCUUAUUGAAUUCUAAAUAUAUUUUGGAUAUUUGUUUUCAGUAAUACACCUAAUUUUGGAAAAUCUAUUUCAUAGCCUUGUAUUUUUGAAAUAUUUUACAAAACAUGACACAAAUUGUUGUGUUUUUUCACAUACAUAUUUAUAACAUUAAUACACUCUUUAUAUGUAAUGUGAUAUUUAUUAUAUAAUUUUUUAAUCAUACAUAACUAAAUUCUUAUUAUUUUCAAAUCACAAAUUUUAAAUGAUAUGAUAACUUACAUUUUAAAAGCUCUAUUUCGGGACAUUAUAACUAAAAACUAUCUGAGCGAAUCGGGCACCAUAAUGUAUUUGGUGUCUACACUUUGUCGCAUACAUAGCCUUUUUUAUUUUUAAUGUAAUUGCUAAAAUAUGUAAUUAUGUAGAACUUAAUAUUACAUUCUAUUACACAGAUUGGACUUAUAUAGGUUGGAAAAGAAUUAAAUCUAUGCUGUCAAACCUACCGAAUAGCAUUCCUCCGGCACAUUGUAUAUCUGGCAUUUAUUAGUAAUGUGUCUAAAUCAGUUCGGGAUAAAUUCACUCUACAUCGUCAUAAUGGCUUGUUGUUAAAAUUUGGCAUCCUGACGCAUUACUUGGAAUUUUUAUAAACUCAGUGUAAACAGUUAUGUUAUCUUUUUAAACAUAAGUUAUUUAGUUCAAUUCGGAGUACUAUAUAGUAAUUUUCAACAGUAAAUCUAGCCUAUUUCAACUCGGUCAUUAUAAACAAUAAAUCUAGCCUGUUUCAACUCGGCCAUUAUAUUUAACUUAUUUAAGACAUAAGGUAAUCUAACUUUUGAACAAUCUUUAGAAAUCUACAUAUGUAGAGGUCAAGUAGGACAUACAUAUGUGAAAUUCCUUAAAAUAAUUUGAUAAUUGUUAUAUUAAAGAAAAUAAUAUUAUAAUUUAUUAUCUGUACUUACUAUAAUUGCAAUACUUUUUGAUAGCAUGUUCCCGUUGCAUAGUGUCGCUUACUGCACAAUAUCUUAAUUUGUUAUGUGUCUCGGAUAGAAAAAUAUUGUAUUUCCGCGUAUGUAUAUGCAUGUCUAUAUAUGUUUCACACACAUGAAAUUUUUUUAUAUAUUAAAAAAUGAUUUCGCCUGAGUUACAUCCAUGCAUGCUAAUUUCCUGUCUAUCAUUGGAGUUUAGAUCUAUGCAUGUAUGUGCUUGACUAAGCUCUGCACAUAUAUACGUGCCGGUCAAAUCAUAUACAUGAACGUACAUCACUCUAUUCUACUAUUAAGGGAUUCGUUGAGCACCUCGUCAAAGAAACAAACCUUUCAGAUCAACUUGUAAAUUUUCUUUUUACAUAUUUGCAUUUUUUUAGCAUAUUUGCAUUUCUUUCCUAAAAUAUUGCAAUAUUUGCAAAUAUCUGAAUCAUAUUCUUUUGAUUGACAAUAACACAAUGGCUUACCAGCAGAUCAAAACAGAUAUCUAGCUAGUGCGAAGGUUGUGCCACCUCUUGAUUGUUUCCUCCAUGAGCAAGCAAGCUUCUGGUAACGGUAACAGUCAUGGCGACGGAACAUGAUGUGCCGGCGAGCCGCAGACAUUAGAAAGAUCUGAAAAGAAGCAGAUAGGCAUGAUGCAUAAAUCUGGAAAGGAAGAAGAAUAUGCAUAACUCAAAAGCAUUGAAGCCGUCGGUUUUUGCAUUGCUCUACGAUCAGUUAAUGUACGCAUGCAUCGUAUAUGUACGCAUCCAGCCGCCGGAAUUUACUUCUCCUGCCUUCGUUUGUCAAGGGCAAAAAUACUGGCCAGCAGCACAAAUUGAAGACCAGCUUUCGGCACCUCCAUAACGCUCGUAGAAAAGUUCUCAAUGACUUGCAUCGGGAAUAUCUCUCCAGACCAGGGCAUGCGCCAAUUAAUGCUUCUUGCCGUGUCAUGUAUGCCGGGUCAUGUAUCUCUACGGGGACAACAAAAUUCAACUUGUUUAUUUUUGGAUAAUCAUUGGGAGAUAGAGACCCAGCACAGGACGUCUCCCAUGCGUGGGACAACCGAGGUUUUUUUUUUCAAUCUUAGGCUUCAUCAACGGCUAAAAUAUAUUAUAUUUUAAUCUGACGGAUGUAAAUCUUUAACUUAUAAAAUUGACGUGAAUCCUCGUAUGGCUCUUCCAAUUAGUAAAUAUAUAAGAUAGUAGUAGACGUGAAGAAUAAAGGGGCAGUAAUGGGAUAUUAAAUGUGGCAGCUAACUUGCUAGGCCUUCGAGUUAUAUUUUGUUCAGCAUUAAGUGGAAAACAUAUUUUGGCAUCCUUUUCCUCCUCUCGACUCUGACAAAAUGUUAGUGAUAUUCAAAUGGAAAAGCUUAGGCAAGAAAUAUUCCGAGGAAAAAUAAUGCAUCUACUCUAAAAUAUAUUUUCAUCAAUAGUAGUCCACUACUACCAUGAGCCAAUGGCCAUGGUUCUAUUCAAAAUUUUAAUUUAUCAAGAUCAGGCGUAGACUUGAUGUUGACAUCAAUGGCUAUCUAGGCUUAGAGAGAUGAGAGGAGUGAAGAACAAAAAAGGAGCGCCAAUAAUGGUUAUAACCCAUAGGGGAUAAAAUAAGGACGCCGCUAGUUGGCAUGAAUUGAUACAGGUAGACAUCACUUACUCUGCGUCCCUGAAUAGAGGCCAUAAUUUGUGUUGCUCUAGGGACCCAUAAUUUAUGAAUUCUGCUCACAAGAGAUCCGACUGUUGUGGGGAUCAAACUUUAGCACGCUGCCCUUAGAGCAACUCCAACGCGUCAACCCAAAUGGACGGCGAUUUUGUUAUAUUUUCGUCUGUUUGUGUCGACCGUCCACUCGGUGUCCGCCUAAUUUUCUUUUUGGGUCAGCAGUGCGCCCAAUGCCAGCGACUCAUUUCAUGUCCGUGCACAAAUUUUAAAAAGGCCCGCGGCUGUAGAUCAUGGCAGCGGCCAAGCCGUCACCCAAAGUUCAUGCCGGCACCAUGCCAGCAGCCGACAUACAAUGCCAGCUCCAAAAAAGCACCACACAGUUUGUGUUGGCGCACUUGCCAGCGACUGGCAUAGAUGCCAGCAAACAAAAAAGGGGCGGGAGUUCGACCACGCCAUCGCGACCGUAGUCAUGCCAACACACUUUUCGGCAUGCAAAAAAGGAUGGCGCUUUCCGCCAUAAAUCACUCGUCGUCGAACUUGAGCAUGUCGGCUUGCAUCUUGUCGAACCACGACCUCUUCCUCGGCGACAUGGUGUUGAGGUCCACCUUCAUGAUCUCCACACCCGUCAUCAUGCUAGCGAGAACCACUUCUUUCGCCUUGGUCUUGACAUUUGCGGCAUCGAUAUCUAGCAUCUUGGCUUGCACUGGUGCAGAACCGGGCUUUAGCACCAGUUCGUAAGGCCCUUUAGUGGCGGUUCUUGAACCGGUACUAAGGGGGGGGGGGCUUUAGGGAUUUUGGUUUUAUUAUUUAUUUUUCCUUUAAUUUUGUAUUUCCAUUUAUUUUAUUUUUCAUUUGCUGGUAUUUUACGAACUACAUAUUGUACACGUUAUGCAUAUAUAUAAAUAUAAUUUCUCGUAGAACCGAUCAUAUANNNNNNNNNNNNNNNNNNNNNNNNNNNNNNNNNNNNNNNNNNNNNNNNNNNNNNNNNNNNNNNNNNNNNNNNNNNNNNNNNNNNNNNNNNNNNNNNNNNNNNNNNNNNNNNNNNNNNNNNNNNNNNNNNNNNNNNNNNNNNNNNNNNNNNNNNNNNNNNNNNNNNAGCUAAUCAUUGAUAUAUACUACAUACUAAACGUACAUACUCUCUAUUUUGACGGAUACUACAUACAACAUACAAAAUGCAAGUGGUGGUAAUUACCACCGCUUGGAGGAAGCAUUUGAGGCACCACCAUUUGAAGCACCGCCAUUCACACAUAGAGCAGAAAAGAGUACCGGUUGGAGCGACCAACCGGUUUAAAGGGGUGUGCUGGCCCAGGUGCGAUGCACAAAGUUUAGUCCCACCUUGCUGAGCGAAGGGCGGCCGCACUGGUAUAUAAACCCAGCCGCGGCUGCUCCUUUGAGCUCCUCCCUAACGCAGGCCUUCUGGGCCUACUUGUGUUGCGCUGCCCUGUUGGGCCUACUAGCCUUGCGGGCCUACCUCCUGGCCCGACUACAGGUUGGGUUUCUAGUCGCAUGCAGGCCGCUGUGGCCCAGUAGGCGGGCUUUUAAAAAAAUAUUGUUUGCUUUAUUUAUUUUCUUUUAUUUAUUUCUGAGUUGUUUUUCCUGUAUUUCGAAUUUCUUUGUGAAUAUUUUUGCUUUAGGUACAAAAAAUUACAAAAUUUCUGUUAGUGCCAGUAGUUUUCAAAUUUGAAUAGUUUAAAUUUGUCUCCUUUAUUUAUUUUUAAGUUGUUUUUUGCUGUAUUUAGAAUUUCUUUGUGAAUAUUUUGCUUUAGGUAAAAAAAAUUACAAACUUUAUGUUAGUGCCAAUAGUUUUCAAUUUUGAAUAGUUUAAAUUUGUCUGCUUUAUUUAUUUUCUUUUAUUUAUUUGUGAGUUGUUUUUUGCUGUAUUUAGAAUUUUUUGUGAAUAUUUUUCUUUAGGUACAAAAAAUUACAAAAUUUCUGUNNNNNNNNNNNNNNNNNNNNNNNNNNNNNNNNNNNNNNNNNNNNNNNNNNNNNNNNNNNNNNNNNNNNNNNNNNNNNNNNNNNNNNNNNNNNNNNNNNNNNNNNNNNNNNNNNNNNNNNNNNNNNNNNNNNNNNNNNNNNNNNNNNNNNNNNNNNNNNNNNNNNNNNNNNNNNNNNNNNNNNNNNNNNNNNNNNNNNNNNNNNNNNNNNNNNNNNNNNNNNNNNNNNNNNNNNNNNNNNNNNNNNNNNNNNNNNNNNNNNNNNNNNNNNNNNNNNNNNNNNNNNNUAAGUUGUUUUUUGCUGUAUUUAGAAUUUCUUUGUGAAUAUUUUUGCUUUAGGUACUAAAAAUUACAAACUUUCUGUUAGUGCUAGUAGUUUUCAAAUUUGAAUAGUUUAAAUUUUUCUGCUUUAUUUAUUUUCUUUUAUUUAUUCCUGAGUUGUUUUUUGCUGUAUUUAGAAUUUCUUUGUAACUAUUUUUGCUUUAGGUACAAAAAAUUACAAACUUUAUGUUACUGCCAGUAGUUUUAAAAUUUGAAUAGUUUAAAUUUGUCUGUUUUAUUUAUUUCUGAGUUGUUUUUUGCUGUGUUUAGAAUUUAUUUUUGAAUAUUUUUGCUUUAGGUACAAAAAAUUACAAACUUUCUAUUAGUGCCAGUAGUUGUCAAAUUUGAAUAGUUUAAAUUUGAAUUAUUUGAAAUUUUUGUGAAUAACUAGUUUCGGAAUAACUUUACUUUAAAAAUAGAUUUUUCAGUGAUUCGUUUUUCUUAUGUCUAACAUUAGUGUGUUUUAUCAUUAUAUUCAAUUUGGUAAUACUUAGGUUAUUUAAAAAAUGAAAUGCCAUUGUAACAGAUGAGUUUUCGUCUAAAAACUCUGAUACUUCGAAAGAGAUUGUCCAUUUUGUACACUAAGUGCUUCCAGUUUUUGCCAUAACCCUCUAUACUUUUUUGCACAUGCUAUGUGGGUGAAAUGAUGAUACCAUGCCAACUUUCAACCUUUUCAGAGUUCAUUUGUAGUGCUUUUUAAUUUCAGGGUCAUUUAGCUAAAAAAAUCAUUAAAUGCAUGAAAAAUAGCAAAUGAUGUCCGAAAGUGUUGAAAGUUGAUGACGUGGCUUUGAAUGGUGCAUACUGGACGCACAAAAAGUAUGGAGUUGUAAUGAGUUUCAAAAAUGAAAUUCCUUUGUAACAGAUGAGUUUUCGUCCGAAACCCUGAUACUCCGAAAGAGAUUGUCCAUUUUGUACACGAAGUGCAUCCAGUUUUUUCCAUAACCCUCACUACUUUUUUGCACAUGCUAUGUGGGUGAAAUGAUGAUGCCAUGCCAACUUCCAACCUUUAAGAGUUCAUUUGUAGUGUUUUUCAAUUUCAGGGUCAUUUAGCUAAAAAAUCAAUAAAUGCAUGAGAAAUAGCAAAUGAUGUCAGAAAGGUAUGAAAGUUGAUGACGUGGCUUUGAAUGGUGCAUACUGAAUGCACAAAAAGUUUAGAGUUGUAAUAAAUUUAAAAAAUGAAAUGCCUUUGUAACAGAUGAGUUUUCGUCCGAAGCCCUCAUACUUCAAAAGAGAUUAUCCAUUUUGUGCACGAAGUGCAUCCAGUUUUUGCCGUAACCCUCUCUACUUUUUUGCACAUUAUAUGUGGGUGAAAUGAUGAUACGAUGCCAACUUCCAACCUUUCAGAGUUCAUUUGUAGUGCUUUUCAAUUUCAGGGUCAUUUAGCUAAAAAAAAUCAGGAAAUGCACGAAAAAUAGCAAAUGAUGUCAGAAAAGUUUGAAAGUUGAUGACAUGGCUUUGAAUUGUGCAUACUGAACGCACAAAAAGUCUAGAGUUGUAAUAAGUUUAAAAAAUGAAAUGCCUUUGUAACAGAUGAGUUUUCGUCCGAAACCCUCAUACUUCGAAAGAAAUUGUACAUUUUGUACACGAAGUGCAUCCAGUUUUUGCCGUAACCCUCUCUACUUUUUUGCACAUGCUAUGUGGGUGAAAUGAUGAUGCCAUGCCAACUUUCAACCUUUGUAGAGUUCAUUUGUAGUGCUUUUCAAUUGCAGGGUCAUUUAGCUAAAAAAUCAGUAAAUGCAUGAAAAAUAGCAAAUGAUGUCAGAAAGUGUUGAAAGUUGAUGACGUGGCUUUGAAUGGUGCAUACUGAAUGCACAAAAAGUCUGGAAUUGUAAUAAGUUUAAAAAAAUGAAAUGCCUUUGUAACAGAUGAGUUUUCGUCCGAAACCCUGAUACUCCGAAAGAGAUUGUCCAUUUUGUACACGAAGUGCAUCCAGUUUUUGCCGUAACCCUCCCCUACUUUUUUCCACAUGCUAUGUGGGUGAAAUGAUGAUACGAUGCCAACUUCCAACCUUUUCAGAGUUCAUUUGUAGUGCUUUUCAAUUUCAAGGUCAUUUAGCUAAAAAAUUAGUAAAUGCAUGAAAAAUAGCAAAUGAUAUCAGAAAGGUUUGAAAGUUGAUGACGUGUCUUUGAAUGGUGCAUACCGAAAGUACAAAAAGUCAGGAGUUGUAAUAAGUUUAAAAAAAUGAAAUGCCUUUGUAACAGAUGAGUUUUCGUCUAAAACCCUCAUACUUCGAAAGAGAUUGUCCAUUUUUUUCUACACGAAGUGCAUCCAGUUUUUGCCGUAACCCUCUCAACUUUUUUGCACAUGCGAUGUGGGUGAAAUGCUGAUACCGCCAACUUUUAACCUUUUGAGAGUUCAAUUUUAGUGCUUUUUAAUUUCAGGGUCAUUUAGCUAAAACAAUCAGUAAAUGAGCUAAAAGUAGCAAAUGAAGUCAGAAAAGGGUUGAAAAUUGCUGAUGUGCCUUGGAAUGGUGCAUAUUGAACACACAAAAAGUCUGGAGUUGAAAUAAGUUAUUAAAAAUAAAAUCCUUUUGUAAUAGAUGAGUUUCGUCCGAAACCCUGAUACUUCGAAAGAGAUUGUCCAGUUUGUAGAAGAAGUGCAUCCAAUUUUUGCCGUAACCCUCUCAACUUUUUAGCACAUGCUAUGUGGAUGAAAUGAUGAUAUCAUGCUAAGUUUCAACCAUUUCAGAGUUGAUUUGUAGUGCUUUUCAUUUUCAGGGUCAUUUAGCUAAAAAAAUUCAUUAAAUGCAUAAAAAUAGCAAAUGAAGGCAGAAAAGAGUUGAACAUUGAUGAUGUGACUUUGAAUGGUGCACAAUGAACACACAAAAAGUCCGGAGUUAAAAUAAGUUAUAAAAAUGAAGGAGAGGCGCAAUCCUCACUGGCACAUUGCUUAGCUUCAGGCCUUGACAAACUACACAUAGCUCUGUGCAAUCUACACCAUUUCCUCCAGGCAUGAAGCUAAGCAACGUGCAGGUGAGCAUUGCGCCUCUCCUUCAUCGUUCCUCGUCUCUGCACUCAGGGCUUAUAAACCGCUGAUACGUCUCCAACGUAUCUAUAAUUUUUGAUUGUUCCAUGCUAUUAUAUUAUCAAUCUUGGAUGUUCUAUAAUCAUUUUAUAGUCAUUUUUUGGUACUAACCUAUUGACAUAGUGUCAAGUGCUAGUUGUUGUUUUCUGCAUGUUUUUUACAUUGCAGGAAAUCAAUACCAAACGGCGUCCAAAUUCAAUGAAACUUUACGGGGAUUUUUUAUGCACCAGAAGACACCUAAUGGGCCAAGGCUGCGCCUAGGGGGUGCUCCGAGGAGAGCACAACCCACCAUGGCGCGCCAGGAGGCCCGGGCACGCCCUGGAGGGUUGUGCCCACCUCGGGUGCCCCUCGGGCCGCCUCUUUGCUCUAUAAAUAUCCCAAUAUUCCAGAAACCCUAGGGGAGUCGACGAAAAUCAAUUCAAGCCUCCGCAGAGUCCAGAACCACCAGAUCCAAUCUAGACACCAUCACGGAGGGGUUCACCACUUCCAUUGGUGCCUCUCCGAUGAUGCGUGAUUAGUUCUUUGUAGACCUUCGGGUCCGUAGUUAGUAGCUAGAUGGCUUCCUCUCUCUCGCCAAACUCUCAAUACAAUGGUGUCUUGGAGAUCCAUAUGAUGUGACUCUGUUUGCGGUGUGUUUGUUGGGAUCAGAUGAACUUUCAGUUUAUGAUCAGAUCUAUCUUUUUAUAUCCAUGAAAGUUAUUUGAGUUUCUUUGAACUAUUAUAUGCAUGAUUUCUUAUAGCCUCGUAUUUCUUCUCCGAUAUUUGGGUUUUGUUUGGACAAAUUGAUCUAUUUAUCUUGCAAUGGAAAGAGGUGCUUUGUAGUGGGUUCGAUCUUACGGUGCUUGAUCCCAGUGACAGAAGGGGAACCGACACGUAUGUAUCGUUGCUACUAAGGAUAAAACGAUGGGGUCUAUCUCUACAUAGAUAGAUCUUGUCUACAUCAUGUCAUCAUUCUUAUUGCAUUACUCCAUUUCCCCAUGAACUUAAUACACUAGAUGCAUGCUGUAUAGCGGUCGAUGUGUCGAGUAAUAGUAGUAGAUGCAGGUAGGAGUCGGUCUACUAAUCUUGGACGUGAUGGCUAUAUAUUGAUCAUUGCCUGGAUAUCGUCAUGAUUAUUUGGAACUCUAUCAAUUGCCCAACAGUAAUUUGUUUACCCACCGUUUGCUAUUUUGCUCGAGAGAAGCCACUAGUGAAACCUACGGCCCCCGGGUCUCUUUCUCACAUUAUUUGCCUUCGCGAUCUAUUUUAUUUGCCUUUUGUUUGCAGAUCUAUUAAACCAAAAAUACAAAAAUACCUUGCUGCGUUUUACUCUUAUUUAUUUUAUUUGGUGUUCGAUCUAUCAAUCUACUACAAUUAUCUCACGUCUGUUUGCCAAUUUCUGGCGCCGCUACCCGAAAGGGAUUGACAACCCCUUUAACACGCCAGGUUGCGAGGAUUUGUUAUCUGUGUGCAGGGGCUAUUUACAUUCUAUUGCUAGGUUCUCCUACUAGUUCGAUAACCUUGGUUUCAUAUCUGAGGGAAAUACCUACCGCUGCUAUGCUGCAUCAUCCCUUUCUCUUUGGGGAAAUACCGACGUAGCUUCAAGCCGCAUCAAAAGGAAUUUCUGGCGCCGUUGCCGGGGAGGAUCUUCAACAUAUACGAGGUUCCGAAUCACAAAUCUCAUCUCCUUGCAAUUUACAUUAUUUGCCAUUUGCCUCUCAUUUUCCUCUCCCCCACUUCACAAAAAUUUGCCAUUUUAUUCGUCCUCUUUUUCGUUCGCCUUUUUCUCGUUUGAUCUUUUGUUUGCUUGUGUUGCCAUGUGCCUUCUAUAUGCUUGCGUCUUCGCUUGCUAAAAAUAUAUUGAUAUGGAUCCUCAUCCACUUGCUAAUCUUUUUAAAAGAUCCAAUCAUGUUGAACCAGUUGCUAGUGAGUUGAGUGCACUAGAUUAUCUUUAUGAAGUUUUUCUUGAGAUUCGUGAAUCUAAAAAUUGCGAUGAAGAAAUUUAUGAAGUGAUUCAUGAUAGCUCCUUGAAUGAAAAGCAUGAUUGCAAUGAUUUUACUAUAAAUCCUAUUAAUGUCAAUUGUGCUAAUAAUAUGCAAAACCCCAAACUUUGGGAUGCUAAUUUUGCUAUGUCCACUACUUGUUGCAAUGAUCAUGAUUGGGGUGAUUCUUCUUAUGAGCUUGAAAUUUUAUUUAAACCUCAUGAUGAAUAUGAUAUUGAUAAUAAUGUUUGCAAUAAUAUUGAAAGUGGGUAUGGAAGAGCGUCAACUUUAGGUAAAAAUAAUCCCACAUAUUUGGAGAGUGUUCAAUCUUAUGAUUUUUUUUAUGAAAGUGGGUUCGGAGGGGUCAUGACUUUAGUUGAUGUUAAUCCCACUAUCUUGGAAGAUUAUAAGACUUGUAUGCAUGUGGAUCAUGAAAAGAAAGUUUUAUAUGAUUGCUAUAUUGUUGAAUUUGAGUAUUAUCCUACAUGUAAUUAUUAUGAGAAAGGAAAAUAUGGUUGUAGAAAUUUUUAUGUUACUAAAUUACCUCUCGUUAUGUUGAGAUCGUCAAUGUUUUAUUCCUCUUCUUUGCAUAUGUUAGAUGUUUCUUGUCUUGAUAUUUUGUUUUCUUAUAAAAUUCCUAUGCAUAGGAAGUAUGUUAGACUUAAAUGUGGUUGUCAUAUGUUUCAUGAUGCUCUCUUUGUGUUUCAAUUAUUAUCUCUCAUGUGAGCAUCAUUGAAAUUUUAUGCCUAGCUAGGGGCAUGAAACUAUAGCGCUUGUUGGGAGGCAACCCAAUGAAUAAAAUUUGUUUUUACCUUUUGCUUUCUGUUCUUGAAUGUUUGCACAAUUAUGCUAAUGUUAUGAUUGUGUGUUUUGUGUUUUAAUUAGUGUUUGUACCAAGUAGAACCUAUAGGAUCUUCUUGGGUGAUAGUUGUUUGAUCUUGCUGAAAAAACAGAAACUUUUGCGCUCAUGAAAACAAUUCUUAUUUUUUACCAGAGCGUGAUAAAAUGCCAAUUAUUUUUGCAGAAGAUUAAUAUACAAAUUUCUUAGGUCUUCCUAUUGUUUUAGAAUUUUUGGAGUUUCAGAAGUAUUCGAACAAUUCAGAUUGCAACACAUUGUUCUGUUUUUGACAGAUUUUGUUUUCUUUGCGUUGUGUGCUUGUUUUGAUGGCUCCAUGGUUUUCUUUGUUGAGUUUUUGCCAUAGAAAAGUUGGAAUAUAUUAGAUAUAAUGCAAGAAUAAAAUAUGAAUAGGUUGCAACAGUACUUAUAGUAGUGAUUUAUUUUCUUAUACUAAUGGAUCUCACGAAGGUUUUGUUGAGUUUUGUGUGAUUGAAGUCUUCAAGUUUUGGGUUAUCUUACGAUGGAUGAAGGAAUAAGGAGUAAGCAAAGCCUAAGCUUGGAGAUGCCCCGGCAACCCAAGCUAUUAUCCAAAAGAUAGCAAGCAAGUAAGCUUGGGGAUGCCCCGAGUGGCAUCCCCUCUUUCUUCUAACGACCAUCGAUAUUUUACUCGAAGCUAUAUUUUUAUUCGUCACAUACUAUGUGUUUUGCUUGGAGCGUCUUGUAUGAUAUGAGUCUUUGCUUGUUUUAUUUUGUGUUUUAAGUCUUGAUUCCUUGCGGGACACACCUAUUUGAGAGAGCCAAAAUUAUGCAUGACUUAUUAGAAUUGCUCUCUAUGCUUCACUUAAAUUUUUUAUGAGCCAUGGACUUGCUCUAGUGCUUCACUUAUAUCUUUUUGAGCACGGUGUGCUUAGUUAUUUUUUAAGAAAUGCUCUCUUGCUUCACUUAGAUUUGUUUUAGAGGUAGUAAAUUUUUCAGGAAAUUCUCUCUUUCUUCACUUAAAUUAAUUUGAAAGAAAGAAAUAUUAUGCUCAUGAUCUUCACUUAUAUUUGUUUGAGCUUAUCAAAAGCAACAUAUGAAAAUUAGUUCCAAAGUGAUAGAUAUCCAAGAAGGAUAUAAUAAAAACUUUCAUGAAGAUCAUUGGACAAAAUAAACUUGAUUCUUAGUAAUAGUUUUAAGAUAUGAUGAUGUGAUAUGUGAGUCAUGUUGAUGAGUAAUUAUGCUUUACUAAGAAUAUUGGUGUUAAGGUUUGUGACUCCCUAUGCAAGCACGAAAGUCAAUAAUUAUGCAAUGAAAUUAUAUCCUACUUGUGGUGCAUUAUUCGGUGUUAAUUAUGCUUAAUGCUCGCUUAUGAGAUUAUUCGUUUCUUGGUUGGUUGCUUCUCAAUCUUUUGCUAGCCUUCAUUUUGCACUAAGUAUGAUCUCUACUUGUGCAUCCAAAAACCUUUAAACCAGUUUUGCCACAUGACUCCACUAUAUCUACCUAUAUGCGGUAUUCUUUUGCCGUUCUAAGCAAAUUUGUAUGUGCCAUCUCUAAUUUUGAAAAUAAACUUCUCUUUUGUGUGUUCGUACCGCUCGCAGAGCUGUGAGGGGUGGCUAAUAUUUUCCAUGCUAGAUGUGUUAUUCUCACGAUGAGUGUUUAUUCACUUGUCAUUGCACGAGAGUAAGGCAAAGGUAUUAGGGAUGCCCAGUCCCGAAAUGAAAAAUGAAUUUACUUUAUGUUGUCAAAUAAUAAAUUCCUUGGAAAGUGUUGGUACGGAGGGAAACCGUGGAUACGGCUAGCCAAGGAAAGUGAAAGUAUGGUUGAAAAAAGAAUAAACUUUAUUUUCUGUUUGGGAACCGCCUAUGAUAUAUCUAGCAUGGAAAGUGUUGGGAACUCUAAGUCGUUUUCGUUGGUGGGAAGGACACACCUCCUGAAAUGUUCUUAUCUCUAAGUUUUUUCGCUUUGAGCUUUGGCACGUCUACAAAUCCCUACUUCCCUCUGUGAAGGGCCUUUGUUUUACUUUAUGCAAUUUUUAUUAUUGAAUUUGAAUCUCCUUAUAAAAGCACCAACUCGGAGGCACUAUGAUCUUACUUGAGCAUUGGGUGUAGCUAAUAUGCAAGUGUGUUUCAUGAAUGGAUCAAUGAUUGAGCAUGAUGGGCUAGGGAUAACUUAUUUUAGCGUUGAUAUUUUGAAAGACAUGGUUGCUUGUUGGUAUGCUUGAGUAUUUAAGUUAUCAUAUCAAAACUAGACUAUUGCUUUGAACAAUAUAAAAGUCCAAAUGUCCAUGCUAUAAAGAAAACAAUAUGAUAUGACAUGUUACGCAGUAUUCCACAUCAAAAAUUCCGUUUUUAUCACUUACCUACUCGAGGACGAGUAGGAGUUAAGCUUGGGGAUGCUGAUACGUCUCCAACGUAUCUAUAAUUUUUUAUUGUUCCAUGCUGUUAUAUUAUCAAUCUUUGAUGUUUUAUAGUCAUUUUAAAUAAUUUUUUGGUACUAACCUAUUGACAUAGUGCCAAGUGCCAGUUGUUGUUUUCUGUAUUUUUUUACAUCGUAGGAAAUCAAUAUCAGACGGAGUCCAAAUGCAAUGAAACUUUACGGAGAUUUUUUUAUUGACCAGAAGACACCUAAUGGGCCAAGGUUGCGCCUGGGGGCGCUCCGAGGAGAGCACAACCCACCAGGGCGCGCCAGGAGGCCCAGGCGCGCCCUAGUGGCUUGUGCCCACCUCGGGUGCCACCCGGACCACCUCUUUGCUCUAUAAAUACCCCAAUAUUCCAGAAACCCUAGGGGAGUCGACGAAAAUCAAUUCCAGCCGCCGCAGAGUCCAGAACCACCAGAUCCAAUCUAGACACUAUCACGGAGGGGUUCACCACUUUCAUUGGUGCCUCUCCGAUAAUGCGUGAGUAGUCCUUUGUAGACCUUCGGGUCCGUAGUUAGUAGCUAGAUGGCUUCCUCCCUCUCGCUAAAUUCUCAAUACAAUGGUCUCUUGGAGAUCCAUAUGAUGUAACUCUUUUUGCGGUGUGUUUGUUGGGAUCAGAUGAACUUUAGUUUAUGAUCAGAUCUAUCUUUUUAUAUCCAUGAAAGUUACUUGAGUUUUUUUGAUCUCUUGUAUGCAUGAUUUGUUAUAGCCUCGUAUUUCUUCUCCGAUAUUUGGGUUUUGUUUGGCCAACUUGAUCUAUUUAUCUUGCAUUGGGAAGAGGUGCUUUGUAGUGGGUUCGAUCUUAUGGUGCUUGAUCCCAGUGAUAGAAGGGGAACCGACACGUAUGUAUCGUUGCUACUAAGGAUAAAAUGAUGGGGUCUAUCUCUACAUAGAUAGAUCUUGUCUACAUCAUGUCAUCGUUCUUAUUGCAUUACUCCCUUUCCCCAUGAACUUAAUACACUAGAUGCAUGCUGGAUAGCGGUCGAUGUGUGGAGUAAUAGUAGUACAUGCAGGCAGGAGUCGGUCUACUAAUCUUGGAUGUGAUGCCUAUAUAUUGAUCAUUGCCUGGAUAUCGUCAUGUUUAUUUGUAGUUCUAUCAAUUGCCCAACAGUAAUUUGCUUACCCAUCAUUUGCUAUUUUUCUCGAGAAAAGCCACUAGUGAAACCUAUGACCCCCGGGUCUCUUUCUCAUUUUAUUUGCCUUCGCAAUCUAUUUUAUUUGCCUUUCAUUUUCAGAUCUAUUAAACCAAAAAUACAAAAAUACCUUCUUGCGCUUUAUUCUUUUUUUUUUAUUUGGCGUUCGAUCUAUCAAUGUACUACAAUUAUCUCACGUAUGUUUGCCAAUUUCUGGCGCCGUUACCCGAAAGGGAUUGACAACCCCUUUAACAUGUCGGGUUGCGAGGAUUUGUUAUCUGUGUGCAGGGGUUGUUUACGUUGUGUUGCUAGGUUCUCCUACUAGUUCUAUAACCUUGGUUUCAUAUCUGAGGGAAAUACCUACCUCUGCUCUGCCGCAUCAUCCCUUCCUCUUUGGGGAAAUACUGACGUAGCUUCAAGCCGCAUCAACCGCUGCGAGUCCCUCUUGCUAGGCGAGGUGGGACUAAAUUUUAGCCAUUGCCAGGACAAGGCCUUUAGUCUCGGUUGAUGGCUCAAUUAAAAUAUUUUGUUAUGAUCCACUUAUAGAAAGUUAUAAUAUUCUUCAAUAGCAAAAAGAAUCAACUAAAAAUCUCUAGUACCGGUUCGUGGCAUGAACCGGUACUAAAGGUGCUGGUGGGGGGCCCAGCCUGACAACAGCCUGCCACCACCUCUUUAGUACCGGUUCGUGGAACGAACUGGUACUAAAGGUUCGCCACGAACUAGUACUAAUGAGCACCGCCCGCCUAGCUGUUGGAACCGACACUAAUGGUCACAUUAGUGCUGGUUCAGUUACAAACCGGGACUAAUGUGCUUCACAUUAGGCCCUUUUUCUACUAGUGUUGCUUCUCCGCCUCCAUCUCAAGCAUCCUCAUUUGCUUCUCUGCCUCCAUCUCAAGCCUCCUCCUUUAGAUCUUCAUGAAGGCGUUCAUUUGUUCUUCCUUGUCUUGUCGGCGCUUCUCCUCCCUUGAGUCCUUCUUAGUCAUCAUGCCCUCCAUGGUAGCGAUCAAGGCAUUGGACGCCGCAUCCCUCUUGUCCUACUUCUUGGAGUUGGUCUUCCCCCACGGCCGUGGCUUCUCGCCCUCCCCAACCUCCUCCACGACUUUCUCUCCCCCACGCAACAUGAGGGCGGCAUAUUGCACCUUGAACUUCUCCUCGUCUUUGAUGACCCUCCAACAAUGAGAGAGGUUGAAGGACUUACCAUCAUGUUGGACCUUGAAUGCCUCCAAAGCUUGGAAUGCCUACAAAUGAAAUGCAUGCAAGCAUAUUGGCAAAUGGAUAUGAAUAUGGACUUGCAAGAAUAAACGGAAGAGGGGCGCAUGCAUGCAUACCAUAUCUUGCAUGCCGAUGCCGCUCACCGGGCGUGACUUGAUGCUCUCAAAGGUGGCACAAAACUUGUCAUGCUCUUGUUGGAUCACCUUCCAUCGGUUCGAAAUGGACACCCACCCGCGCAUGCUUUAUAUCUGGUACGGCAGAAACUUCUUGCGUUCGUGGAACUCACGAUGGACACGAGUCCAAAAGGUUGAUUCCUUUUGUUCGGCACCGACCAUGGGGUCUUGCCCAAUGUCCCUCCAAAACUCACAAAGGAGCUUGUCCUCGACCGUGGUGUAUGCCUUCGUCCGCCUGCUCUUGUGCUUUGGCUUCAGCCCGGCGGCUUGGCUGGCGAGCCCGUCCUCUUCCUCAAGGCCGUAGUCCUCCGGAAACUCGUGGUCGAACAGGAAGUCGUCUAGGUCCAGGCCGAAGUGAUCUUGCAUGAAGGCGUCCUGCAUGCUAUCUUGAUCAUAGGUCGACGGCGUGAACGGCCCUCAGCCGUCCUGGCUUUGUGUCUCCUCUGAAUCGUAGGCAGCCGCGGCGGCACCACAGGCGGCCGACGUACCACCCUCGAAGAUGAUGCUCACCAUGAAACGGUCGGCCGUCUUGUCUUCGCCGGAUGACGAGGCACCGACUACCGGUGUGGCGUUGAGAUCGAUGGGCGCGGGCGCGGGCAUGGAAUGCGCCACCACGCUCACCUCCAGCGAGCAUUCCCUGAAGAAUUGGGAGGCUUGCAAGUAGACGUGGAAGCCGGGAAUCGAGUAAGACGCCGACGCGCGAGGCGACUCUGGGAGCACCAUCCGAGGAAACGCGGACGAGUCGGAGCUGGCCACGGCCACAGCGGCGUUGACGAGCCCGUGCUGGCCAGGGUUUAGCCCUAGGUAGAUUAGCGCCUCCCUCAUUGCCGCGGCGACGUGGGCGGCGGUGUCCUCCUGCUGCGCGGCGGCGGCCAUGGCGAUGGCAGCGGACGCUGCUUCGUCCCACGCGUCCGCCGCGUGCCUUCGGCCCUUUCGCUUCGGUGACUCCGCGGCCCGCUCCUCGGACGUCAGCUGCUUCUUCUUCUUGGGCACGGUGGCAGUCUUGCGGGAGGCGCGCGGCUUGCCUUUGCCGAAGGGGGCGGCUGUGAUGCUGGACGAGGCAAGGGCGACGAGGCCGCCGACAGUAUCGAGGUCCUCAUCCAUGGCGUGCGGCCGGGAGCGAGCACGGGCGGAAGGUUUUUGAGAAAGUGGACGAAAAUGUUGGAGGCUUUGCCACCAAUUGGCAGGUCAGGGGUAGUUGGCACGCAACGCGCUUCUCCGUCUCGUGUCGCGCGCCAACGCAAAUGAGGCUCAAAAUUGGGCUGAGAAUGGGUCGGCAGGCGAACGAAAAGCGGACACGCGUCCAUUUGGGUCGGCACAUUGUGCCGACUUUUCUGUCCGCACCGACCCAAAUGAACGCGCGCGAACGAAAUGGGUCGUCACGUUGGAGUUGCUCUUACGUGGCACUGUAACAAGAAAUGAGGACCAGUGGAAACCAGCAUAUGCACCUAGAAGAAUCGUAUGGAUCUGCAUAUGUAAUUGAUCUAUAUCAUACGGACCCAUAAAUGAUAGGAAGGUCCUAGCUACCAGGUACCAGCUAUCCUGGUUACUCCAUUUGCUGCCCCUCCAACCUGGGUUCCGGUCAUGUCCUCGGGGUCUGUCGGUGGUUCCGUGUUCUUGUUCUGGACGGACGCUUGUAAGAUCAGGUUUUCGAUCGGGAGCCUUCUGUUGACAUUAUAAAAGUGCGUGUAUUCAAAGGAGAUGUAUGCAUUUCUCCGUGACAAAGCAAAUUAAGUUCUGCUGCUAGCUAUUUUCAAAAAAGAGUCUUGCCCCACCACUUGCGUCGUUUGCAAAGCCCUUAAAUAUACUGAUAUGUUAUACACACACACAUAUACACAUGAGAUUUAAUUUUAAAGAGCACACGGACAUGUUCGUUCUCGUGUUAAUGAAAUCCUAGAAAAUCUCAUUAAUUAACCAUGGGAUCUAUAAUUCCGAGAUCUUUAGCUGUUGGAUGUAUGUAAUGCCUUAAGAUGCAUUAAAACAAAUAUACGUGAGAUUUAAUUUUAAAGGCCUUAAGGUGCAUAAAAAAUACGCAUGAGAUUUAAUUUUAAAUAGCACAAGGACAUGUUCAUUGUCGUGUUAAUGAAAUCCUAGAAAAUCUCAUUAAUUAACCUUCGGAUCUGUAACUCCGAGAUCUUUAGCCAUUGGAUUUACAUAAUGCCUCAACCUGCAUCAAAAAAAAUAUACGCAUGAGAUUUAAUUUUAAAGGCCUUAACCUGCAUAAAAAAAUAUACGCAUGAGAUUUAAUUUUAAAGAGCAGACAGACAUCUUCAUUGUCGUCCGCUGGCUGUAUGAAUUAGAAUAACAUAUAUUUACUUAGUUGGAUUAGAGAGAAGAGAAAAGAGAAGAGAAGUGGGCUCUGGAUUAAAGCAAGUACAAUAAAAUGACGUAGGCGGGCUAUAAAAGAUGUCAUCUUAAAUUUGUGCUUUUUUAGUUAACCUUAAAUUUGUGCUUAGUUGAAGGAGAGAGAAGCGGGCUACAAGUGUGACAAAAGCCUUUUUCAGUAGGCAGGCUACAAACUUACAAUCGACUGUAGCACGAGCUCAAACAACCUUUGUAAGAAGAUAUGGGCCAUAUAUUAAUUCACAGUGUGACUUAAUGUUGACAUGAAUUGAUACAGGUGGACAUAGUUAGAGCAACUCUAGCAGACCCCGCAUCCCGCCCCGACUGUUAAAAUAACCGCCAAAAUGCGGGUCGGGCAGGAAAACCAGCCCGAUCAGACCCCGCAUCCCGCCCCCGCCCGCAAAAAAAUUUAGGGGGCGCGGCAAAAUCCCAACCCCAACCCGGGAAAACGCGGGUUUCCCUCUCGCGGCUGCGGUGCCCUGCAUAUAGGAGGAAGCGGCUGGUGAGGGGACAUUUCAUGCCGCGCUUUCUCCCACCAACCACCUCUCCUCUCCCCCCUCGCGCCGCUGCCGGCCGCCGCCCAAGAUUCUGGCGAAAGCAGCCGGCAGGAGCACGCCGGAAGGCCGCCACGCACACGAGGCCUCCCCUUCCUCCCCCUGCGUCGGCGGGCCACCGGAUUUGCAGAUUUGCAGCACUUCAUCGCGGGUCGCCGGAUUUGGCUUUUUCCGGCCGCCGGUUGCUGUCCCAAGCUAUGGAGUGGUCGGGGAGCCUCUCCCACAGCCCAGGCAAGGGCGCAUUGCCGCAUGCAGGUACGGGUUCGUCCGCCCGCCGCCGCCGAAGGUUUGCGGGCUUGGACUCAUCCGGCCGUCCACCGGGCUCGGCGCUCACGCAGCGUCUUUGUGGCAUGCCGAUGCCGCUCAUAGAGUGUGACGACUGCACGCGGAAAGUGCUGCGGCUCACUUCGGGCACGCCGAAGCACCCUGGGUGGGUGUUCUUCAAAUGCGAAAAUGACGGGGUACGUGCACUUGCGGUAGCUCGUUUCAUAGUUCAUUCUUUAGUUCAACUGCGGUAGCUCACUUCGAGCUUGCUCACUCUUUUGUGUAGGACGAUGGAUGCUCAUUUUGGUUUUGGGAAGGCCAAUACAUUUAUUUGUUGAUAGAAAGAAACUUAAUAGAUGUUAGUGCACUCCUUAGUACAAUCGAAGGCAAUGAUGCGGCUGCAUGUGCAAAUAGAGGGGAAGCAACGUCUACUUCUUUCGAACCAAAGAUGAAGAAAGAAGAAUGCAAAAUCAAGAAUCCACAGAUCAACAACGAAUGCAUGGAGAAGAUAUUAGUCCAACUAGUGGGGGCAGUUAUGGAAGUUGGAAAUCUUCUAAAAUGCAUACUUGUGGUUCUUAUUUUCUUUGGUCUUGCUAUUCUAGCAAAGAUUUGGUGAUGUCUUUUGUAUCCAAUGUUGUUGAUAAAGCAAAGCAAUGCAAUAUGCUAGAUCAAAUUAAGGUGCAAAUUUAAGUUUUGCGGGCCGGGAGAAGUUGCACCAGAUCAGACGCGGCAACCCAACCCGUAAAAAAGCAUAUUCCAGGAAUAUCGUUUUUACGGAUCCAUUAUGCGGGGUCUGCAACUGCGGCCGUCCGCGCCGGCCCGCAAAGCCGUUUUCCCGCGAACUGCAAAAACGUUUAGCGGGUCGGGAGGAUGUGGGGUCUGCUAGAGUUGCUCUUACUCUGCGUCUGUAAAUAAAGGUCAUCAUUUUUAUUGCUCUAGGGACCCAUAAAUGAUAGGGACUGUCCGCUACCAGCUACCAGCUAGUAGCUACCCUGGUGACUACAUUUGCUGCCCCUCAAACAUGGGUUCCCGACAUGUUCUCAGGGUCUGUCGGUGGUUCCAUGUUCUGGCCUUUGGGGUUGGUUUAACUAGUGGUAUGGGGGUUCUUGCAUCGCCCUGUACUCUCGAUCGGGACCCUUUAAUUCUAGGUGACAUACAGUGCGUGUAUUUAAAGCCGAGGCAUGGAUCCUCCGUGCCAAAGAAAAUUAAUUCAGCGGCUACUCGGGGAGAGUUGUGGCAGCAUAUCCGGGAUGCCAGCUUUUUAUUUUGGGUUUUGAUUGUCAAAGUUUUAGAUCUUAAAAAAAACUAAAAUUAAGUGCUGUUUUCAUAUUCGUGUUUCUCGUGACCAGCGCCUUGAAAUAAUAUCCAUUUUGAAUAUAUUUUGACGACUUUGAAAAAUGUUAAGUUUCAAAUGUUGAAACUUAGUAUGAGCAACCAAUAAAAAUCAAUUAUUUUGUACCUACGCCUGACAGAAAAAUGCUUACAGUUAUAUCCCUGAAACUUGCUGAAACUUUGCAUUUUUCAUCAUUGAAACUUAAAACUGUUUAAGGGAUUUUCUUUUUUACUGUGCCCUCAUGUGGGAUUCAACUACUCUUUUCUCUCCGUGAGAUCCACAUAAAAAAAGCACAAAUUUAAGAUGAGUGCCCUGCACUUACAUGCCCCUGCGAAUUUCCGCAGCUACUAGCUAUUUUUGGAAGAAAAAAAUCUUGCCCCGCCACUCCCAUCAUUAGCAGAGCCCUUAAAUAUACUCACAUGUACCAAAUUACGAGUCAGAAUCAAACAUGCGUUGGCAUCAUUACCUACGAACUCUACUAAACAAUGUUCCAACUAUCCUGCGAGUCAAAUCUAAUAACUCUUGUCUUGCACGUUGCAUUGUCCAUUGGCAGAUCUUUUUAAGAAUUUUACGUCAGAUCUAAUUUUAUUUGAACGAAUGAAAGAUAAGCAAGUAGUAGUAAAAUCGACCCAAUUUGCACAGCCGAAAUGUGGACCAGACAAUUUACUCUUUGUUACGGGACUAAGAAAUUCGGACCGGCUAAUNNNNNNNNNNNNNNNNNNNNNNNNNNNNNNNNNNNNNNNNNNNNNNNNNNNNNNNNNNNNNNNNNNNNNNNNNNNNNNNNNNNNNNNNNNNNNNNNNNNNNNNNNNNNNNNNNNNNNNNNNNNNNNNNNNNNNNNNNNNNNNNNNNNNNNNNNNNNNNNNNNNNNNNNNNNNNNNNNNNNNNNNNNNNNNNNNNNNNNNNNNNNNNNNNNNNNNNNNNNNNNNNNNNNNNNNNNNNNNNNNNNNNNNNNNNNNNNNNNNNNNNNNNNNNNNNNNNNNNNNNNNNNNNNNNNNAUGUCUCCCAUUUCUCAAUCCCAUCCCGACGGUGUGUCUACCAUGUUUAGAGGGCGCAUGGGGGAGUUACUCCAUUGGUUCUCGCGGGAUUUGAUCGAUGAUGGUUUUCCGUGGAUUUCCUUGAAUCCAGUUUUUGUUCAUCCUCAUCCGUGCGUUUAAAUAUCCCAACAAGGCGAAGAUUUGGUUGUGCACAGGCAACUGAGGAGGUGACCUACUUCUUUACUGUCUCCUAUGUCCCUUGUUACCCACUGAUCCUAGAUCCACAGCUCGAGACCCCCUACCCUGAGGUCUACCAGUUUUACCACUGACAACCGGCCACAAGGGAGAAAUCCCUUUGAAUUUAGAGAUAAGAUCUUAUCUCUAGAUUUAACCCUUUAAAUUUAGAGAUAUGACCUUAUCUCUAGAUUUUAAAGACAUGGAACUUAGGGACGAUGCGGCCAGCCCAUGUGGGUUGUUGCCCCACCCCUCGGUCUAUGUGGGGACUUUUCGGGUCGUUGGGCCCCAUGGUGGAACCCCGGAACAUUUCCGGUACUCUACCAAAUAUUCCCAAACUUUUCUGGAACCCAUAAAACCACUUUCCUUACAUAACUCUUUACCUCCAGAGCUCCUCGUGAUGUCCCGGAUUCUAUCCAGGACUCUGAACUACCUUCAGACUUACCACUAUGAAUGUCCCAAAACUAUCCAAUAGUGGUAAGUCUGAACGUUAAGUGUGUGACCCUGCGGGUUCGAGAACAUGCAUAAAUGACCGAGACACCUCUCCAAUCAAUAAUCAAUGAACAUCUUUAUCGGUUUGAACCACGAUGUCAAUGAUUCAGUUAAUCCCGUAUACAAUUCCCUUUGUCCAAUGAUUUGUUAUUUGCCCGAGAUUCGAUCGUCAGUAUCGCCAUACCUAGUUCAAUCUCAUUACCGGCAAGCCCCUUUACUCAGUCCUUAAUACAAGAUCCACGUGACUAAACACAUUGGUCACAUGCUUCCAAUCUAUUCACGAUGUUGUAUUACCGAGAGGACCUAGAGAUAUCUCUCUGUCAUAUGGAGUGACAAAUCCUACACUCGAUCUAUGUAACCCAACAAACACUUUCUGAGAUACCUAUAGAGCACCUUUCUGAUCACCCAGUUACGAAGUGACGUUUGUUUACCCAUAAUGUAUUCUUCCAGUAUUAGGGAGUGGCACGAUCUCAUGGUCUAAGGAACAGAUUCUUGACAUGAAGAAAGUUGUAGAAAAUAAACUAAGUGAUACGAUCUGAUGCUAAGCUUAUGGUUGGGUCUGUCCAUCACAUCAUAAUCCUAAUGAUGUGAUCCCAUUAUUAAAUGAUAACUCGUGUCUAUGGUUAGGAAACCUUAACCAUCUUUAAUUAAUGAGCUAGCCUAGUAGAGGCUCACUAGGGACACGUUGUCUAUUUAUGUAUCCACACAUGUAUUUAAGUCUCUGGUCAAUACAAUUCUAGCAUGCAUAAUAAAUAUUUAUCAUGAACACGGAAAUACGACAAUAACAUCUUUCUUAUUGCCUCUAGGACAUAUUUCCUACAGAUUAGUAGGAUAAAAGAUCAAGGUGGCCUUGGCAUUCAUGGCAUGAAGGUCAAGAAGGAUGCCUUACAUAGGAAAUGGUUAUUCAAAAUACUUACUAGGGGUGGCGUUUGGCAAACCUGUUGCGAAAGAAGUAUCUAAUACUAUGCCAAAAACUUAUCUCUCACACAUAUUGGAAAGCUGGUGACUCACACUUUUCGGGUGGUGUCGUGGAAUUCUCACGGCAGAUGUCCUAGUGUGAGGACUUAGUCGUGAGGCCAACGCAUCUAUGUGGUAGCUUGAGAGGGGUUGAUUGGGACGAGAGACGCAACACACAAGACAAGAAUUUAGACAGCUUCGGGCCCCAGGAAACAUCAUCCAAUAAUAGCCCUACAUGCUGUUUGUGGCUAGGUCUCAUUAUGAUCAUGAGAGAGUCAUCGGUAAGCCGGCUCUUUGUGUCUAGCCCUAGAGAUUGUUUCUUGUUUCUUGUCCCUCUUGGGGUGCCCUGCCCCUCCUUAUAUAAGUUAGAGGGGCGGGUUACAUAUGGAGUCCUAGUAGGAUUAGGACUAGUCUAUCUUUCUUUACAAGUUGAAUACAAGUCCGGGUCUUGCUUCCUUGUGAAGGAAAUAAUCCUCACGCCUUUCAUCUUAAACCGGCCCACCAAAGUAUAAGCCAGCCUGCUGGGCCUUGGGCCUUGUCGUCCGUCUGAUCAGCCCGCCGGGUCUCCAGUGAAUUACAAUGUCCAGGCGGGUUACCCUGUGAACCGCCAUGUUCGGGCGGAUCGCCAGUGAGUCGCCAAGCUCCAGCCAGGUCUCUGGUGAGUCGCCAAGUCCGGCCGGGUCAUACCGCGGGGUAUAUCCCCGACAUUAGCCCCCAGUUUAAUUUGGAUUUAUCCAUGUUAAACUGAUCCUGCAACAUAAACACAAGAACAAAUUUGACAGGUUGUGCUCCGGGUUAAAUAUUCUUGUAAGCCGGCACCUGAUCAUCCUUAAGUCCUUGACAUUUUCUCCUGAAAUAUCCGGGUCAAUAUUGGUCUUGAAAUAUCCAGCUUCAUAAUCCAUUUGCUGACAUUGGCUCUUGUAAAGAAAUAUUAUAAGAAAUAAUCCAUUUGAUUCGGCCUUCAAUGCUCUGAUUUGACAAAAAUAUUGCUCUUGAAAUAUCCAACUGAUAUUCAGCCGGCUUAAAGAUGUAGAUUCUUGCCGACGAUUGCCACAAUUGUCGGGUUAGAAAUAAAUGAUGCCGGGUCAUGAUUGUUGCAGACACCGGGUUAAUCUGGUCUACUCCAAACUGAGAAUUUGAAGAUUUUUUUCUCCCUUAUAUGCAUAUUACCUGUAGCCCCUAAGUCUUAAGGGGAGAACAUAGUGAUAACUUAAGACUUGCUUCAAUAUAAGUGUUGCAACCUUGAAGAAAUCCGGUUUAUUCAUCUCAAUCAUUAGUCAUAAGCUGAAUAUUCCACAUUCCACAUAUGUAGCCCCCAAGUGCCGAGUUGUCAUGCUUGCAGCAACCUGGGACUUGUAAUUGCCUUAUGCUCAUAAAAACUUCAACUAGUGUAGCCCCCAAGGGCCGGGUCAUUAUGCAAUAAUGAGCAGGGACUUUGUAAAUAUGAUCAUGUAAACUUGACCAGCAACGUGUAGCCCCCAAGGGCCGGGUCAGUAAGAUAUUACCGAGCUGGGACUUUGUAUAUGAUUCAUCGAUAAUAACAGCAUAUGAUGUGAUCUCCACCAUGGGGUUUGAACCCACGUCCAUAAGGUUAAGAGCUUUGUACUCUACCAACUGAGUAGUGGAUCUUUCAAUAUAAUGGAUUAAGGCUUGUGUACCUUGAAUUUUCGACAAGAGCAAUUGGUAGCCCCCAAGGGCCGGCUCAUUUAGAAUGUGAUGAGUCGGGUCUUCAAUAAGUUGAACAAAAAAUGACUUUGCAUUAGCCCCCAAGUGCAAUGGUACAUGCUGGCAGUAACAUGGGACUUGCAUAUUCGAUGUAAUAUCAAUUUGAAUAAUGUAGUCCCCAAGUGCCAGGUCGUAAGCCUGCAGCGACUCGGGACUAUUCCUUACAUUAUAGAAUAAAUCAUAUCCAUCGAUAAAAUAAUAGCCAUUGCGCCAAAGCGACUUUGAAUACCUCAUCUGUUGAUAAGUAAAUCCGGAGUUUAAAUACCCGGCGGCUCUUGGCCGAUGGCGAUUUAAUACGCCUCCAUUGUAAGCCGGAAUUUUUAUAAUCCGGCGGCUUAUAGCCUUUCAGAACAUCAAGAAUUGAUAACCCUUCUGAGACUCCAAUUUCAAUCUAUGAUGAUGGGCUUGAACUUAAUCAUUUAUGUAAGUCAUAGCUCUGCAAAUCCUGCAUAGAGUUUAAACAACAUAUGCCCUGGCGACUUAACGUCAAGCCAGGGCGGGUAACCACCCAAAUGUAGUAUCCUGCACACAAGUAGAUCACAAGAUCCCUUGGCGGUUUACCGCAGGGCGGGUCAUAAUAUCUCACUGUUGGAAAUAUGCCCUAGAGGCAAUAAUAAAAUGGUUAUUAUUGUAUUUCCUUGUUCAUGAUAAUUGUCUGGUGUUCAUGCUAUAAUUGUAUUAACUGGAAACCGUAAUACAUGUGUGAAUACAUAGACCACAACAUGUCCCUAGUAAGCCUCUAGUUGACUAGCUCGUUGAUCAAUAGAUGGUUAUGGUUUCCUGACCAUGGACAUUGGAUGUCAUUGAUAACGGGAUCACAUCAUUAGGAGAAUGAUGUGAUGGACAAGACCCAAUCCUAAGCAUAGCACAAGAUCGUGUAGUUCGUUUGCUAGAGCUUUUCUAAUGUCAAGUAUCAUUUCCUUAGACCAUGAGAUUGUGCAACUCCCGGAUACCGUAGGAAUGCUUUGGGUGUACCAAACGUCACAACGUAACUCGGUGGCUGUAAAGGUGCACUACAGGUAUCUCCGAAAGUGUCUGUUGGGUUGGCACGAAUCGAGACUGGGAUUUGUCACUCCGUAUGACGGAGAGGUAUCUCUGGGCCCACUCGGUAAUGCAUCAUCAUAAUGAGCUCAAUGUGACUAAGGAGUUAGCCACGGGAUCAUGCGUUACAGUACGAGUAAAGUGACUUGCCGAUAACGAGAUUGAACAAGGUAUUGGGAUACCGACGAUCGAAUCUCGGGCAAGUAACGUACCGAUUGACAAAGGGAAUUGUAUAUGGGAUUGAUUGAAUCCUCGACAUCGUGGUUCAUCCGAUGAGAUCAUCGUGGAACAUGUGGGAGCCAACAUGGGUAUCCAGAUCCCGCUGUUGGUUAUUGACCGGAGAGUCGUCUCGGUCAUGUCUGCAUGUCUCCCGAACCCGUAGGGUCUACACACUUAAGGUUCGGUGACGCUAGGGUUGUAGAGAUAUUAGUAUGCGGAAAUCCGAAAGUCGUUCGGAGUCCCGGAUGAGAUCCCGGACGUCACGAGGAGUUCCGGAAUGGUCCGGAGGUAAAGAUUUAUAUAUGGGAAGUCCUAUUUUGGCCACCGGAAAAUGUUCGGGAAUUUUCGGUAUUGUACCGGGAAGGUUCUAGAAGGUUCCGAAGUGGGGCCCACCUGCAUGGGGGACCCACAUGAACGUGGGUAGUGGGGGCAAGGCCCCACACCCCUGGUCAAGGCGCACCAAGAUCCCACCUUAGAAGGAAUAAGAUCAUAUCCCGAAGGGAUAAGAUCAAGAUCCCUAAAAAAGGGGAUAACAAUCGGUGGGGAAGGGAAAUGAUGGGAUUUCUUUCCCCCACCUUUGCCAACGCCCCAAUGGACUUGGAGGGCAAGAAACCAGCCCCCUCCACCCCUAUAUAUAGUGGGGAGGCGCAUGGGAGCAGCAACCCAAGCCCUGGCGCCUCCCUCCCUCCCGUGACACCUCUUCCUCCCCGCUUGCGCUUGGCGAAGCCCUGCCGGGAUCCCGCUACUUCCACCACCACGCCGUCGUGCUGCUGGAUCUCCAUCAACUUCUCCUCCCCCCUUGCUGGAUCAAGAAGGAGGAGACGUCCCCGCUCCGUACAUGUGUUGAACGCGGAGGUGCCGUCCGUUCGGCGCUAGGUUCAUCGGUGAUUUGGAUCACGACGAGUAUGACUCCAUCAACCCCGUUCUCUUGAACGCUUCCGCUCGCGAUCUACAAGGGUAUGUAGAUGCACUCCUCCCCUCUCAUUGUUAGCAUCUCCUAGAUUGAUCUUGGUGACACAUAGGAAAAUUUUGAAUUUCUGCUACGUUCGCCAACAGUGGCAUCAUGAGCCAGGUUUAUGCGUAGAUUCUAUGCAUGAGUAGAACACAAAGUAGUUGUGGGCGACGAUUUGUUCAAUUUUCUUACCGUUACUAGUCUUAUCUUGAUUCGGCGGCAUUGUGGGAUGAAGCGGCCCGGACCGACCUUACACGUACUCUUACGUGAGACAGGUUCCACCGACUGACAUGCACUUGAUGCAUAAGGUGGCUAGCGGGUGUCUGUCUCUCCCACUUUAGUCGGAUCGGAUUCGAUGAAAAGGGUCCUUAUGAAGGGUAAAUAGCAAUUGGCAUAUCACCGUUGUGGCUUUUGCGUAGGUAAGAAACGUUCUUGCUAGAAACCCAUAGCAGCCACGUAAAACAUGCAACAACAAUUAGAGAACGUCUAACUUGUUUUUGCAGGGUAUGCUAUGUGAUGUGAUAUGGCCAAAAGGAUGUGAUGAAUUAUAUAUGUGAUGUAUGAGAUUGAUCAUGUUCUUGUAAUAGGAAUCACGACUUGCAUGUCGAUGAGUAUGACAACCGGCAGGAGCCAUAGGAGUUGUCUUAAUUUGUUGUAUGACCUGUGUGUCAAUGAAAAACGCCAUGUAAUUACUUUACUUUAUUGCUAACCGUUAGCCAUAGUAGUAGAAGUAAUAGUUGGUGAGACAACUUCAUGAAGACACGAUGAUGGAGAUCAUGGUGUCAUGCCGGUGACGAAGGUGAUCAUGCCGCGCCUCGAAGAUGGAGAUCAAAAGGCGCAAGAUGAUAUUGGCCAUAUCAUGUCACUUUAUGAUUUGCAUGUGAUGUUUGUCAUGUUUACAUCUUAUUUUCUUAGAACGACGGUAGCAUAAAUAAGAUGAUCCCUCACUAAAAUUUCAAGAGAUGUGUUCCCCCUAACUGUGCACCGUUGCGAAGGUUCGUUGUUUCGAAGCACCACGUGAUGAUCGGGUGUGAUAGAUUCUAACGUUCGCAUACACCGGGUGUUGACGAGCCUAGCAUGUACAGACAUGGCCUCGGAACACAAGCAAAACACUUAGGUUGACUUGACGAGCCUAGCAUGUACAGACAUGGCCUCGGAACACAAGAGACCGAAAGGUCGAACAUGAGUCGUAUAGUAGAUACGAUCAACAUGGAGAUGUUCACCGAUGAUGACUAGUCCGUCUCACGUGAUGAUCGGACACGGCCUAGUCGAUUCGGAUCAUGUAUCACUUAGAUGACUAGAGGGAUGUCUAUCUAAGUGGGAGUUCAUUAAAUAAUCAAAUGAACUUAAUUAUCAUGAACAUAGUCAAAAGGUCUUUGCAAAUAAUGUCGUAGCUUACGCUUUAGUUCUACUAAGAUAUUUUCCUAGAGAAAAUUUAGUUGAAAGUUGAUAGUAGCAAUUAUGCGGACUAGGUCCGUAAACUGAGGAUUGUCCUCAUUGCUGCACAGAAGGCUUAUGUCGUUAAUGCACCGCUCGGUGUGCUGAACCUCGAGCGUCGUCUGUAGAUGUUACGAAACAUCUGACAUACAUGUUUUGAUGACUACGUGAUAGUUCAGUGUGUGAUGCUAACGGUUUAAAAUUGUGGCACCAAAGACGGUUUUGAAAUGUCGCAGAACAUAUGAGAUGUUCCAAAGACUGAAAUUGGGAUUUCAGACUAAUGCCCACGUCAAGAGGUAUGAGACCUCUGACAAGUUUCUUAAGCCUGCAAACUAAGGGAGAAAAGCUCAAUCGUUGAGCAUGUGCUCAGAUUGUCUGAGUACUACAAUCACUUGAAUCGAGUGGGAGUUAAUCUUCCAGAUGAGAUAGUGAUGGUUCUCCAUAGUCACUGCCACCAAGCUAUUAGAGCUUCGUGAUGAACUAUAACAUAUCAGGGAUAGACAUGAUGAUCCUUGAGCAACUCGCGAUGUUUGACACCGCGAAAGUAGAAAUCAAGAAGGAGCAUCAAUUGUUGAUGGUUAGUAAAACCACUAGUUUCUAGAAGGGCAAGGGCAAGAAGGGAUACUUCAUGAAACGGCAAAUCAGUUGCUGCUCUAGUGAAGAAACCCAAGGUUGAACCCAAACCCGAGACUAAGUGCUUCUGAAAUGAGGGGAACGGUCACUGAAGCAGAACUACCCUAGAUACUUCGUAGAUGAGAAGGCUGGCAAGGUCGACCGAAGUAUAUUGGAUAUACAUUAUAUUAAUGUGUACUUUACUAGUACUCCUAGUAGCACCAGGGUAUUAGAUACCGGUUCGGUUGCUAAGUGUUAGUAACUCGAAAUAAAAUAUGCGGAAUAAACGAAGACUAGCUAAAGGUGAGAUGACGAUAUGUGUUGGAAGUGUUUCCAAGGUUGAUGUGAUCAAGCAUCGCAUGCUCCCUCUACCAUCGAGAUUGGGGUUAAACCUGAAUAAUUAUUAUUUGGUGUUUGCAUUGAGCAUAGACAUGAUUGGAUUAUGUUAUCGCAAUACGGUUAUUCAUUAAAGGAGAAUAAUGGUUACUCUGUCUAUUUGAAUAAUACCUUCAAUGGUCUUGCACCUAAAAUGAAUGGUUUAUUGAAUCUCGAUCGUAGUGAUACACAUGUUCAUGCCAAAAGAUAUAAGAUAGUAAUGAUAGUACCACAUACUUGUGGCACUGCCAUUUGAGUCAUAUUGGUAUAAAACGCAUGAACAAGCUCCAUGUUGAUGGAUCUUUGGACUCACUCGUUUUUGAAAAGAUUGAGACAUGCGAACCAUGUCUAUUAGUAUAUAUGCAUGAAGAAAGUCCAUACAGAUGGAUCAUUUGGACUCACUUGAUUUUGAAUCACUUGAGACAUGCAAAUCAUACCACAUGGGCAAGAUGACUGAAAGGCCUCGUUUUCAGUAAGAUGGAACAAGAGAGCAACUUGUUGGAAGUAAUACAUUUGAUGUGUGCAGUCCAAUGAGUGCUGAGGCACGCAGUGGAUAUCGUUAUGUUCUUACUUCACAGAUGAUUUGAGUAGAUGCUGAGAAUAUUUACUUGAUGAAACACAAGUUUGAAUUAUUGAAAGGUUCAAGUAAUUUCAGAGUGAAGUUGAAGAUCGUCGUGACAAGAGGAUAAAAUGUCUGUGAUAUGAUCAUAGAGGUGAAUAUCUGAGUUACGAGUUUGGCACACAAUUAAUAAAUUGUGGAAAUUGUUUCACGACUAAUACCGCCUGGAACACCAUAUUGUGAUGGUGUGUCCGAACAUCAUAACUGCACCCUAUUGGAUAUGGUGCAUACCAUGAUGUCUCUUAUCGAAUUACAACUAUCGUUUAUGGGUUAGGCAUUAGAGACAACCGCAUUCACUUUAAAUAGGGAACCACGCAAUUCCGUUGAGACGACACCGUAUGAACUAUGGUUUAGAGAAACCUAAGCUGUCGUUUCUUAAAAGUUUGGGGCUGCGACGCUUAUGUGAAAAAGUUUCAGGCUGAUAAGCUCGAACCCAAAGCGGAUAAAUGCAUCUUCAUAGAAUACCCAAAACAGUUGGGUAUACCUCCUAUUUCAGAUCUGGAAGCAAAAGUGAUUGUUUCUAGAAAUGGGUCCUUUCUCGAGGAAAAGUUUCUCUCGAAAGAAUUGAGUGGGAGGAUGGUGGAGACUUGAUGAGGUCAUUGAACCGUCACUUCAACUAAUGUGUAGCAGGGCACAGGAAGUUGUUCCUGUGGCACCUACACCAAUUGAAGUGGAAGCUUAUGAUAGUGAUCAUGAAACUUCAGAUCAACUCACUACCAAACCUCAUAGGACGACAAGGAUGCGUACUACUUCAGAGUGGUACGUAAUCCUGUCUUGGAAGUCAUGUUGCUAGACAACAAUGAACCUACGAGCUAUGGAGAAGCGAUGGUGGGCCCGGAUUCCGACGAAUGGCUCGAGGCCAUAAAAUCCGAGAGGAUCCAUGUAUGAAAACAAAGUAUAGACUUUGGAAGAACUACUUGAUGGUCGUAAGGCUGUUGGGUACAGAUGGAUUUUAAAGGGAAGACAAACAAUGAUGGUAAGUGUCACCAUUAAGAAAGCUCGACUUGUCGUUAAGAUGUUUUCCGGCAAGUUCAAGGAGUUGACUGCGAUGAGACUUUCUCACUCGUAGCGAUGCUAAGAGUCUGUUAGAAUUAUAUUAGCAGUUACUGCAUUAUUUAUGAAAUCUUGCAGAUAGGAUGUCAAAACAUUGUUUCCUCGACGAUUUUCUUGAGGAAAGGUUGUAUGUGAUACAACCAGAAGGUUUUGUCAAUCCUGAAAGAUGCUAACAAGUAUGCAAAGCUCCAGCAAUCCUUCUAAGGAUUGGAGUAAGCAUCUCGGAGUUGGAAUGAACGCUUUGAUGAGAUGAUCAAAGAUUUUGGGUUUAUACAAAGUUCAUGAGAAACUUGUAUUUCCAAAGAAGUCAGUGGGAGCACUAUAGAAUUUUUGAUGAGUAUAUGUUGUUAACAUAUUGUUGAUCAGAAAUGAUGUAGAAUUUCUGGAAAGCAUCCAGGGUUGUUUGAAAAGUGUUUUUAAUGGAAAACCUAGAUUAACCUACUUGAACAUUGAGCAUCAAGAUCUAUAAGGAUAGAUCAAAAAUGCUUAAUAGUACUUUCAAAUGAAUACAUACCGUGACAAGAUUUUGAAGGAGUUCAAAAUAGAUCAGCAAAGAAGGAGUUCUUGGCUGUGUUACAAGGUGUGAGUAUUGAGUAAGACUCAAGACCUGACCACGGCAGAAGAAAGAGAAAGGACGAAGGUCGUCCCCUAUGCUUUAGACGUAGGCUUUGCAAUAUGCUAUGCUGUGUACCGCACCUGAAGUGUGCCUUGCCAUGAGUUAGUCAAGGGGUACAAUAGUGAUCCAGCAACGAAUCACAUGACAGCGGUCGAACUUAUCCUUAGUAUCUAGUGGACUAAGGAAUUUUCUUGAUUAUGGAGGUGGAAAGGGGGUUCGUCGUAAAGGGUUAUGUCGAUACAAACUUUGACACUAAUCCGGAUGACUCUGAGUAGUGAACCAGAUUCGUAUAGUAGAGCAGUUAUUUGGAAUAGCUCCAAGUAGCGCGUGGUAGCUGCAUCUACAAGAUGACAUAGAGAUUUGUAAAGCACACACGGAUCUGAAUGUGGCAGACCCGUUGACUAAAACCUCUCUCGUAAGCAUAACAUGAUCAAACCCUAGAACUCAUUGACUGUUAAUCACAUGGUGAUGUGAACUAGAUUAUUGACUCUAGUAAACUCUUGGGUAUUAGUCACAUGGCGAUGUGAACUUUGAGUGUUAAUCACAUGGUGAUGUGAACUAGAUUAUUGACUCUAGUGCAAGUGGAAGACUGUUGGAAAUAUGCCCUAGAGGCAAUAAUAAAAUGGUUAUUAUUGUAUUCCCUUGUUCAUGCUAUAAUUGUAUUAACUGGAAACCGUAAUACAUGUGUGAAUACAUAGACCAGAACAUGUCCCUAGUAAGCCUCUAGUUGACUAGCUCGUUGAUCAAUAGAUGGUUAUGGUUUCCUGACCAUGGACAUUGGAUGUCAUUGAUAACGGGAUCACAUCAUUAGGAGAAUGAUGUGAUGGACAAGACCCAAUCCUAAGCAUAGCACAAGAUCGUGUAGUUCGUUUGCUAGAGCUUUUCUAAUGUCAAGUAUCAUUUCCUUAGACCAUGAGAUUGUGCAACUCCCGGAUACCGUAGGAAUGCUUUGGGUGUACCAAACGUCACAACGUAACUCGGUGGCUGUAAAGGUGCACUACAGGUAUCUCCGAAAGUGUCUGUUGGGUUGGCACGAAUCGAGACUGGGAUUUGUCACUCCGUAUGACGGAGAGGUAUCUCUGGGCCCACUCGAUAAUGCAUCAUCAUAAUGAGCUCAAUGUGACUAAGGAGUUAGCCACGGGAUCAUGCGUUACGGUACGAGUAAAGUGACUUGCCGGUAACGAGAUUGAACAAGGUAUUGGGAUACCGACGAUUGAAUCUCGGGCAAGUAACGUACCGAUUGACAAAGGGAAUUGUAUACGGGAUUGAUUGAAUCCUCGACAUCGUGGUUCAUCUGAUGAUAUCAUCGUGGAACAUGUGGGAGCCAACAUGGGUAUCCAGAUCCCGCUGUUGGUUAUUGACCGGAGAGUCGUCUCGGUCAUGUCUGCAUGUCUCCCGAACCCGUAGGGUCUACACACUUAAGGUUCGGUGACGCUAGGGUUGUAGAGAUAUUAGUAUGCCGAAAUCCGAAAGUCGUUCGAAGUCCCGGAUGAGAUCCCGGACGUCACGAGGAGUUCCGGAAUGGUCCGGAGGUAAAGAUUUAUAUAUGGGAAGUCCUAUUUUGGCCACCGGAAAAUGUUCGGGAAUUUUCGGUAUUGUACCGGGAAGGUUCUAGAAGGUUCCGAAGUGGGGCCCACCUGCAUGGGGGGACCCACAUGAACGUGGGUAGUGGGGGCAAGGCCCCACACCCCUGGUCAAGGCGCACCAAGAUCCCACCUUAGAAGGAAUAAGAUCAUAUCCCGAAGGGAUAAGAUCAAGAUCCCUUAAAAAGGGGGAUAACAAUCGGUGGGGAAGGGAAAUGAUGGGAUUUCUUUCCGCCACCUUUUCCAACGCCCCAAUGGACUUGGAGGGCAAGAAACCAGCCCCCUCCACCCCUAUAUAUAGUGGGGAGGCGCAUGGGAGCAGCACCCCAAGCCCUGGCGCCUCCCUCCCUCCCGUGACACCUCUUCCUCCCCGCUUGCGCUUGGCGAAGCCCUGCCGGGAUCCCGCUACUUCCACCACCACGCCGUCGUGCUGCUGGAUCUCCAUCAACUUCUCCUCCCCCCUUGCUGGAUCAAGAAGGAGGAGACGUCCCGCUCCGUACGUGUGUUGAACGCGGAGGUGCCGUCCGUUCGGCGCUAGGUUCAUCGGUGAUUUGGAUCACGACGAGUACGACUCCAUCAACCCCGUUCUCUUGAACGCUUCCGCUCGCGAUCUACAAGGGUAUGUAGAUGCACUCCUCCCCUCUCGUUGCUAGCAUCUCCUACAUUGAUCUUGGUGACACGUAGGAAGAUUUUGAAUUUCUGCUACGUUCCCCAACACUCACAUAUAACCACUAUGAUAUUGAAUUUGUACUGCCGGUUUACAUGACCUGUGCAAUAAGGGUGAUAACCCAAUCUUUAGAAAUCAAGACUUCCAAAUGUUUAUGAUUGUCAUAUGAUGGCGACUUAUCAACCAAAGUCAAGCCGGGUUAAUCGAAGCCACAUAUAUACUUCAGAUAUGAUCAAAAGAACUUCAAAUAAAAUACAAAAUUUUGUUUGCAAAAAGAGACUUCAAAAAUUUUGAGGCUUCUGAUUCGAAUACUAUCAGAAAACCGUCCCAAAGGGGUUAAGCUAAGAUUCGAAUACGAUCAUAUAGCCCCCAGUGGCUUUGGCGUUGCCGAUCAAGAGGGUACCGACAGCUAUGUUCUCUUUGGUUCGAAUACGACCUAUGUUUGAACAGGAAGCCCCCAAAUGACCUGGAGAGUUGUUUAACGACGCUGAUUCGAAUACGAUCCAUGUCGGUUCCCAAAAGGGGUUGAGCUAUGAUUCGAAUACGAUCAAGAAGCCCCCUAGUGAGCUCAGCAGUGUGCCGAUCAAGAGGGUACCGACAGCUAUGUUCUCUUUGGUUCGGAUACGACCUAUGUUUGAACAGGAAGCCCCCAAGUGAUCUUGAGAAUAUUUAACGACUCUCAUUCCAAUACGAUCAGGGUCACACCAAAAGGGUUAAGCUAAAUUUGAAUACGAUCAGCUCCCAACGGUCAUUAAAGCAGGUAGUUAUGUUUGAGUUGUGCUUUGUAACAGACUCUCCUUGGUCCCUUUAAUUUUUCUUGAAAACUUGAACUUUGCGAGAGAUAAAAUCUUUUUAAAACCGGAAGUUCUUAAACCGGAUAUUAAGAGUUUCAAAGCAUGGUGAUAGACAAAUUUACCUUGAACCGGGUUUUGAACCGGAUUUGAGAUCUUCAAAGCAUUGUGGCAGAUAAAUUUCAUUUGAACCGGAUUUUAAACCGGACAUUAAGAGCUUCAAUGCUUUGUGGGAGAUGUCAAGUCUCUUGAUAAGGAUCUAAACCGGAAUCCUUCUUUUUAAGCCAGAUAUUUUUCUGACGGUCUUUAAAUUUUUACCAAUAUGGCGGUAGCCUCCGGGACCGGGUUAUUUUUUUCCUCCAAUGACCCAGAGUUCUUGAAUGCAUUGAAACCGACCAAUGUUGCCGAGUCAUAUCAUUGUAACCCCUGAGUCUCAAAACGACUCAAGGAGUUGGCUUUGAGAUUCUCCAUAUUGACCAUAGCAUAAGGUGUAUAUCAUUGGUGUUGAUAGUGCGAUGUGAAUCCACAGAAGGUUGAGGUGACUGCGGCGGAUUAUAAAUGAUCAUGUAUGAGCCGUGUCAGCAACUCGGCCAAUGGUCCCUUCCAACUGGCUGUUUGAAGUUAACCAAACUAUAGUGGCGGCGACUUGUGCGCCUGCCCAUUUAAACCAUCCAGUGUAGACGGCGGCUGAUAAUACAUGAUAAUUUGCCUCCAAUUUUGUUGGAAGAAAAACCAGGCUUCCCAAGCAGUGACUUGCUCAUACUCGAUGAUCAGCUCACGCAGACAGGUGCGGCCCGGUAUGUUGAUAUAGACCAGGCCGCAAGAGACAGAUGGUAAAAACAACCGUGGCAUCAAAGGUGGUACAGACAGAUGAGUUGGUCACGACGUUGUAAACCGGUGUGGUCGGGCGAGUCAAUCGCCGGCGCGGUAAGCCGCGCGGAUGGGCGAGUCAACCACGUCGUGUUGAUGUAGUGAACAAUUGUCCUACAUCAAAAACAUCGCAAGCAAGAGUAAUUGCUCUUUUUUAAAGAAAACAAUAUAUAAUAUAUAAAAAUUUACUGGAUUGAUUUCACCUGAUAUGUUAGGCCAGAAAAUAUCCACCGCGGAGUUGAUCAUCACGACGGUGAAGCUGAAAUCAAUCACGGCCGAGUCGGCCGCGGGAACAGACAGACGGGUCGGCCGCGGCGUUGUAAGCCGGUGCGGUCGGGCGAGUCAAUCGCAUGAGCGAUAAGCCACGCGGACGCUGAGUCGGCCGCGGGGGCGGACAGGUAAGUUGUCCGUCACAUUGUAAGGCGGCGCGUUGAUGUAGACCGGACCACAGGGGCGGUGGCUUGCGCCCACCUGUUGACCAGUAAGCGGUCGCAGAUGCCGUUGCAUGAUGAUGCUACCGCACACUCCAUGGAUACGGCAUUACACCAUCUUUAUGAUGAAUCCUUGUCCUGCACAUAAAAGUGUACAUAGCAAAGCGAUUGUUUUUUGACAAAAAACAAUAUGCGCUUAAUAAAAUAAUCUUAGAUGGAUAUCACCUGAUUUGUUCGGAUGACCGAUGAUCCAUUCAAUGCAACAAAAAACGGCUCUGGUAGACCGGUAACCCAUGGCGAGUCAACACAGCAGAAGCGACUCAACGCAGCCCCGGCAGCUCGAGGCACGGCGGGUCUCAGCUCACGGCGGGUUGAGGUGUGGCGGUUCAAGGUCACAGCGGGGGGACUCGCAGGCUCAGGCGAGGCCGUUUUGAAGAUGGUUGGCAGCGGCGCGGUGACUCGCCACGGUGCGCCGAAAUAGCAGCAGCGUAGUGGGAGAAACAGCCGGUCUGUUGAUUUUGACCGUGAUGUGAAGCUCGCGGGGCAGCCACGAAGGCGCUGGGACGGAGUGGCUCCGAUGUGCGAGACGUGCCACCACAAGGACGCACGUAGGAGAAGACCAGAGGGGCAUCGAAGUCGGGUCCGCGGCGGCUCUGGAGAUGACAAGUGUGCGGGAGGCAAGGCCGUGCUGGCCAGCAGAAAACGGCGAGGUGCCGGCGACUUAGCGUAAAACCGCGGGUCAGAGGCGGCUCGGAGUUGAGUCCAUGUCCUGCUCUGGUCGUUGUUGGUUUGACAAUUCCCUUUAAGUGCUCCUUUAAAAUUUCCUUCAUCACACGUGGUGUCGUGCCAGGCAACAGCAUGGCCGGACUAAAAAUCCACUAGACCUUGAUUUUUAAUGCUCCUGUAGAUCUUGGGGACUGCGUGUGAGCUGACUAUUAAAACCUUCAAAUUCAUGCACGUACAGUGGCUGUACUAGUUGAUGCUACGUGCAGAAGGUAAGGUAAUCUAUCAGGCUUUGUUUUUCGCGUUGAUCAGCACUUGGACCCUUGAUCAACAGUUGGCUUGAUCCGGAGACUUCACAGGGCUGAAGCAAACUGUCUUGAUCGCCGCUGUACCAACAGAUGGCGCUCGUGACGCGUGUUUGGCUGUCUUUGAUCACCUCGGACUUGGACAGCUAUAUAUGGACCAGCAGAAGCGACCUGGCGAAUCGGACACGGCGGCUAGAUUUGACAGCGGCACAGUAGAAAUUCGAGUCGGCCUCGGUGUACUGCUGCAGCAGAAACUAACCCGGACUCGACGGAUCAUCUAAUUGUGGCGGCGCUCACCAUGCAACUCUAAUCUUUCUUGAAUUCAGACCUCGUACGAGUAUUAGAUCUGACUGCUCGCUUUGGAGACAAUGUAAAUCCUUCCGCGACGAUUCUUCUUUCAUCCGAAGAAAUUGUCAACUUCUCGACCCUUGAAAGAGAUCCCUCCAAGAACUCAUCACCACCGUGCGCAGCCCCACGGUGGGCGCCAACUGUCGUGGAAUUGUCACGGCAGAUGUCCUAGUGUGAGGACUUAGUCGUGAGGCCAACGCAUCUAUGCGGUAGCUUGAGAGGGGUUGAUUGGGAUGAGAGACGCAACACACAAGACAAGAAUUUAGACAGCUUCGGGCCCCGGGAAACAUCAUCCGGUAAUAGCCCUACAUGCUGUUUGUGGCUAGGUCUCAUUAUGAUCAUGAGAGAGUCGCCGGUAAGCCGGCUCUUUGUGUCUAGCCCUAGAGAUUGUUUCUUGUUUCUUGUCCCUCUUGGGGUGCCCUGCCCCUCCUUAUAUAAGUUAGAGGGGCGGGUUACAUACGGAGUCCUAGUAGGAUUAGGACUAGUCUAUCUUUCUUUACAAGUUGAAUACAAGUCCAGGUCUUGCUUCCUUAUGAAGGAAAUAAUCCUCACGCCUUUCAUCUUAAACCGGCCCACCAGAGUAUAAGCCAGCCUGCUGGGCCUUGGGCCUUGUCAUCCGUCUGAUCCGCCCGCCGGGUCUCCAGUGAAUUACAAUGUCUAGGCGGGUUACCCUGUGAACCGCCAUGUUCGGGCGGAUCGCCAGUGAGUCGCCAAGCUUGUCCGGCCGGGUCAUACCGCGGGGUAUAUCCCCGACAGGUGGUCUAAUACGGGUAAAGAAACGCAUUUUUCGCUUUGGAUCCUUUACAAUAAAAGAUGGGUCAAAAAUUCGAUUCUGGGAAGACAAGUGGCUAGAAAAUGCUUGGAUCCAAUAAAAAUAUCUAUCUUUGUACUGCAUCAUUCAUCACAAUAAUGAUACUCUUGUGCUAGUGCUUAUUUCUUUCAUGCCAGAUAUUUCUUUCAGGCGAGAUUUGAUUGGCCUAUGUCUUAUGUGAUGGUAAAAUCAUUAUCCUGAUUGGAUUUAAUUAACCUGACACAAGGGCGGGGAUGUGUUUCAUUGGAAUCUCUCUACAUAUGGGUCCUUCAAGUCAACUUUAUGUACCAUGCACUAACGCAUUCAGAGGUCCUAGUGGAUAAUAAAAUAAUAGAAGAAGAUAUGGGCCAUACUCCCUCCGUCCAGUGAAGAGUGAAAUCUAGAGAUUUUAGGACAAAUUAUGGAGUAAAAUAGAAAAUGCAUUGGAAAGGUGCAAGCCACCAUCUUUCUUCUCUUUAAUUAUCCAAUCCCUAAUGUGUUUAGUGCAUGUAAAAAUUAAGAAGACCAUGUGUAGAUUGUUAUUGGUCUUGGUUACCAUGUGAUGAGAGAGAAAUAUAUUUUUUUCUACUUUAAAGUGCAUUGAGAAGAUAGAAGUACACUCUUUUGUGGACAAAUUUUAAAGCCAAACGUACACUCUUCACCGGACGGAGGGAGUAUAUUAAUUCCUAGUGUGACUUAAUGUUGACAUGAAUUGAUACAGGUGGAUAUAGUUACUCUGCGUCCGUAAAUAAAGGUCAUCAUUUUUGUUGCUCUAGGGACCCAUAAAUGAUAGGGACUGUCCGCUACCAGCUACCCUGAUGACUCCAUUCGCUGCCCCUCAAACAUGGGUUCCCGACAUGUUCUCAGGGUCUGCCCGUGGUUCCAUGUUCUGGCCUUCGGGGUUGGUUUAACUAGUGGUAUGGGGGUUCUUGCAUCGCCCUGUACUCUCGAUCGGGACCCUUUAAUGCUAGCACUUCUGGUGACAUACAGUGCGUGUAUUUAAAGGCCAGGCAUGCAUCCUCCGUGCCAAAGAAAAUUCAUUCGGCGGCUACACGGGGAGAGUUGUGGCAGCAAAUCCGGGAUGCCAGCUUUUUGUUUUGGGUUUCGAUUGUCAAAGUUUUAGAUCUUAAAAAAACUAAAAUUAAGUGUUGUUUUCAUAUUCGUGUUUCUCGUGACCACUGUUUUGAAAUAAUAUCCGUUUUGAAUAUAUAUUUUGACGACUUUAAAAAAUAUUAAGUUUCAUAUGUUGAAACUUAGUACGGGCAACCAGUAAAAAUCAAUUAUUUUGUACCUACGCCUGACAGAAAAAUGCUUACAUUUAUAUCUCUGAAACUUGCUGAAACUUUGCAUUUUUCAUCAUUGAAACUUAAAACUUUUUGAGGGAUUUUCUUUUUUACUGUGCCCUCAUGUGGGAUUCAACUACUCUUUUCUCUUCCGCGAGAUCCACAUGAAAAAAAGCACAAAUUUAAGAUGAGUGCAGGGCUUGGCAGAUGAGUGCCCUGCACUUACAUGCCCCUGCGAAUUUCCGCAGCUACUAGAUAUUUUUGGCAAAUUUAUUGUUUGCUCUUUUACAGGUGUGCCACUUAAGUAUUUAAACCUAUAAGGAUUUCUGCACUGGUGCUAAACUCACUUAUGAGAGCAUACCGGAUUUUCUCAUAUGAGCUAACAAAGAAUCAAACAUAGUUAUAUCUUGUAUUAUUUUCUCAUUAAUUACUUACCCACUGGGCUGAAGCAGUUAUUGUAGCAUAUCAUGCAACACUCAUGGUUUUCCAACAUGUUUCCUUAAGGGGUCUUAAUCAAGAUGAUUUACAUUCAAAAACAAUCAUUGAGUAUGGAUCAUUAAGAAUAAUUUGAUCCUACUUAAUCCAUGCUUAGGAAAUAAGAAAAUGGUUACUCAAUGAGCAAACGCUGCCUGUUGCUGCCUCCUCACCAACAAACUUUGGUUCUUCACAUCCCUUACCGAAGAGGCACCUUUACAUUGCAUCCCUUGUAUACUACUAUAUAUAUGUGAUCUUCAUAAAGAGUUCAGCGAUUUCUCCAUUGUUGAGUUCCUUACACUCAAUAUUCAAUAAUAGUUAUUUCCAAAUUCACAUAAUCAGUUGGCAGGAUGGUCACCAAAGUACAUUCAUCCAUCGAAAGAAACACACAAAAGAAAACAGUAACAGCACCAAAAAAACUACACGUUGUCCAAUUAUGAAUAAUGUUUCGUCCGUGUAACAAGAGCUUCGACGGUCAUUUUCUUAAGCAUAAUUAAAUAAAAAACUAAUCAUAGACUCUGAUUGUAAAGCAUUCCAAAAGAAAUUCAUAUGUCAGUUCUUCAACGCUUAUUGUGUUGGAAGCCUGUCCUCAAAUAUUCUCUCCUUCGCCUUGUCGGCCUGCAAAUAAAUAUCAGUUAUUUUUUCUUACUAUCCUUGGUACCAGUGCUUAGGGUUUUGAUAGACAGGUCGCUAGUUAUUGAAAUGAAACAUUUAAGACAAGGAGAAGCAUGCAUUAGGGCAACUCCAACUAUGUGCAUCAAAUCGGACACAUCUAACAUUCAUGGGCACGUCCGGACGUGUCCACAAAGAGCAUAUAGGGGGCGGCCAUCCAAGCCUAUGCACCAAAUGUCCGCACCUUUUCAAAGAAAAUAAAAUAAAGCUAGACCAAAUGUUGGCUCACUUUAAAUCAUCGAUCGAUAGCAAUUCAAAAGUGUUGGAUGAAAGUACUUCUCGAAAGCAGCCUUCAUUACAUACUUUCUCUCCUCGAGUUUGCACUUCUUCAUUACAAAUGUUGUUCAUCCAGAUGUUGUGCCCUUUGAGCUUCAUCCAACAGUGCAUAAAUGCGAAGAACUUGCCCUCCGUCCUUUGGUAUAGCAUGGGCUGCGCGUCUGGGCUAUACAAUGACGUGAUCAUCAAGUGUAACAUUGAGCAAUUUGCCAUUUGUGCUUGCUUCAUGUUAAACAAGGAGAAAGUCAAAGAAAUUCUCAAUGGUAUUUGGCCGAACACUUGCCGGGGUUGGCCUCCAUUAUGGAGGGCAUCGGCAAGGGGGCGGCCAAUGCAUGGGCUGCCGCCGGAUACUGGGUGCAACCGCGGCGAAGUACAAUGCGCCUGGUGGAGCAAUGGAGGUCUAGCAAGGCCUAGGCGCGGGACGGAGUGGUAUAGCAGCGGCGGUCUUGGUGGGUGCGGAUACAGAUUAAGAGUGGGACNNNNNNNNNNNNNNNNNNNNNNNNNNNNNNNNNNNNNNNNNNNNNNNNNNNNNNNNNNNNNNNNNNNNNNNNNNNNNNNNNNNNNNNNNNNNNNNNNNNNNNNNNNNNNNNNNNNNNNNNNNNNNNNNNNNNNNNNNNNNNNNNNNNNNNNNNNNNNNNNNNNNNNNNNNNNNNNNNNNNNNNNNNNNNNNNNNNNNNNNNNNNNNNNNNNNNNNNNNNNNNNNNNNNNNNNNNNNNNNNNNNNNNNNNNNNNNNNNNNNNNNNNNNNNNNNNNNNNNNNNNNNNNNNNNNNNNNNNAUAGUCCGACCAGGCGGGCGUCCGGACUCCCAAACCUCCAAUGAGUUUGCUUCCGGUUUGGCUGAUGUUGGACGUCCGGAUUAGGCCGCGGGCAUUUGAUGCAUGGCAGUGGAUGGCAAAAAAUGUACAGGCAGCGCAGUCCGGACCUUGCGGGCAAUUUGAUGCAUGGCAUUGGAGUUGCCCUUAGCAAUACCUAAGGCAUGUUCUGAUCACGAAUCAUCAGGCAUAAAAACUGAGAAAGGACUUACCAUCUUGUUCCAGUUUGUGGUAGCCGUAAUAACAGACAGGAGAGUGACCUGUGUGGCUCCACCAGCCAGUAUGCCAAUCCAAAACCCCUUUGCUCUUAGUUGCAUUGCAAAACCAAAGUAGAGUGCAACGGGGAUACCAACAAGAUAGAAGGCACCCAGGUUAACAUAAGCCCCUAGAUGCUGCCAUCCACAGCCCCGAGACACACCUGAGUGGUGCAAUGGAAGCAUUCAGUCUAUUAGUUUAAUUUAGUUUAUGAUGCUAUAUGCCAAAAGAAAGACAUGUGGAUACCUUGAAGGACUGCCAUGAGGCUGUCUGUAAUUGCUGAAAUGGAAAGUAGGGGUACCAUUCUUGUGACAUAACGCCUGACCUCUUCCUCAUUGCUGAACGCAAUUCCAAUAAAGUGGCGCAGUAAUAGAAGAGUUGUGCUCACUAAGAAUGCUGAGCAGACCACAAUAGACAAGGCAACACACACCACCAAGCGGGGACCUUGUGUGUUGCCGGCGCCUAAUUCAUUUGAGACGCGCACACUGGCACACGGACAACAUAUAUACGUAGCAUGUUAAAUUCUGUAGAAACAGGUGAUACUGACGAUAUAUAGCAACAAAUGCACUAGCUAGUAGCUACCCACCUGGUAGCUAUUCCAAUGCCGUAAGGAAGGUUGGCCAACAGUAUCAUUGUAGAUACGCUGUUCCAAAAGGACAUCAGUAUGGUAAACUUCAUAGAAUAUGAUGGAUUCAAGUAUAAUCUUAUUUAGGGUUCUACUAAUGCAUACCAUAUAGAAAGCACAGAGGUUUCCAGUGCAGGAUUUGGUAACAUCCCGGAAAGCAGAACAAGCAGCUCGUAAGACCACCACUCCAGACUGUGGUCAAGGAAAGCUAGGUUAAUAUUCAGAGGUUUCCGGGAUGUUUUGAUGCUAGAGAAUACAUAAUUAGAAGCUAAACUUAAAGUAAUAUAUGUGCAGAAAUUAUCCAGUUCAUUUCAAGAGGAGAGGGAAGAAUAUAUCCAGUGGUAUUGCGAGCGGGUGGCAAAAAAACAAAAGGUAUCUGAUCAGGAUCUGCUCACAACAAAGGCGAAGACGAAGACGGACUUUCUUUUGUUGAAAGAUGUCUUCACAACAAAGACGAAGAGGAAAACAAACUUGAUUUGGACAAUCAAUCCGAGACGAGCCGACAUUUCAAAUUUUCAAAUGGUUUGUAAAAGACCAUCAUCCUUUUCUGACAGUAUUCUAACAGACCAAUCAAGUGUGCAAGGGUGCUGUGGCAAGAACAACAGAAAAAUAGUAUUUCCUCCAUCCGAAAAUAAGUGUCGCUCAAAUAGAUGUAUCUGGACGUAUUUUAGUGCUAGAUACAUCCGUUUGAGCGGUACUUAUUUCCAGACGGAGGGAGUAGGUAUGAACGAACAUAAGUAGAAAGAGAUAUAAAAAAUAGCAACAAUGCUUGGAUCUUAUGGGCUGCAAGUGCACCACUAUUAAAAAGGUUUUGCCACGUACUUGUUAUUAUUAAUAUAUUUUUUGAGAGGAACGUACUUGUUAUUUUCCAUGCUGACACCUUUAGAAACGUUGGCUACUGAUACACAAACUAUAUAGAUUUGUCACAUGAAGAUACCAUUAGUGUUAUGAAUGAUCACAUCAUUAUAAUUAUAAUCUUAAUUAUUUGCCAAAAGGUGCACGUUGGAAACUAUAUUAAUGUCCACAAGAACAAGUAAAAGUGAAUGAAGAGUGCAUAAGAGUUUGCUGUAUUGGACAAUAUUUUGCUUGCCAAAAUAUGAAAUACUAGAUAAAAUAGCAUAUGUUAUUUUUUGUGCUAGAGGUUAAAACAACAUCAUUAUAGAAACAUGGCAAAUAACAUUUACUUACCAAAUCAUAAGAGCCGAUGGUACAGCCAAACGCAUGAAACUGCCAAUCCCUCUAAAAGCUUCCCACGAUGGUGGAGCGCGUGUUUUCUCACAAGAGGGUGAGAACUUAAUGUAAAGGCCAAGAAAAGUCACUUCAACCCAAUCACAAAUGCUAACGGAUAAAGCAGCUCCAGCAUUACCCAUCCCAACUUUGUAAACCAUGAACCAGCAAAGAGGAAGAAAUACCGCAAUUGUAAUCAAGGAGCUAAGAACCAUUGGAAAUAUUAGGCUUUGACAUUGCAGAAACUUUGAAAAGCAUUGAGUAACACCGAAGGCAAAUAAACCAGGGAUAAGCCAUAAUGCAUAUUUGCCAGCCUCAUUUGCAAUUUGUGGUUCCUGGCCCAUGAGAGGAAGUACUUCCGGGAUGAAACACCAAACAAUGGAGAUGGGCACACUCACAACAAGAAGUGCAAUGAUGGACCUGUAGGUACAUAAAGAUAAUGUAUGAUAUUGUUCUGCUCCAUAGGCCUGCCCACAAAGAGUUUCCAAUCCGCCUGCCAGUCCAAUCUAAAAGGGAAACUGCAUCAGUAACAAAUUAUACAUAUUGUUGCUGAAUAAAUGGAAGUUAAACUAGGAUAAAGUGCAUCGACAUUACUGAAAGAAGAGUUUUGCUACACCUACACAUUAAUCUUAUGGAAUUAAAUUUACAGGAUGAGGUGGCAACAUCUGAUUGGAAGGGAGGAGACUCAUAGUAAAUUCGGGGAAGACGGGUUACUUGGAGGUUAGGGGGGAGGGGUGGCAGUCCAUACGGGUCGCUCAUAAGUUUGGAUUUUCGCUGAAAGAAUAUCAAGAAUAACAAACGUGGCUUGUGCAAGGUGGGCAACAGUUGCUAUGAAGAUUUUGUUUCAAUCAUCACUGCAAAGAAUGCGAACAUCACCCUGGCCGAAUUUUCUCAACACCCAACUCAGUCGGAUCAAGUGACUGAUUAUAUUUUUCGCGGGAAUAUAAUAGAUCGAUAUUGCCCACCGAAACUAGCUAUAUGUACAGCGGGGUGGGGUGAAUCAAGCACCACAGGUCCAUUGUAAAAAAGAUUAAUCGAACGACCUAGCUAGCCGCGUGCGGUCGGCGCUAAUCAGAAAGGUUGAGAAAUGGAACCAUCUGAUUUGAUUCAUUCCCAGUAGUCAUGAGAUGAUCAUUUUUUUUUAGAAAAGAGGGGAGAUCCUGAAUGAUCCACACAACCUUUUGUUUAUCAUAUCAAAGUACAUCAUCUGACCAUAACAAAGUUCAUCUUGCCAACGGAUGCUUCUAUUACACUCGUGGUCUCUAAAAGAUGAGAACCCACUAUGUAGCAUCCACAUCAAUAAUUCAAGCAUUUAUGUCCUUAGUACGAUUCUUUGUAGGAACUAUCCGUAAUAACAAAGAACAUCAGAAGUAGCAGAGAUCUCCGCACGAUGCAACUGGAUAAAUGGCGGUCGCAUGGAGGGAGAAGACACUGAGACAUCUGGACCGGUCGCCGAUCUUGUACACAUCCGGAUGGGAUUCAGGGGCUGCUCUAACGGAAUUGAAAGUACCAAUAGCUAAACAUAAACGAAAUAAAUUAAUGUGCGCUGCAUGCUUGCUCACAAGGACGCUGAAGCCGGAGACGUUGGUGAGGGAGUUGGCGAUGGCCGCACCGGCGAGCGCGACGUCGCCGAGGUGCCCCACCAUGACGGUGGAGAUGAACUGCAUCGUGACCUGCAGCAGCAUCACCACCACCAUCGGCGCCGCAAGCCCCGCCAGCUGCGCGGCUUCCCUACACCAGCGCCGGCUGGUACUGCCGGGCUCUUCCCACCUCGCGGCCAGCAGCGGCGCAUCGGAAGAAGAGUCCAUGGAUCCCCCCGACCAAAGCUCUGCCCAAGCAACGUGGGUGUGGUUAAUGAAAAUGGUAAAUGCGGGAGCUACCAUCCGUCUAGCUGUCUCCCUUUGCACAAUGCAUGGAGCUCGAACUAUAUAUAGAGUAUUACUCCAGUCGUAGUAGCUACGGAAACUAUUUCCUCUGUCCAGAUUUAUUAGUUUUGUCAGAGCAUCGGUAAUUGAGGAGCUAAUUUGAUUUCAUAUACAUCCACUGACCCGUCUUGGCGCUGUUCAGGCAUAUUCACUUAAGCCCACAUUUAUCUGUGCACGCAGUGGUAACCCCACUUUUCUCCCUAUUAUAUGCCCGAUUACAUGCAUAUGAAUGGUAGGGACAGAACCUCAAAAAAAAAAGAAUGGUAAGGACAAAAAAAGAAAAUAAAAGAAAAUAGUGAAGGUGAAAAAGUGGUCCGGACUCUGGAGUGUGCCAAAUUCGACGUGGCAGACUGCUCAGACAUACCACAACAUCUCAUACCCUUUCCACGUAUGGGCUCGGUAUAAGGGGUGCCAGAAAGCCCGCGCCCAUGUAUAUAGUUUUGAGUUAAUGAUACUCCCUUUCAUCCAUAUUACUUGUCACACGGACGUAUUUAGACGUUUUUCAGUGCUAGAUAAAUUCGUUUGAGCGACAAGUACACUAGUAGAAAAAGGACCUUACGUGAGACACAUUAGUCCCGGUUCAAUUUUGGCUCGGUACUAAUGGUAUUAGUCCCGGUUCAAACGGCUAUGCAUUAGUCCCGGUUCAUGUUGAACCUUUAGUACCGGUUCGUGCCACUAACCGCUACUAAAGGGGUGGUGGCAGGCUGGCGUCAGGCCGGGGCCCCACGAGCCCCUUUGACUAAAGGGGUUUAACCUUUAGUCCCGGUUGGAGACACAAACCGGGACUAAAGGGCAAUUAUCAAACUCUACCCCCCUCCCCUCUCCCUGUCUAUCGCCAUUUCAGUUUUGAAAAAAACAAAACAAAAUGAUAAAAACUUCAAAAAUUAAGAUCCUUCGAGAUGUAGUUAUGUUACUACAUCUACUAGUUAGGAAAAUUUAAAAACUUAAAUUUGGACAUGUUUUGCAAAAAAAUAUGAUGAAAAGGUAAAACAACUAUAUCUUUUGCAUCCGAUAUCGGAAAACAACGUAUAAUAUAUCAAAAUGUUCAGCACGAAAAUACGCAUCCGAUUUUGACGGCUGUAGGCCGUUUUGCAAAUUUUUAGAAUCCUCAAACUCUAAAAGGAAAAAAGUUAUGCUCACAUUUCAGUUUUUUUUUUGAAUUUUGGUCAAACUGUGGUCAAACUACUUAUUCAAGAAAUAUUAGUGUUACUAAAUAAUUAUUUCAGUUUUUUGAAUUUUGGUCAAAUCUGGUCAAACUAUGGUCAAACUACUUACUCAAGAAAUAUUAAUGUUACUAAAUAAUUAGUGUUUUUUAGAAUAAUAGUUUCAAACUCAAACGAUGAACGUGUGACUUCAUGCUCAAGCUAAACUCCUGAGGGUUAAUAGGAUUGACAGCUUAAUAUUGUUAGGAAACAACAAGUGCGGACUUGGAAACUAGGGGGAAUAGAACUCAGAAGUUAAGCGUGCUCAGGCUGGAGUAGUAAGACGAUGGGUGACCGGCCGGAAACUUAGGUGAUUUGGGAUGAGUGAUCCACACUUGAGCAGUUAUGAGUGGUGAUUAGAGACUAAAUCGUCAAAUAAUUAAGAAAAUUGAAAAUCGGGAAAAAAAUCAAAGUUUUUUCCAAAAAAUUCAAAAAAAAAACCUUUAGUCCAGGUUGGUGUUACCAGCCGGGACUAAAGGUCCCGCAUACCACGGCGCGGGCUCGUGCCACGUGGUGGGCCUUUACUGGCGGUUCGUGUUGAACCGGGACUAAAGGGGGGGCCUUUGGUCUCCAACCUUUAGUGCGGGUUCCGAACCGGCACUAAAGGCCCUUAAGAACCGGCAUGAAAGCUCCGUUUUCUACUAGUGGUAAUACAUAUCAGAUGGAGUAGUGGAUUUAACUAGACGGGGAAGCAACGGAUGGGCGGCGGCUUUCAGAUAUGACGAUGGUGGUCCUACCGGGGUGGCUUGUUCGGCGGAGCGGGUUGGGAUGGCACGGGCCAGAGGCUGCUUCGCUGCCUCCCAAAGGUGGUGGUGGGCUGCGGGUGUAUGCGACAACUCAGAUCCGUCGUGGAUCAUCUGGUUGAUGCGGGAUCGACUCUGGCCUACCUUGGCUUCUCUGACGCGGCUCUGGUGGGCGGAGGGCUAGGUCAUGGCAGGGAGCUCCCCCUGCCUUGGUCUUGUUCGGCCGUCAUGGCAGCGAGCUCCCCCUGCCUUGGUCUUGUUCGGCCGUCAUGGCAGGGAGCUCACCCUACGCGUUUUGGCUCACGGGCUCAGAUGAGUCCGGGAAUGAACAAAAAAUCAUUAAAAAUUACUAAAUAAAUUCAAAAAAAAUCUGAAUUUUUUUUGUGCAGAAAUAUAACUGAGUGUCUGAUGUUCGUACCGAAUUUCAGAACACUUGAAUGUUUGAGUAGCUCUCAGCAAAAAAGGACGAAUUUAAUGUAUGUGAAAAAGGUUACUAUUUGUGCAUUGUCUGGACCCUUUUUUUACUGAGAGCUAAUCCGAUGUCCAAAUGUUUUGAAAUUUGGCACGCACUUCACACACUAAAAUAUCUUCCAUUCAAAAAAAUAGAUUUUAAAAAAAAAAUCUAUUUUUGCUGAAUUUACUGUUCACCAGGUGGAGCAGCGUCGAAGACCACAGACAUGGUGUCGGGCGAGCGCGCUCGGAGACAGAUGUCUGUAGUUGUGUCUCCCCCGGUCCACCGGGACUGGCUGGAGAUGCAGGCGUGGGUGCCUCCUACCAUGGAGGCAUCGAUCCAGACUAUGUGGCUGAUGUAUGGCUAUGAUUGUAAGGGGACGCCAUUUGCUUCUCCUACCGUGGUGGGUGCACCGUGAUGUGGGCGGUUGGUGGUGUCUCUGAUAUGGAUGUCGAGGUGGCAACCCUGGAUGGCGGUCUGAUGGUUCGCUCUCUAGCGGGCCCCAUGGCAGCAGUGAUAGGUGGAGCGACGGGUGGCUCGGGUGUGCUCUUUGUCUCCGGCAGUGGUGACACCUAGAUCCAGAUCUGGAGGUCUGAACUCGUCGUGCUUACCCUGGAGACCUCGUGGUGUCAUGGGGGAGCUGUCGAGUAAAGCCCCAUGCUUUGCCGUCAACGAGGGUGAUGCUCGCGGGUGCCGCUUUGCUCUUAAAGAUAUCACCGUGGUGCUCUUCUUCUUGUCUGGGCUCGGAGUAAAAACCUUUGUUCGGUGUGGACUCAACAACGCUGACACUUAGGGCUAUUCGCUCUCCUAAGAGUGUUGUCGUUGAGCUUAGAUGUUAUAGGGCAUAGUGUGACGUUGCUAUCGGUUCUUCCUAUGCUCACUUUGGUAGUAUAGCUGCAUGCGUUCUGUGUGAUCCGGUUAUCCUGGGAUCUAUUAGAAUAAUCCGAGGCAUACCGUUGAUCAUCCGAGGACCAAGGAACCACACGAGCACGACACCGAGAUUUGUUAACGAGGUUCACCUUGGCUACAUCCCCGGGGCUUGACUAUGGGCGCUCCUCCCCAUGACAUCGCUACAAUACCGCACCCCGUCGCCCUGCACGCCGGCACAUGCCGCCGGCUUCCCUUGCGUUCCUAUGCUAUUAUGUUGGCAUGGGUUACAUCGUGUGUCUACCCCCAUUAUAUAUGAGAGGCCUAGGAUACAAGUGUCCUAUUAGGACACGACUCUAUAUCCUAUCUAAACACAAUACUACUCAAAGUCCAACUCUAACCUAUCUUAUACGCAAUAUUCGACACAACUCUAACAGGAUCUGCAUUGUAUGAGGACUACCUCAUCACCUUGUAUUGGUCAGCCAUGCACUUUGUUCGGUUGUUGCAUUAUACUCUCUCUGUUCAGAAUUAUUGGUCGCAGAAAUGGAUGUAUCUAGUUAUAUUUAUAUAGUUCUAUAUACAUCAAUUUCUAUUCAUUUUUGAGACAGGUAGUCCCGGACGGAAGGAAUAUAUAAAGCGGGGCGCCUGGUUCAAACUUUAAAGAGAGACAUAACCACAAAGGAGACGUAAGAAGGCAAAUAACUACAGCGCAAUUGAUGUCAUGUCAGCAAGAAAUGUUCUUAAGGGCCACUCCACAGCUUCCCACUACGAACCUAAAUCUUCAUGAAACUUGAGAAAAUCAUACUCGACGAAAAUCAUACGCUUGUUUUAGAUGCCUGUCGUCGUUGGUUGCUACAGAAGAUGGAUUUAAAUAAUUGAAAUUAAGUUUUUUUUUAGCACUCUCUCUGAGCCAAAUUAAUUAACAUAGCUCUAGUACAACUUUUUCUUUUUGAGUUUGGACUUGGUUUGGCUGUGUGCAUCUUUUUUUUUGAAAUGUUGGCUGUGUGCAUUUUAGUUAUGCAGAAGCCAGAUAAUACUUAAAAACUUUGUAAGCAAUAAAGCGCCCCUUAUCGAACAAUAGAAUUAUGCAGAGGACUAACACUUAACUCUCGAGUAGUAACUGGUUGAAACUUACCAGCUCUACGUGGUUGAUGUUGACAUCCAAUUUCGAAUACAGAACAUAUUUCCCAAACCAUUCAAAAACAUCACAUUGCCAUCUUGGUUAUUACCCUUUAACCUCCUCACAGCAGAUUCCAUCUGCAUACACUCAGUGUAAGAACGCAGCAGAUCCAUUAAAACAUGUAGUACGAAUUAUCACGUUAUACUAAAAUUUUAGAAUCAACAAGACAUUAGCUACAUAUUGACUUCUUUAAUUAUUUAUGAAGACUGCCUCUAGAGAAUUGUUGGCAUGUCUAUGACGGUAAAUUUGCAGCUCAGUUAAAGUGUGCUUGGUUGGUUAAACAAGGUAUACUAGAUGAUUUUCCCGCGCGUUGCUGCGGGAUUUUAAAGAUUAAUUUUGGAUAUAUUAUAUAAGAAUGAAAUGAUCUAAAUCAAAAGCUAUUAUUUUCAAAAGUAAUUAUAUGUGAACAAAGAGUAUGCAUGUACGUUGGACCAUUGGAGAUGGAACAAUUAAAUUGGAGUAUGCAUGUGCUACAAAAUAAUUCUAGUGGGUGAUGAUAUGUGGAGGGCUGCAUGUUGAGAUAAUUAGACUUAAUGGGAUCAACUAUAUAUUUAUUAUAGAUGGGAUAGGUUGUUUGCUUGGUUGGGUGGAUGGGAGUAUCAAAAAAGAUUAAUUAGCUAAAUGAUACCUCCUAACUUCUACAUUAACACCAUCAAGACCUAGUGAACCUACUUAAGUCAAACCAGAAAAACAUGUACCUGUUUCAGAUAAUCAUCCAUGAACAUGAUUGCAUGGUCAUCAUGCCCAGUACUGAGUUUGAAAACAUGAAGUACAUUGUCUUUCUUCAAUGACUGCAAAAAUGAUUUCUAUAUAUGUUCAGAUUUUCAUCAAAGCAAGGAAAAUUUUCUCUGGUGCAGUUGAAGAUUACUACACAUUGGUAAACAAUAAUCACCAACAGUUUAACACAAGAAUAGCUAGAAAAGAAUCCAAAGGUAAAACACAAACUCAUCAUUGCAUUACAACAGUUGUGUAUACAUAAAGAAUUAUUGCAUAAGUUCAAAACAAUACCUUGAAAUCUCUGGCAGCUUGUGUCCUGUCCUUCACGCUAUUAUAGUUUGGGACUGCAAAAUGAAUGGUUGUGUCACAGCCUACAAGUGAACACAAGAAAAAGGUGAAUUUCGGAUCUGAAUCACCAUUAAAAAAGGAAACAGUUAGAGAAGAAGCACACACUGAGUUUAUAUAACCAUCUUUAUUAUAUAACAACAUGUUACAUGGGAGUAUUGUUACAUCCCUCCAUUAAGAGGAGGAGCAAACAUAAGUACAAGAGUUUAAUAGUGGCCGUGUCCCCCAACCCACAAAUAACUUUGGCACAUGCACGCACAGACCAGAAUUUUGCAACAGAAAACAUCACUAACCUAUGCACACGGUGGCUCUCGCAGCCAGUGAUGGUAGGCCUGAAUCGUCGCUCCACCUCUGCCUUGAUGUUGUUGGCCAUUGUCUGAAGGUCCUGGUUCUCUCCCUCGAACACCAGGUAGCUAUGUUCUCUCCAAAAUCCCUACGGGCCAAAUUUGUACAAUCACUAUCGAGUCCAGGUCUUUUUGCCGAUCUUUUGGCAGUGCUUUUCACCUAGACAGCCACCAAAUUCACCUGAAGUGGCGAGCUGUUCAUUUUAAAAUGACUUGCCACAGUUAUGUCAACCAGGAUCAUUGCUCUCUUUCUCGGCCUCCCGCAGAACUUCACAAGUUAUGAGUUUGCUGUAUGAGUAUAUAACUGAAUGAAGUAGUCUUUGAACCUGCAAACAGAGCACUUAAUCUACUUCUCAACGCACUGGAAUUUUUUGCAAUGUCUCUCUGUACUAAUUGUCCACUGCUACCCUACCACGAAGAAGUAGCGAUUUCUCCACCAAUCCAGCUCGCAAUCGGAUUAAACACUAGGCAAAGAAAUUCCUCUCUGCAACUAUAUAUCCAUACAAAAGUACCAUUUACUCCUGGAUCGAGCACUAAGCCACUAACUGACGGACGGAGAAUGGAUGACUAACCUUCUAGUUGCAACCGCAUGACCUCUGACCUGCCCUGCCGGCGGCUCACAGCGAUGGAUAGCGGACUAGCCUGCCAUCUAGGGUAAUUGCAGACGGCCAGAGUUGCAACGGAGGCCUCAUCGUGAUACACGACGACCUCCGUAGCUGGGAUCAGAUGUAUUUUCUAAUUUGAAUUGAAUAUGUAGUGUCACCAUUCCAGAUUUUUGGUACAUAUGAACAAAAAUAAAUUUAUUCAUGGGCCAUUCAACACUUUUCAACUCAUCGGAUACUGGCUCAGAUCGAGUUCACAUAUCAUUAACAUAUUUCGAACCAAAUCCAUAAUCAUAAAAUCCUCUGGUUUUAUUCAAACAAGCGGUGGAGAUGCCCCAUCCCUCCUAGCAUUGUUUUUCCUUAUCAUUUAGGAUCUCUUCAUUCAGCCUUUAAUAGAUUAAUAACAAAAAAACAUAAGUAUGGCCUAGAUAUAUAAGAUGCUUCAGAAUAGCUGGGCACAAACAAGUUGGCAUGAAACGGUCUAGAACUUCUUUUGCGGGAAAAAAUCUAGACCUUCUCAAAAUCCAACAAAUAAAAUAUGCUCGUUGUCCAUGAUCUAGGAGGGUAUCUACGAAUAGGUACUUAAGGUUUGUUCAUGAAAAGUAUUAAAAUAUUUGGCAAUUUUCCUUUUGGGUAGACAAAGUACCUAGAAAUAUGUAAAUUCAUGCUUAUACACCUGAACAUGCACCAUAGUAGACCAAAUUAUGUUGCCAAAGUAUAACGAACAUAUUAUAUUUUUGAAUAGGUUAUCUGUGUAAAUGGUCUACACAAUUCAAAUAAGUAUCAACUUCAUGCCCAAAAGAUUUAGUAAAAGGUACCGGGUGGUCCCAAUGAAAUAUUUACAUAACAUUACAAACUUAGUCCACCAAAAGAAUGAUUUGAUCCAGAAAAAUCCUUCUUCACACAUAGAUCGAACUGAUGAUGACGUAUCUAGAGUUAGGACCGGAUAUAUGCUAGUAACUUGUAAGCAAUUACCAUCCUUUACAUGUAAGGGAAUUCUAUGAGUCAUGUCAUGAUCUAUACCUCUCAGUUCAUCUUAUCAUCUUAGAGAACAAUACAAAGUUAGUUUUAUAAAAAAGCAACCGAGUCUAGACGAACCCUCCACAUACAAGGCUUUAAUAAUCGAGCAUAUCUUAACAGUCCACACACGAUUGCAACUUAGUCCUACACAGGUUUUGCCUUUCUUGUUUAUGGUUGACAGCCUAUACAAGGUUCCAAACUCGGUUGCAAAAGUGAUACUAUCCUGAUAAAUGUGUGACAUGUAAAGUGAAUAAGGCGAGUCAUAUAUACCACACAUCAGGGUUUCUAUAAUUUGUGUGUGAUCAUAUGCACAACUAAAAAGCAACUUUGAUGAUCAAUCCAAAAGUACGCUUGUAGCUAGUGCAACCUAACACAAUGUACCAAAAAAUCAUUUCUGAUGCAUCCAAAUAGAAUUAUUUAAGUUGAUGCAAAGAAGGAAAGAGGUGGUGCCCGGACUACUAUAAAUAGGCAUGAAGUAUAAUGAUCAUCACAAGCACAAGCAUCAAAACCAAGCAAAAGUAGUUAGCACCAAUCCAUCAUGAAGACCUUCCUCGUCUUUGCCCUCAUCGCCGUUGUGGCGACAAGUGCCAUUGCACAGAUGGAGACUAGCUGCAUCUCUGGUUUGGAGAGACCAUGGCAGCAGCAACCAUUACCACCACAACAGUCAUUUUCACAACAACCACCAUUUUCACAACAACAACAACAACCAUUACCUCAACAACCAUCAUUUUCGCAGCAACAACCACCAUUUUCGCAGCAACAACCAAUUCUAUCGCAGCAACCACCAUUUUCACAGCAACAACAACCAGUUCUACCGCAACAAUCACCAUUUUCGCAGCAACAACAACUAGUUUUACCUCCACAACAACAACAACAACAACUUGUGCAACAGCAAAUCCCUAUUGUUCAGCCAUCCGUUUUGCAGCAGCUAAACCCAUGCAAAGUAUUCCUCCAGCAGCAGUGCAGCCCUGUAGCAAUGCCACAACGUCUUGCUAGGUCACAGAUGUGGCAGCAGAGCAGUUGCCAUGUGAUGCAACAACAAUGUUGCCAGCAAUUGCAGCAAAUCCCCGAACAAUCCCGCUAUGAAGCAAUCCGUGCCAUCAUCUACUCCAUCAUCCUGCAAGAACAACAACAGGGCUUUGUCCAACCUCAGCAGCAACAACCCCAACAGUCAGGUCAAGGUGUCUCCCAAUCCCAACAGCAGUCGCAGCAGCAGCUCGGACAAUGUUCUUUCCAACAACCUCAACAGCAACUGGGUCAACAGCCUCAACAACAACAACAACAGGUACUACAGGGUACCUUUUUGCAGCCACACCAGAUAGCUCACCUUGAGGCGGUGACUUCCAUUGCACUCCGUACCUUGCCAACGAUGUGCAGUGUCAAUGUGCCGUUGUACAGCGCCACCACCAGUGUGCCAUUCGGCGUUGGCACCGGAGUUGGUGCCUACUGAUAAGAAAAGUUGUCUAGUAAUAUAUAGUUGGACCACCGUCGUCUAGUCGAUCGACAUGUCGAGGAAGCGGUGACAAAUAAAGUGUCACACAACGUCAUGUGUGACCCGCCCAAAGUAGUAGUUAAAUUCUGGAAUAAAUACAAAUGAAGUGUUCUCUAGACAAUGUUCAUAUCGGCGUUGUGUGGACGUCGAUCUGACUACCAUGCUUGCAAGUUCAUAAGUUCGUCUUGCCAGGUCACAACCUCAACUUGGUGUAUUAAUUAAUUAAUCACGUAUAGCAAUAAUCUAGAUUUAAAUAUAAUAGUGUUAUUGUAAAAUUUGGGUUGAACUGAAGAAAGGACAAACAUACAACUCUUUAAUGGUUGGAGAUUUGAGAUCUUGUUUUUAUUGGUUUGUAUGUGGUUCCAACUACUACCAUUGUCUACAUGACAAUCACAACCGGUUUCAUAAUUAAUUCUGUUUGCUUGUUUUUUUCUUUUGCAAAUACUUCAUUGAUACUUUGCACAUCCACUUAUUUUUCAAGGAAAAACAGCUUUUUCUUGAAUUUCAUAGACACCACUAGAUAGUUAAUUUGAAAUAAGUUGUUGUUCAUGCCCUAGACCAGCUAGCACAAUCUGUGUGGGGGGGAGGGGAGGGGGGUUGUUGCAUGCGUAUUCUUUGCACAUUAUUUUAUUUUGUUCUUUUGAUGCUCUUAUACUAUACCACAUUUUUACUUAAUGGAAAGCAAACUAAGCAACGCAGGUAGAAACCACAGAACUUGAGACUGGGUGUGUGUCAACUUCACAUCCUCCUCCUUAUCUCAUUAAUUGGAAAGCAAUAGCCCUCAUGAGAUCAGACAGCCAUACACAGUGUUAAAGUAAACAAGAUGAUGGCAUUAACGAUGUAGGUUUUUAAUUAGUCAAAUGGCUAAACUGAGGCACCCGGCAGCCAUAUAGACAUCCAUGAGCAUGUAAUCCAGAAUAUUGCAACUAGAGCACUAUAUAUGUAUUUAUGACAGAAAUCCAGUGCAAUUUUUCAAAAUGACGUUCCAUUGGCUAUGACCUUAGCAAAUGAUGUGAAUUUUCUUUCCAAAUACUACAAAAAGUUGCAGGAUUGCAAAUUAAACAAUUACCUCCACUGACUACACGUGAAAAAACACAUCUGCUGAGCAACAACAAAAUAUUAUUAUCUCAAGCACCUACCUGGCAGCGAUUAGUUCUCAUGAAUUCAUUGAAUCAAGAACGCAUCACAUGCUUACUGCUGAACACUAGUAGAAAAAGGGCCAUUUGUCCCGGUUCGUAAGGCCCAUUUGUCCCGGUUGUGGAACCGGGACUAAAGGGUCGUUACUAAAGCCCUAGGCCUUUAGUCCCGGUUCUUACACGAACCGGGACAGAUGGGCCUCCACGUGGCCGCUGCGGCGAGCCCAGGCAGGAGGGCCUUUGGUCCCGGUUGGUGUCACCAACCGGGACCAAAAGGCAUCCACGCGUCAGCAGCUGGCAGGAGCUGAGGUUUUUGUUUUUUUAAAGGGGGUGGUUUAGGGGUUUGGGGGGUUAAUUUAGGUUGUUAGCUAGCUAAUAGAGAGAAGUGUCCUCUCUUAUCUCCGUGCUUGGUUUACCAACGCUACUGCUAUGCCUAAACAUGGCUUAGAUUGAAGUGAAGGCAACAUGUGGUGCAUGUCGAAAGUAAUACUAAUCCUAACUUGAUCAAGUUUCGAUUGUACUACUUUCGACAUGCACCACAUGCAUGUUGCCUUCACUUCAAUCCAAUCCAUGUUCAUUUCACCCACUGAUAUAUAAUAACUCUUCAUGCUCGCAUCAUGCAUCAUCAUAAUAAUAAGUCCUACUAAUCAUCAUCAUACAACUUCUAUUCGUUAUUAAUAACAAGUCAUACGAUCAUCAUCCUCAUAGUCAUCGAACCAACCCUACUUAAUUGUUCUUAGCACAUGGUCAUCAGUAUUAGUUAGGACUUAAAUACCCUCUUUAAUGUAAAAUAGCAUAAAACAAUAUAGACCCUGACUCUCCAUUAUGGAGAAUGGAGAUCAUCCUGUCUCCAAUUCUUGCACUUCGCUUCCUUUUGCUUCCAAGAACCUCCUUACGACUGUCCAUAUAUUUUUUCCAUUCUUUGAUUAGCAUGUCUCCACUUCUUUUAGAAAUCCGGUAUGGACAGUUCAGAUUCGUAGGAUGACCUGGAUGUAUGUUCAAAACAUCAAGGCUACCAAUCUGAUACAUCAAAUGAGGCACACAAUCCAUCGGGAUUCUCUGUUGAAAAACAUAGUAAUAACUUCAUAGUUAGCAAUGAUGUACUAGUUUUAGAAGUAUGCAAAAGAUGCACGGAUGUCGUAAUAGUAAAAAAUCUUACCAUGAUAUCUCCAUGGUAGUUACCGUAGUUCAACACGUGCACUAGUGGCACGUAUUGACCAUAAUGUUGAGGAAUUUGAUUGUAGAUAUUGUAAUUCUCAAUAUUAGUACAAAAUGCGAUCAGAUGAUUUUUCUCCUGAUAAGUUAAUUCGGAGCCAUCGGUGUAGUGGAUUUUGUUUACCAUCUUCCGCACAUUCUUUGAAGAAUGAAAAUAAGCUGUCAACUAUUUUGAAAUAAACAAUAUAAAUUAGUUAAUAACUAUGUUUGAGAAAGUCACAUAGCGGUAGAAUUGGAGGCGUAUCAACAAGGACCCAAAUGUCCAUAUUGUCUUGCUCGAUUUCAGGAUCACCAAGAUCCAUGGUGACAAGCAUAUCCUCAUGAAAACCAUACAUCUUGCAAAGUGCUUCCCAUUUUUUGCAACCAAAAUCGGUUACGCUCUCAGAAUUUACAGUUUUACGUCGAAAUCCAUACCAUGAUGGGUCCUUAGGUGAAUUUUCUUUGUUUCCAUACUUUCAUGAUCUUCAAAACCCAUCCUCUCCAAGACAUAGCGUCUUGCAUGGCAUGGGAUAAGCUAGUCGAAUUGUAAAAGAUGAAAAUUACACGUUGAAAUAGUUGAAGUCGUGCUUAAUUACGAAAAAAACACUUGUCAUCGUUGCGUACCGUUUCAACAUCGAAGGUCUCCUCGAGCUUAAUGCUGAAGCGUCGAUCUUCGUCUAGGUGAGGCCUGUCGCACAGACCUCGGUCGUCGUGGCACCAGUCGCACUCCCCCGGGAGACUUUCGUCGUCCGAGUACGACAUUUCCUAUGUUCAUAAUUCAAAUAUUAAACUUGUACAAUUAAAUAUAUGUACUAAAAAAACCUAAAUUAGAUCAGUAUUAUUCAUCACGGGUUGACUAUCGGUCUGUCGAGUCUUUUCUUGAAAACUCUCAGCUCACGUGGUGUACAUAUUCGACCGUCGGUGAUGGUAGCUCCUCCUUUCAUUCCCGAGUGCAUCCCACCAAAUUGUCUAGCACACGGGAAUGAAGGAGAAGCUACCGCCACGACAACAGUCGGGAUUCUUCAUCCUCUCAUAUAUAUAUGGUGGAGACUCUCCCUCACUGAUUCCUCUCUGACAUUUGCGACUGUCGGUGAUGGUAGCUCCUCCUUUCAUUCCCGAGUGCAUUACACCAAAUUGUCUAGCACACGGGAACGAAGGAGAAGCUACUCCCACGACAACAGUCGGGAUUCUUCGUCCUAUCAUAUAUGGUGGAGACUCGACAGAUUUAAAGUCAACCCGAAAUAUCGUUUAAUUAUCUUUCUAAAAAAGGACAUAUCGAGUGCCUGAAAUUUGCCGGAACGGAAACAUACAUGUUUUUAUCUACAUCAUAUGAGCAUUCAAAUUUGAUGGCCAUUACAUUUCAAUGGUUGAAAAUAUGAGCAAAAGCAUUUCAAAAUAUCUUAUAGGACUCAUAUUGACAUGGAGAUUUGGCUGGUCUCACCUCGAGGUCGGAGGGGGGUCGGUGACGGGGACGACGGCGGGGAUGAUGGAGGGGGCUCCUAGAUUUCUACAAAACAAAAACCCUAUAAGCUAUCAAACUAAUCAAAUGAAUACGCCUUGCAUAGUGCUCUCCAAUUUUAGCAUUCAAAGUAGGAGUAGUUUUCCAAUUUGAGCAUUCAAUAAGCAAAACCAAAUCAUAAAAUAAAGUAGUAUUCAAAUUAGCAUGCAUUCAAUUAUAAGAAAAACUACAUCAUCUCUUGCGGCCGUACAUCGUUGAAUAUUAUCACUAAUACACCUCGAAUACUAUCAUACAUAUAGCAUCGCUAAUACAGCUAGAACCGUAGCGCCCGACGGGUAUCGGCGCGGGCGGUGGACACCCAAAGAGAAGGAACCAUCACAGGAUCAUAGCUCCAGUGAGAUCCCUGAAAAACUUGCCAGGUAUUGUCGAACCUGCCCUCCAACGCAACCAUGUAGCGACGGACGUGCUCGUCCUCCUCGCUGACACGGUGACGUACCACCUCCGCGGUGUCCGGAAGCCUCGGCACCGUCACUGGCCCACGCGACCGCCACGAAACAAGGAUCGGGUCAACCACGGGCUGGCUCCUCACCAACCUACGCCCCCCGGAAGGUAGCACCUCCCAAUACCAGCCGACGGAGCCCAGUCUCGGACAUGGCCCCUCUGAUCAAGCAGGCCUCCUCCGCUGAGACGACGACGAGGAUGCGGGAUAGGCAUCGUCGACGUCGAUGCGGGAAUAAUUGCUUGAACUAAAAAUAUAAACUAGUUCUAUUAAUUUUCUUGCUAAAAAUAAACUACUUCUAUAGUAAAAUAAAGUAGUUUUAUUAAAUCAACUAGUUCAACUACUAAGCACUUACUAUAAAUAAAAUAAA